rnacentral:lncRNA from 1 species
UCUUUCUUCUUCUGCGUAGCUUAUUUUCCCGAAUUAAGACAUACUUAGCUAAUUAUCCUCCAAAAUGACAUAAUUAGCUUAAUUAGGGUAAAAACAUCGUAAUAACCUUGGUUAGCUCAUAACUUAGCUAAUUAUCCUCCAAAAUGACAUAAUAAGCUCAAAAUGGCAUAAAAACAUUGGUUAGCUCAUGAAUAUUAUAUUAUUAGAUUGUUUUCCUCUAAAAUGACAUAAUUAGCCCAUAUAGCUCCAAAAAGAACAUAAUUAGAUAAUUUAGCUCCAAAAAGAGGAGAAGAGGAGAAGAAAUAGGAAAAAUAGAAAAGAAGGAAGAAGAAGAAGAAGAAGAAGACAAGAAGAAGGAGAAGGAGGAGGAGGAGAAGAAGGAGAAGGAGGAGAAGACCUUCUCCUCGUUCUCCUCCUUCUUCUUCUCCUUCUUCUUGAUUUCUUCUUCUUCUCCUCCUCCUCCUCUUUGUUCUCCUCCUCCUCCUCUUUCUUCUCCUCUUUCUUAUUCUCCUUACCUUAUUUUCCCCAACAAUGACAUAUAUAAUUAGCCCAUUUAGCUCCAAAAUGACAUAAUAAGCUCAAAAUGGCAUUAGAACCUUGGUUAGCUAAUGAAUAUUAUAUUCUUAGCUUGUUUUCCUCUAAAAUAUCAUAUGUUGUUCUUCUUCUGACUUUCUUAUUCACAUUUCUGCAGAUUGGAUGUACUACAUGCAUGGAAGCUGGCAUUCAUGGAGUGCCUUAUUAGUUCUAGUUUUAAUUUGAGUUGAUGAACAAUGUCGAACUAUAUGUAUAUGUAUCUAUGGAUGAACAGUGUAAAACUUUGUAUGUUGGUUCUUUCGAUAUAUGGGAUGUACAUUGGUGAACUUUGUAUGUAUAUCAUAUAUGUGUGGUGAACUAUAUAUAUGUGUUGUGAAAUAUAUAUCAUAUAUGUGUUGUGAAAUAUAUAUAUAUAUAUAUAUAUAUAUAUAUAUAUAUUAUAGUAAAUAAACUAAAACAAAACGAAARUAAAKWAACUAAUAGUACGGUACGUUCGUUUCGUUCUCGUCGUUCGNNNNNNNNNNNNNNNNNNNNNNNNNNNNNNNNNNNNNNNNNNNNNNNNNNNNNNNNNNNNNNNNNNNNNNNNNNNNNNNNNNNNNNNNNNNNNNNNNNNNACCUUUGGUGCCGGGUUGAUCUUGCAGAACGGCUUAAGACCUAUUUGGCCGCACUUGGCCAUGAGUUCGCCGGUCAAUUUCUUGAUGAUGGUUACAAUAUCAUUUUCUGUCAGUGCUGUGUGGAAGUAGCACUGGGAGUGAUCCAGGGUACCAUCAAAAUCACACAUUAAUCCGUCCCAGCGACUUAAGGGAAGGAUACGCCAUUCGACCCAGCAGCAGAUUAAGUCAACCCCAGUAAGGCCAUUGUUUGUCAGAGAUCUUAACUCGGACAGUACUGGGAUAAAAUCUGACUCCUCUUCUUCUUGGCAGUCUCAGGCUGCAUUUCGCUCAGCCCGUGUGACCUGUGAAGGUCCUCUUGCGCCUUGCCUGUUAGGCUGCCUACGCUGCCAUGAGCUCAUUAGUCUUGCUCUUCAGCUUGAGCUUCGAUAUCACACACUUGGCGCAUGCACUCAGACUUGAMMCACUCCAGCUAUCUCAUAGACUGUCUUUGUCUCGAAGGUCCAUCCCAGUUUUGCUCCUCCUGGUACCUCUAUCUUAGCCACCUCUAAGCGCCAUCCGCAAGGCCAAGGGUCUCUAAUCUCUACGGUCAGGGACUUCGACAUCUUCCAUUCUAUGUCACUGGUGGAUGAGGGCUCGUUUUCAAAACUUCAGUUCAAUGGACUGCCAAAGUCCACCGUAUUGGCAUUGCCUGCCUAUGCUCNUUCCGAAUUUCAUCACCUGCUAGGUCCUUGGACGUCCCUUNNNNNNNNNNNNNNNNNNNNNNNNNNNNNNNNNNNNNNNNNNNNNNNNNNNNNNNNNNNNNNNNNNNNNNNNNNNNNNNNNNNNNNNNNNNNNNNNNNNNGGCGGUGAGACGCCGGAGAGAGGGGGUGGUUGGGCAUCGGAGGAAGGGCUGAGUGGUGGUGGGCGCUGGAGGGUAGGGGCUUUGCCGCCGGCGACCUGAUCGGGAGGGUGGCCGGUGGUGCAUUGGAGGAGGGGGGUGGUGGUCGGGACGAGAGAGGAGUCGGGGGCCGAGAGUGGUGGUCGCGACGGGGGAGGAGUCUGGGUACGAGAGAGAAGAGAGGUGGUGAGAGGAUAAGGUCGGGUGGAGGUGAGUGGUGGGCCAGCCGAGUUGAGUGGAUGCGGUGGAUCCUGGGUGGGAGAGGCAGCGACGGUGGGAUGGGCCGCCACGUCAUCGAUCCAUGGGAUCGAUCCGCGUGGUGUGCUUUCUCUUUGCCGUCAUCCGGUUAUUUUUCAAGACGACAAAUUAAGUCGUUGCCGUCAUCCGGUUUUUUUACAGACGACAAAAUAUUUUUUCACCACGUCCGUGCGUGGUGGUGUAGGUGGGGGUUGGGUCGUCGGUCGUGUACGUCUACGUAGUCCUUUCCCAACGUCCAUUCNNNNNNNNNNNNNNNNNNNNNNNNNNNNNNNNNNNNNNNNNNNNNNNNNNNNNNNNNNNNNNNNNNNNNNNNNNNNNNNNNNNNNNNNNNNNNNNNNNNNACUUGGAGAUGAAGUCGCCAGCUUGGGUAGAACCCGGCCCAAACUAGGCGGGUUACCAACCAGAUAAUUAUCCCCCUAACGAUUUAGGCCCCCAGAUUGACUUGAAUUUUUUUUCACCGCCAAAUAUUUCUCACCCACGUUAGGGCGAUUCAUCUCAAUCCUUUUACGAACCAUGCACUUAAAACCGCCAUCUGUUGCGGAAAAAACUUCAAGUCGCCGAACCACUUCUUGUUGGCGCCUUCUUAGUCCCUUUAACCUCGGAAGAGAUGAUUGACGUAAUCUCCAACGGAUCCUUCGGUUAUUGCUAUCCCGAAAAUUUUGGGGCGCCAUCAUGGCGAAUCUUUAUCUUUUUUGGCAGUUACCCACUCGUGGCGCCCUCGAUCCCAGCGCCUGACCUUGCCAUGACAAAUGAAGAUGAUAUGUGUCACAAGUGCACACUUGAAGUUUGCCAUCAUGUUCUAACUUCUAUGCCGGUGGCUGUGGAGGAACAAGUGUGUCGUGACGAGGGUGGUGUUGGCUAAUUGAGGUAUGAACCNNNNNNNNNNNNNNNNNNNNNNNNNNNNNNNNNNNNNNNNNNNNNNNNNNNNNNNNNNNNNNNNNNNNNNNNNNNNNNNNNNNNNNNNNNNNNNNNNNNNAAAAAAGGACUCUUGUAAAACCCUAAGGGACUUUGACCCUGUAUAUGAAGGGCGAGUCCCAGGGGAAGGAGAGGGGGAGGUUAGAAAUCAUCGAGUGCUUAGGGUCAGGCGAGUUACGCCCCCCUUGUAAUCGAAAACACCAUCAAUACAAAACACCAAAMCAGGGACGUAGGCCUUUACCUCCUAACGAGGGGCCGAACCUGGGUAAAUCUCUGGCCUCGCUCCCCGCAUAMCCCCUUUUGAGUUGCCACCAAGAUGCGAUGGGCUCCAACACUAAGUACUUUCACGAGGACAUCUGCCGUGACAAAACAACGACACCUUCCACCAGCCCAGUCGCAUGGGCUUAGGUGGGGAGGGGCGCCCAGCCCACCAGGCGCUGGUAUGCACUCUUCUCAGCCCAUGUGGCCCCUCGGGGCAGGUCGGACCCUUUCAACACUCCUGGUACUCUGAGGUAAUGCCCGAACUUUCCGGUGACCAAAAAUGGAACUUCCUGUAUAUGAAUAUUUACCUCCUACCUAUUUUGAAGAUCCUAAAUCCCUUAAACUUAAGAGAAUAUGUACUCAUCAUCAGAGUGGUCUGAUCGCGCGAAGAAAACUUUACAUCCAUCUGAUAAGUGGGGANAUUACUGUCCAGUGUCUUAUGGUACAUAGCAAUGAUNNNNNNNNNNNNNNNNNNNNNNNNNNNNNNNNNNNNNNNNNNNNNNNNNNNNNNNNNNNNNNNNNNNNNNNNNNNNNNNNNNNNNNNNNNNNNNNNNNNNGAGAGAGAGAGAGAGANAGAGUAGAGGAGAGAGAGAGAGAGAGAGAGAGAGACGAGAGAGAGAGAGAGUAGAGAGAGAGAGAGAGAGAGAGAGAGAGAGAGAGAGAGAGACGACGACGACGUACGUCGUCUCUCUCUCUCUCUCUCUCUCUCUCUCUCUCUCUCUCUCUCUCUCUUCUUCUUCUUCUUCUUCUUCUUCUUCUCUCUCUCUCUUCUUCUUCUUCUUCUUCUCUCUCUCUCUCNCUCCUCCUCCUCUUCUCCUCUUCUUCCUCCGCUUCUUCUUCUUCUUCCUCUUAUUUCUAGUUCUAUUUUUCUUUAUCCUCUUCUUCUACUUAUUCUUCUUUUCUUCUUUUUUUCUCUUCUUCUCCUUAUUUUCUUCUUCUUAUCUUCUUCUCUUAUUCUUUUCUACUUCUCCUUCUUAUUUCUUUUCUUCGCCUCUUCUUCUUCUCCUUCUUAUUUUUUUUCUCUCCUCUUCUUCUUCUUCUUCUUCUUCUUCUUCUUCUCCUUCUUUAUUUUUUCUCUUCUUCUUCUUCUUCUUCUUCUACUUCUUCUCCUCCUCCUCCUYCUCNCNCCNCNCNCUACNCNCUCUCUCUCUCUCUCUACUCUCUCUCUCUCUCUCUCUCUCUCUCUCUACUNNNNNNNNNNNNNNNNNNNNNNNNNNNNNNNNNNNNNNNNNNNNNNNNNNNNNNNNNNNNNNNNNNNNNNNNNNNNNNNNNNNNNNNNNNNNNNNNNNNNGACUGGUUCUUUACGUCUCUGAAUUGGACUACCUCCUUUCCCAACACUUUGGUAUGUCCCUUGCCAUGGCCUGUAUCCGAUCAUAUUCCCUGUUCGGUCGAAAUAGAAACCAACAUUCCACGCAACAAAACGUUCCGCUUUGAAACAUACUAGAUUGCCCACCGAGGGUUUAUGGAGACAGUCUCGCUAGCAUGGAAUAAACCCGUCAAACAUGGUCAGAAUAGCAAUGCAACAACGAUAAUCUGUCAGAAACUUACAGCUGUUCGAUUUGCACUAUGAAGAUGGAGUAGCGGUAUCUCCCGCCUUAAGGUAGCAACCAUCAACACCAAUAAGGCGUUGCUGGAGUUAGACUCCCUCAAAGAUCGACGUACUCUCACCACGCCAGAAUGAAACUUCCGACGCGUCCUCAAAAAUCACCUUCUCAGGUUGCUAAAAUACCAGAAAGAAUACUGGGGCAAGAGAUGCUCCAUCAGAUGGAUCAAGUUUGGAGAUGAAAACACAAAGUUUUUUCAAACAGUGGCAACUGAACGGUAUCGACGCAACUUUGUGGCUACACUCAGAACUGAUGCAGGGAUCGUGGUUGAGACACAUGCCAGCAAGGAGGCUCUCCUGUUUGACACCUAUAGAAGAAGGAUGGGCGCGGCAAGAGCUCCCGAUAUACGGUUUGAUUGAACGCAACUACGGCGACAAGGCAUCGACUUUGAAGUUCUUACGAUCCCCUUUGCACAAGAGGAAAUAGACCCUGUAGUGAAAGAGAUGCCAGCUGACAAAUCUCCAGGGCCGGACGGUUUUAACGGCGCCUUUCUUAAAACUUGUUGGCAUAUCAUCAAGAAAGACUUCUAUGAUCUUUGUGACGAAUUCCACCGAGGUAAUCUCAACUUGGAACCUCUGAAUUAUGGGCACAUCACGCUCAUCCCCAAGACGGCUUCUCCUGAGACAGUGAACGACUAUCGUCCCAUUACCCUGCUUAACUGCUGCCUCAAGAUGAUCACCAAGAUACUGGCGCAGCGACUCCAGAAGAUCAUUCUACAGAUUGUGCAUUAAAACUAGUAUGGGUUCCUCCGUGGUAGAUCUAUACAUGACUGCUUGGCAUGGGCUUUCGAGUAUAUACACCAAUGUCAAAGCUCUCGAAAUGAUAUAGUCCUGCUUAAAUUAGACUUUGCUAAAGCUUUUGAUACGGUUGAACAUUCGGCUAUGAUCACCAUCAUGCAACGUAUGUGGUUUAAUUCAAAGUGGAUCCAAUGGAUGCAAUGCAUCUUCUCGUCUGGAAAAUCAUCGGUAUUACUGAAUUGAGUCCCUAGUAAACAAUUCCCCUGCAGAUGUGGAGUAAGACAGGGAGACCCUCUCUCACCAUUGAUAUUUGUGCUGGCGGCGGACAUACUCCAAACAAAGAUUAACAAACAACUAAAUUUGGGCUUGUUAUCCCACCCUAUCGACACAAGAGGCGAUGCUGACUUUCCAGUAAUCCAAUAUGCCGAUGACACCAUCAUCAUCAUGCACGCGUGUGAUGUCAAGGCUGCGAGAAUGAAAAGAAUACUAGAUGACUUCGCCACGACGAUAGGGCUCGGGAUUAACUAUCAGAAAUCAACCCUAGUUCCUAUCAAUGUGACUCAAUAGGUAUGUGACAACAUCAUCUCGAUCUUUCGUUGUGCGCAGGCAACAAUGUCGUUCACCUAUCUAGGGCUCCCGCUGGGUACAUCUAAACCUAAUUUCCUGGAUAUGACACCGUUAGUCUGUAAAGCGGAGAGGAAAAUCACAGCUGCCAUGGCGCUGAUGUCGCAUGCGAGCAUAUUGGCCUUGAUGAACUCACUGGUCACGUCGCUACUCGUGUACCCAAUGUGGACCCUCAGAAUCCCCCCAACGAUUGUAGAACAAUUUGAUAAACUCCGGAGGACGUGCCUAUGGAGAAAAAAGACUGAAGAUGGAUUCAAAAGUAAUACACUAGUGGCGUGGAACGCAGUUUGCCGCCUGAAAGAGUAUGGCGGCCUAGGGGUCCUGAACCUCAAACUACAGAAUGACGCGAUGCUUCUAAAGAUGCUUCACAAGUUCAACAACAGAAAAUAAAUCCCAUGGGUAGCAUUGAUCUGGAACACACACUACGGGGGAGCAAUCCCCCAUGCGCAAGAUCGUUGUGGCUCUUUCUGGUGGCGAGAACUGACUAAACUUAUGCCGGUGUUCCAAGGUAUAAAGCGAGUCAAUGUUAACAAUGGUCUCUCAACGCUCUUUUGGAAAGACAACUGGAACAAUGCCGUAUAUGCAGAAAAGUUCCCUCGGGCUUUCUCCUUUGCUAGAACUGAAGAUGCCUCGGUUCAGAACUUCUUGGGGACUAGCUCGCUUCAAGAAGCCUUCUCGCUGCCCCUGUCAGAACAAGCGCAUAAUGAACUCAGAAUGAUGCAACAAGAAAUCAGAGACGUGCAGCUAAACCCUAGGGGAGAUGACUGGGUGUGUUCUUGGGGAGCUGGCACCUUUGAAACGGUAGCAUAUCGACGUUUCUAUUUGAAAGAGACUACGGUGCACCCAGCGUUUCACUGGCUGUGGAAAACAAAGUGUGUCCCAAAGAUCAAGGUAUUUGGAUGGUUUUUGCUGAUGGACAGGCUCAACACAAGGAAUAUGCUCAAACAGAGACAUUACAACAUAGGGGAUACUCUCGAUUGCAUGCUAUGCGAUCGACACAUGGAGGAAACACUGGAACAUCUCUUCUUCAAAUGCAGCUUUAGCCAGCGCUGUUGGAAUAUGCUCAACAUCAAAUGGUCAGAACAACAACAUAGACUAGAGAAACUACAACAUCAGAGGACAACACACCCCAGGGACAUGUUCAUGGAUAUUUUUCUGGUGGCAGCCUGGAGUCUAUGGAAGGAAAGAAAUAACAAGUGCUUUGAGCAAAUAACCCCAUCUCUUGGGGCCAGCCGACGUCAGUUUGUACCAGACAUCUCCAAUCUUAGACACCGUGUGCCUACUAGCAAAGUGCAAAACAUAGAUAACAUUGUGGCAACCCUAGCUGAUAUCACGUAAUAUGUAACCUCACCCUGCCCACCUCCCCCCUCCCCCCCAUCCCCAUUCCACCCCCUCCCCAUCAUGUACAUGUGUAACUAUUGGCUUUAUAUAUACAUGCAGUAGGAUUUUAUCCUACUGUCUUACACUCAAAAGAAAGCAAGCAAGUUGGAUGCACACCCACUAGUUUUCUUUAAGAGCUUUCACAUAGUCUUAGCUCUAGUGCAUCAUUUGUAUGGCAAUCCCUACUCAUUCACAUUGAUAUCUAUUGAUGAGCAUUUCCAUAGCUCAUUGAUAUGCCUAGUCAAUGUGACCAUCUUCUCCUUGUUUGCCUUGCAACCUCCACCACACUCCACUCCACUUAUAGUGCUAAAACCAUGGCUCACGCUCAUGUAUUGCAUGAGAGUUGAAAAAGUUUGAGAAAGUAAAGGUGUGAAAACAAUUACUUGGCCAAUACCAAGGUUGUGCAUGAUUUAAAUUCGUUUUGCAAUGAUGAUAGAGCAUAGCCAGACUAUAUGAUUUUGUAGGGAUAACUUUCUUUUGUCCUUGUUAUUUUGAAACUUCAUGAUUACCUUGCUAGUUUGCUUGAAGUAUUAUUGUCUCCACGUCAAUAGAAAACUAUUGUUUUGAAUCUAAUGGAUCUGAACAUUCACGUCACAUAAGAGGAGUUACAAAGGACAUCUAUGCUAGCUAGCAUGAAAGCAUAAAAAUUCAUUCUUUAUCACUUCCCUACUCGAGGACGAACAGGAGUUAAGCUUGGGGAUGCUUGAAACGUCUCAAACGUAUCUAUAAUUUUUGAUGGUUUCAUGCCGUUAUCUUGUCAACUCUCGAUGUUUUAUAUUCCUUUUAUAUGUUUUUUGGGACUAACUUAUUAAUUCAGUGCCAAGUGCCAGUUCCUGUUUUUCUGUGUUUUUGACUCUUUUCAGAUCUGAUUUUGGAACGGAGUCCAAACGGAAUAAAAUCCCCAAAAUAAAAUUUUCCAGAACAGAAGAAGAUCGGUGGACUUGAGGGCCAAGGCAGGAGGCCCACAGGGAGCCCACAAGCCCUAACGCCACGGCCAGGGGGGCCCGCGGCGACUAGGCUUGUGGGCUCCUUGGCGCUCCUCUGCCCUAGCUCUUUCGCCUAUAUAUUCCCUAAAAUCCCAGAAAAAAUCAGGGCAUCCACGAAAACACUUUCCGCCGCCACAAGCUUCCGUUUCCGCGAGAUCUCAUCUCGAGACCCUUCCUGGUGCCCUGCCGGAGGGGACUUUGGAGUUGGAGGGCUUCUACAUCAACAUCAUCGCCUCUCCAAUGACUCGUGAGUAGUCCACUUCAGACCUAUGGGUCCGUAGUUAGUAGCUAGAUGGCUUCUUGUCUCUCUUGGAUCUUCAAUACAAAGUUCUCCAUGAUCUUCAUGGAGAUCUAUCCGAUGUAAUCCUCUUUGGCGGUGUGUUUGUCUAGAUCCGAUGAAUUGUGGAUUUGUAAUCAGAUUAUCUACGAAUUAUACUUGAGUCUUUGAUGAUUUCUUAUAUGCAUGAUUUUAUAUCCUUGUAAGUCGCUCCGAGUCUUGGGUUUUGUUUGGACAACUAGAUCUAUGAUUCUUGCAAUGGGAGAAGUGCUUGGUUUUGGGUUCAUACCGUGCGGUGUCCUUUCCCAGUGACAGAAGGGGCAGCAAGGCACGCAUCGUGUUGUUGCCAUCAAGGGUAACAAGAUGCGCUUUCAUCAUAGAUUUGAGAUUGUUCAUCUACAUCGUGUCAUCUUGCUUAAGGCGUUACUGUGUUCUUAUGAAAUCAAUACACUAGAUGCAUGCUGGAUAGCAGUGGACAUGUGGAGUAAUAGUAGUAGAUGCAGAAAGUAUUGGUCUACUUGUUUUGGACGUGAUGCCUAUAGAUAUGAUCAUUGCCAUAGAUAACGUCAUGACUUUGCGCGGUUCUAUCAAUUGCUCGACAGUAAUUCGUUCACCCACUGUCUACUUGCUUUCAUGAGAGAAGCCACUAGUGAACACUACGGGCCCUGGGUCUAUUCACAACUAUCGCUUCCACUUUUACUUUUACUUUGCUUUGUUUACGUUUUGCUUUCAGUUCUUACUUUGAAAAAAAUCUAUAAGGGAUUGACAACCCCUUCAUAGAGUUGGGUGCAAGCUCUUUGUGUUUGUGCAGGUACUUGUAACUUGACGCGAUCCUCCUACUGGAUUGAUACCUUGGUACUCAAACUGAGGGAAAUACUUACUGCCGCUGUGCUACAUCACCCUUUCCUUUUCAAGGGAACACCAACGCAAGGCUCCAAGGCCGCGGGGGAAUCCUUUGCAUAUUUCCCAAGGAAGUCCCUAUAGGCGUAGCACAUAGUAGAAGGAUUCCCGGUGCCGUUUCCAGGGAAUGUCUUUUGUUGCCGUAGCACAAGUCCAAGGUAUGGACUAGGUGAGAACUAUGCCCCCGUUGCUAGACUUGAAGCCAUUCACAUUCUUAUCACUUAUGAAAAUCAACAUGAUAUUACUCUUUGCCAAAUGGAUAUGAAAAGUAUUUUUUUAAAUGGUGAAAUUGAGGAGGAAGUUUUUGGCAAACAACCUCCUGGUUUUGUGAACCCUGAAAAACCUAAUCAUGUUUAAAAACUUUGUAAAUAUUUAUAUGGUCUGAAACAAGCCCCUCGAGCUUGGUACAAAUGCCUAACAAAGAGUCUCAUUGAAAAGGGUUUUGAGAUUGGUCAAAUUGACGUAGCUUUAUUCACUAGAAGAGUAAACGGCAAACUAUUUGUGUGCCAAAUAUAAGUGGAAGAUAUUAACUUUGGAUCUACUAACCCACAUUUUGGUGAGAAAUUUGGAAGGUUGAUGUCACACAAGUAUGAGAUGUCCAUGAUGUGUGAUCUGAAAUUCUUCCUUGGUUUGCAAAUCAAACAAUCGAGAGCAGGUACGUUUAUCUCUCAAACCAAGUACACCAAGGACUUAAUCAAGAAGUUCAACAUGAAAGAGUGUAAAGUUAUGAGAACCCCAAUGCCUACUAUUGGACAUGUUGACCUCACGAAGGAGGACAAACCGAUUGAUCAAAAGGUUCGUUGAUAAAUGAUCGGUUCAUUGCUAUAUCUAUGUGCCUCCCGUCCCAAUGUCAUGUUGAGUGUUUGCAUGUGUGCCUGAUAUCAAGCGACACCUAAGGAUUGUUAUCUAAAGGUUGUGAAAAGAAUUGUGAGAUACUUGAUACAAACACCAAACUUUGGCAUAUGGUAUCCUAAGGGAUCUUCUUUUAGUCUUGUUGGAUAUUCCGACUCGGACUAUGCCAGAGACAAUAUUGAUAGAAAAUCCACCUCGGGUACAUAUCAAUUUCUUGGGAGGUGUCUUGUGCCUUGGUCAUCCAAGAAACAAAACUUGGUAUCUCUAUCCACUAGCGAAGCAUAAUAUAUUGCCUCCAGAUCAUGUUAUGCGCAUUUACUAUGGAUGACGCAAACUCUUAAGGAUUAUGGUAUUCAUGUGAAACAUGUUCCAUUGUUGCGUUAUAGUGGAAGUGCUAUUAAAAUUGUUCAUAAUCCACUAAACAUUCACGAACUAAACAUAUUCAAGCGCGACAUCAUUUCAUUCGUGAUCAUGUUGGUAAAGGAGAUAUUAAUCUCAAGCAUGUUCGUACCAACAAACAAUUGGCUGAUAUCUUUACAAAACCACUUGAUGAGAAAGUGUUUUCCAUUUGAGGAGUGAGUUGACCAUCAUAUAUAGAUGCUUCAAACUCGAGCUAGACUCACUCGGAUGCAUGCAAGGGCAUGAGCUUACCUUAUUAUUUCAUGAUGCUAUUGAUGUGACACUAUCUUAUAUCUUGGAAAACUAUGCUCCCUUGUAUUGCAUCUAACCUUACUUUAGGUACUUGGAAGAAUUACAAUUCACAAGAUUUCCAUCAACUCACAUCAAACGCAAUCUUGUCAUGGCCAAGUAUCAACAACCCCUUCUUCGAAUAUGAAGGAAGAAGAAAACAAAAUCAUAUCCUUGACAACUACUUGAUGAAUGGAUUCACUCUUGUCAUUUGGACAUAUAAUGUUCUUCCUUGCAUGCGUAACCAAUGUAGGUGAAAAGUGAACCAAAACGACAAGGAUCACUCUCGACUCAAGAUGAUCUUCAUCAACAUUGAGCAUCCACAACAAGUUCACCUACAUGCCACAUCAUCAACAUCAUUCAAAGGUAUGUACUCAUAUCCUUGAUAAAACUUUACACCAAGUCAUGAGGUAAAGCAACUCAAGUGAUAUGAAGACAUCAAAAUGCUUAAUCCAAAAAUGGCACCCCCAUUUUGCACUUAACGAUGAGUAUGACCUAUGAUCAAGCAUUCUUCCUUGACUCCUCAAGUCAAUACACUCUAAUAUAGUUGACCUAGUCACCGACAAACAUCUAGAUGGAGAUUCUUGUAUGGUUCUUAUUUUAAAUUGCAUACUUUCUUGGAACCAUUCAAUUCUCAUCUUAAUCAAAAAAAAUAUUUUCUCUUGGUUUAUUUUUUAAAUAUUUGCAUAUUUCCUUUUUCAAAGUUUGUAUAUAUUUCCUAUCUAUGUGAGUUGAGCACCUAAAUCUCAUUGCAACUUGGUCACACCAAUAUGGGGAACUAGGUCUAACCAAUUUCACCUAGGGGCCUUCUACCAUUCUCGGUUCUACUGAACCAUAUUACCUCGGUGAUUCCGAAUUUAUCAUUGCUUAUGUACUCUUGGUUAUUAUGAACUUUUGACAAAGAGGGAGAAUCUAUUCAGUGAUCGCAAAGUUUAUUACAUCCUAAUCUUUUAUAGAUUAUUUCCAUUGAUGCCAAAGGGGUACACCUUGGUUUCCCAUAAUUCUCAAGGGGGAGAAAAACAUCAAAGCGGGAGAAAUAUUCAGUGAUCUGACAAUACAAGAGGGAGAAAAUGUCUAGGAACCCUAACAAAUAGCGGGAGAUAUUUAAAGGAACUUUUAUCCAUACUCAAGGGGAGAUCAUUGUGGGAACCUUUAUCACAGGAAAAUAAUAUAGGAUCCCUUACUCUCAAUGACCCCUUACCCUCUCACAUUUUUUUGGAAAUUAAUACUAAAGGGGGGAGAUAUAUCAAAGCUUCUAAAUGCUUAUACCAAAAGGGGAGAUCUACCAAAGGGGAGAUCUCCAUAGGGGUGAUAUACCAUACCUUACACAUUCAGGGGAGAACUACCAUUGAGGGGGAGAUAUUUAAAGAUUUAGUUGAGUUUUAUUGCCUACUUUGGAUUGAAUUUGUCUCUCCACCUACUCCCAAUAUUUACAUGCUAUGAUUCGGGAGUAGAGGUAAUCUUACAUAUUCAUUCUGAGGGAAGAAAGUUAUAAAUAUCUUUGGAUACAUAUCUAUUAUCGAAUCUUAUUUUUAAUAUGUCUUCAACAUCUUGGUACUUUUGAAGCUCUUUGCAUCUUUACAUUAAAAUACUCUUGCGUUAUCUAACAUUUGUUUUCCCAAGUGUAUUGCUACUGCUAGGAUGCUCAAGAACCUCAAGGUAAAUAUAUGCAUCAUAUCCUUGUUCAGGAUGAUCUCUUAUCUCUUGCACAUAUUGUUUGUAAGAAUAAUGAGUGUUGAUCUUAGUAAUCUUUCAUUCACAUUUUUUUGAUGCAUAUAGCCAAGAUUCACAUGACUCAUCUUGUCCCUUCUACUAUGUGGAUGCUCAUGCAGUCCAAAGCGAACAUCUCUUAAAGGAGAUUUCACAAAUUUAGGGGGAGCUUGUAUUAGUCAUGUACCUUUCAAAGUUGUCAUAUUCCACUUCCUAUCUUUAUUUUAAGCUCUGAUUGUAUGUUGUCAUUAAUUAUCAAAAAAUGGGAGAUUUAAAGAACAUAUGAUCCCUUGGUGGUUUUGAUGAUUCAUGACAAAAUACAUUGUCUCUUGGACUAACAUUAUUACCUAGUAUAUUUCAGGUAUAGUCCACAAAGAGCAUUGGCUAAAGUAUUGUGUGGAGAAGCCCCAACGAAAGGAAUAGGAUUGGUUAAGCCUCAAGCAAGAGGACUCUACAUUUUAUAUUUGUGGGAAAUCACUUUUGAGUCCAUAGGAAAGCCAAUACUAUUAAAAGGACGAUGUAUUUAUGAUGAAUUGGUUUCUCAAUUGCUUAGAGAUAGGCACCAAAAAAAUUCAGUCAUUCUCCCACGAAUAUAUUUGUUCAAAGCCUUCACAUCAAAAUAGGUGCCACCAGGAAUUCUAUUUCGUCCCUACCGGUUUUCCCAGUGAGAGAUCCGUUGCCAAACCCUAAUCUCUCGGUACCACCAACUUUCAUAUCAGUGCCACCAAAAGACAGUGACCAACUUUAUGGUAUCUCUGUUUCAAGAAUCGGUAUUUCUGAGAUUGAACUCGGUACCAACGAGAAUUGGAAACUACCCUAGGUCAUCGAAUUGGUACCAACGACAUUUGUAUAUUGGUCUCACCAAGAACUCAAAAGUUGCCACAUUUAGUGCAAAUCGGUACCAUCGAGAUUCAUUUUGGUGUCACCGAGUUGGGCAAUAAUGUUGUAACGGUUGGAUUUUUGGAGAUGCCUAUAUAUAACCCUCCACCUCCUCUCAUUUGCAGAGGAAGCACUCAUGACACACUUACACUUGCCAUAUCCAUUUUUCUAAGAGAGAACCACCUACUCAUNAAGAUAUUCCAAUCCAACCGUUUGAAACUUGAUAUCUAUUCUCCUCAAGUUGCUUUCCACCAAAUCAAUCUCUCCUUCCCAUGACAAAUCUGUGAGAGAGUGAUUGAGUGUUGAGGAGACUAUCUUUUGAAGCACAAGAGUAAGUAGUUCAUCGUUCUACCGCAUCUACUACCUUUUGGAGGGUGGUGCCUCCUAGAUUGGUUAGGUGUCGCUUGGUAUCCUCCUACUUCGUGUUUUGGAGUUGAACUAAGAAGUUUGUACAUGCAAGGAGAUUGCCUACUUCGUGAAGAUCUACCCUGAGUGAGGCUAGUCAUGUGUGGACGUAAGCCAUGGUGGAAUAGACAAGGCCGGUUCUUUGUGGACCCCUUCUGGGUGGAGCCCUCCGUGGGCUCUCGUAACCGUGACCCUUCGUGGGUUGAAGUCUCCACUAGCAUGGACAUACGAUAGCACCACCCAUCGAAACCACGUCAAAAAUCACCGUGUCUUCUAUGCGUUUGAUCUUCCUAAACACUACGCCUUACUUAUACGUGCAAUGUCUUUACUUUCCGCUACCAUAUAUGUUGACUAGAAUGUGUAGGGUGCACUAGACUUGUUAGAAAUGCUAAAAUUUUCCAACCACUAAAAUUGGGAAAAUUCUAGGAUUUUAAUUUAUGCAAGUAGUCUAUCUACCCCCUCUAGACAUCCCUUCGAGUGAUCCCAUAGAACACGUACAAACAAGGUUGGGGCAAUCUCCACAACUUAAUUGGAGGCUCCCAACAACAACACGAAGCUUCAUCAUAAUGAAUUGUGGGUCCAAGAUUACCUCAAAUGCUCGAGGCAAUCUCCACAACCUAAUUGGAGACCCCGGACGCUUGCUCGGAGCUUUACACCACAAUGAUUGAGCUCUGAGGCACCACCAACCAUCUAGGGCGCCAAAGCACCCAAGAGCCACAAGCUCUAGGGUUCCCAAACACGCAAGAGUAAUAAGCUUCUCGAACUUCACUUCCACGUAUCGCUGUGGAGAACUCAAAUCGAUUCACCAAAUGCAAUGGCAAGAAGAAAUGAACUGGUCAAGUCCCUGAUACGUCUCCAUCGUAUCUACUUUUCCAAACUCUUUUGCCCUUGUUUUGGACUCUAAUUUGCGUGAUUUGAAUGGAACUAACCCGGACUGACGCUGUUUUCAGCAGAAUUGCCAUGGUGUUGUUUUUGUGCAGAAAUGAAAUUUCUCGGAACAUCCCGAAAAUUUACGGAGAAUAUUUCUCGAAAAUAUGAAAAAUACCUACACAAAGAUCCACCGGAGGGGACGGGCCAGUGGGCUACAAGCCCUGACGCCGCGGACUCCCCCCCUGGCCGCGGCAACCAAGCUUGUGGGGCCCACGUGGCUCUGCCGCCCCCAACUCCAGCGCUAUUUAUUCCCUUUCGUCCCAAAAAAAUCAAGAGAGAAGAUUUCAUCGCAUUUGCAACAUGGAGGCGCCGGCACAUCCUGUUCUUCAUCUGGAGGGCACAUCUAGAGUCAGUUUUGGGCUCCGGAUCAAGGAGAUCGUCGCCAUCGUCAUCAUCAACCUUCUUCCCUCUCCAAUUCCAUGAAGCUCUUCAUCGUUCCUGAGUAAUCUAUUUGUAGGCUCGCUGGGCGGUGAUGAGUAGGAUGAGAUCUAUCAUGUAAUUGAGUUAGUUUUAACGGGGAUUGAUCCCUAGUAUCCACUAUGUUCUGAGAUUGAUGUUGCUACUACUUUGCCAUGCUUAAUGCUUGUCACUAGGGCCCGAGUGCCAUGAUUUCAGAUCUGAAAUUAUUAUGUUGUCACCAAUAUAUGUGUGUUUUAGAUCCGAUCUUGCAAGUUGUAGUUACCUACUAUGUGUUAUGAUCCGGCAACCCCGGAGUGACAAUAACCGGAACCACUCCCGGUGAUGACCAUAGUUUGAGGAGUUCAUGUGUUCACCAAGUGCUAAUGCUUUGGUCCGGUUCUUUAUUAAAAGGAGAAACUUAAUAUCCCGUAGUAUCCAUUUGGACCCCGCUGCCACGGGAGGGAUGGACAAUAGAUGUCAUGCAAGUUCUUUUCCCUAAGCACGUAUGACGACACACGGAAUGCCUGCCUACAUCACAUUGACGAACGGGAGCUAGCAACAUAUCUCUCCGUGUUAUAACUGCUACAUGAUGAAUGGCAUCCAACAAAUCACCGAUCCAUUGCCUACGAGUUUGUCCCACUGCUGCUGUUACUUGUUUUGCUCUGCUGCUGUUACUACUGUUGCUGCUACUGUUACUUGCUUUGUCCUGCUGCUGCUGCCACUACUGUUGCUAAUACUGUUACUUGCUACUGUUGUUACUUGCUACUGUUGCUACUUGCUACUGCUGUCACUACUGCUGUUCCUUGCCACUGCUGCUACUCGUUACACUGCUACUACCUGCUACAAUACUUUUUCUAGCACCGUUGCCGGGAAAGAAUAUUUCCCGUCCACGGGCAACUUACUGGCGCCAUUGAAACAACAGUUAGGAAUAAUCUGCCGUCAACAGAUCGUUUCUGGCACCGUUGUUAUCAUACUACUUUCUACUGAUACUUUGCUUGCACACACUAAUCUUUCAGGUGUGGUUGAAUCUGACGCAUUCAGCUGCUAAUACUUGAGAAUAUUCUUUCACUUCCCGUCGUGCGAACCAACAAAUUUGGGUUGAAUACUCUACCCUCGAAAAUUGUCGCGAUCCCACGCGCUGGUGGGCUAUUGCAAGACAAUUUCUAAUUGUUGAGCAACUGGAAGCAGCACUUUUCUGGCUCCGUUGCCAUGGAGGCAUCAAGUCAGGAAUAGUUGCACGUCAACAACAUUUUUCUGGCGCCGUUGCCGGGGAAGGAUUGAUAUAUUCUCUGAGUCACUUGGGAUUUAUAUCUGUUGAUCACUAUGAAGAAUGUGAAAGAUCCAAAAACCAAAGUCAUGCCCUCAACUACGAGGGGAGGUAAGGAACUGCCAUCUAGCUCUGCACUUGAUUCACCUUCAGUUAUGAGUAAGUUUGCGACACCACCUCCUGCUAGAAAACUUGAUAUGUCGCCUGUGCUUGAUGAUGCUUAUGAUGCUACUCCUAGAGAUACUAUGCCUCAUGAUGCUAGAGAUGCUAUGCCUGAUACUGCUAGAGAUGCUAUGCCUGAUAUUGCUAGAGUUGCUAUGCUUGAUACUGCCUUGCCCGAUGAUGCUAGAUAUGCUAUUUUUCCUGAUGAUGCUAUGCUUGAUACUGCUACAGAUACUACUUUGCCUGAUGUGCCACUAGGGGCAUUCCUUGAUGCUCAUAUUGCAAGAGUUACUGCCAAUUCUCGUGAUGCUUCUGAAACUGCCAAUACUAUUGAGAUAGAACCUGCUUUUGCUCCUGCUAGAUCUAGCUCUCCUAGAUAUGAAUUGCCUGAUAUACCAGAGGGUUAUGUUAUGGAGGGAGAGAUAGCUGAGGAUUUUCUUGCGUGUAAGGAUGCCUAUGACGCUGAGAAAUCACUUCUCAAGUGGAAGGAAAAAUCUCUGAAAGCUAGGAUGAAAUACGACCCAAAGUUUGCCACUUCACCUAUCUUUAUCACCGAUGAGGAUUAUGAAUUCUCUGUCGACCCUGAGAUAAUCUCUCUAUAUGAAUCUGAUCCUUUCCACAGUUAUGAGUCUGAGACGGUCGUAGCCCAUCUUACCAAACUACACGAUAUAGCCACCCUUUUCACUAGUGAGGAGAAGAUCCGCUACUACUAUAUCCUUAAGUUAUUUCCUUUCUCUCUAAAGGAUGACGCUAAAGCCUGGUUCACUUCUCUUGCUCGUGGAUGUGUGAGUAGUCCCCAGGAGAUGGUCUAUUACUUCUGUGAGAAAUAUUUCUCUUCCCAUAAGAAGCAAGCUGCCUUGUAGGAAAUAUACAACUUUGCUCAACACAAAGAAGAGAGUCUCCCACAAGCUUGGGGGAGGCUCAUCCAGCUACAGAAUGCUUUGCCUGAUCACCCUCUUAAGAAGAACGAGAUACUUGAUAUCUUCUAUAACGGACUUACCGAUGCUUCUAGAGACCACCUAGAUAGUUGUGCCGGUUGUGUUUUUAGGGAACGAACUAUAGAACAAGCUGAGAUCCUACUGAAUAACAUCUUGAUCGACGAUAAUGCUUGGACUAUUCCCGAACCACCUCCUAAGCCAACUCCGAAGAAAAUAGGUAUUCUAUUCGUCAGUCCUGAAGAUAUGCAAGAAGCCAAGAAAUCUAUGCAAGAGAAAGGCAUUAGAUCUGAAGAUGUCAAAAAUCUACCGCCCAUCGAAGAGAUCCAUGGUCUCGAUAAUCCGAUACAGGUAGUAGAAGUAAAUUCUCUGUGUAGGUUUGAUGAGAGUGAUAUUCCUUUUGACAAACCUGCUAGCCUAUGCUUUGAUGAAUUUGACAACUUUGUUGCCAAACAACAGAGUUUCAAUGAUUAUGUUAGCAGACAAUUGUAACAAAGUACUCGUAUGCUUAGUCAUUUAAGUGCUUGUGUAGACAGAAAUGUCAAUGAUCUGAAGCUUCUGAGUAAACAUGCCUCUAUGAUUACUAAUCAGGUAGAACAAGUACUUAAAGCUUAGAAUGACUUGCUCAAUGAAUUAAAUGACAAAUCUGUCAGAGUCAUUACUAGAGGAGGCAAAAUGACUCAGGAACCUUAGUAUCCUGAAGGCCAUCCUAAGAGAAUUGAUCAAGAUUCUCAAGGAAUUAAUGCUGAUACACCCACUCAUCCUAAGAAGAAGAAGAAGGAUGAUAGAAACCUACAUGUCAAUUCACCAAAUACCGUCACACCUGAAGAACCAAAUGAUAUUUCUGCGUCUGAUGCAGAAACACAAUCUGGUGACGAACAUGAACCUGGUGACAAUAUGGACAGCGAUGUUCAUAAUAAUGCUCAACCUAGCAAUAAUGAGGAUGUAGAGAUUGAACCUACGGUUAAUCCUGAUAACCCACAACCUAAUAGAUACGAUAAGAAUGACUUCACUGCUAGGAAUCAUGGUAAAGAAACGGAGUCAUGGGUUCAGAGACCUAUGCCCUUUCCUCCUAAGCCAUCCAAGAAAAAGGAUGAUGAGGAUUUUGAGUGCUUUAUUGAAAUGAUAAGACCCGUCUUUCUGCAGAUGCGGUAAAUUGAUAUGCUCAAAAUGUCUCCAUAUACCUUGCUCCUAAGAAACAUGGUGAUCCCGGAGUGCCCACUAUACCUUGCUCCAUUAAAGGAAACUACGUAAGAACUGCCUUAUGUGACCUUGGAGGUGGUGUUAGUGUUAUGCCUCUCUCCCUUUAUCGUAGACUUGAACUGGAUAAGUUGACACCCACUGAAAUUUCUCUGCAAAUGGCCGACAAAUCAACUGCUUUCCUUGUCGGCAUUUGCAAGGAUAUGCCUAUUGUGGUUGCUAACACCACUAUCUUAACAAACUUUGUUAUCUUGGAUAUUCCCGAGGACGAUGCCAUGGCUGUCAUCCUUGGAAGACCCUUUUUAAACACUGCAGGGUCUGUUAUAGAUUGCUACAAAGGCAAUGUCACCUUCCAUGUCAAUGGUAAUGAGCAUACAGUGCACUUUUUGAAGAAAUGAUAUCAAGUACAUUGCAUCAAUGCUAUCGAAAAACUUCAUCGAUUCUUAUUGGGAGCUUUGAAUGCCCUAUUCCCCGUGUCAAGAUGAAGUAUGAUUUGCUUGUUGGGGAGAUACAUAUCCCCAUUGAGGUGACCUAGUGACUAUUCAAAAAUUCUCCGUUCUCUUUUGCGAUUCGAGAAAAUUUUGUCAUGAGGAUUUGAUAAACCCCAUUGACGGAUUUCUUUCGAUGACCAUGAAAUGGAUGAAUCAAAGAGUUACAUGCCUCUGUUUUAAGCUUUUACUUUCUGUUGCUUAGAAGAAAAAUGAUAGAUUUAGUUUAGUUUUCCCUAUUUCCUGUUUUAGCGUCCCGGAGAAAAGUACCCCAAAAAUAAAAUUUCUCCGAUGGUCCUGAAAAUCAAAUAUGAUUUUUUCUGGAAUAUUUGAAAAAUACUGGGACUGAGAGCUGGCCUGGGGGCCACACCAGUGGGCACAAGCCCUGUCACUGCGGCCUCCCCCCUGGCCGCGGCAACCAAGCUUGUGGGGCCCACAGGGACCCCCUCCACUCAUUCCAGCUCCCAUCCUCUUCUUCUACCUCCAGAAAAAAUCGUUUCACAGCUCAAACCCGUGUUCUUGCUCAUUUGGCUGUGAUUUUCGAACUCCUUGCUCAAAGCACCAUUCUCCGAACCGUUUUGGGGAAAUUACUCCUUGGUAAGUGACUCCUCCAUUGGUCCAAUCAGUUUCUACUCUAGUGCUUUAUCCUUACCGUAUUCUUGCUACCUUGGUGACCCUGUUCUUGAGCUUGAAAUGUUGGUUUUAGCUGGUCCCAAGCAGUUUUAACGCGUGAUACGGUCUCUAGGCAUUAGUAGGAGUAGUUGCUACAAGGUGUGGUUGGUCUUUAUUCACUUUUCUCUUGAACUUCAAAAAUUUCAGCAAAAAUAAAUUAUGUUCAGGAGGAAGUUUCAUGGUGGUUCCUCAAGUAAGAAGGGUCCCCGUCUUUCUAUUCGGGAGCCCGAUCCUUAUCAACUAAGAUAAGCACCGGUACAACCAUGUGAAUGGCCUUCCGAUGAGUUCAUGAUCGAAGCAGGCUUCAAGGAUGAGUUUGAUACACUUGUCUGCAAUGUCGGGUUAGAAGAAUUCCUCUCAAAUAAAUGUGAACAGUAUGCUUUGCUCACUGCCUCUUUCGUGUGUAGAUUUAAAUUUUUAGUUGGGCGUGACUCAUCCAUACCGUUUGACCUGUAUGAUAAAUCCUACGCCAUGGAUUUGGAGGAUUUCAAUAGGAUUUGCAAGAUACCCGAUGGGGGAAAUCUUAAAGAUCCUGCUAAGUCUUCGGUUAGAGAUUUUGUCUCUAGUAUAACUGUUGGAGAAACUAGAGACAUCACGCAAGCUACCAUAGGAAGCAUUCAUUUCCCUGGCUUGCACUACUUUUCCCUCUUCAUAGGUAAUGCAUUAACGGCAAGGUUGAACAUUGUCACCUAUGCGCAUCCGACCUUAGUAUCCUUAAGAGCGCAGUGACGGGUGACAAAAGCUUCAACAUGGGAGCUAUUAUAGCAAGGAGGAUGAAUAAGAAUGCUAUUGAUGGGGAUUUCUUUGGCGGCAUCUAUGCCACUUGCAUAGCAAAUUUUCUUGGAGUACCCAUCCGCGCAGGAGAUCCCCCGCUCCAUACAGCUUUCCUUGACCACGUCGCUAUGACACGCUACCAGUUCCUUGAGAGGGAUGAUGAAUCCCUCCUAUACCGAUUGAUAUUUAACCGGCAACGUGUUUUCCAUAUUACCCUUCCUGCUCCUGCUUUGUUUGACUUUCAGGUAAAACGGAGAUACUACAUAACCAUAGGAGAGGCAUAGGAGUAUGAGAGGGAGGCGACGGCUGCUCGUCUCUGUGAGGCAACUAUUUAGGCAGUGGCUGCAGCGCUCCCGUAUAACCCCGAUUAUGAUUUUGGGUUUUGCCAGGACCGUCCUUGGGAGUAGACCAAGCGAGGCCAAAAGCCUAAGCUUGGGGGAGUACGUGUUUGCACCAACUUUACAUUCAAGCUUAUGCUUUCACUUUGUUAGUCAGUGUUUACACUUUGCCACUGUAUUAUCCAUGCUAGUUUAUUUUCGUUUUCUUGUUUUGUGUCAUUUUGAGAAAACCCAAAAGUAUUUUUCUUUCUUCUUUUGCUUGCUGGGAGCUUUCUCGUGUAAAUAGUUUUCUUUUUCUUUGUGUCAAGGUAGAAGAUAUUGGUUACAAUGUUUAGUGGUUCUUGCAUGCAUACCUGUUUAGCUUUCAAAGAGCCAUAUUACUUUGUCUUCUCCUUUGUGUUUGCCUGCAGAUUCAGCUUAGUCCAAUGCACGAGAACUCUUAUUAUUGUUCACUUCGUUCGAUCGUGCAAGUGAAAGACAAUAAUGAUGAUAUAUGAUGAAGUGACUGAGACUNUUUUUGUCCUUUGAGAAAACCCAAAAAGAUUUUCCUUUCUUCUUUUGCUUGUUGGGAGCUUUCCGUGUAAAUAGUUUUCUUUUUCUUUGGGUCAAGGUAGAAGAUAUUGGUUACAAUGUUUAGUGGCUCUUGCAUGCAUACCUAUUUAGCUUUCAAAGAGCCAUAUUACUUUAUCUUCCCCUUUGUGUUUGCCUGUAGAUUCAGCUUAGUCCAAUGCAUAAGCACUCUUAUUAUUGUUCACAUCGUUCGAUCGUGCAAGUGAAAGGAAAUAAUGACGAUAUAUGAUGAAGUGACUGAGACUGGAAAAGCUCGUAUGAACUCUAUCUAUUUUGUUUUUGUAAAUAUGGCUAGCUUGUCGUUCCAGAUUCAGCUUUGUUGAGAGAGAACCAUGUUUGCAAAAACAACUUAGAGAUCAUAGUUUUGGAUUCCAUGCUUAAUUAGCUAGGAGCUUAUAAUGGUUUGUCUUGAAUGCCAACAUGGAUUUUGAGAUGACUAUAAUGUAGUAUGAUAGGAUGGUAUUCUCCUUUGAAUGAUUCAAGUGGCUUGACUUGACGCAUGUUCAUGCAUGUAGUUGAAACAGAAUCAACAUAGCCUAUAUGAUGUUCGUGUUCAUGGUGAUUUAUAUCCUAUUCAUGCUUGCACCCAAUGUUAGUCAAACUCAUUGCAUCUUGAUGACUGUUGUCGCUCUCUAGUUGGUCGCUUCCCAGUCUUUUGCUAGCCUUCACUUGUACUAAGAGGAAUACUGCUUGUGAAUCCACUUCCAUAAACCCAAAAGUUUUUUCAUGAGAGUCCACCAUACCUACCUAUUUGCGGUAUCUACCUGCCGUUCCAAGUAAAUUUGCAUGUGCCAUUCUCUAAACCUUCAAGAAAUUUUCUAUUUUGCUUGCCCGAACCGCUCAUGUGGUGACAGGGGGCUAUUGGUAUCUUCCAUGUUAGGCGUGUUAUCCUCGACAUGUGUUUAUUCACUGUCAUUCACGAGAAAGGGGUCGGUAAUUGGAAUCCCAGUUCCACGCUUAAAUCGAAAACAUAACUCUAAAACAAGACUCCCCCCGGAUUGAUGUUAGUAUGGACGGUACCCGAGGAUUGGUUGGUGGUGGGGGAGUUAAAACUUUACUUUUCUGUUUGGGAACCGCCUAUAGCAUUAGUAGCAUGGAAGAUAUUGAGAACUCUUGGUCAUUGCGUUGACAAUGAAAGCAUGCCACCCAAAAUUAUUAUCUCUGUUUUCAAAGCUUGAGCUCUGGCACCUCUGCAAAUCAAUGCUUCCCUCUGCGAAGGGCCUGUCUAUUUAUUUUCCUAUUGAGUCAUCCUCUUCUUAUGUAGAGAGCACCUCUGUCAUUUUUAUGCUUUGCUUGUGAUUGAUAUUGAGUAUGAAUAUGAAUGGAUUUUCGUUGCUAUGAAUUACAAUGUUUAGUCAGCCCUUGAUCUUUGAAAGUGCUCUGCAUUUAUGUUUUGCGGUCUCAGAAAGAGCUAGCGAGAUAUCACCUAUUCAUAUUGCUUCAUGCUUGUUUUGAUUGAAUUGUUGGUAUCCAAAACUCAUUAUUAUUUGCUCGCUAGCUGAUUAUGCCAUUAAUAUUAGUUCACCGUGAGACCUUUGUGUCACUUGCUUAUGUGGUUAACUUGUGAUCUUGCUGAAAUUCUGGUUAUGAGUUAGACAUAGUUGCAACAACAAGAUCAGACAGAGUUUGUCAAAGUUUUUCUUUCUCUCUCAGUUUGUCAACUGAGUUGCUUGAGGACAAGCAAGGUUUUAAGCUUGGGGGAGUUGAUACGUCUCCAUCGUAUCUACUUUCCCAAACUCUUUUGCCCUUGUUUUUGGACUCUAAUUUGCAUGAUUUGAAUGGAACUAACCCGGACUGACGCUGUUUUCAGCAGAAUUGCCAUGGUGUUGUUUUUGUGCAGAAAUGAAAGUUCUCGGAACAUCCUAAAAAUUUACAAAGAAUAUUUCUGGAAAAUUUGAGAAAUACCUGCGCAAAGAUCCACCGGAGGGGACGGGCCAGUGGGCCACAAGCCCUAACGCCGCGGCCUCCCCCCUGGCCGCGGCAACCAAGCUUGUGGGGCCCACGUGGCUCUACCGCCCCCAACUCGAGCGCUAUUAUUCCCUUUCGUCCCGAAAAAAAUCAAGAGAGAAGAUUUCAUCGCGUUUGCAACACAGAGGCGCCGCCACAUCCUGUUCUUCAUCUGGUGGGCAGAUCUGGAGUCCAUUUUGGGCUCCGGAUCAAGGAGAUCGUCGCCAUCGUCAUCAUCAACCUUCUUCCCUCUCCAAUUCCAUCUAGCUCUUCAUCAUUCCUGAGUAAUCUAUUCGUAGGCUCGCUGGGCGGUGAUGAGUAGGAUGAGAUCUAUCAUGUAAUCGACUUAGUUUUGACGGGGAUUGAUCCCUAGUAUCCACUAUGUUCUGAGAUUGAUGUUGCUACUACUUCGCCAUGCUUAAUGCUUGUCACUAGGGCCCGAGUGCCAUGAUUUCAGAUCUGAAAUUAUUAUGUUGUCACCAAUAUAUAUGUGUUCUAGAUCCGAUCUUGCAAGUUGUAGUUAGCUAGUAUUUGUUAUGAUCCGGCAACCCCGGAGUGACAAUAACCGGAACCACUCCCGGUGAUGACCAAAGGUUGAGGAAUACAUGUGUUCACCAAGUGCUAAUGCGUUGGUCCGGUUCUUUAUUAAAAGAAGAACCUUAAUAUCCCGUAGUAUCCAUUUGGACACCGCUGCCACGGGAGGGAUGGACAAUAGAUGUCAUGCAAGUUCUUUUCCCUAAGCACGUAUGACGACACACAUAAUGCAUGCCUACAUCACAUUGACGAACGGGAGCUAGCCACAUAUCUCUCCGUGUUAUAACUGUUGCAUGAUGAAUGUCAUCCAACAAAUCACCGAUCCAUUGCCUACGAGUUUGUCCCACUGCUGUUGUUACUUGUUUUGCUCUGCUGCUGUUACUACUGUUGCUCCUACUAUUACUUGCUGCUAGUGUUACUUGCUUUGUCCUGCUGCUGCUGCCACUACUUUUGCUACUACUGUUACUUGCUACUGUUGUUACUUGCUACUGUUGCUACUUGCCACUGCUUCACUACUGCUGUUCCUUGCCACUGCUGCUACUCGUUACACUGCUACUACCUGCUACAAUAAUUUUUCUAGCACCGUUGCCGGGAAAGAAUAUUUCCCAUCCACGGGCAACUUACUGGCGCCAUUGAAACAACAGUUAGGAAUAGUCUGCCGUCAACAGAUCGUUUCUGGCACCGUUGUUAUCAUACUACUUUGCUACUGAUACUUUGCUUGCACACACUAAUCUUUCAGGUGUGGUUGAAUCUGACACAUUCAGCAUCUUAUACUUGAGAAUAUUCUUUCACUUCCCAUCGUGCGAACCAACAAAUUUGGGUUGACUACUCUACCCUCGAAAACUGCUGCGAUCCCACGCGCUGGUGGGCUAUUGCAAGACAAUUUCUAAUUGUUGAGCAACUGGAAGCAGCUCUUUUCUGGCUCCGUUGCCGUGGAGGCAUCAAGUCAGGAAUAGUUGCACAUCAACAGUCCCUCACACUCAAAUCCCUCCACAACAAUAGAAGCUAUGGAAGGAAAUGAGAGGAAUAAUGAAGGAUCUCACAAAGAACUCCAAGAUCUAGAUCCAAGGGGUUCCCCUCACAAAGAGGAGAAAGUGAUUGGUGGAAAUGUACAUCUAGAUCUCCUCUCUCUUUUCCAUCAAGAACUAGCAAGAAUCAUUCGAAAGAUUGAGAGUUAGCAAGCUUAAAGAAGGACACAAUGGAGGAAGAAAAUGAGCUCAAGAGUGAGGGACCAUUGGGGAAGAAGGACUCCUCAAUUAGACAUCCCAAAAUCCAACAUGCCCACAAGUCGUGCUCAAGCGGUACUACCGCUUGGGGGAAUUGGUACUAUCGCUUAUCACGGUCAAAACAGCCCAACGAGAUAGAAAAACACGAGUGGUAGUUCUGCCAAAGAGGUAGUACCGCUCGGGGGAGAGGUAGUACCUCUUAAGAGGUACUACUGCUCCGUGCCUGGGGUAAAGGUAGUACCACUUGAGAGGUACUACCUUUCUGUACUACCCCUCUACUAUCGUUGAAGAAGAUUGGACACCAGAAUCAGAAAAUAAGCGGAAGUAGAAGUGGUAAUGGUCAGCAGAAGUACCUCUUAAGAGGUACUACCGCUUGAGAGGUACUACCGCUUAAAGCAGUACUUAAGACCAACGAAAACUGAAACCUGCAUAACUGUCGGAUAGAGACUCCAAAAUGAGCAAGCUCAAGCUUGUUGGAUAGAUUACUGAUGGCACUCUCUGGCUAUGGCUAGACGAAUGCUAUUCUCGAUUGCUCAACAAUUAGAAAUUGUCUUGCAAUCACUACAAGGAAUAUGCUAAUACACGACGCUAUUUUUUCGUCGCUACAUCGUCAUGGUUUUUAAUUUACGACGAUCUCACGACGAAAACCAAGCGUCGAAAACGGAGCGUCACAAAUGAACAGCAACGACGUUUUGAUUAAAAUCGUCGUAACUUUUACGACGAUUCCUGGAUUGUCGUAAACUUUACGACGAUCCUAAAUCGUCGUUGGCAAUCAAACUCAGUCCUACGUGGCAGUCCUACGUGGCAAAAUUACGACGAAAUCAAAACAUCAUGGUUGAAAUCAGCCCAACCCAUUUCAAUUGAUCACAUGGGCUGGUUUUAAUUAUUUGGGUUUUUUCUUAUUGGGCUUGUUUUUGGGCCUUAGCCUAUUUGCAGCCACUUCUAGUAUUUUUUCAAUUUUUUUUAUAUCAUCAUAAUUUGGGCCAUGGCCUUUUAGAUCCCAAAUAAAUUUGGUCCAGUUUCAGUUUUGGCCCUUUUUCAUUUUUGAAUUCAGCAACUUUUUGUUCCAUAAUUUGGAUUCAUUUCUAUUUGCUGGGCCUUUUCAACCCAAUUAUUUGUCCAGUAUUAAAUCCAACACUAUUUCAUAUUGAAAUCAAGAAAACUUCAAGUCGAAUUAAAAUCAUCCAUGAUAUAACAUCACAAAAUACAUAUCCCAAGUUUACAUAUCACAAUAAACCAUCUCAUGAAAACAUUUCCUUACACAUGAAUAUAGCAAGAACGAACAAAAUUACACAAUAGAACAAUCGCACAUCUUUUACUGUCCCAACAGUACAGUGGACUUCAUUCCGCUCUCCUAUGAGGCAUGCUCGAGAUGCCACAACUUGUCAAUCUAUAAGAACAUUACACUUCACAUGAAUCAAUCAAAAGGAAACAAAUAUAAAAAAUAUUAGAAAUAAAAAGAUUUAUUUUCAUCCUAAAGAUGAUGUUAAAAAUCCUGAGAUAUAAAUUCUCGAGUAUAAUUAGUCCAACCUAAACAGGUCAGAGAAACUGAAAAUUAAACUUCAAACUAUCUAAGAUUGUUCCAGGAAAUUCUGGACAAAGGAAAUGCAGACAAGCAAACUUAAUAUCUUUAUGGUAUUUUCGCUUUACUAGAGGAAUUUAAGCACCGACACAAGUAGGAGUCAAUGACACAACAAUUAGCAGACAUGUAAGAUAAUACAAAACAAGCUACUCCACGUUACUGUGAUAACCAAGUGCAAACCAGGGUGUAAGAAUAUUAGCCCAAAAAAUCCUUUGGGCAACAUACAUCACUAAAUUACGCUAUCAAUAAGUGCACCAGAGACUCUAAUUUAUUACCUUCAGAAGUUUUAGAUCGAAUCAAAUGAAAACAUGAAAAGGGACUACCAAAGAGCAUUAUUGAUUUAGAUAGAGCUUUGAUGCUGAGUUGAUUUCUCGUGUCAACUGGGGUAAUUCUUUAGCCAGAUUGGAGAAAGGAAACCUGACUAGCACUCAAAAUAUUAACCAGAAGACAAUAGUAAAACAUAAAAGAUGGAUCAGAUUUCCGGCUUUUAAUCCUGAUGGGAUUACAUUUGCGCAUUGUAUACUCAUAGUCGAUAAUUUGGGGACAGUAUCCUCGGGUCCAUAUAACCCAAGGAAAAAAGCAAUUGGUCAUCACAGUAAGUGCAGAAACGUGGUAUGGAUAUGAUAUCAUCACUUCUCACAACAAACAAAAAAUGGUGUAGGAGUUUCUAUUUAUUUAAGACAAGACAACUAUACAGCAUCCAUGACAGAAUGUGUUGCUUACUAGACAUUCAGAAUAAGUAGAGAUACAAAAACAUGACUUCAGAUGCCGAAUAUGCACAGUUUAAUAAUAUACAGUAUCAUGAGACACCUAACAAGUGUUGAUCAUCACUGAUGAAUCAACCACAGAAACCAGCUGCAGAAAGAACAAUAUAGUUGAUAUGUGUAAACGGGGUAUAGUAACAGGAAGCUCCUUCUAUGAGAGCAGCCAGUGUCACAAAAACAUGUUUCCUUCUUGAUGUCUGCCAAUCUAACGAGAAACAAGGCCAUGAAAGCAGACCAAGCAUCAGAUACCUCAUGGCAUCCCAAAUACCACUAUCCAAACAAAAUUUAGUUCAGUGCUAAGAUAUGUAUGGACAAGUUGAAUGCAAAAACCAUCUCAAAGAAUGGUUCGUGCUAGAAUCUUAACCCAAAGUAUCUCUAGGCAACGUACAGCGCUGAAUUACACUACCAAGAAGCGGACCUCAGUACUCAACCUUAAAGCUGAUAAAAAUUUAGCAGAGUAUACCAAAAGAUGAAGGGGAACACUCAGCGUUUCAAAAAAGAAGGCAGCAUCAAAUACUAUAGUAAUUAUUAUUGGACAUGAUAUAGUAAGGUACUUUCACUGGUUAUUGACUGUUUUCAGUUUUCACUAAGCAUAAGUGCAUAAUAUGGAAACAAUAUAAGAGAAACCAUACACCCUCGGAUAUUAAGCUAUUCCAAGUAUGUGAGGUAUACAACUUAUAGGAGCUUACAUGACAUUCGAACCGAUAGUCCCAACGCCCAGAGCAAUGUUCUUCGAGGAAUCUAGGUGUUCUUGUUUAUUCUCUGUAAUAUCUGAUCUCGAUAACCUUUUCUUCUUCCCUCUACUGAUUAAAAAUAGAAGUAAUUAAUCCCAGUCCAAUGUGUUGAGGGAAGAAAAACAUAGCGUGUCAAAAAAGAAGGCAGCAUCAAGUACUAUAGUAAUUACUAUUGGAGAUGAUAUAGUAAGAUACUCUCACUGGUUAUUGACUGUUUUCAGUUUUCACUAGGCAUAAGUGCAUAAUAUAGAAACAAUAUAAGAGAAAACAAAAGUAGUUAGUCCUAAUAAAAUUAUUUCACAUAUUUGUGGCAUGUUCACUCUCAGUUCUUAGGAAGGGAAAAUGCAACCUAGAAUCCUAAAUUCGUUGCAUAUUUUGCCUAUGAUGAAACUAAGAAAAACUAACUUGACAAUACAUGCUAUGGACUGUAGUCUACAGAAUAAAUGACAUACAAGAUUAAAUAAUAUGAUUCUAUUUUGCAGAAGCAGCUGUUUUUUCAUACAUCCCAUGGCAUUUCUGUCGUAAUCACUAGCAACUUCAAAUAGAGUUAAGCAAAAAAUAUCAACAUUCUUUAUUGAUUUCGAUUACAUGCAAAUAAGUAAAAAUGCCCUACUCUACCAAUAAGACAUAAGUAAAGAGCUGACAACACUAGACUGUACAACUACACAAACACAUGAGGUGCUUCUAAGACAAAAAAUAAACCUGAAUUUAGUGUGAGGACUAGCCAAUCCAGAAAGUAAAAAACGCAUUACUGAACAGUCACAGUUUCCAAAACACUAGCCAAUCCAGAAAGUAAAAAACACAUUAGCAAAACUGCAGGACAACAGAAAGGAAGAGUUAAUUUGUGUAGGUGACUGAACAAUACUAUUCAUCUGGACAACAGAAAACUGAUCACCAAAUCCUUUUCAGACAACUAAUUCAUCAAAAGGAACAUGACAUAUCAGGUACUAGUUCACAUAGGACACUGAAUUUGGUAAACUGAAAUAUACCCAACAAAAUACCGAGCACAAACAACAUGUUUUAAUAAUCAUAUUCAGUUAGGGGAAGCAAGUUGGCAGACAUUUCUACAUUAGAAUGUCCACGACUAACAAAACAUUCAUGGUAACACAAAAGGCACAAUCCGGCGAAGUGUUGUAAAUUCCCUUGUAUCCGAGUGGCACAAAUCUGCCUAUUUAUGAAGUAAAUCUAGGCCGGAAUUCCUAGAAUCUCGAACCCCCGAAGUCGCUGAAUAACCAAUUUAUUAGCAGAUCCAAUGGGCUAAACUUGUGAAGUACUAGUAACAUCUAUCUAAACGCUGUCCCAGGUAACAACAGAUCCGGAAAAUCUCUAGUUGGGACGUGUCCCGCUUACUUGAGGUAGUCAUCCUUGAAGAGGUCUUCCCUGUCAUCUUCCUCCUCGUCGCGGAUAACGGUGGCGCUGUCGUCCUCGGGGAGCACAUUAAGGUCGACCUCUGCCUCGCCAUCGUUGUCCGAGUAGGAGGAUGGGUCGGUGGCGCCGUGGCUGGUGGUGGUGUUGGGCGGCAGCCAGUCGGUGUUGAAACCCAGCGAGCCGGGGGUCGACGGCGCGUUCUUCUCCGAGUCGUCCUGGGAAAAUCAAAUCAACCGACGGAAACGUCAGAUCCGGAGGCGGGAAGCAAUUCAACAAGUUAAACCAUCUAUUAAAAAAAUGAAAACCACGCGAAUUUAACAUGUAAAGAUCUAGCUCGAAGAACAAUAAUAUAUAGGUCAUAUGAAUGAUGGUUCAAAUGCAUUCAACACUUCAAAUUACUACUACUACAACUGUCCGCAAAAUUAUAGAAACUUGGCAUAUACCGCAAGCAUUUCUCUUGCACUCAGUCAGGGGAUCGACUUCCAGGUUCCAGCUAGUAGGAGAUUUUCAGUAGAUAAUUUCGAGGCCACUAUCUAAGAAAUUUCAUUAAGUGAUUUCUCUUGUUACUAAACCUACUACACUAUAGCUAGCUCACUAAGAAUUCGUACAAGCAAUCUUGUUACUAAACCUACUACACUAUAUGUCUUGUCAUUCCUGUCCUAGUUUUCAGUGUCAGGAGACUUUUACUAACUUAUGAACAGCAACUGCCACUAUUGACUUCGCCAAAUCAAUAAUUACAAUCACAAGAUCGACCAGGAAACACAGAUUUCAUGCAAAAGACACGGAAUUCAGCAACUAAAAUCCUCCAUGAACAAAGAUAUAGCAGUUGAAACAGUCCAAAUCAUUCAUGCAGUUCCUCACAAGAAAUCAAAUCAUAUGGAGGAUGGAUGGAGAGGCCUCCAUGCAUGCAUGUACGCUUCUUCUUCUUGGUCGCAGCGGGCGGGGAGGAGGUUCCCGCAAUCACGAGCUGUAGAUCGCCCUCGUAUUCACCAAUCUCCGGCGGGCUUCCGGCUAGUUACGGUGGCUUCCCGUGGUAUGGCAGCCAGAACUCCUCUCCCACAACCUCUGUUGUGCUGCUCACGGAAGGGAAGGGGUUUGGUUGGUGGUGGUGUUGGGCGGCAGCCAGUCGGUGCUGAAACCCGGCGAGCCGGGGGUCGACGGCGCAUUGUUCUCCGAGUCGUCCUAGGAAAAGCAAAUCAACCGAUGGAAACGUCAGAUCCGAAGGCGAUUGCUGAGCGUGGCGGCGGCGGCGAGAGGAGGGAGAUGGGGGAGAUGGUCGCUUACCAUCCGCGGGCCCCGAGAAGGCUCUUGUGGAGGGGGCGUGUGGUGGCGAGAUGAGGCUAGGGUUUCAGCAGGAAGGGGGGAAUGGUGGGGAGAGACGGUGUUUCGGUGGGAAGGGGGGAAUGGCUAGGGUUUCCGACGGCGGCGCGGUUCGGUGGCUGGGGCGAGAGGGGAGACGGCGGUGCGGAGUGGGGCAGGGCAACGGGCGACGGAGAUGGGGGAGAAGGGGCGCCGUGGGAGAGAGAGCGAGGGGGCGAUGGGGACACGGGACGAGGGGGCUUUCCCCUCGUCGAUGGGGUGGCGGCGUGGGGUGGAGUGGGAGUGAGGUUGUGGGUCCAUUUAGGGUUAGAUGGAGGUUAGGUGGGCUGGCUUGGGUCGGGCGAUUUGGGCCAAGGGGGUUUUCUUUCCGCCUUUUUAUUAUUUGUUUCUGUUUUUAUUUCAUUUUUUAACAGCUUUAGUUUUAUUUUAUUUUAGUGCAAUGAAAUCUCUUAAAAUUAAUAAUUCUUAAAGGAAAAUUCUCCUAGGUAAUAUCGGACACAUCCGAACAUUUUUAUUUUGACAUUCAAAAACUUUUAUUGCUUUAUUUUAUUUUUAAAUUCAUUUUCAAACUGUUUGAACUAAUGCAAGAUCAACAAUAGAAAUCACGGUGACGUGGCAACAUUAGUGUGGAAUCACUGUAGCUUAAUUACAUAGGUUACUGUAGCAACAAUUGAGGAUAUCACGUCGACCUCCACCGAGCCCUCCAUCGACUGUGGACGGCUCAGAUUGGAUAUAGUGGGGUAAUCCAUGAGAAUAGUUAUCAUUGGUUGGAAACAUCUACAAUUUAAAAUACUAGUUUCUAAGUGGUAAAAAUAUUGAGGGAAACUGGCGGAACUAAAUGAGCUAAAAUUUGGUGGAGUGAGGUUAUAUGGUCAGUUUCAUCCCGUGGUAAAAUUUCAUCAACUAUAAAUCAAUAUAAAAUGUACUUGCUUCACAAAAUUAAAAUAUUAGCACAAACAAAGAUUGAAUGAUGAGCUCACAUGGAUUGCUAGAUGGGGCUAAAAUUUUGUUGAGAACUAUGUUUUCGGCACAUAGAAGAUGUGGAAAAAAUUCAACUCAUCAGGAUAUUCCUAUCUAGUACUUCCUUCACAAAGCUAUUAGCUGAACACAAAUUUUGGAAAAUUUGUGAGAAAGAUUUACUAGGCAAAUCGUUACGAAAGUUUUCAUGAGGCAAUGAUUUGGAUAGGAAAGAGUGCGCAAAAAAUAUAAGGGUAAUCAAAGAAAUAGAAAUAGCACUUCCUUCACAAAAUGCUAUUUUGAACAGAGUAGGAAAAUGAAUAUUGCAGAAUUAUUUUUAAACUAUGGAAGGAAGGAUUUUUCACAUAUUUAAGGAAUAUAUGAUCCAAAGUAUUUAUGAGAAUUUUUUGAGAAUUUUUGGAAUGAUAGAAUAGUAGGUUGCUUCACAAACUAGGAUGAGGUGGGAUAGAAUGGACCCACGAGUGACAUGAUAGAAUAGUAGGAUGAGGUGACAUAGUUAGAACAUGUUACGACAUUUUUAUAAUCGUCGUAAAAGUUAUGACGAUCUCAUCUUAUGCGGUUACGACGUUUUUGACUCACAUCGUCAUAAUUUAUAUGUAGAUUUGAUCCCCUCAAACGGUUUACGAUGAUCUCGGAUGAAAUCGUCAUAGAAUUAUGACGAAUUCAUCAACGACAUCUAAAAAAACGUCAUGUAUGAGUAUAUUUCUUGUGGUGAAUGACCCACCAGCGCGUGGGAUCGAGGCGGUUUUCGAGGGUAGAGUAUUCAACCCAAAUUUGGUGAUUCGCCAAUAGGAAGUGAGAGGAUACUCUCAAGUAUUAGCAGCUGAAUGUGUCAGAUUCAACCACACCUGAAAGAUUAAUAUCUACAAGCAAAGUAACAACAACAAAGUAGUAUGAUAGCAACGGUGUCAGAAACAAUCUGUUGACGGCAGACUAUUCCUAACUGUCGUAUCAAUGGCGCCAGAAGUUGCCCGUUGACGGAAAUUGACUUUUCCCGUCAACGUCGAGCGAAUCAGAAUUGUAGCAGGUAGCAGCAGUGUAAUGAGUAGAAGAAGUGGCAAGGAACAGAAGUAGUGACAGCAGUAGCAAGUAGCAACAGUAGCAAGUAACAAUAGUAGCAAGUAGCAAAAGUAGCAAGUAACAGCAGAGCAAGUAACAGCAGCAGAGCAAAACAAGUAACAGCAGCAGUGGGACAAACUCAUAGGCAAUGGGUCGGUGAUUUGUUUGGAUGAUAUUCAUCAUGCAAGAGUUAUAACAUGGAGAGAUAUGUGGCUAACUCCUGUUCGUCAAUGUGAUGUAGGCAUGCAUUCCGUGUGUCGUCAUACGUGCUUAGGGAAAAGAACUUGCAUGACAUGUAUUGUCCAUCCCUCCCGUGGCAGCGGGGUCCAAAAGGAAACUACGGGAUAUUAAGGUUCUCCUUUUAAUAAAGAACCGGACCAACGCAUUAGCACUUGGUGAACACAUGAACUCCUCAAACUAUGGUCAUCAUCGGGAGUGGUUCCGGUUAUUGUCACUCCGGGGUUGUCGGGUCAUAACACAUAGUAGGUAACUACAACUUGCAAGAUCGGAUCUAAAACACACAUAUAUUGGUGACAACAUAAUAAUUUCAGAUCUGAAAUCAUGGCACUCGGGCCCUAGUGACAAGCAUUAAGCAUGGCAAACUAGUAGCAACAUCAAUCUCAGAACAUAGUGGAUACUAGGGAUCAAUCCCCGUCAAAACUAACUCGAUUACAUGAUAGAUCUCAUCCUACUCAUCACCGCCCAGCGAGCCUACAAAUAGAUUACUCACGAACGAUGAAGAGCUUCAUGGAAUUGGAGAGGGAAGAAGGUUGAUGAUGACGAUGGCGACGAUUUCCCCUCUCUGGAUCCCAAAACGGACUCCAGAUCUGCCCUCCAGAUGAAGAACAGGAUGUGGCGGCGCCUCCGUAUCGCAAACGCGACGAAAUCUUCUCUCUUGAUUUUUUCUGGGACGAAAGUGAAUUUAUAGAGCUAAGUUUGGGGGCGGCAGAGCCACGUGGGCCCCACAAGCUUGCUAGCCGCCACCUGGGGGUGGCGGCUACGGGGCUUGUGGCCCACUGGCCCAUCCCCUCCGGUGGAUAUUUGCGUAGGUAUUCCUCAUAUUUUCCAGAAAUAUUCACCGUAAAUUUUCAGGACGUUCUGAGGACUUUCAUUUCUGCACAAAAACAACACCAAGGCAAUUCUGCUGAAAACAGGGUUAGUCCAGGUUAGUUCCAUUCAAAUCAUGCAAAUUAGAGUCUAAAACAAGGGCAAAAGAGUUUGGCAAAGUAGAUACGAUGGAGACGUAUCAACUCCCCCAAGCUUAAACCUUGCUUGUCCUCAAGCAACUCAGUUGGCAAACUGAGAGAGAAAGAAAAACUUUGACAAACUCUAUUUGAUCUUGUUGUUGCAACUAUGUCUAACUCAUAACCAGAAUUUCAGCAAGAUCACAAGUUAACCACAUAAGCAAGUGACUAAAAGGUAUCACGGUAAACUAAUAUCAAUGGCAUAAUCAGCUAACGAGCAAAUAAUAAUGAGUUUCAAAUACCAACACUUCAAUCAAAACAAGCAUGAAGCAAUAUGAAUAGGUGGUAUCUCGCUAGCUCUUUCUAAGACCGCAAAACAUAAAUGCACAACACUUUCACAGAUCAAGGGCUGACUAAACAUUGUAAUUCAUAGCAACGAAGAUCCAGUCAUAGUCAUAGUCAAUAUCAAUCAAAAGCAAAGCAUAAAAAUGACAAAGGUGCUCUCUAAUUGGUGCUUAUACAAGAGGAGGAUGACUCAACAGGAAAAUAAAUAGACAGGCCCUUCACAGAGGGAAGCAUUGAUUUGCAGAGGUGCCAGAGCUCAAGCUUUGAAAAUAGAGAUAGUAAUUUUGGGUGGCAUGCUUUCAUUGUCAACACAAUGACCAAGAGUUCCCAAUAUCUUCCAUGCUACUAAUGCUAUAGGCGGUUCCCAAACAGAAAAGUAUAGUUUUAACUCCCCCACCACCAAUCAAUUACACUCCACGGCUAGCCAAAUCCUCGGGUACCGUCCAUACUAACAUCAAUCCGGGGGGGGGAGUCUUGUUUUACAGUUAUGUUUUCGAUUUAAGCAUGGAACUGGGCAUUCCAAUUACCUGCCCCUUUCUCAUGAAUGACAAUGAAUAAACACAUGUCGAGGAUAACACUCCUAGCAUGGAAGAUACCAAUAGCCCCCUGUCACCACAUGAGCGGUUCGGGCAUGCAAAACAGAUUAUUUCUGGAAGGUUUAGAGAGUGGCACAUGCAAAUUUACUUGGAAUGGCAGGUAGAUACCGCAAAUAGGUAGGUAUGGUGGACUCUCAUGGAAAAACUUUUGGGUUUAUGGAUGUGGAUGCACAAGCAGUAUUCCACUUAGUACAAGUGAAGGCUAGCAAAAGACUGGGAAGCGACCAACUAGAGAGCGACAACAGUCAUCAACAUGCAAUGAGUUUGACUAACAUUGAAUGCAAGCAUGAACACGAUAUAAAUCACCAUGAACACGAACGUCAUAGAGGCUAUGUUGAUUUUGUUUCAACUACAUGCAUGAACAUGCGCCAAGUCAAGCCACUUGAAUCAUUCAAAGGAGAAUACCAUCCUAUCAUACUACAUCAUAGUCAUCUCAAAAUCUAUGUUGGCAUUCAAGACAAACCAUUAUAAGCUCCUAGCUAAUUAAGCAUGGCAUCAGAAACUAUGAUCUCUAAGUUGUCAUUGCAAACAUGGUUCUCUCACAACAAAGCUAAAUCAGGCAUGACAAGCUAGUCAUAUUUACAAAAACAAAAUAGAUAGAGUUCAUACCAGCUUUUCCAGUCUCAGUCACUUCAUCAUAUAUCAUCAUUAUUGUCUUUCACUUGCACGAUCGAACGAAGUGAACAAUAAUAAGAGUUCUCGUGCAUUGGACUAAGCUGAAUCUGCAGGCAAACACAAAGGAGAAGACAAAGUAAUAUGGCUCUUUGAAAGCUAAACAGGUAUGCAUGCAAGAACCACUAAACAUUGUAACCAAUAUCUUCUACCUUGACACAAAGAAAAAGAAAACUAUUUACACGAGAAAGCUCCCAGCAAGCAAAAGAAGAAAGAAAAAUACUUUUGGGUUUUCUCAAAAUGACACAAAACAAGAAAACGAAAAUAAACUAGCAUGGAUAAUACAGUGGCAAAGUGUGAACACCGGCUAACAAAGGGAAAGCAUAAGCAUGAACGUAAGGUCGGUGAGAACACGCACUCCCCCAAGCUUAGGCUUUUGGCCUAGCUUGGUCUACUCCCAUGGAUGGUCCUGGCGAAACCCAAAAUCAUAAUGGGUGUUAUACGGGAGUGCUGCAGCCACUGCCUGAAUAGGUGCAUCACGAAGUCGAGCAGCCGUCGCCUCCCUCUCAUACUCCUCUGCCUCUCCUAUUGUUAUGUAGUAUAUUUGUUUUACCUGAAAGUCAAAGAAAGCAGGAGCAGGAAGGGUAAUAUGGAGAACACGCUACCGGUUAAAUAUCAAGCAGUAUAGGAGGGAUCCAUGAUCCAUCUCAAGAAACUGGUAGCGUGUUAGAGCGACACGAUCAAGGUAGGCUGUACGGAGAGGAGGGUCUUCUAAACGGAUGGACACUCCAAGAAAAUUUGCUAAGCGUGUAGCAUAAAUUCCACCAAAGAAAUCCCCCUCAAUGGCAUUAUUAUUCAGCCUCCUUGCUAUUAUAGCUCCCAUAUUGAAGCUCCUCUCACCUUUUACUGCACUCUUAAGGAUACUAAGAUCGGAAGNUAAUAUGGAGAACACGCUACCGGUUAAAUAUCAAGCAGUAUAGGAGGGAUCCAUGAUCCAUCUCAAGAAACUGGUAGCGUGUUAGAGCGACACGAUCAAGGUAGGCUGUACGGAGAGGAGGGUCUUCUAAACGGAUGGACACUCCAAGAAAAUUUGCUAAGCGUGUAGCAUAAAUUCCACCAAAGAAAUCCCCCUCAAUGGCAUUAUUAUUCAGCCUCCUUGCUAUUAUAGCUCCCAUAUUGAAGCUCCUCUCACCUUUUACUGCACUCUUAAGGAUACUAAGAUCGGAAGCGCAUAGGUGACAAUGUGCACCCUUGCCGUUAAUGCACCUACCUAUGAAGAAGGCAAAGUAGUGCAAGGCAGGGAAAUGGAUGCUUCCUAUGGUGGCUUGCGUGAUAUCUCUGGUUUCUCCAACAGUUAUACUGGAGACAAAGUAUCUCACCGAAGACUUAGAAGGAUGAUUAAUACUACCCCCAUUGGGUAUCUUGCAAAUCCUAUUGAAAUCCUCCAAAUCCAUGGCGUAGGAUUUAUCAUACAGAUCAAACAGUAUGGAUGAGUCAUGGCCAACUGAAAAUUUAAAUCUACGCACAAAAGAGGCAGUGAGCAUAGCAUACUAUUCACAUUUAUCUGAGAGGAAUUCUUCUAACCCGGCAUUGCGGACAAGUGUAUCAAAAUCAUACUUGAAACCUGCUUCGAUCAUGAACUCAUCGGAAGGCCAUUCACAUGGUUGUACGGGUGUGUCCCUUAGUUGAUAUGGUUCGGGCUCCCGAAAAGAAAGACGGGGACCCUUCUUACUUGAGGAACCACCAUGAAAAUUCCUCCUGAACAUAAUUUCCUUUUGCUGAAAUUUUUGAAGUUCAAGAGAAAAGUGAAUGAAGACCAACCACACCUUGUAGCAACUACUCCUACUAGUGCCUAGAGACCGUAUCACGCGCUAAAACUACUUGGGACCAGUGAUACGUCUCAAACGUAUCUAUAAUUUUUGAUGGUUUCACGCUGUUAUCUUGUCUUCUUUGGUUGUUUUAUGUACCUUUUAUAUCUUUUUUGGGACUAACUUAUUAAUUCAGUGCCAAGUGCCAGUUCCUAUUUUUUCCGUGUUUUUCACUCUUUUCAGAUCUGAUUUUGGAACGGAGUCCAAACGGAAGAAAAACCCCAAAAUGAUUUUUUCCCGAAAGGAAGAAGAUCAGGGGGGCCUUUGGGCCAAGCCAGGUGGGCUCUAGGGAGCCCAGAAGCACCCACUCUGCCACCAGGGGAGGCGGCGGUGGGCAGGCUUGUGGCCUCCCUGGCCGCCCCCUGACCUAGAUCUUUGGCCUAUAAAUUCCCAAAUAUUCCGCAAAAAAUUAGGGCAGCCUCGAAAAUACUUUUCCGCUGCCGCAAGCUUCCGUUUCCGCGAGAUCUCAUCUGAAGGCCCUUCCUAGCACCCUGCCGGAGGGGACUUUGGAGUUGGAGGGCUUCUUCAUCAUCAUCAUCGCCCCUCCAAUGACUCGUGAGUAGUUCACUUCACACCUACGGGUCCGUAGUUAGUAGCUAGAUGGCUUCUUCUCUCUCUUGGAUCUUCAAUACGAAGUUCUCCAUGAUCUUCAUGGAGAUCUAUCCGAUGUAAUCUUCUUUGGCGGUGUGUUUGUCGAGAUCCGAUGUAUUGUGGAUUUGUGAUUAGAUUAUCUAUGAUAUAUAUUUGAGUCUUUGUUGAUUUCUUAUAUGCAUGAUUUGAUAUCCUUGUAUGUCUCUCCGAGUCUUGGGUUUGUUUGGACAACUAGAUCUAUGAUUCUUGCAAUGGGAGAAGUGCUUGGUUUUGGGUUCUGCCAUGUGGUGACCUUUCCUAGUGACAGUAGGGGCAGCAAUUGCUCGACUUUGCGCGGUUCUAUCAAUUGCUCGACAGUAAUUUGUUCACCCACCGUCUAGUUGCUUUCAUGAGAGAAGCCACUAGUAAACACUACGGCCCCCGGGUCUAUUCACAUCCAUCGUUUACAUCUCCGCUUUUACUUUGCUUUGUUACUUUGUUGCUUUCAUUUCUCACUUGCCAAACAAUCUAUAAGGGAUUGACAACCCCUUCAUACCAUUGGGAGCAAGUUUUUGUGUUUGUGCAGGAUCUUGAGAUACUCCUCCACUGGAUUGAUACCUUGGUUCUCAAACUGAGGGAAAUACUUACCACCGCUACGCUACAUCACACAUUCCGCUUCGAGGGAACACCAACGCAAGGCUCCAAGUCCACGGGGGAAAUCCUUUGCAUACUUGACCAGGAAGUCCCUUAAGGCGUAGCUGCGGCAGAAAGAUCAAGCCAAGUAUUCUCCCGUCGACGUGCCUAUUUCUGGCGCCGUUGGAAGGUCUUUUGUUGCAGUAGCAGAAGUAUUUCUGGCGCCGUUGCGGGGGAGAAGAAAUCAAGAUCUAUCCAAGUAGGUCUCACAAACUCUUCUCUUGCAUUUACUUUUGUUGCCAGGUGCCUCUCGCUUUCCUCUCCCCCACUUCAAAUUUGUCGUUUUCAUUCGCCUUUCGUCUUCGCCGUUUUCUUUUGCCUUUGUCGGUUCUCUUGCUCGCUUGUGUGCCAUGUGCCUUCAAUAUGCUUGCAUCUUUGUUUGUUAAUAUCUUUAAGAGACCCACUUAUGUGGAACAAAUUGCUAGUGAGUAAAGGGAAAUUGACUAUUUCUAUGGAGUUUUUCUUAAGAUGCGUGAAUCUGAAAAUUGUGAGGAAGAAAUUCAUGAAGUGAUUCACGAGGGCUCCUUGGAUGAAAAGCAUGACUGCAAUGGUUUCAAUAUAAAUUCUAUUAGUGACAAUCAUGCUAAGAACAUGCAAAACCCUAAGCUUGGGGAUGCUAGUUUUGCUAUGACCACUACUUAUUGCAAUAAUCAUGAUUGGGGUGAUGAUCUUUCUUAUUAUCUUGAAAAUUUAUUCAAACCUCAUGAUGAAUGUGAUAUUUGCAGCAAUACUAAAAAUGGGAUUGGAGAAGUCAUGACUUUAUUUCAUGAUAUUCCCACUAUUUUUGAAGAGCGUCAACUUUGCAUGCAUGUGGAUCAUGAAAAGAAUAUCCUAUGGGGUAGCUAUAUUGUUGAAUUUGAAUAUGAUCCCACAUGUAAUUGCCAUGAGAGAGGAAAAUAUUUUGGUAGAAACUUUCAUUUUACCAAAUUACCUCUCGUUAUGUUGAGAUUGCUAUUGUCUCUUUCUUCUUCCUUGCAUAUGGCAACUAUUGGUUGUUAUCGUGGGUAUAAGUCUGACAGUAGAAGUACGGGGUACGAAAGUAUAUGGGCAGAGCCUUAGCUAUGGCUAGGAUGUAUGAGUUCAGGCCCCUCUACGGUGGAGGAAAAAGCCCUACGUCUCAGUGCUCUUGGGAGCUUUGUGUCGAGUGUAUUAAGGGAUUACUGCAAGUGCCAACCCCUGUACCAGUGGUGAAGGGCGGCUUAUAUAGAGUGCCCUCCCCUUCAUAAUGGUCCGGUGGACAUGGGUGGAGUAGGAGCGAGUAAAGGCUGGCGUUACUGGUAACGUAAGCCUUAAAUGCUAGUUAUGGUGUAUGAAAACGUAUGACCAUUGCCCUCCUGGGAGGUUACGACGUACAGAGUGGAUUCCAGUCGGUACGUUAGAUAUGCUCCGAGUGGAUCGUCGCCGACUGGAUGAUGGGGGCGUCCUUAGUUCAGUAGGAACUGUCUAAGGGCCCUGUCCUCUAUGAAGGGUAGUCCUUGGGUAGGACCUAUAGGGCAGACCUAUGACCCCAUCAUUAGUCCCCGAAUGGGUCGGGGUUGGAACGAUGAAGUGAUGUCCGGAGUUUGGAGCCGACUGGUAUUUAGGUGAUCUUAGCGUUGUCUGCCUCGAUCCAUUUUCUCUUUGUGGCUAGUGAUCCGAGUGAAUAUGCAAGCGAAAUGAACCGUGAGGGACCGAUUGCUUCCCCGGAAUCUUUCGACGUGACCGGUCAUACUGACAGCGCCGGAUUUUCCGAGAUUCUCAAAUUUCGGUUGUCGCACGCCCAGCGGGGAUGACGACAUCGCCAUUGAGUAGAUUUCGCCUCCUCGAUUACCGCGCCGUGAUCUUCUCCACUAAUCUUGCAGUAGCUGUUUGGGAGGAUAAGAUCUUGGGCCCACAUGUAGGUGACUCAGUCGGAGGCCUAUUAAAGCCUUCCCGGCGGACCUUCUUGUUGCGCUGCUCAUCUUCCUCCCAUCGAUCUCGCCUCCCCGCAACUCCCUGCACACCUUUAGCCACCUCCUCCCCCUCCUCCUGUGCGGAUCCGUCGCCCUCGCCAUGACGAAGGGGCAGACCAGCAAGCUUGAGGCGAAGAAGAGGAAGAAGGGGGCGGCCUCCACUCAGCGGCGGCAGCGGGCGUUGCCGGCGGGCUGGAUCCAGGGGGACUUCCUCCCCUCCACGGUGAGGGAGACCGACGUGCUGGAGCUGGUGGAGCACGGCAUGGUCGUCAAUAAGUCUUGGAGGCUGCCGGAAGGCGAAAUGGAGCCGGCACCGAAGGAGGGGGAGCGCGUUCUGCUGCUCAGCCACGUGGUCAGAGGUUUCUCCCUGCCUCCCCAUCCUUUGUUCCGAGGAAUUAUGAAUUACUUUGGGGCGCAGCUCCAUCACUUUCCGCCGAAUGCGAUAGCUCAUCUUUCCGCAUUCAUCACCCUGUGCGAGUGCUUCAUAGGGUGUCCUCCCCACUGCGGGCUCUUAAAAUAUGUUUUCUCCGCUAGAUCUCAAAUGGUUAAGAAGCUUAGCCAGUCCGAUGAUAAGACACACAUCCUCCAGCUCUGCGGGGGUUUAGGAUUUUAGAAGAAAACGAAAAGUAGUUAUCCCUCCCUUUAGCUAUCUGAGUCGGUUAGGAACUGGCAAUCGUCCUGGUUCUAUUGCCAGGACAUUGCCUGCCCGAAUGCUUCGAGUGGAUUACCACCCUUCAGUUUAGACCGUCCGGGCCCUCCCAGAAAGCUAGCGCUCUCUAAGUGAGAAAAACCCAGAUCCAGCCUUUGAUCGACACGCUGAUAGCCGUCGUCCGGAAGGGAGUCACCGACAUGGACCUGUUGGAGACUUUUCUGGGUCGAUGCAUCCAGCCGCUCCAGGCCCGAGACCACGCAAUGUGGCAUUACACGGGGCCUUCGGAUACCACUCGGUCCCAUCCUUAAGAUGUGAGCGAGGAGACCAUGGGUGCGUGGGUCCACAGCAUCACGGGCACAUGUGAUAACCCCGUGGGAGCUCGGCGGGUGAAGGGCUUCCACGCCCAAAAUCCUCCUCCGAAUGAGGUGAGUACAUGUUGUCGAGUGCUUUUAACCUUCUCAGUUUUAUUGCUUUUCUUGUCUCGCUGACUGAUGUUGCCGACUAUGUUUUGUGCAGGAGUGGACGAACUAGCAUUCUGCAGUCUCAAAUGGGAAUCCGGUCAAGGAAGAAGAAGGAAGCAUGGAGGGUAGCGCGGGUAGUGCCGAGUAUGUCUCUGACAGUAGGGAGACGGAGGAGGAAACAAAAGAGGAGGAGGAGGAGAGUGAAGAGCAGAGCUCGUCACCCUCACCACCAGAACACCGAACGAAGCACUGUCAUGACCCCGUUGUUCCGCCGGCUCCUCCCGUGGCCCCGAGUGCUCGGAGUGUGAACAGAACACGGGGUUCUUCUGUCGAGCCCGUGGAUCAGCCGUCCAAGGUGGCUAAACCCAGCGGGUCUAAACAUCGGAAAGCUUUGCCCCGGAUGAGGAUCGUUGUUCCGGUGGCCUCAGCGUAAGUAUCUUUGCUCUUCCAUCUUCCUUCAGUAUCCGAUUGAACUCUUCUUUUUGGGAAUUCAUGUUUACCCGUCGAAUGGAUUUCACUCAACAGAGCUGCUACCUCCUCCACCUCUCUGCUGCGUCAGGGUGACGAUCCCAUGGACACUGAUAACGCCGCCACGUCCCAGCAAGGUACGUUGUCACGAAUCCAAGAGCUGUAUUACCGUUUCGCGAGUGCUGUCUUUGAUCUUGAUCUUUUUCUGUAUUUUUAUUUUGUUCAGUCGGGCUUCCUUCGGAGGUGAUUCAUCUGGACGACGACGACCAAAGGAGGUCGGAACCAGCUUUGGCACCUGUCCUUGGGGUUAUCCAACCUACUGCCAACCCCGCCAUGAGCGUGCCGCCGACUGAGACGGUGUUCUUCACGGCGGAACCGACUGGAGCAGAGCUCGGGAUACCUAGGGCGCCUUCUGCCACGCCGGGUCCGUCGACUGUUCAAUAUGAUGCCCGGCGCCUCCCGGAAGAUCAAGUAGGAGCCGCCAAGGAUGCCAUGGUACAAGUGGAGCUGAUGGUGGGCGAAGCCAAGGGAGCAUAUGACUCCGUUGCGUCCCUGUACAAGAAGAGCUUGGAGCUUCGGGAUGAUAUCCGAGUAAGUGCGCUAGUAAGUGUUUUGGCAAGAUACUCGGAUACAGUAGGUUAAUUUUCCAGUGGGUUCACUCCGAGUGAACCCAGUGGGUGUAGUCCCCGAGACUUCUGCCGAGUGCUUGCACCGCAGUUGUCUUUAUAUGUAUUUUCCAUAAUCUCUACAGAUCAGAGCUGAUCUGCCCGAAUGGUACCAGUGGGGGCACGCCGAGUGCAACCACUGGGUGUAGUCCCCGAGAGUAGUGUUACUCGGGUCGAGUAAUAGUAAUCUCGUAGUGUUGUUGGUUUGCUAUGGAGCUCAAUGGGACCGACCGGUUCGAGCUUCAUACCAGUGGGUUCACUCUCAGUGAACCCACUGGGUGUAGUCCCCGAGACCACUGUCGAUUGCUUGCAUCGGCAGGGGUCUGAAGAAUCUUGAGCUUUGAUUGUUUUGUCAUAUCUGUCGAGACUUUUCCUUCUUGAAUCUGGCUGAUCCUCCCUUUGUGUCUCUUUGACAGAAGACUUGUGAAAUGGGAUCGGCUUAUAAUGCUCUGAAGGCUGAGAAGACUCAACUUGCUGCCGACUUGGAGGUAGCUGCGAAUGAUCUGGCUGGCAUGAAGAAGGCACUCGCUGAACGAGAAAUAUCUUUGGAGGAAUCUCGGGGGACUAACAAGGCACUACUAGCUGAGUUAGAAAAAAUGAAGAAGGAGAGAUCUGAAUGGGUGGGCCAGCUGAAGUCAAUGAACGCUCGGUGCAAAGCGCAGGAGAACUACGUCGGCGACUGGGCGAAGAAGAUGGUCGCACUGCUUGGUGGUAAGUAGCUUGCCGAGUGCUCUUUGACUUUGGAGUUCACUCCGCGCUUCUUUUCUCCCUGUCUUUUCUUUGCAGAUUUCUGUCACGACGUUGAAGCUGAAACCGCCGAAAUUGAACGGUCGCUUGGGCAACCGAAUGUUCCACUCGGUGAUGAAGCUAACCGGGACAUGUUCCGUCUGAAUUCCCGCCUUAACAAGGUGGGUCCUUUCAUUGGUCGCCUGAGAGAAGUUGUGGGCCGAAUUCACAAAGAGCUGUGGCCUGAAGAUGACUCCCGGAAUGAGAUAGAGGGGUUGACGACUCGACUGGAGGAUGCUCCAAGCAGUGUGCAGGCAUGGAAGAAGUUUGCCGCUCGGUGUGGCGCGGACGUGGCGUUGUCUCUAGUCUGAGUGCAUUGUAAGGAAGCCCGUGAAGACAAGCUGAAGAGGUUGCAGGUCGCCAACACCAAGAAGCUUCGAUUUGAAGACUUCAUGGAGACCUUUCUCGACACGGCCACUCGUAUUGCAGAUGGAAUCGACCUCGACACCUUCGUGGAGCCUGCCAGCUCCGGCGAUGCUUGAUUGACUUUAUGCUGAGCAUGCAUUUACCUCGGUAUGCCGAGUGGAGUUUGUAUUAAACUUUGGCCACUGCUGUUGGCCGGUACAUUCGUGGCUCAGUGUGGAUAAACUUGAUUCACACCGAGCCGACUGAUCGUUGAACUCAAUUUGAAUUCGAACCGGAUCUUUUGCUCUUCUUUCGUUGAGUUUUUUUUACACGAGUUUUGCUCGUGGUUUUUGUUUAGGCGACUCAGCUAAACCUCCGAGUGUAACUUGUGUGCCCACUCAGAGGAAGCUCUUUACUUAGGCAACUCUGGUUCGCAACUAAGUCCUCGAGUGUGACUUUUGGUGCACACUCGGAGUUAGUUUUUACUUAGGCAACUCUGGAUCGCAGCUAAGUCCCCGAGUGUGACUUUUGGUGCACACUCGGAGCAAGUUGUUUACUUAGGCGACUCUGAGUCGCAGCUAAGUCCCCGAGUGUGACUUUUGGUGCACACUCAGAGCGAGUUGUUUACUUAGGCGACUCUAGGUCGCAGCUAAGUCUCCGAGUGUGACUUUUAGUGCACACUCGGAGCGAGUUGUUUACUUAGGCGACUCUGGGUCGUAGCUAAGUCCCCGAGUGUCACUUUUGGUGCACACUCGGAGCGAGUUGUUUACUUAGGCAACUCUGGGUCGCAGCUAAGUCUCCGAGUGUGACUUUUUGUGCACACUCGGAGUGAGUUGUUUACUUAGGCGACUCUGGGUCGCAGCUAAGUCCCCGAGUGUGACUUUUGGUGCACACUCGGAGGGAGUUGUUUACUUGGGCGACUCUAGGUCGCAGCUAAGUCCCCGAGUGUGACUUUUGGUGCACACUCGGAGCAAGUUGUUUACUUAGGUGACUUUGGGUCGCAGCUAAGUCUCCGAAUGUGACUUUUAGUGCACACUCGGAGCGAGUUGUUUACUUAGGCGACUCUGGGUCGCAGCUAAGUCCCCGAGUGUGACUUUUGGUGCACACUCAGAGCGAGUUGUUUACUUAGGCGACUCUGGGUCGCAGCUAAGUCCCCGAAUGUGACUUUUAGUGCACACUCGGAGCGAGUUGUUUACUUAGGCGACUCUGGGUCGCAGCUAAGUCCCCGAGUGUGACUUUUGGUGCACACUCAGAGCGAGUUUUUAACUUAGGCGACUCUGGGUCGCAGCUAAGUCCCCGAGUGUGACUUUUGGUGCACACUCGGAGCAAGUUGUUUACUUAGGUGACUCUGGGUCGCAGCUAAGUCCCUGACUGUGAAUUUUGGUGCACACUCGGAGCAAGUUGUUUACUUAGGCAACUCUGGGUCGCAGCUAAGUCCCCGAGUGUGACUUUUGGUGCACACUCGGAGUUAGUUUUUUAGACCGGAGUCUGCAAACGCAGAAGAAUUUUGAAUCGGCAAGAAAUUCAUCCGCUUUGUAUUACUUCGAUGACAUUUGUUCUUUACAUUGUCUCUGUCGGCGGUUAUGUGUAGAAGUGCUUCAGUAGAUCUCCAUUCCAUGCCCGCGGCUCGUCCGUCUCCCUGUCGAGGUUGUAGAGUCGAUACGCUCCAUUGUUCCGUACCUUAGAAAUGAUGAACGGUCCUUCAUAGGCGGGAGCCAACUUGUGUGGUCUCUGUUGAUCCACUCGGAGCACCAGGUCUCCUGCUUGGAACGUGCGGCUCCUGACGUGCCGCUCAUGAAAUCGCCGCAGAUCUUGUUGAUAAAUUGUUGAACGGAUCAAUGCCAUCUCGCGCUCCUCUUCCAAAAGGUCUACUCCGUCUUGCCUGGCUUGCUCUUCUUCGGCUUCGGAGAAGAGUUCGACUCGUGGAGAGUUGUGAAGCAAGUCACUUGGAAGGACUGCCUCUGCUCCAUAAACGAGGAAAAAUGGGGAUCGUCCUGUCGAUCUAUUCGGGGUUGUUCGGAGGCCCCACAGCACCGAAGGCAGCUCGGUGACCCAUGCGCCGGCGGCAUGCCCAACUUCCCGCAGGAGUCGAGGCUUCAACCCUUAAAGAAUGAGUCCAUUCGCCCGCUCCGCUUGUCCAUUUGUUUGGGGGUGCGCAAAGGAUGCAAAAUACACUCGGAUACCUUGGCCUACGCAAAAACCUUUGAACUCGUCCGAGUUAAAGUUUGGGCCAUUGUCGGUGAUUAUGCUGUGUGGAACCCCGUAUCUGGCAAUGAUGUCUCUGAUAAAUUUGAUGGCCGUAAGGGCAUCAAGCUUCUUGAUUGGCUUGGCUUCAAUCCACUUGGUAAACUUGUCGACUGCUACCAGCAGAUGGGUGAAUCCUCCUUGGCUUGUUCUGAAUGGUCCGACUGUAUCUAAUCCCCACACGGCCAAUGGCCAAGAAAGGGGAAUUGUCUUCAGCGCGGACGUUGGCUUGUGGGACUUGUUUGAAUAGAACUCACAACCUUCGCAAUGGUCGACUAUAUCUUUUGCCAUUUCAUUCGCCUGCAACCAGAAGAAACCAGCUCUGAAUGCUUUGGCAACGAUCGCCCUUGAGGAGGCAUGAUGACCACAGGUUCCUGAGUGAAUUUCUUCCAAAAUUAACCGACCCUCCUCAGGAGAGAUACACCCCUGAAGGACGCCUGAAACACUUUCUCUGUAUAACUGGUCAUCAAUGACGGUGAAGGACUUCGACCUGCGAAUGAUCUGCCUAGCUUGGACCUCAUCUUCCGGUAACUCUUGCCUCAGGAUGUACGCAAUGAGUGGCACAGUCCAUUCGGGAAUGACAGCUAGAAUCUCCAUGACCAGGUCAACCACAGCGGGAAACUCGACUUCGAUCUGAUCUAUUGAGCUCUUCGGUUGCACAAGUUCCUCUAUAAAAGGAUCUUCUUUUACCGAGGGGAGGUGUAAGUGCUCGAGGCAGACAUCACUCGGGACAGGUCUCCGUGUGGAUCCAAGUUUUGCCAAUUCAUCUGCUGCUUGGUUUUUCAGUCGGGGAACAUGGUGAAGUUCCAUACCUUCGAACUUCUUUUCGAGCUUUCUUAUUGUGUUGCAGUAUGCAGUCAUGGUGGGGUUCCUUACAUCCCACUCCUUCAUUACUUGAUUAACCACUAGAUCUGAGUCGCCAUAGACCAUCAGGCGACGGACGCCGAGUGUGAUGGCCAUGCACAACCCGUAAAGGAGAGCUUCGUACUCUGCUUCGUUGUUGGAAAAAUCAAAAUGGAUCUGCAACACAUACUUGAGUUUAUCACCUUUCAGGGAUAUGAGCAGUACGCCGGCGCUGGAGCCAUUCAACAUCUUGGACCCAUCGAAGAACAUGGUCCAAUGAGCCGAGUAGAUGUGAGUCGGUUGCUGUUGCUCUACCCAUUCUGCCAUGAAGUCGGCAAGAGCUUAAGACUUUAUAGCUUUCUUGGCUUCGAACUUGAUGUCGCAGUAUAGCAUAUCCAUUGCUCACUUUGCCACUCGGCCUGAUGCGUCCCGAUUGUGGAGAAUUUCCGACAACGGAGCAUCAGAUAUGACAGAUACCGAGUGGUCUUGGAAAUAAUGAGCCACGUGCUUUGCAGUCAUGUAGAUCCCAUAAAUAAGCUUCUGAUAAUGGGGACACCUCUGCUUGGAAGGAGUCAGGACUUCAGAAACAUAAUAUACUGGCCGCUGAACCUUGUACGCUUUGCCUUCUUCUUCGCGUUCGACUGUCAGAAUAGUGUUGACGACUUCGUUUGUAGCCGCGAUGUACAAAAGAAGGGGUUCUUUACUGAGUGGGGCAGUAAGAACCGGCUGGGUGGAAAGCAGGGCUUUGAGGUCGUCGAAUGUGGUUUGGGCUUCGUUUGUCCACUCGAAGGUAUCCGACUUCUUCAUGAGUCGGUACAGAGGUAACGCCUUCUCGCCGAGUCGAGCGAUAAACCUGCUCAAAGCCGCUAGAAAACCUAUGAGCUUUUGUACGUCAUGUACUCUUACCGACCGCUCCAUUCGAACAAUGGUCCCGAUGUUUUCGGGGUUGACAUCGAUCCCUCGUUCGGAAACAAAGAAACCGAGUAACUUCCCGCUGGGAACGCCAAAUGAACACUUGGCUGGGUUUAGCUUGAUAUUGUACCUACGUAGGUUGGCGAAUGUUUCUGCCAAGUCAGUCAGUAGGUCGGAACCUUUGCGUGACUUGACUACGAUAUCGUCCAUAUAUGCCUCCACAUUUCGACCAAUCUGGUCUAGGAGGCAUUUUUGGAUCAUUCGCAUAAAAGUUGCUCUUGCAUUUUUCAAACCGAAUGGCAUAUUGAUGUAACAGAAGCACCCGAAUGGGGUGAUGAAAGAUGUUUUUAAUUCAUCCGGACCAUAUAGACGGAUCUGAUGGUAGCCCGAAUAGGCUUCAAGGAAGGAUAAGCGCUCGCAACCCGCAGUCGAAUCAACGAUUUGAUCUAUGCGGGGGAGCGGGAAGUGGUCUUUCGGACAGACCUUAUUAAGGUCCUUGAAAUCGAUGCACAUACGAAGAGACUUGUCCUUCUUGGGCACCAUGACAACAUUAGCGAGCCACUCGGAGUGGUGUACCUUGCGAAUGAAGUUGGCUGCCAGAAGUUUAGCUACCUCCUCUCCGAUUGCUUUUCUCUUGUGCGCGGCAGACCGACACAGUCGUUCUCGGACGGGCCGAGCGGCAGGAUCCACAUGCAGUCGGUGCUCAGCCAACUCCCUGGGUACACCUGGCAUGUCAGCAGGCUUCCAUGCAAAAAUGUCCCAGUUCUCAUGAAGGAAUUGGAUGAGCUCGGUUUCCUAUUUUGGAUCAAGGGUGGUGGAGAUGUUUGUUGGGGCGGUGGUGGCAUCCGUCGGGUGGACUCUUACUUUUUUCGUGUCUCCCGCCGACUGGAAUGCGGACUCGGAAGCUGGCUUCUUUGAACGCAUCAGGUCGGCAGGGUCGGCAAUCUUCUUGUACUCAUCCAACUCGAGUACAGCCAUCUGAUGGUCUGCAAUUCUCAACCCCUGCUGCAGACACUCCUCGGCUCGUUGCCGAUUGCGUGUGACAGUAAUCACGCCUUUGGGACCAGGCAUCUUCAGCUUCAAAUAUACGUAACAUGGACGGGCCAUGAAACGUACAUAUGCCGGACGGCCCAGAAUGGCAUGGUAUGCACUCUGGAAGUCUACCACCUCGAAUGUUAACUUCUAUUUGCGGAAGUUCUUGUCAGAGCCGAAGACGACGUCCAACGCAAUCUGGCUGAGAGAUUUUGCCUUUCUUCCUAGGACGACUCCAUGGAAUUGCAUACUGCUUUCGCUAAGUCUGGACAUCACAAUGCCCAUUCCCUUGAGAGUAUCGGUGUACAUGAUAUUCAAGCCGCUGCCGCCGUCCAUGAGGACUUUGCGCAGCCUAACUCCUUCCACCACCGGGUCGACGACCAGAGCUUGCCUCCAUGGGGUGGGUACGUGUGCUGGGUGGUCUGCCUGAUCAAAAGUGAUUGCAGUCUGUGACCACUUGAGGAACGUGGGAGUGGAUGGGGUUGCCAUGUUUACCUCCCUGCUGACCAGCUUCAGUCGACUUUUGCUUUCUACAUCAGCAAAAAUCAUUAAUUUUGCAUGGACUUGAGGGAACGGAUCCUCCUUGUCCUCAUCAUCUUUCUCGGUGUCUUUCUCACUCGGCUGUCCUUCACCGAAUCCUUGGAUCAGGAGGCGACACUACCGAGUGGUAUGUUUCGGCAAUAUGACAUUGCCUUCUUCAUCCAUCUUCGUGUGGAUUGGACACGGCUGAUCUAGGAUGGAAUUUCCUGACUGUUUCUUCUUGGGGGUGUACUGUGGUUUCCCCUUGCCUUUGAACUUAGCGUUUGUAACGACUGCCGCCUCUGCUUGCGGAGUGGAUUGGGCUUUCUAUUUCUGCUUCCGACUGCUGCUCCCAUCUCCGUCGGCGACUGACUUAUGCUUGCCGCUACGUAUGCGGUCCUCCUCUUCGCCAUUUGCAUAGCACGCAGCUAUCUCCAUCAUCUUGCUCAUGGAGAUGUCGCCUGUCCGACCAAACUUCAGGUAUAGAUCUUUGUACCGAACGCCUGCCUUGAAGGCGCAGACUGCUUGGUGUUCUGUAACAUUCUCCACCGUGUGGUAGAGGGUUGUCCAGCGUUGGGUAAAAUCGCGCAGGGGCUCGUUUUGCUUCUGGACACAGUGCUGAAGCUUUGUGAGACCAGCGGGGCAUUUGCACGUACCCUUGAAGGUCCUGAUGAAGACUCGGGACAGAUCUGCCCAACUCGAAAUGGUUGAUGGAGCUAACUGGUUUAGCCAAGCUCGAGCCGAACCGUCGAGCAUCAAUGGGAGAUGUUUCAGGGCGACAUGGUCAUCUCCGCCACCGAUGUGGACCACCACUCUGUAGUCGUCUAACCAAGUUUCUGGUUUGGACUCUCCUGUGAAUUUGCUGAAUCCCGUCGCCAAUCGGAAGUUGGGAGGGAUGUCAGCCGAGCGAAUGGCCCGACUGAAACACUCGGGACCAGAAACAACGGUCCUGCUUCCACUCGGAUGAUCUCUAUCGUGACCACCACGGUGGGCUCGGCUUCUAUCAACCUUCUUUUGAGUGAUAUACCCUCUUGCAUCAGGCCUUUGAUCAUGCGCGUCACCGCCCGAACGACAAUCAUCGUAAUGCGGGGGUCCGUAAGGCCCACUCCGCCGAGGAGUACGCGAACGGCGAUGAUCUUCGGGAUGAGACCGAAUGGAAGGUGGAUUCCGACUCUGGUCCCUGGAAUGAUCGUUCCAGAGGCUGCCCCCUCUGCGACGCUGGUGAGAGCUGGGACUGAAAACCGACCGAUGUGUGUUCGCUUGAACGGAACUGUUGUGGAUCUUGUUGUGCGACUGGGAGACCGCCGAGUUUUGCUGCUGCACCGUAUGUAACAAGGCACGGAUCUGCUCAAUUCCUCUACCAGCCUCUGAAUCAGUCGGCUGGAGAGAAUCAGUGAUCUUGGCGGCUGCAGCCAAGUUGAGGAUGGGUGUGCGGAACACCUCGACGUGGCUCUGGCGAACGCGUCGACUGGAAGAACGAGGGUGCUGACGACGAGCGCCGGAUGAUUCUCCGAUCUCACGCUCGUUCCGACCAGUCCCGGGCGACUUUUGUGGGAAUCGGCCAUGAGCACUUCGGCCGUAGGCCCGUGACCCUGAUACUCGGAAGGUAGUUCAGUCGGAAAUGAGUCCAAGCACUGGGAUGACCGCGGGACCACAACCGAUUCAAGCACCACCACUUGAGAGGACAUGUUUUGUCGCGCUAGGGCGUGUCGCACCCAACGCUGGAGCCCCGAACGACCGGAUAGCUUGUUGCGGUGCGUGACGGGGGCGAAGAUCGAAACCGGGGUCGAUGGCUGGACAAGAAGAACACCGCAGGAACUGGCACGGAAGUGCGUAGCCCCGCGACUCGGAAGCGUCUUGACAUCGAGGGGCGCAUCCUGAUGCCAUGCCGAAUCAUCAGCGAUGAAGGAGAGCGCACCGAAGAGGAUCUCACGACCCAUGCACAGAUCUCCGCCGGAUGACAUGACGAAGAGAUGAAAUCACAAACUCGCCGGAAGUCGCUUAUACGCCAGCCCCACGGUGGGCACCAACUGUCGUGGGUAUAAGUCUGGCAGUAGAAGUACGGGGUAUGAAAGUAUAUGGGCAGAGCCUUAGCUACGGCGAGGAUAUAUGAGUUCAGGCCCCUCUACGGUGGAGGUAAAAGCCCUACGUCUCAGUGCUCUUGGGAGCUUUGUGUCGAGUGUAUUAAGGGAUUACAGCAAGUGCCAACCCUUUUAGCAGUGGUGAAGGGCGGCUUAUAUAGAGUGCGCUGCCCUUCAUAAUGGUCCGGUGGACAGGGGUGGAGUAGUGGAGAGUAAAGGCUAGCGUUACUGGUAACGUAAGCCUUAAAUGCUAGUUAUGGUGUAUGAAAACGUAUGACCGUUGCCCUCCUGGGAGGUUAUGCCGAACAGAGUGGAUUCCAGUCGAUACGUUAGAUAUGCUCCGAGUGGAUCGUCGCCGACUGGAUGAUGGGGGCGUCCUUAGUUUAGUCGGAACUGUCUAAGGUCCUUGUCCUCUAUGAAGGGUAGUCCUUGGGUAGGACCUAUAUGGCAGACCUAUGACCCUACCCUGGGACUAUAACCCCACCAGUUGUCUUGACAAUCUGUUUUCCUAUAAAAUGCCUAUGCAUAGGAAGUAUGUUAGACUUAGAUAUGAUUUUCACAUGCUUUAGGAUGCUCUCGUUGUGCUUCAAUUCUUGUCUUUUGUGAGAGCAUCAUUGAAUGCCUAGCUAAGGGCGUUAAACAAAAACGCUUGUUGGGAGGUAACCCAACGACUCUAUCCUUUUUCUUUCUGUUUUGUGUUUCCCACACUUUCAUAAUUCUGUUAUGAUUGUGUUUUUUUUGUUUCUUUUUGCGUUUGUGCCAAGCAAAACCGUUAUGAUUAGUCUUGGGGAUGAUCGUUUGGCCAUGCUGGAAAAGACAGAAACUUUCUGCUCACGAAAAGAAUUUUCAUUUUUUGUCUGUAAGAGAUUUUGAGUUGAUUCUUUUUGCUGCUGAUUGCUACAGAAGUUCUUCAGACUGUCUUAAGUUUUCAGAAUUUUUGAAGUAACAGAGUUAUACGGAAUAUACAGAUUGCUACAGACUGGUCUGCUGUUAACAGAUUCUGUUUUUGUUGUGUUGGUUGCUUAUUUUGAUGAAACUAUGGAUAGUAUCGGGGGGUAUUAGCCAUGGAAGAUUGAAAGUACAGUAACCCAACAUCAGCACAAGUAGAAUUUAAGUUUGCUACAGUACCUAAGGAAGUGGUGGUUUGCUUUUUCUUGUACUAAUGUUAUCACGAGUUGUUGUUUAUGUUUCGUGUUGUGAAGUUUUCAAGUUUUGGAUGAAGUUCUUAUGGACAAAGAGAUAAAGAGUGGCAAGAUCUCAAGCUUGGGGAUUCCCAAGGCACCCCAAGAGAUUCAAGGAUGCCGUAAAAGCCUAAGCUUGGGGAUGCCCCGGGAAGGCAUCCCCUCUCUCGUCUUCAAUCCAUCGGUAACGUUACUUGGGGCUAUAUUUUUAUUCACCACAUGUUAUGUGUUUUUGCUUGGAGCGUCUUGUAUCGUAGGAGUCUUUUUUUUGUUGUGUCACAAUCAUCCUUGCUGACACCUAGAGAGAGAGACAUGCACACACCGUGAUUUUGUCGAGCUUCACUUAUAUCUUUUGGUAGACAAUUCAGCUCACAUGCGCUUCACUUAUAUCUUUUGAGCUAGAUACUUUUGCUCUAUGUGCUUCACUUAUAUAUUUUAGAGCACAGAGGUGCGUGGCUUGGUAGCUGAUCUAUGCUUUGAAAGUAGUCUCAAAAGGGGUAGUUAUCCAAAGGGAUACGAAAACUUCCACCUUCAUGUGCAUUGAAUAGUUAGAGAAGUUUGAUUCAUCUCAAUUAGUUUUGAGUUCUGGUUAUGGUAAUAUUAAAGUCAUGCUAGUAAGGUGUUGUGGAUCUAGAAAUACUUGUGUUGAAGUUAGUGAUUCCCGUAUCAUGCACGUAUGUGAACCGCUAUGUGAUGAAAUCUAAGCAUGAUUAGUCUAUUGAUUGUCAUCCUUUGCGUGGCGGUCGGGAUCGCGCGAUGGUUUAUACCUACCAGCCCUUCCCCUAGGAGUAUGUGUUGAAUGCUUUGUUUCGAUUACUAAUAAAUUUUUUGCAACAAGUAUAUGAGUUCAACACGACUAAUGUUGAGUCCAUGGUUUAGAUGCACUUUCACCUUCCUUCAUCACUAUCUUCUUAGUGCCGUGCAACUUUCGCCGGUGCACAAAACCCACCAUUAGCCUCCCUCAAAACAGCCACCAUACCUACCUACUAUGGCUUUUUCAAAGUCAUUCCGAGAUAUCUUGCCAUGCAACUACCACCAUGACAUGUGCCACCACGUCUACAUUGCCAUUGCAUGAUCGUAAGAUAGCUAGCAUGAUGGUUCCAUUGAUGUCUAUGCCAUGCUAGAUCAUUGCCACGGUACACUACCGAAGGCAUUCCAUAUAGAGUCAUCGUUACUCUAAGUUUUGAGUUGAAAGUGUGAUGAUCAUCAUUAAUGGAGCAUUGUCCCAUGUGAGGAAAUAAAAGAGGCCAAGGAAGCCCACCAAAAAAAAGAGGCCAAAGAGCCCACCAAAAUAAAAAAAAAUGAGAGAAAAAGAGAGAAGGGACAAUGCUACCACUUUUUCCACACUUGUGCAUAUUGAGCACCAUGAUCUUCAUGAUUGAGAGUCUCUCGUUUUGUCACCACCAUAUAGCUAGUGGGAAUUUUUCAUUAUAUAACUUGGCUUGUAUAUUCCUAUGAUAGGCUUCCUCAAAAUUGCCUUAGGUCUUCGUGAGCAAGCAAGUUGGAUGCACACCCACUAGUUUUCUUUAAGAGCUUUCACAUACUCAUAGCUCUAGUGCAUCAAUUGUAUGGCAAUCCCUACUCAUUCACAUUGAUAUCUAUUGAUGAGCAUCUCCACAGCUCAUUGAUUUGCCUAGUUAAUGUCACUAUCUUCUCCUUUUUGUCUUGCAACCUCCACUACAUUCCACACCAUCUAUAGUGCUAUAACCAUGGCUCACGCUCAUGUAUUGCGUGAGAGUUGAAAAGGUUUGAGAAAGUAAAGGUGUGAAACAAUUACUUGGCCAAUACCGGGGUUGUGCAUGAUUUAACUUCAUUGUGCAAUGAUGAUAGAGCAUAGCCAGACUAUAUGCUUUUGUAGGGAUAACUUUCUUUUGGCCUUGUUAUUUUGAAAGUUCAUGAUUACUUUGCUAGUUUGCUUGAAUUAUUAUUGUUUCCACGUCAGUACCAAACUAUUGUUUUGAAUCUAAUGGAUCUGAACAUUCACAUCACAUGAGAGGAAUUACAAAGGACACCUAUGCUAGGUAGCAUGAAAGCAUCAAAAAUUCAUUCUUAUCACUUCCCUACUCGAGUACGAGCAGGAGUUAAGCUUGGGGAUGCUUGAUACGUCUCAAACGUAUCGAUAAUUUUUUAUGGUUUCACGUUGUUCUGUUUUCUUCUUUGGUUGUUUUAUGUACCGUUUAUAUCUUUUUUGGGACUAACUUAUUAAUUCAGUGCCAAGUGCCAGUUCCUUUUUUUCCCAUGUUUUUGACUCUUUUCAGAUUUGAUUUUGGAACGGAGUCCAAAUGGAAGAAAGACCCCGAAAUGAUUUUUUCCCGAACAGAAGAAGAUCAGGGGGCCUUUGGGCCAAGCCAGGUGGGAUCCAGGGAGCCCACAAGCCCCCACUCCACCACCAGGGGGGGAGGCUGCGAUGGGCAGGCUUCUGGCCUCCCUGGCCGCCCCCUGAUCUAGAUCUUUGGCCUAUAAAUUCGCAAAUAUUCUGCCAAAGAUCAGGGGAGCCUCGAAAAUACUUUUCCGCCUCCGCAAGCUUCCUUUUCCGCGAGAUCUCAUUCGGAGACCCUUCCCGGCACCCUGCCGGAGGGGACUUUGGAGUUGGAGGGCUUCUUCUUCAUCAUCAUCGCCCCUCCAAUGACUCAUGAGUAGUUCACUUCAGACCUACGGGUCCGUAAUUAGUAGCUAGAUGGCUUCUUCUCUCUCUUGGAUCUUCAAUACAAAGUUCUCCAUGAUCUUCAUGGAGAUCUAUCCGAUGUAAUCUUCUUUGGCGGUGUGUUUGUCGACAUCCAAUGAAUUGCGGAUUUGUGAUCAGAUUAUCUAUGAUAUAUAUUUGAGUCUUUGCUGAUUUCUUAUAUGCAUGAUUUGAUAUCCUUGUAAGUCUCUCCGAGUCUUGGGUUUUGUUUGGCCGACUAGAUCUGUGAUUCUUGCAAUGGGAGAAGUGCUUGGUUUUGGGUUCUGCCAUGUGGUGACCUUUCCCUGUGACAGUAGGGACAGCAAGGCACACAUCAAGUAGUUGCCAUCAAGGGUAAAAAGAUGGGGGUUUUAUCAUUGGUUUGAGAUUAUCCCUCUACAUCAUGUCAUCUUGCUUAAGGCGAUACUCUAUUCUUAUGGACUUAAUACACUAGAUGCAUGCUGGAUAGCGGUCAAUGUGUGGAGUAAUAGUAGUAGAUUCAGACAGUAUCGGUCUACUUGUUUUGGACGUGAUGCCUAUAGAAAUAAUCAUUGCAUAGAUAUCGUCACGACUUUGCGCGGUUCUAUCAAUUGCUCGACAGUAAUUUGUUCACCCACCGUCUACUUGCUUUCAUGAGAGAAGCCACUAGUAAACACUACGGCCCCCGGGUCUAUUCACAUCCAUCAUUUACAUCUCCGCUUUUACUUUGCUUUGUUACUUUGUUGCUUUCAGUUAUCACUUGGCAAACAAUCUAUAAGGGAUUGACAACCCCUUCAUACCGUUGGGAGCAAGUUUUUGUGUUUGUGCAGGAUCUUGAGAUACUCCUCCACUGGAUUGAUGCCUUGGUUCUCAAACUGAGGGAAAUACUUACCACCGCUACGCUACAUCACCCUUUCCGCUUCGAGGGAACACCAACGCAAGGCUCAAAGUCUCCCCUUUUACUUUGCUUUGUUACUUUGUUGCUUUCAGUUCUCACCUGGCGAACAAUCUAUAAGGGAUUGACAACCCCUUCAUAGCGUUGGGAGCAAGUUUUUGUGUUUGUGCAGGAUCUUGAGAUAAUCCUCCACCGGAUUGAUACCUUGGUUCUCAAACUAAGGGAAAUACUUACCACCGCUACGCUACAUCACCCUUUCCGCUUCGAGGGAACACAAACGCAAGGCUCCAAGGCCACGGGGGAAAUCCUUUGCAUACUUACCUAGGAAGUCCCUUAAGGCAUAGCCGCAGCAGAAAGAUCAAGCCAAGUAUUCUCCCGUCUACGUGCCUAUUUCUGGCGCCGUUCGAAGGUCUUUUUUUGCAGUAGCAACCAGCUAAAUCAACAUUUCUAGCUCAAGAAUAGGGUCACCAAGGUAGCAAGAAUACGCGAAGGAUAAAACAGUAGAGCAAAAACUAAUUGGAGCAAUGGAGGUGUCACUUACCAAGAAGUAAUUUCCCCAAAACGGUUCGGAUAAUGGUGCUUUGAGCAAGGAGAUCGAAAAUCACAGCCAAAUGAGCAAGAACACGGGUUUGAGCUACGAAACAAUUUUUUCUGGAGGUGAAAGAAGAGGAUGGGAGUUGGAAUGAGUGGAGGGGGUCCCUGUGGGCCGCACAAGCUUGCUAGCCGCCACGAGGGGGGGCGGCAGCUGCAGGGCUUGUGGCCCACUGGUCGGGCCCCCAGGCCAGCUCUCAGGCCCAGUAUUUUUCAAAUAUUCUAGAAAAAAUCAUACUAGAUUUUCAGGACCAUCGGAGAACUUUUAUUUUCGGGGUAUUUUUCUCCAGGACGCUAAAACAGAAAACAGGAAAAUCUAAACUAAAUCUAUCAUUUUUCUUCUAAGCAAUAGAAAAUGAAAGCUCAAAACAGAGUUAUGUGACUCUUUGAUUCAUCCAUUUCAUGGUCAUCGAAAGAAAUCCGUCAAUGGGGUUGAUCAAGUCCUCAUGACAAAACCUUCUCGAAUCGCAAGAGAGAACGGAGAAUUUUCGAAUAACCACUAAGUCACCUCAAUGGGGAUAUGUAUCUCCCCAACAAGCAAAUCAUACUUCAUCUUGACACGAGGAAUAGGGCAUUCAAAGCUCCCAACAAGAAUCGAUGAAGGCUUUUCAAUAGCAUUGAUGCAAUGUACUUGAUAUCGUUUCUUCGGAAAGUGCACUGUGUGCUCAUUACCGUUGACAUGGAAAGUGAAAUUGCCUUUGUUGCAAUCUAUAACAGCCCCUGCAGUGUUUAAAAAGGGUCUUCCGAGGAUGACGGCCAUGGCAUCAUCCUCGGGAAUAUCCAAGAGAACAAAGUCUGUUAAGAUAGUAGUCUUAGCAACCACAACAGGCACAUCCUCGCAAAUGCCGAUAGGGAAAGCAGUUGAUUUGUCGGCCAUUUGCAGAGAAAUUUCAGUGGGUGUCAACUUAUCCAAUUCAAGUCUACGAUAAAGAGAGAGCGGCAUAACACUAACACCGACUCCAAGGUCACAUAAGGCAUUUCUUACGUAGUUUCCUUUAAUAGAACAAGGUAUAGUGGGCACUCCGGGAUCACCAAGUUUCUUAGGAGUUCCACCUUUGAAAGUGUAAUUGGCAAGCAUGGUGGAGAUCUCAAGAUCUGGUAUCUUCCGUUUAUUAGUCACGAUAUCUUUCAUUUACUUGGCAUACAGAGACAUUUUGAGCAUAUCAGUUAACCGCAUCUGCAGAAAGAUGGGUCUUAUCAUCUCAACAAAGCGCUCAAAAUCCUCAUCAUCCUUUUUCUUGGAUGUCUUGGAGGAAAGGGCAUAGAUCUCUGAACCCAUGGAUCCCUUUCUUUACCAUGCUUCCUAGCAGUGAAGUCAUUCUUAUCGUAUCUCUUAGGUUGUGGGUUAUCAGGAUUAACCGUAGGUUCAAUCUCCACAUCCUCAUCAUUGCUAGGUUGUGCAUUAUUAUGAACAUCACUGUCCAUAUUGUCACCAGGUUCAUGUUCAUCACCAGAUUGUGUUUCUGCAUCAGACGCAGAAAUAUCAUUAGAUUCUUCAGGUGUGACAGUAUUUGGUGAACUGGCAUGUAGGUUUCUAUCAUCCUUCUUCUUCUCAUUAGGAUGACUGGGUGUAUCAGCAUUAAUUCCUUGAGAAUCUUGAUCAAUUCUCUUAGGAUGACCUUCAGGAUACAAAGGUUCCUGAGUCAUUUUGCCUCAUGUAGUAAUGACUCUGACAGAGUUGUCUUUUAACUCAUUGAGCAAGUCAUUCUGAUCUUUAAGUACUUGUUCUACCUGAGUAGUAAUCAUAGAUGAAUGUUUACUCAGAAGCUUCAGAUCAUUGACAUUUCUGUCUACACAAGCACUUAAAUGGCUAAGCAUACGAGUACUUUGUUCCAAAUGUCUGCUAACAUAAUCAUUGAAACUCUGUUGUUUGGCAACAAAGUUGUCAAAUUCAUCAAAGCAUAGGCUAGCAGGUUUGUCAAAAGGAAUAUCACUCUCAUCAAACCUACAUAGAGAAUUCACUUCUACUACUUGUAUCGGGUUAUCGAGACCAUGGAUCUCUUAGAUAGGUGGUAGAUUUUUGACAUCUUCAGAUCUAAUGCCUUUCUCUUGCAUAGAUUUAUUGGCUUCUUGCAUAUCUUCGGGACUGAGGAAUAGAAUACCUCUUUUCUUAGGAGUUGGCUUAGGAGGUGGUUCGGGAAUAGUCCAAGCAUUAUCGUUGAUCAAGAUGUUAUUCAGUAGGAUCUCAGCUUGUUCGAUAGUUUGUUCCCUAAAAACACAACCGGCACAACUAUCUAGGUGGUCUCUAGAGGCAUCGGUAAGUCCGUUAUAGAAGAUAUCAAGUAUCUCGUUCUUCUUAAGAGGGUGAUCAGGCAAAACAUUUUGUAGUUGGACGAUCCUCCCCCAAGCUUGUGGGAGACUCUCUUCUUGGAGUUGAGCAAAGUUGUAUAUUUCCUGCAAGGCAGCUUGCUUCUUAUGGGCAGGGAAAUUUUUCUCACAGAAGUAAUAGACCAUAUCCUAGGGACUACUCACACAUCCAGGAGCAAGAGAGGUGAACCAGGCUUUAGUGUCAUCCUUUAAAGAGAAAGGAAACAACUUAAGGAUGUAGUAAUGGCGGAUCUUCUCCUCACUAGUGAAAAGGGUGGCUAUAUCGUGUAGUUUGGUAAGAUGGCCUACGACCGUCUCAGACUCAUAACCGUGGAAAGGAUCAGAUUCGACUAGAGAGAUUAUCUCAGGAUCGACAGAGAAUUCAUAAUCCUUAUCGGUGAUAAAGAUAGGUGAAGUGGCAAACUUCGGGUCGUAUUUCAUCCUAGCUUUCAUUCAUCCUAGCUUUCAGAGAUUUUUCCUUCCACUUGAGAAGUAAUUUCUCAGCGUCAUAGGCAUCCUUACACGCAAGAAAAUCCUCAUCUAUCUCUCCCUCCAUAACAUAACCCUCAGGUAUAUCAGGCAAUUCAUAUCUAGGAGAGCUAGAUCUAGCAGGAGAAAAAGCAGGUUCUAUCUCAAUAGUAUCGGCAUUUUCAGAAGCAUCACGAGCAAUGGCAGUAGCUCUAGCAAUAUGAGCAUCAAGGAACACCCCUAGUGGAACAUCAGGCAAAGUAGCGUCUCUAGCAGUAUCAAGCAUAGCAUCAUGAGGCAUAGCAUCUCUAGCAGUAUCAGGCAUAGCAUCGCUAGCAGUAUGAGGCAUAGCAUCUCUAGCAGUAUCAGGCAUAACAUCUCUAGUAGUAUCACGCAUAGCAGCAUCAUAAGCAUCAUCAAGCACAGGCGACAUAUCAAGAUUUCUAGCAGGAGGUGAUGUCGCAAACUUACUCAUAACUGAAGGUGAAUCAAGUGCAAAGCUAGAUGGCACUUCCUUACCUCCCCUCGUAGUUGAGGGCAAGACUUUGGUUUUCGGAAACUUCAGAUUCUUCAUAGUGAUCAGCAGAUAUAAAUCCCAAGUAACUUAGAGAAUAUAGCAAUCGCAUCCCCGGCAACGGCGCCAGAAAAAUGCUGAUGGCACUCUCUGGCAAUGGCUAGACGAAUGCUAUUCUCGAUUGCUCAACAAUUAGAAAUUGUCUUGCAAUGACCCACCAGCGCGUGGGAUCGAGGUAGUUUUCGAGGGUAGAGUAUUCAACCCAAAUUUGUUGAUUCGCCAAUAGGAAGUUGGAGGAUACUCUCAAGUAUUAGCAGCUGAAUAUGUCAGAUUCAACCACACCUGAAAGAUUAAUAUCUGCAAGCAAAGUAUCAACAACAAAGUAGUAUGAUAGCAAUGAUGUCAGAAACGAUCUGUUGAUGGCACACUAUUCCUAACUAUCGUAUCAAUGGCGCCAGAAGUUGCCCGUUGACGGAAAUUGUCUUUUUCUGUCAACGUCGAGCGAAUCAGAAUUGUAGCAGGUAUCAGCUGUGUAACGAGUAGCAGCAGUGGCAAGGAACAGUAGUAGUGACAGAAAUAGCAAGUAACAGCAGUAGCAAGUAACAGCAGUAGCAAGUAGCAACAGUAUUCAUCAUGCAACAGUUAUAACACGGAGAUAUAUGUGGCUAGCUCCCGUUCGUCAAUGUGAUGUAGGCAUGCAUUCUGUGUGUAGUCAUACGUGCUUAGGGAAAAGAACUUGCACGACAUCUAUUGUCCAUCCCUCCCGUGGUAGCGGGGUCCAAAAGGAAACUACAGGAUAUUAAGGUUCUCCUUUUAAUAAAGAACCGGACCAAAGCAUUAGCACUUGGUGAACACAUGAACUCCUCAAACUAUGGUCAUCACCGGGAGUGGUUCCGGUUAUUGUCACUCCGGGGUUGCCGGGUCAUAACACAUAGUAGGUAACUACAACUUGCAAGAUUGGAUCUAAAACACACAUAUAUUGGUGACAACAUAAUAAUUUCAGAUCUGAAAUCAUGGCACUCAGGCCCUAGUGACAAGCAUUAAGCAUGACAAAGUAGUAGCAACAUCAAUCUCAGAACAUAUUGGAUACUAGGGAUCAAUCCUCGGCAAAACUAACUCGAUUACAUGAUAGAUCUCAUCCUACUCAUCACCGCCCAGCGAGCCUACGAAUAGAUUACUCACGAACAAUGAAGAGCUUCAUGGAAUUGGAGAGGGAAGAAGGUUGAUGAUGACGAUGGUGACGAUUUCCCCUCUCCGGAGCCCAAAACGGACUCCAGAUCUGCCCUCCAGAUGAAGAACAGGAUGUGGCGGCGCCUCCGUAUCGCAAACGCGACGAAAUCUUCUCUCUUGAUUUUUUCUGGGACGAAAGUGAAUUUAUAGAGCUAAGUUUGGGGGCGGCAGAGCCACGUGGGCCCCACAAGCUUGCUAGCCGCCACCUGGNCUACCCGCCACCAGGGGGGUGGCAGCUAUAGGGCUUGUGGCCCACUGGCCCAUCCCCUCUGGUGGAUCUUUGCGCGGGUAUUUUUCAUAUUUUCUAGAAAUAUUCUUCGUAAAUUUUCAGGACGUUCUGAGAACUUUCAUUUCUGCACAAAAACAACACAAAGGCAAUUCUGCUGAAAACAGCGCGAGUCCAGGUUAGUUCCAUUCAAAUCAUGCAAAUUAGAUUCCAAAACAAGGGCAAAAGAGUUUGGAAAAGUAGAUACGAUGGAGACGUAUCAAUGACGACAAGUACUAUCAAGCAAUGGAGAAUAAAUGCUAAUGAUAUAGAGAUGUGAAACCUCUAUGAAUGAAGAACCGAAAAAACUCCAUCCUCAAAAACGACAUAGAAUAUGCAUAUGAACUCCGUUUUCGAUGAACUUGAACUUGUCAUGAAUAUGACCAUAAGCUCAAGAACGCGCAUAGGGAAAAACCAUCCAAGAACCAAGAAAGAUUAUCUUUCCAAUAAUGCAUUGGUUUGAGCUCUCAACAGACGAUAUGAUCAAGCUACUCACUUGAGAGCCCCCCUUGGUAGUACGACAAUCUAUCCUAUAACCCGGUCUCCCAACUAACGCGCUGAGACCGGUAAAAUAGAAAACCUAUUAAGGACAAAUAUUUGCCUUGCGCAUAGUCCACUUGAGCUAAAUGAUGAUGAUGUUGUACUCCUCAAGAUUGACCACCUUCCUUCAUUGUGUUGGCUUGAUGAAGACUAGUUGAUUGCGCCCCAUACUUCACUAUAGGAAAGCAACUCUUCGGCACAUCUUCACCAUAGUGGACGACAAGAUUCAAGCAUGAUCUCGUCUGAUGCUCCACUUGAACUUGCACGCUGCAAUCUUCCAUGGGUUGAAUGAGACUUCCUGUUGACGCGGUCCCAUGGAAACACACCUACCCCACAUAGAACUUUCACAAAGACCAUGGGUUAGUACACAAAGCGUAAUGGACAAUGCUUACCGUACCAUGGGCUCACUUGAUCCCUCUCGGUACAUCUUGUACGCUUUGUGUGUUGAUCAACUUGAUUUACUCUUUGACUUAGUCUUGACCAACGUUGUGUAUUUAUGACCAAUCUUUGGAUAAAACCUUGAAUACCAUAUUGGUCAUCAUAUAAACUCUUUGAAACCAUUAGAUGGACUUCAAGAAGUGCCUAUGAACAAAUCCUUCGAAUAUAACUCAAGGCAAGCAUAUGCUCUAACAAUUCCCUACCAGGCACAUCAUUCAAAAGGAUGGAAGGUGUUCCAUAGGAUAGUAUCUUAUUGAUCCAAGUGAUGGAUCCAAUUUUUACGCACUUUUUAUAGCUCAUUUGUCGCCUAUUAUCUCCAUAUAGCAUGUUCUAUUGAGCAAAUGACAUGUACAUAUGCAUAAUUUCAAUUAUUUAUCAUGUCCAACACAAGGAUUGCAUAAUCGUUAUUCUUUGUUAGUGCUUAUAUGUGUCUUAUUUGUUUUUGUGUGUUUUGUAAGCAAUGUGGAACUCCCAUCCACUUAACACAAUGAAAAGGAUCCAAACGGAGGACAUCUAGGCACCAGACUUAGGCAGUCGGUUUUCAGAUGCUAAAAAUCAAUAUCUGCAUUGUAGGUUCAUGAGCGUUCUUCUCGUGAUUCCAACGAGUAGAGGAACGUUGAAAACAGAGUAUGGAUGUCAAAUUUACAAUUUUACCGAAGAGUCCAAACCAUUUAGUGACCUUUGGGAGGGAAAAAAUACUCGUCCCAGGCCCACACAAGCUCAAAAGUUGCAGGAUUUCAUUAUCGUUUGUUCCUACUACUUUCUUGUCCAUCAAGGGAUGUUUUGGGAAAGGAUUUGGUUCACCGAGAGCACUUAUAUCAAAGUAGAUGCUACAUCAAUGAAAGAGGGUUUGGGAGAGCUCUUAUAAAUAUAUCUCCAACCCUAACCACUCGGGGACACCAUCCAUAUCCACCUAUCCAUGCUCAGCUGUCAUCCCCAUCAAGAGGAACUUGGGGGUUGUGCCAAGCCUACAUCUCCAUUGUUGCAACCUUGGAGGAAGACUAGGAGGGAGUCAUGCUGGAAAAGCGUCAUGGGGGCUGCGGUCAUGGGCCAUAGCUGUCACAUCGUCCUCACCUAGCUACACCCCUUCUCAUUCCCCCAUCACGGUCUCCGUGAUGAAUUGUAACAACUCUUGAACCCCUUUAUAUGUGAUGUUAUUUGAGUAAUUCUUGGCUAUGGGUUGAUCAGCUAGUAAGCAUUUAUUUGAUAUGCGUCGUCUAUUUAUGCCUAUCAUCUUCAUGUUAUUAUUUACCCUUGCGGUAAUUUAGUGAUUGCAGCUGUACCGUCCAUUAGUGUAGUUGGAGACGUUCAACUCCCUAGGUCACACAUGAAGUUGAUAGAUACUUGUCCAUAUCGAGAGACCUCCGGGGUGACAGGCAUCGAUAUCUUGAGGGGAAUAAAAUUAUCCGAAGGAUCACGGUUGUUCAUAGAACUUAUUGCAUUCGGUUCAUGCCUUAUGAUAUUAAUGUCUUUCUUUUGCCCACUCACAGUAUGGGACAGGAAAUAGGAAGAGAGAGUUGUCUGAGUAUGACGAUGUUUGAGAGACAAUGUUAUGUGAGGGACCGCCCACCAUUGAUCAAUUGCGAUAUCGUAUAAUGCAAGGUAUAGACUUAAUUGUAGGUUUUAAUAGUUGAGAUAUAGAGCUUUUUGUCCUACCCACUAAUGUUUAAAACAAGGUAUGGUGUAGCUCAGCUCCAUUGUCACAAAGAGUGGUAAAAAAGUUGAGAUAUAGAGCUUUUCUUUUCGUUCCUACGCACAUAGUUGAAAAAAUCACAUCAAGGCCAAUGGACCAAAGAACAGCCAUUCCCUUCGCCAAAGCGAGGCGCAGAUGCGCUGUUGUCUUCUCUCCCACACAGGAGCUAGCCUCAUCAUGUCCAUGACAACUAGGAAGUCUUACUUGCACGUGCCCCUAAGUACCUGUGUUCUGGAACCACGGUUAUCCCCGAAUCGGUUUGAAGAACCUGACACGAAAUCUCGAUGUGCGUACGCACCCGAGAGGCUCCAUCUAAUCCUUCCUCGUGGACGAACUUCAAGAGGAUCGGAUCCCGAAAGACUAACUCGAAGAAGAAGCAUAACCAUCCAUCCCAGCACCAUCCGUAUGAGAGCUAAAACCCUACCUAUGUACUAGACGGAGCUGAGGCACCAGGAGUCCCCUUCCCGCCGAGGGGAGUCAUAUACAUAGGUUGGUCGACGGAUGUCAAGGGGAUGAAAGCUUUACCUAGUCGCCUUGCGAGAGGGGAAAGAACUUGUUCUACGUGUGGUCGGUUACUAUGCUAGUUGAGUUAAUUAUACCAAGAAAACACAUAUUUCAUUUUGAGAAACAUGCAUGUACACCACCCCUUUCAAUGCGCACACACACACUCUAUGCCUAUGAACAUUUACGAGAGAGUGAGCCAACAGACCUUAUGAUAAAAUAAAAAUACUUUACCCGCACCACUCAAAUGGCGUACUCAGACAAUUUGUAAUCAAAAAAUCUUGGGCUUAAAAUGAAACCAAAAACAAGGAAAGGUGGAAAAAGGUUGUGUGGCAACCACCCUAUAACAUCAAGAACUGAAACUUCCAUCAGACACAAUGCAUCUGAGGGCCACGCAACCUUUGAAAUGGAUAUGGCAGUGGCUGCAACAAGGCCAUUCCCAGGUACAACAAAUAAAGUCUGAGUUCAUCAAAACAAUGCCUUCAACAAGGCCAUUGCCACGUACAAAUAAUAUAGGCCAGACCAUUAGCUUUCACCAUGGAAAUCAAAACUCAUUACUCGAGGAGCAGCAUCAAAUUGCAGUCCUUCAGUGUUGCCGCCCCCGCUUGCCGAGACCGCUGUUGCAAGUCACCAAACACCUGGCACAUAGUCUUCAUCGUAUCCAAUACACCCUUCCAAUAAAGCUUAAGACCUCCAAUCACAGCGUCCAAGACUUCCUCCACCUCUAUUCAUGCCUUAGAAAUCAUAAAUUCGACAUGUCCAUGACACCCGUAAGAAAUCGAACAUUCGCGCCAUGCCCUCUCGAGCUGGGUUGGAUGAUAAUAUUAGCGCGCGCAACCGGAGCCUUUCCAGUCUAGAUAUCCAGGUUCGACAUACGUCAAUCUGUAUAGAUCUCUGAGGGGGAAGACCAGAAUGCGUCAGCAACCCGAUCCAAGAGGUCGACAUUAGGUAGAAAGACAACUUGGCGGAACAAAAGCGCUAUGGCCAAAGCACCAUUUUUAGGCCGAACCACACUCACCCACCUCCAAAGAAAACGAGCCACUCCGCACUAUGCCAAAUGCUCCAGCCACCAUACCGAGCACCACUCCGAGAAACACACCCCUGAACAACCUCCAUUUUACGGACUCAUGGCGCCAGGUCCCGAAUCCGGCUGCUCCCCGGGAGGAACGAGUCACUAGACGGCGUAGCAGCAAGCACCGGCUAUGCAUGCACUCCGGCCUGGUCGGUCCAGAGUGAUCACGAUGUUCAUCCACAUGAUUGCUAUAUCAUUGAGAGGUCAUGGUUGAUCGCAUCAUUUUGCAGGGUGCUUCAUCAUCAUGAAAUGAAUGAAUAUACGCUUCCUUUUUUGUGGGUUAGAUUCCACGAUGAUACAAAAUCUGGACUCACGAUACAUAAUUUAUGGGUUCAGUGGGGACGACAUGAACAGAGCAAAUGGACAACAGUGGGUUCUAAAAUUUUAGCUCAUGGAUGAAAACAAAGUUUUACCUUGCUUGGACACCCAAUUAAGUAGCAUUUCUACUCGCAAAAAAAAUAGCAUUUCCAAUUAAAAAAAAUCCUCCAUGACAUGUAAAUGAUUAGGCGUAGAAAAUAGUACUCCCUCCGUCACGGUUUAGAAGGCACAGUUAGACUUGCGUGCGUUUUCAAAAUAGACAAAGAUUAAGGCACAUUGCAUUUACUCCUAGCAGUUAAUUAGUAUUCCGUUGUACUAUUUCUAUAUGCAUGUGUAGUGUGAAUGCUAUUUUUUAACUCAUUGUAUAGCCAAUCAAUAACCACCUAGGUCCUAGAGAAUUUGCAUGCACGCCUUCUAAACCGUGACGGAGGGAGUACAACACUUUUGUAGUCCAAUGAAUAAUUGUGAAUAAAACAUAUAAAAGGUCAUGAUGACACACAUCACACAUGCAGCAAAUAUAUGUUAAUUAACUGCAUAAAAUGUUAUAAAAUGAAGCACCAAAUUUUACAAGCAAGCAUAAUUGGUUGACAAGUUUGUCUUAUAAGUAAAUAAAAGUGGAUAAAGGAUGUACGAUUAACAUUCGUCCUGCCUGUGCCACUGAACCUAAAUCGCCAAUCAACAAAGGAACUUCUUCGUGCACCUUUGAAGCGUUACCCGUCGGAAUAUGAAGCGAAAAGAAUAAUAGAGUACAUGCAAGGCUGGAAAAAGGAUUUGUGGCAAUCACACAUUGACAUGGACGACUGAAAUUUUCGGCACACACAACGCAUCCAACGGCCAUGCCUCUUACACUAAUCCGGAGAGAUAAGGAAACCAGGCAACCAACAAACGCCAGCCACCCCUUCCACAUCUUGAUUAAAGAUAGGAGCUCACAUGGCUAUAUAUACCGUGCUGAACAGGCAAUGGGGGCCUCAAGUGUAGCCGGCAUCCUCCUCUCUACAGUUAAUACAGUACCAUGGCCCCCGCCGUGAUGGCUUCGUCGGCUACCACCGUCGCACCCUUCCAGGGGCUCAAGUCCACAGCCGGUCUCCCCGUCAGCCGCCGCUCCAGCGCCAGCCUCGGCAGCGUCAGCAAUGGCGGAAGGAUCAGGUGCAUGCAGGUAUGUCGGGGCACAAAACUGAUAUGAGUUUCUUCCACAUUACAAUUACUGCACUUAGCAGUUACUAGCACUAAGUGUUAAGCGUUCCAUAAUUUCCAAUCAUUCAGGUGUGGCCGAUUGAGGGUAUCAAGAAGUUCGAGACCCUGUCUUACUUGCCACCCCUCACCACGGAGGCCCUCCUGAAGCAGGUUGACUACCUGAUCCGCUCCAAGUGGGUGCCCUGCCUCGAGUUCAGCAAGGUUGGCUUCGUCUUCCGUGAGCACAACAGCUCCCCCGGGUACUACGACGGCCGAUACUGGACAAUGUGGAAGCUGCCUAUGUUCGGAUGCACCGACGCCACACAGGUGCUUAACGAGGUGGAGGAGGUCAAGAAGGAGUACCCUGACGCUUAUGUCCGUAUCAUCGGCUUCGACAACCUGCGGCAGGUGCAGUGCGUCAGCUUCAUCGCCUUCAGGCCACCGGGUUGCGAGGAGUCCGGCAAGGCAUAAACUACGAGGUGAAACAAUGGCCUAUGUCGUAUGAAGGUCUUUUGUGAAUUUCACUUUUGUCCACGACUCUGCUUUCCGACCAGAGCAUAACUUUCUUCUUUAUGAUCUGUGUAUGUACGAGCAUAGGUUGUGGAGCAUAUAUGCAUAUGUAAAUUCUAGCACCCCCUACACAUAUCCAACACCUGUGUCAUAUUUAUAAUAUACAACAAGCGGACCAUUGUCUUGCUGUUAAUUAUCGGAAAAGUUUAUUUUAUUUAGCACUGCAAUGGAUGUCUCACAACUAGUGGGUGGAAGAUUCCAGUAUUUGACAUUAAGACCCACUGAUUGGCAACUGCAAUUUUCAGUUUCUUUAUUUAUAUCAAUCUAUACUUAUACUAAUUAGGGACUCUCAAUAAAUUCCCACGUUAAUUAAAAAAUUAGGACCGUUCAUCUAAUGGGACCGAGUUAUAACGGUCUAGAUUAGCCCGAUACACGUUAAUUAGAAAAUUAGGAUCGUUCAUCUAAUGGGACCGAGUUAUAACGGUCUAGAUUAGCUCAAGUAAUUUCCGGAUUAAUCAUAAAUACUCCCAGCCCACGUGACCUAACCCUGACUUCUCCCCACGUACAUCUUUCUCCAAUCUUCGUUUCCUAUAUGCGACCGUGAUAGCAGAUGCCAUGCAUCAUAUCCAGUGUCAUAUCUAUGGUUUAGAUCAAAUAAUCAAUCGUGGCAGUCUAAGCCCUAAAGCAAUCCCAUCUGCAGUCUUACCCCAACAAUGAUCUAAAGCAGUCCAUCAAGUCUGUUCCCAAUCUUCUUUCCUCGAUGACUGUUGAAUCUCAGCAACCCCAAGUCCAAAGCUAUGACGCAAAUCGUGGUGGCUGAGGAGGAGGUUGACCUUCAAUCCACUCAGCUUCUAGACCUUGACCAAACAUCAAUGCAUGUUCGAAGCUACAACGGCGAAGGAGGUUCAUCGAGGGCAGUUUGGAUCAGAUCGUAUAUUGUCACCAUUGUUUGUAAAGCUUCAGCGUGAAGGAACUAUGGCAGGCUGAUGGUGCCGUGGUUUAGCUUCUUUAUACUGCUGGAGUUCGUCCCCUAUGCAGGCAAGUAAUCCAUUAUCUUGAAUUUAGGAUUUAUUCUACAACCGUCUCAAUUAAUCAUAAAUUCCCAAUAAAUUAUAUUAAUCGUAUGACUAAAAAAGGUACUGUAUAUGCCCAUCUAUCACCUAACAGUAUUGUUCAGUAGUUGAUCAUGCACUCUACGGAACGAGGAGAAUCACUCUACGGCCGGUGGUCUGCAAUUCUGCAUCUCCUACAGUAGAAGAUGGUUGAUGGAGGUUGUGUCAGUACGUACGACUGUUUGAAGUUAAUUGGGUAGGUGCAGUCAUUGGUGUGCUGCUAAGUAGAAGAACUGUGCCCUGCAAAAAAAAGGUAGAACCGUGACAGCGUAGCACGAAGCUAUUCAUCUCCUUGACACAAUUCAGUUUCGUUGAAGAUCACACCUACGGACUACUCCCAUCAAUGGGAAAUUAGCUAUGUAUCCUUAAAUUCUUCGCUUAAGAUAAUAUUUCUUCAUAUAAUUUGCAUGUAGUAUCCUAUUCAAGCUGUUGAUAUGUCCACAAUUUUAACCGUGAGUUCUUCAAUUGAUGUUAUAUGUUUAAUAGGAAUAGGUCGUGUAGCUAAUGUUUAAUAUACGUUAAUUCAUGGUCUGAUCCACUUUCCAAUGUCUCAUCUAAUGCUUUUACAUGACAUCUGAUAUAGGGUAAUACACCAAUAUUUUCUCUUACUUCCAGCUGAUGCUUAACUAUGUUAUCCAGUUUCCAAUCUGUAGAUAGAUCGCUAAAUGAGUUCUACUAGGAACCUAUUAGGAUAUUAUAUUAUUUUUAGUUAUUCUCAUACGGGAUAUGCACAGCUUUUACUCAGUUCUAAUUAAACCAGAAGCACCUACUAAAUGAUCUAAACGUAUAUUUGUUCGUGCACAAUGCCCAAUUACUUCUUUUCAGAUAAAAAUACCAAGUUACUUUCGUAUGUUGCGUCAUGCUUCCCAUAAUUAUUGAUACUUCGAAACAACCUAUGCACAAGGCAAUAUAUUUUCCCGUGUAGUAGUCCAACCCAAUUUCAUUCCAACAUGAGAAAACUUGUGGAUACACCAUCUCUGCCCCUCACACGGCCUGAUGGCUGAUUGUGUCCUCAUCUAUGUCCUCCUCUUCCNNNNNNNNNNNNNNNNNNNNNUUCCUCCCCCUCUCCCCUCACUCCCACCUGCCGUAGCAUCACUGUGACAUCUGUAUGCCUCCAAUUUGUCGCAUUUCUGGAGCACGAGAAAACUACAAGAGGCUAACAAGGCUACAUACGACAUAACUAUGGUAGGCUGUUGGCACUGCUGUUCACCUUCUUAAUAUCCUUGGAUGUUGGACUCUACGCCGGCCUCUCCCAUCUUGAGUGUUGGUGGCUGCAUGAUCUGAGCAUCGGCUUGGAUGGCGUCCAAUAAAGACACCAUGCAUUACUGGCAGUGUAGACUCUGACACACACAAGUAUAUGAUCUAAGCUUUUCGUUGGCCCAAAACGCACACAUACUGCAGCCAAGAUUAAUCGACAUCAAUGCCCAAUUACUUCCUUUCAUACAACAAAACAUAUCAACGCCAACAUGUGUGGGAUGAGAAGGCGCUGGGCUGCAUGCCAGUGUGGGCCUAUGCCAGGGGGACAAGACGACACUCUCAGCCUCGGAGAUGCUCCCGAUGCACUGCAAGCACCAUUGCAAAUUCGGAAUACGGUCUUUCUAUUCCCAUCUUCAUUUCCUUGUGUAUAAAUUGCUAACUGCAUGUACAUGACAGAUAGCAACAACAAAUUCUAAAACAAUCCCUCUCAUAUAGGCUAUACCACAUGGGAAAGAUCAUGAAUGUUGCGGUUCAAUUAUAAUCUAUUUGCAAUACCUAGAUUUUGUUUUUAGAUGUUUUGAGAGUAGUGUUCGUAAUUACAGAUGAAAACGUAAUCCUAUUGUUGUUGUGGCCUCUUGAUUUCUCCAUCAUAACAAGAAGAGGAAGUGUACACAUGUUGAAGUCACGUUUAGGCAUCAAUGUGAGUGGUAUGUAAGCAAACAUUGUCUAAUGGCCGACUAUAUGUUUCUUGAAUAAAAAUAAUUAUACAAUAUGAUUACAUAACGCUGCAAGCAGAUCCUAGAAAAAUAUAAAUGAAAUUGCACAAUAAAUUUUUUUGUGACCAUGAUUAUAUGAAUAUUAGUUUAGUCAUAGUAUAUCAUCAACAUAUUUAUUUUUAUGUUAUAUUUUGUAAUGCUGAUAUGUUCACAAAAAUAGUAAUAUUAGUAGUAGAAACUAAUAUUUUUGUACCAUUAUUAGUAGUAUAAUUUAUCACAAAAAUGUGAACCAAUGAUUGUAAAGCUUUUCCCACAACAUAAGCUAUUACUUGAAUGUGAUAAGGUGAGAUAGUAUUAUGACCAAAUGUUACGAGUGCAAGUUAAUUAUUAUAUCACAGAAAUAACUGAAUCAUUUCAUUUCAUUGUCUAACAAAUAAGUAUGCCCUCAAUUUGAAUUUAUUCGCAUAUGAGUAUUAUCUCGAGUUAGACUUCUACGAUACCGAAACAAUACCAUUAGACUCAUUAUUGAAUAUAUUUACACAUCUUAUAAGUUUUGAAAAAUGAACUUAUUAGGAAGUAUAAAAACCAGUCGGCCCACACAACCCACCAGAUGAAUUUAAAUUGACCUGCGAUAAAAUUAAUUACCACUCACCCUAUUAGGGUAGCCCGUGCGAAUGCACGGGUUCACGACUAGUUUAUCUAAUGUAGGUUAGAGCAACACCAACCAGGCCCCCCAAACGGACGCUCGUUUUGUCCGUGUUUUGUCCAUUUUGGUCGGCUUGUUCGUCCUGUUUUCGUUUUGGGUCCGUCGUGCGUCCAAUGCGCCCAUGCUUCUUUCGCGCUAUGCUUCUUUCGUUAGUGUGGUAGGCUUGCAGCCAUUUUUUGAUCUCUUUGUUACAUAUGUUUAAAAUUUAAUCCUAGAUUAACGAAGUUGAGUAAAAAUACAACCAUUUCAUAGUUCACAAACCACAUAAAUAUCUGAUAGUUUACAAGCCAAAUUUACAUUAAAUUGUCUCCAACACAUUUGAAAGAAAAGGUUGCCAACACAUCUAUUGGUUGCCAAUAUGAAUGCACAUAUGCUCGCAGCUGCAUGUGAGUUUCAAUCACGUAUCUGAUGAUGAAAUUGGACGAACUAUGCAAACGUGAUCACUCCUCCAUGCACAGGCACAACAUUGUCACCCUGUUGAAUCCUAGGUUUUCAUUGGAAUUGCCUACCAGGCACACCAUUCAAAAGGAUGGAAGGUGUUGCAUUGGAUAAGAUCUUGAUCCAAGUGAUGGCUCCAAUUUGUACACAAUUUUAGAGCUCAUUUGUCGCCUAAUAGCUCCAUAUAGCAUGUUCUAUUCAGCCAAUUACAUGUCCAUAUGCAUGAUAUCCAUUAUUUGUCCUUUCUGUCACAAGGAUUGCGUAAUCAUAAUUCUUUUUUAGUGCUUACUGUGUUUCUUUGUUUUUGAGUGUUUUGUAGGUAACGUGGAACUCCCAUACACUUAACCCAAUGAAAAGGAUCCAAAGGUAAGGACAUACAGGUACCAGAUUUAGGCAGUCGGUUUUUUAGUUGCUCAAAAUCGAUAUCUGAUAUUGUACGUGCAUCAGCAUUGUUUUCAUGAUUCCAACGAGCAGAAGAACAUUGAAAACAGAGUCUGGAUGUAAAAGUUACAAUUUUACCAAAGAGUCCAAAGCGUUUAACGACCUUUGGCAUGACCCAAAAUGCUCGUAUCAGGCCGUGACAAGCUCGAAAGUGGCCCUUUCCAAAGGAAUUCUUCGAGGCUUUCUUGUUCAGUGCCACAAGAAAGUGGUACUAUCAUUAUUAACUUUGUAUUUGUUGGCGUCAAUGUUAUGGACAUCAAUAUCACUACUAUCUAGAUUCAAAAAGAAUAAACCAUUCACAGUAGGCUCAUGACCAUAAAAGAUGUUACCCAUAUAAAUGGAACAACCAUUAUUCUCUAGUUUAAGUGAAUAACUGUCUCGCAAUAAACAAAAUCUAGAUAUAAUGUUCAUGCUCAAGCGGGCACCAAAUAACAAUUAUUUAGGUUUACAACUAAUCCUGAUGGUAAUCGAAGAGCGAUUGUGUCGACCGCGAUCACAUCAACCUUUGAACCAUUUCUGACGUGCAUCGUCACUUCGUCCUUUGCCAACCUUCGUUUAUUCCGUAGUUCCUGUUCAAGUUACAAAUAUGAGUAACCAAACCGUUAUCAAAUGGCAUUACUACGAGAGCUAGUAUGGUACACAUAAAUAACAUGUACAUCAAGUAUAUCUUUAUUGAUGUUGCCAGGCUUCUUAUUGGCCAGAUACUUGGGUCAAUUCCGCUUAUAGUGACCAGUUCCAUUGCAAUAGAAGCACUCAGUCUCAAGCUUGGACACAACUUUGGGUUUCUUGAGGGGGGGAACUGGCUUGUCGUUAUUCCUGAAGUUUCCCUUCCUGCCCUUGCCUUUCUUCAAACUAGUGGUUUUAUUCACCAUCAACACUUGAUGCUCCUUCUUGAGUUCUACUUCCGCGAUUUUCAGCAUCGCGAGAUUAGCUUCUUCAUCCCUUGCAUAUUAUAGUUCAUCGUGAAGUCUUUGUAGCUAGGUGGCAGUGACUAGAGAACUAUGUCAGGACCGUCUCAGGUGGAAUCUCAACUCCCAACUGAUUCAGGCGGUUGUACCACACACACAUUCUGAGUAUGUGCUCACUGACAGAACUAUUAUCUUUCAUCUUGCAGGUGAAGAAAUUAUUAGAGGUCUCAUACCUCUUGAUCCGGCCAUUUGCUCGAAAUACUAACUUCAACUCCUGGAACAUUUGAUAUGCUCCAUGGCGUUCAAAACGGUUUUGAUGUCCCAAUUCUAAGCUGUACAACAUGGUACACUGAACUAUCGAGUAGUCAUCAGCACGCGCCUGUGAGACGUUCAAAAAAUCUGCAUACGACACUAGAGGGGUGGCGUCUCAAGCGCUGCAUCAAGGACAUAAGCCUUUUGCGAAGCCGUGAGGAUAAUCCUCAGAUUAAAGACCCAGUCUGCAUAGUUAUUUCCAUCAUCUUUCAGCUUAUCUUUCUCUAGGUACACAUUCAAAUUCAGGGGAGCUACUGUGUGAGCCAUUGAUCUACAACGUAAUUUGCAAAGACAUCUAUAGACUAUGUGUCAUGACAAUGAAUUCAAUUAAUCAUAUUACUAAAGAACUCCCACUCAAAUCAACAUCCCUCAGUUGUCUAAGUGUGACAUGAUCCAAAUACACCAACCCAAGUCCGAUCAUCAUGUGAGAUGAGGUGAUUUCAAUGGUGAACAUAUCCAUUUGAUGAUAUGUACUACAUGACUCAUGUUCGACCUUUAGGUCUCCUCUAUUCCGAGGCCAUGUUUGUACAUGCUAGGCUCAUAAAGUUUAACCCAAGUGUUUUCCAUGUGCAAAACUGGCUUACAACACUUGUAUGUGAACGAAGAGUGUAUCACACCUGAUCAUCACGAGGUGCUUCGAAACAACAAACUUUCACAACGGUGAGGGAUCAACUUAUAAUGCUAUCAUUGUCCUAAGGAUAAUAAGAUGCAUAAAAUAUAAACAUCACAUGCAAAUCAUAUAAGUGACAUGAUAUGGCCAUCAUCAUCUUGUGAUUCUGAUCUCCAUAUCCAAAGCACCGGCAUGAUCUCCAUCGUCACCGGCAUGACACCAUGAUCUCCAUCAUCGUGUCGUCAUGUGGUUGUCGUGCUAACUAUUGCUAACUCAUAGUGAUAAAGUAGAGCAAAUGACACAAAUAAAUAAAAGACAACCCUAUGGCUCCUACCGGUUGUCGUACUCAUGGAGAUGGAAGUUGUGAUAACUAUACAAAACAUGAUCAUCUCAUACAUCACAUAUAUCAAAUCAUGUUUUUGGCCAUAUCACAUCACAACAUGCCCUCGACAAACAAGUUACACGUCCUCUACUUUGUUAUUGCAAGUUUUACACGGCUGCUAUGGGAAACUAGCAAAAAUCAUUCUUACAUACGCAAAGCCACAACGGUGAUAUUCAAGUUGCUAUCUAACCUUCUACAAGGACUGCCUGUGUCGAAUCCGAUUCAACUAAUUAAAUUGAGAGAGACAAACACCCGCGAACCACCUUUAUGCAAGCAAGUUACGUGUUAGUUGGUCAAACUAGUCUCUUAUGCGUGGACAGGUACGGUUGGUCCGAACCGCUCCAUCCCAGAAUAUCGCUGAAUCAAAAUAAUACUAAGGAGCUAAGCAAGAUGAACAUCAACACCCACAAACACUUUGUGUUCUACUUGUGCAUGCCAUCUAUACAGAAACCUAGCUCAUGAUGCCAGUGUUGGAGAAUGUUGCAUGGGAAACAAUAGUUUUCCUAUGUACACCCAAGAUCUAUCUAUGGAGAUGUAUAGCUACGAGACGGGGAGUGGAUCUACACACCCUUGCAGAUCACUAAGAGGAAACAUUAAGAAACGCGGUUGAUGUAGUUGUAUGUCUUCACGAUCCAAUCAUGAUUCGUCCUGAUCUAGCGCCGGUCAGACGGCACUUCCGUGUUCAGCACACGUACAGCUCGAUGACGUCUUAGCCCCCCAGAGAGCGAUGGUGGAGUAGUAGAUGAGUUCUCCAGUAGAACGGCGGCGUGGUGACGCACUAGUGGAGAAAGGGGUAUUAGAACCGGUUGGUAAGGGCCUUUGGACCCAGAUACACAUCCGGUGCUACGUAUCCGGGACUAAAGCCCCCCCCCCUUUAGCACCGGUCUCUUACAAACCGGUGCUAAAGGCCUCCACGUGGGCGCCGAAGAGUGCGCGCAGGCGGAGGACCUUUAGAACCGGUUGGUAACACCAACCGGUCCUAAUGCUUUUUUUUCUUUUUUUUCCUNUCCAGUUCCGUAUUUCCGUUUACGUCUUUCCGAUUCCGUGUUUCCGAUUCCGUAUUUUGGUGUUUCCGUGUUCCGUAUUUUCAGGGUUUUCGUUUUCGUGUUUCCAGUUCCGUAUUUCCGUUUACGUCUUUCCGAUUCCGUGUUUCCGAUUCCGUGUGUCCGUGUUUCGUUUUUUACGAACACGGAAUCGGAAACACGUAAUCGGAAACACCGAUUCCGUGUUUGCGGUUAAGUGUUUCCGAUUCCGUGUUUGCGGUUAAAUGUUGAUGCACCAAAUAAAAGUACAUAUAUACAUGUAACACGAAGUACUGGACCGAUUAUCAUUACAUAAUUUGAAGUUCGUUUCCUAUGGCUGUAUACUUGCAUAGAGAAGGGAACUGGCUAUUGGUUCGUAGGAUGGAAAAUUUCUCCGCCUUCAUCUAUGACUUGCGUGAGGAGAAAUCCUGCCAAUUCCUCUACAACUGCCUUGCAACGUUGGAUUGGUCUGAGCAUCGCCCGCUUUCGUUGCAGCUUUAAAAGAAGUAGAUGAAAACAAUUAAGUUAUGAACAAAACUAAACAUAAUUGAUGGCAACAUAAAUAAAGUUGUGAAGAUCCGGUUACGUACCUCUAGAUUUCUGGAAGUACGGGAUUUCUCAUUGAUAAUCCUGUGAAUGUACUCGCAAACGUAGUAUCCACAAUAAUCAGUGCCCUGUGGUUGUUGCGGGACGCCCUAUAUACGAGAACAUAAUUCAGUCAAAUUAAUAAUAAUCAAGAGAAUGGUAAUGGUAUUGAAACCAGGGUACGUAGUACUACUUACUUUGUUAAUCUGAAAGUGGAGCUUGUCUGCCCAUGUACCGGGUUCUUCCUUGAUGAACAUUUGCCAAACCCUGGCCGACAAAGAAAAAUGAAUACAAGAGUUAAUUAUUACUUACUUGAUAUCAGGAAAUGAACGAAAAAGAGGCCGAUGAACGAAAGAGGCCGAUAUAUAUAUACCUUUGAAGCAUCUGACGCGCGCUCUUCCAUGUGUCAGCGUCCCAGGUUAACGGGUCCCAGACUUCAACUUGUCCUUGAUCGAUUCUAAUGAUGAACAAUAUGAAGUGGGACCUGCGCACGUGUACACACGAAGUCAUGCAUACUCAUCAAUUACACUUAACAUCAGGUAAGCAAAAUGGAAUGUGUACAAGACAGUAGCACUCACUUGAAUCCGUAGGGCCAAAUAUUUCUUUUUUGGUACUUUGUCGCUUCAAAAACCUUAGCAAAUCAUCCGGUGUAUCCUUGUUGAACUUUUCUAUUGUCUCUUGAUGAAACGAAUACGGGUCAAUGAACCCAAAGUCCCAGAUUCCUGCCAGCCUGCAUUCACGAAUCUUCAUUCUGCAUAGUAGCAUACAAAAAGAAUAUCUCGUGAGUGAUAAUUAUACGGGCAAUGAACGCGAGCUUAACUAAAUAAUUAAAUUACACAAAUAAAUAACUUACAAACAGUAGCAGCUGACGAUAGCUUUGUCGAGGGCACGUUGGUUGUAUAUCUGGAAAAAAUCAUCGAACCCAACCUCCACACCGUACUCUCCGAAGCAGUGUUGAUCCUGAACUGCCGCCAUGAUACAGUCUCUCUUUUGCCUUGCGGCCUCCAAGUACCAAACAUGUAAAUUCCAUAGUUGGGUUGUUAGAGCACUAGGAUUUUCGACCAGAGGGUGCUCGGGCUUAUAUUUAUAUACCACAUCAACAAUAGCGUAACCUACGUCGCCCAUGCGUGGACCGGACACUGAAGCCUGGUCAGAUAACACCUUGAGCGGGGCAAUUGACUGUGCUUCUUGUUGUUCGAGCUGGGGAACUUGUUUCCCGCAUUUCGUCUGCUCCGCCUGCUUCAUCUGUGCGGUGUGCAUCUUUUCAAUGUACCGUUCAUAGUCUGAAAGGGGCGGCGGUGGCGGCGGUUCAGGAUAAUAUAAGUUGUCGAUGGUGCGCUCAAUUUUCCACUUUGGUACGUUCUUCAGAGUUUCCUUCCAGAUGUCUGGAGGGGGCUUCAAGGGAAACCGUGCGAACCAUGCUUUGUUUUUGGCUUUCACGGCCUCGUCUAGUUCCUCCGGAGUCAUCAGGCCUGGUAACUUUGGGGGAGUCUUGACUUUAUUGGGUUUCCUUUCUCUCUUCUUGGGAGGAGUCCCGUUUCUUCUGAACUGCAGCUUCCGCUUUGCCGUACCCGUAGUGGGCGCAUCCGUCGGCUCACUGGAGUGCACGGGCGAUGGACUCUCGGCCUCGGGCUCCCAAUCUUCGUUGUGGGGUGGACUUGGAGGUGCGUUGGGGGGUGGACUUGGAGGUCGUGCAUUCUCUGUACGAAAGUGAAAAAACUAUUAAAAAUAGGCUUACGUGUGGUGCAACAUUCAGUAAUUGUUGGAGGUGGUGCAUUGGUACCUGGAGGAAUCGGUGGCCUUGGCGCCGCGUUAGGAAACACGAUGUGUUUCUUCUUCCACAAGAUGAUACCAAGCUCCAUUUCUCCCAGUGUCUUCUCGCCUUCACCUCCAGGAAUAUCAAGCUCAAUUGACUGGCAUCCCGACGUAAUUGUUGACAACCCGACACGAGCAUGGGAUGCUGGAAUCUGACCACCAUGGUAGGUUGCUCCAGGUUGAUUCGGUAAAGCAUAGCCUGACGCCACCAUGAAGGAUAUGCACCCCAUUGGCAUAUGUAUCUCACAGUUUGUCUUCUCCGUGACAUCAUCCACGGGGUAGUGAGGCGCCGACGGUUCGACUGUAGGACCGUCUUCUAGCUGCAGCUGCGUGGAACCCACGCUGCUUCUAUGCUGAGAUGGGACGGCAUCUGCUACAGGAUCGUCUUCUAAUUGCUGCUGAUCAGCGUCAGGUGCAGGAUCUUCUUCCUCCUCUUCAGUGUCAGGUACAGGGUGUCCCCCUUUCUUCAAGAGAAACGCCACCUUUUCUUCUAAUGUCGAUAUCCGUUCCAGCACCUUCCUCUUGCUUCUACCACGGCUUCUGUAAGUGCCAAGGUCCGCCGGAAAAACUUGGUUCCACGCGGUAGUGGCUCCAAAGCCUCGUGUUCGUCCCCACUUUUCUGGGUUCCCAAGUGCCUUCGUCAACUCGUCGUUCUCUCUAUCGGGAACAAAAGUUCCUUUUCGAACAGCUUCUAUUGCCUUCUCUAGAUCUGAUACGACUUGUGUUAUUUUUUCCGACCAUGGUCCCUCCGCAACAAUCAUCCCAGUCUUAGCAUCCAACGUUGCCCCAUGUGCGAACAACCAGAACUUGGAACUAUCGGGCCAGUCAUGUGUCUGUGGAAUGAUAUUUCUUUUCAGAAGCGCAUCUUCAUAGCGUCGCCACCUAGGGAGGGCAGUCAUGUAGCCACCUGACCCCAAAAUAUGGUGAUAUUUCUUCUUCUUCGCAUUCUCCGUAUUUGUGGCUGAUCGGGAUGUAAAGACACCCGAUUUCUUGUACGCCUUAAAAUCAGGCCAAGCGUCUCUUAUCUUCACUAGGUGCCCAGUGAAAACUGGAUCUUCGUCCUUAUAUUUCUUCCACAAGUCUUUCUUCCACCUCUGGAAUUGUGCGGCCAUCUUCUUCAAAGCCCACUCCUCGACUUUCUUCUUCUUAUCUUCCGCUACGCUGAAAUUUAGCCAGACCAUGUCGCAAAGCACUCUUUUCAAUCUGUCAUCGACAUAAGUAGCUCCAACGUUGGCGCCGGUCUUCGGCUUAUUCCAUUCUAUUAAGUUGAUCGGGACCAGGUCUCUUACAACAACUCCGCACUGAUUUACAAAUUUGCGAUAAGUUUCUGGGGGUUCCAGUGGUUUGCCAUCAGCAGCAACUUUAUCGAUCGAGUACCUUGCAGUAUCUUUCAACCUUGCGGCCGGGCCUCGUUUCGACUUUGUCUCAGUACUUGCGCUAGCUGUUCUGGAGGGCGCCUAAACGGGAAAAUAAUGAUCCGUUAGUAAGUGCAAUACAAAUUAAUUGUUGCGUCAACAGUGACUUGAGAUAUACAUUGGCAGAGUUUGUUCCGGAGGGCACUUCUGCAUCUACUACAUCUUCUAUAUUCUCAGCUCCGUCACCGGAGUCGUUCAAAAAUUGAUUGCUAAACGCAUGUCCACCGUCGUCAUCAUGAUAUAUGGCCGUUGCAUCUUCAAAAAUCAUCUCGCACAUGUAUCUUUCCUUCUCCGCCUCACCCAUUCCCGUGAGCUGAUCGGCGUGCUGAUCAUGUGGUUCUUGGGGAUCCAUAGCUCAACACCUGCUAGUAACAAGAAUUUAACUUAGCAAAAUUAUUUACGGAAAAGUUUUACGGAACCGGAAAGUUUACGGAAAAGUUUUACGGAGUCGUAAUCGUCGGAAAGUUUUACGGAAUCGUCGGAAAGUUUUACGGAAUCGUCGGAAUCGUCGGAAACUUUCCCCAGCAAAACUAGUGAGAGGUCGGGGGGACAUGACGAAAGGGUCCCUUGGCCAACACAGUUAUAUUGUGUGACACAGAUUUCUUCAUCGCAGUUCUGGCACAAAUGCUCGGUUCCGGGGCGAAACAAAAAUUUCGGGCCUAUUAAUACUAGUAAUAGUAUGUGGUUUGCAUAUGACCAUACCACCAUGUUUCGGCAGUUGAUUCAUCUUUAAGAAAUAGUUUUGGAAACAUUGGAUUCUAAAACGUAAGAAGACGAAAAUAGGAACUACAACAAUAUGGAUAUAUCGUGACUUUAAAAAAAAUCACAAGAGUUUAAAGCUCUUCAAUUUACAAUGAUGUGGGUGAAGAUACAUGCAAUCACAUAAAACAAAUUGUAAGAUCUCUAAACUCAAACCAAAUACCAAGAUCGCAUACCAAAUACCAAGAUCGCGUCGGCGUACGAGAUGUUCCCGUGGGAGAAGAAGAUGAAGUCGCUGCUGCCGGUGCCGGAGUCGACGGCAUGGGGUGGCGAGGAGGCGGCGAGGAGGAGGCGAGGAGGCGGCGAGGCGACGAGGAGGCGACGAGGAGGCGAGGAGGAGGCGAGGAGGCGACGAGGAGGCGAGGAGGCGGCGAGGNNNNNNNNNNNNNNNNNNNNNNNNNNNNNNNNNNNNNNNNNNNNNNNNNNNNNNNNNNNNNNNNNNNNNNNNNNNNNNNNNNNNNNNNNNNNNNNNNNNNNNNNNNNNNNNNNNNNNNNNNNNNNNNNNNNNNNNNNNNNNNNNNNNNNNNNNNNNNNNNNNNNNNNNNNNNNNNNNNNNNNNNNNNNNNNNNNNNNNNNNNNNNNNNNNNNNNNNNNNNNNNNNNNNNNNNNNNNNNNNNNNNNNNNNNNNNNNNNNNNNNNNNNNNNNNNNNNNNNNNNNNNNNNNNNNNNNNNNNNNNNNNNNNNNNNNNNNNNNNNNNNNNNNNNNNNNNNNNNNNNNNNNNNNNNNNNNNNNNNNNNNNNNNNNNNNNNNNNNNNNNNNNNNNNNNNNNNNNNNNNNNNNNNNNNNNNNNNNNNNNNNNNNNNNNNNNNNNNNNNNNNNNNNNNNNNNNNNNNNNNNNNNNNNNNNNNNNNNNNNNNNNNNNNNNNNNNNNNNNNNNNNNNNNNNNNNNNNNNNNNNNNNNNNNNNNNNNNNNNNNNNNNNNNNNNNNNNNNNNNNNNNNNNNNNNNNNNNNNNNNNNNNNNNNNNNNNNNNNNNNNNNNNNNNNNNNNNNNNNNNNNNNNNNNNNNNNNNNNNNNNNNNNNNNNNNNNNNNNNNNNNNNNNNNNNNNNNNNNNNNNNNNNNNNNNNNNNNNNNNNNNNNNNNNNNNNNNNNNNNNNNNNNNNNNNNNNNNNNNNNNNNNNNNNNNNCUUUUACAUUUAUUUACAAAUUGUCUAAAUGUUAUUUUAACACUUAAAAAAUAAAAAUGAUAUUUAUCAAAAUGGUCAAAUUUAGUGGAAACUGGUCAAAUUUUUGAUAUUUAUCAAAAUGGUCAACACAAUUACAUAAAAGGUUUAAUACAUUAUUACACAUCACCAACAACACCCCCUAUCUAUUUUUAUUCUUGCCUUUCUUCUGAUUGCGCCGUAACCAUGGAGUAUCUUCAUCAUUUAACGGGAUGCUUGGAUCAUCUUUGACUUUGAAGGGAGGAAUUUCAUCAAAUUUAUUGUAAUCUUCUGACAUGUCUGUCUUGUCCUCGACUCCCACGAUGUUUCUUUUCCUUGAAAGAACUAUGUGGCGCCUUGGCUCAUCGUCUGAUGUAUUCGGCUUCCUUAUCUUUUCUUUUUCUCGGUCUGCUAGACAUGUCCUUCACAUAGAAAACCUGAGCCACAUCAUUGGCUAGGACGAAUUGAUCAUUGCCGUACCCAAGAUUCUUCUGAUCCACUGUUGUCAUUCCGUACUUCGGGUCUAGCUUCACGCCUGACAGGUUGAACCAUUUGCACCAGAACAAAGGGACCUUAAUGGAAGGUCCGUAGUCAAGUUCCCAUAUCUGCUCUAUGUAACCAUAGUAUGUGACCCUUUGCCCGUUGUCGUCUUUUCCAUCAAACCGGACGCCACUGUUUUGGUUGGUGCUCUUUUUAUCUUGGUCUGCCGUGUAAUAUGUGUUACCAUUUAUCUCGUACCCUUUAAAGGUCAAUACAGUCGAAGAUGGUUGCUUGGCCAACAAGUAUAGCUCAUCUUCAACAAUGUUGUCAUUAAUGAAACGUCUUUGCAACCAACCGCCGAAAGUCUUCGCGUGUUCUUUAGCAAUGAAAUCUUCAGGUUGCUCCGGGUAUUCCGAGCGUAAAAUAUCCUUGUGUUCCUGGAUAUAUGGAGCCGCCAAGCUGGAAUUAACUAGAACUGUGUAGUGUGCUUGAGUGAAAGAUUGCUCGUCCAUACAUGUUGUUGAUUUCUUUCCUAGCGUGCCUUUUCCACGCAGUCUCCCCUCAUGGCGCGACUGAGGAACACCGAUCGGGUUCAGGUCAGGAAUAAAGUCAACACAAAACUCAAUGACCUCCUCUGUUCCAUAGCCCUUGACCAUGCUUCCUUCUGGCCUAGCACGGUUUUUAACAUAAUUCUUCAAGACUCCCGUGAACCUCUCAAAGGGGAACAUAUUGUGUAAGAAUACAGGACCGAGAACGGAAAUCUCUUGGACUAGGUGAACUAUGAGGUGCGUCAUAAUAUUGAAGAAGGUUGGUGGGAACACCAACUCGAAGCUGACAAGACAUUGGACCACGUUCUUCUGUAAACUUGGUAGAGUUGCUGGAUCGAUUGCCUUCUGAGGAAUUGCGUUGAGGAAUGCACAUAGCUUCACAAUGGGUACUCGCACGUUUUCUGGCAGAAGCCCCCUCAAUGCAAUCGGAAGUAACUGGGUCAUGAUCACGUGGCAGUCAUGAGACUUUAGGUUUUGGAACUUUUUCUCUUCCAGGUUUAGUAUUCCUUUUAUGUUCGACGAGUAGCCAGACGGGACCUUGAUACUACUCAGGACUUGGAAAAAGAUCUCCUUCUCUUCCUUGGUAAGAGCGUAGCUGGCAGGACCUUUGAAAUUCUCUGGAUUCAUCAGGUCGUCUCGUUCGUGCAUACGUUGGUGGUGCAGCCAUGCUUUUGGUGUAUCUCUCGACUUCUUCCCAUGCACGCCCAAUAAGUUUAGCAGGUUCACGCAAAUAUUUUUCGUCACGUGCAUCACGUCGAUCGCAGAGCGAACCUCUAGGAAUUUCCAAUAUGGUAGUUCCCAGAAUAUAGAUUUCUUCUUCCACAUGGCUACGUGGUUGUCGGCGUCAUUCGGAACAGAUUGUGCGCCAGGACCCUUACCAAAGAUUACUUUUAUAUCUUUGACCAUGUCAUAUAUAUCAGUACCUUUAGGGAGGGUUGGCUUCCUCCGUGUAUCUGCCUCGCCUUUGAAAUGCUUUCCUUUCUUUCUUACGGGAUGCCUGUCUGGAAGAAAUCGACGAUGCCCUGGGUACACAUUCUUGCAUAUAUGUAUACUUUCAGUCUCGCCUAAACAGUGUGUGCAUGCGCUGUAUCCCUUGUUUGACUGUCCUGAGAUGUUACUAAGAGCGGGCCAAUCAUUGAUGGUUACAAACAACAACCCUCGUAGGUCAAAUUCCUCCUGUUUGUACUCGUCCCACACACGUACACCUUCGUCAGCCCACAACUCUAAAAGUUCAUCAACCAGUGGCCUCGGGUACACAUCAAUGUUGUUGCCGGGUUGCGACGGGCCUGGGAUAAGCACUGGUAUCAUAAUGAACUUACGCUUCAUGCAUAACCAAGGAGGAAGGUUAUAGAUACAUAGAGUCACGGGCCAGGUGCUAUGACUGCUACUCUGCUCCCCAAACGGAUUCAGGCCAUCUGUACUUAGACCAAACCUUAAGUUUCUUGGGUCACGUGCAAAGUCCUCGUACUUAUCGUCGAUGUUUCUCCACGGCGACCCAUCAGCGGGUUGUCUCAGCAUAUCAUCUUCCUUACGGUCUUCUUUGUGCCAUCGCAGCAACUUGACAUGCUCUUUGUUUCGGAACAAACGUUUCAACCGUGGUAUUAUAGGAGCAUGCCACAUCACCUUGGCAGGAACCCUCUUCCUGGGGCGAUCGUCGCCCACAACAUCACGAGGGUCAUCUCGCCUGACCUUAUACCGAAAUGCACCGCAUACCGGGCACGCAUUUAAAUUCUCGUCUUGACCGCGGUAGAGGAUGCAGUCAUUGAUGCAUGCAUGUAUCUUAUGCACUUCCAAUCCUAGAGGGCAGACAACCUUCUUUGCUUCGUACGUACUGCAGGGCAGCACGUUAUCUCUUGGAAGCAUCUUCUUCAUUAUUUUCAGCAGCUUUUCAAAUCCCUUGUCAGAUAUUCCAUUCUCUGCCUUCCAUUGCAGCAAUUCCAGGGUGGUGCCCAACUUUUUCUGGCCAUCUUCGCAAUUUGGGUACAACAAUUUUUUGUGAUCUUCUAACAUGCGCUCCAACUUCAACCUCUCGUUUUCACUUCCGCAGUUUAUCUGUUCUUCACGAAUGACCUGACGAAGAUCAUCAUCAGACUCAUCAACAAUGUCCUCAAGUUCAGGCUCGUCUUCCCCCAUUUCAGUAUCACCGUGUUCACCGAACAUAGGAUAGUUAUCAUUAUCCUCUUCUUCUUCAUUGUCUUCCAUUACAACCCCUCUUUCUCCGUGCUUGGUCCAACAAAAAUAACUGGGCAUGAAGCCUUCUUGCAACAGGUGGGUGUGUAUGGUUCUUGAGUUAGGGAAAUUCCUCUUAUUCUGGCAUUUUUUACAUGGACAAAAAAUAAAUCCAUUCUGCCUGUUUUUCUCAGCCACAUUGAGAAAACUAUGCAUGCCAUUAAGGAAUUCGGGACGACGUCGAUCACUGUACAUCCAUUGCCGGUUCAUCUGCAUUAUAUAAAUUUAUCAAAAACCAUUAUGCUAAAUCAUCAUGACUAAAUUAAUUAAUUAAUACNCAAAGUAGCGUAGUGACCAUACAUAUAUAGUUCUCAUAAAAAUACACACUGAAACCAACCAUAAAAACUCUCUCUAACUAAUGCAUUUAAAAACAACAACAAAUGCGAUCAAAAUCGCAACAAAGGUAACAAUUGACCCGACGGCCUAAUGAUACGAAGCCUCUUUACUAAUUGCAUAUUUUCUAAUCUUUCUAAUCUUCAGGCGCAUUGCGUCCAUCUCGCUCUUGUGACCAUCGACGACACCGGCAAGAACCUUUUCCAAGGUCAUCUUCUCUCUUUCAGUUUUUUCCAACCUUUCUUCAGUUUUUUUCAAUCUUUCUUUCAGGCCAACAUUUUCUUGUUCAACUAAGUGUAACUUCUCAACAAUAGGGUCGAUUGGCAUUUCCGGUUCCACUACCUCCUAGAUAAAAAUAUCUAUGUCAAGUUGGUCGGCGUAAUUAAUUGUCAUAUAAUCAGGAAAUGAAAAUAUGUAGUUAUAAAAGAUAAUAUACCACAUCCGAAUCAUAGACUGGACGAGGGCCAACGGGGACGGAUAUCAAAACCAUGGCGCUAUACAUAUAAAAAAAAUCUUACACAAUAAGAAAAUUAUAUACAAGUAAAUAUGUAAAUCAUACAAAUCAUAAUUUGUUUUGGUAAAUAAAAACACUAGGCUCACCAAGGUUGUGUCGGUGACGGGGCGAUCGACGGCGGUGAGGAAGGGGACAAGGCGCGCGACACUAAAAAAAACCAUAAAUCAUAAUUAAAUUUGAGCUCAAAUUGCAUAUGUAUACAUAACAAAUGAUGAACUCUCUCUAGCUUAGGCAUUUCAUCAAACACCUAGCUAGCACAACAAAAAUGAAAUGAGCAAGAAAACGAGCAAAACUUGCAAUGCCGGAAGAGGGAAUGUUGAUGUUAACCGUAGGACCGAUGGGUGCCAACAAUCUUGACAAAUGGUGGAGAAAAAUGGGGAUGGAUUAGAGCUCCCAAGAGGAAGGAGAGAGCAAAAAUGGAGUUGAGCUCGCGCUGGAAAAAAUGGAGCUGAGCUCGGAGUGGAAUAUAGGGGAGGGCUUUAGGACCGGUUUGUGUUAAAAACCGGUGCUAAAGGGUCUGACAACGGGGCCCCGCAGUUGCUGCAAAAAUGAGAAAAACUUUAGCACCAGUUUGUGAUACAAACCGGUUCUAAAGGGUCUGUCCACUGGGUCCCCGCCCUGCAGCAAACGGUCCAAAACCCUUUAGGACCGGUUUGUGUUACAAACCGGUCCUAAAGGCCUUGCGGCCAUUCGCUGCAGGGAGGGGGCCCAGCGGAUAGACCCUUUAGAACCGGUUUAUAUCCAAUCCGGGUCCAAUGUGGUUGGCUCAAUGCCCUGUUUUCUACUAGUGACGGUGGUGGUGGUACAACCUCAGCGAGGCUUUGCCAAGCGCCGCUACAAACGCGACGGGGGAGAAAAUUGAUCGAGAGAGAGAGGGAGCUCGCCGCCAAAGGCUUGGUGUGUGGAUUCCCCCCUCACUACAAGAAAUAUGCUCAUAUGUGAUGUUUUUUAAAAUGUCGUUGAUGAAUUCGUCAUAAAUCUAUGACGAUUUCAUCCGAGAUCGUCGUAAACCGUUUGAGGGGAUCAAAUCUACAUAUAAAUUACGACGAUGUGAGUCAAAACGUCGUAACCGCAUAAGAUGAGAUCGUCAUAACUUUUACGACGAUUGUAAAAAUGUCGUAACAUGUUCUAACUAUGUUGACAUGGCACUCGUGGGUCCAUUCUAUCCCACCUGAUCCUAGUUUGUGAAGCAACCUACUAUUCUAUCAUUCCGAAAAUUCUCGAAAAAUUCUCAUAAAUACUUUGGACUAUAUAUUUCUCAAAUAUGUGAAAACCCUCCCUUCCAUAGUUCAAAAAUAAUUCAAAAAUAUUCAUUUUCCUAUUUUGUUCAGAAUAGUACUUUGGUUUACGGAAGUGCUAUUUCUAUUUCUUUGAUUACCCUCAUAUUGUUUGGGCACUCUUUCCUAUCCAAAUCAUUGCCUCAUGAAAACUUUCGUAACGAUUUGCCUAGUAAAUCUUUCUCAACAAAUUUCCAAAGUUUGUGUUCAGCUAACAGCUUUGUGAAGGAAGUACUAGAUAGGAAUAUCCUAAUGAUUUGAAUUUUUCCACAUCAUCUAUGUGCCCAAAACGGAGCUCUCCAUAAAAUUUUAGCCACAUCUAACAAUUCAUGUGAGCUCAUCAUCCAAUCUUUGUUUUUGGUAAUAUUUUCAUUUUGUGAAGCAACUAUGUUUUAUAUUGCUUUAUAGUUGAUGAAAAAUUUACCACGGGAUGAUCCUGACCAUAUAACCUCACUGCACCAAAUUUUAGCUCAUUUAGUUCAGCCAGUUUCUCUCAAUAUUUUUCCCAAUAUUCCGUUCAGUAGAGAGCAUUGUGAAGGAAGUACAAUUUUUGUUUAUCCAAAUUUUAUGAACUUUUUACAGUACCUUAAUGUGCCCAAAUUAUCAUCCUCCUCCAAAUUUAAGCUCACUCCAAUUAUCUAUGUGAGCCCAGUUUUAAUUACCAUUUUCUGUCCAGAUUGGCACAUUGUGAAGGAAGUGUCACUUUGGCAUGUCCAAAUGGUAUAAUUUUUAUACAGUGCCUUCAUAUGCCCAAAUUAACAUCAUACACCAAAUUUCAGCUCAAUCCAUUCAUUCAUUUGAUCCUAGCUUCAACAUCCAUAUUUCUGCACAAUGUGUUACUUUGCAAAGCAAGUGCCACCUAGAUUCAUCCAUUUGAGAUAAAAAUUUGCCAAGAGAGUCUCCUUAGUAGAUGAUCAUCCUCAGCCAAAAUUUAGGCCCAUUGUCUAUGUGAAUUACCCGCACCGCUAAUCAAACACUUGGCUGCUAAUUCAUGUUUGUGCUUAGUUCAGUGUCCUCAUGAGAUUAUUCUAUUGUAUUAUUCUUGCUAACACCUAUCGAGGGAUUGUCCAACCCACCAGACAUGACUAUUCCACCUAGAACGCGUGGCAAUGCAACGGUUAGGCGGUGACCAUGCGACUGGCAUGCAAGUUCACGCACCCUGGAGUUGGGGCCCUCGACCACCAUGCAAAUCUCGACGUCAAGGCACCACACCAUGUAUUUCUGAUUAAAUAGAUACUUAUAUACCUACAAAUGAUUUUUGGGAAAAAUAAAGAGCAAACUAUAAUGCAGCUGCAGUUCAAAUUUGACCCGCUUCCAUCUGAAUCGACAUAAAUUUGUCUUUUUCACGAGAGGUGGGUAACAUCUUUUAACACCCAACCAUUUUGUCAAUUGUACAUUAAAUAUGGACUAGUAUUUUAUAAAAAUGAUUUGGUCCAAUUUUAAAACAAAUAUAUGGUAGGUCCUUCACAAAACAACUCAUUUUGAUCACUUGAAAAAUGGAAAAUGAAUUUUUCAUACAAGGAAAAUGAAAACUUCCUUAAUCAACAUUGUUUGCCAUUCCGAUAUGCACCCUUGUGCAUAAUAUUAUAUCAUUUCAACAAACUAUGUCAUGAAUAUGGCUAUAAGAUUGAUCAUUUGGCUUGAAAGUCAUGAAUCUUCACACAUGAUAGCUCAUUUCUAAGAACACUUGUUUAAAAUAAUUGUCGUAUUAUAAGUUUAUUAUUUUUCCUGGUAACUUUGUCACAUAUAAUGACACAAUGCAAUGGUUUUCCAUUUUUUUGAAUUUGUUUUGAAUUUUCCAUGGCCAUUUCAAAACGCGGUCAAAAUAGCGGGUAUGACCGUUCAUACCUAGUGGUUGAAUCUUGGAAAUGUUUUGAUGUUUCUAUGAUUAAAUAGAUACUUGUGUACCUAUAAAUUGUUUUUAGCAAAAAUAUAGAGCAAACUAUAAUGUCGAUGCAGUUUAAAUUUGACCCGCUUUCAGCUGAUUCAACGAAAUUUUUUCUUUUUUAGGAGAGAUCGAUAAAAGCCUUUAACACCCAACCAUUUUGUCAAUUAUACAUUAAAUAUGGCCUAGUAUUUUAGAAAAUUGAUUUGUUCCAAUUUUGAAACAAAUAUAUGGUAGGUCCUUCACAAAAAAGUUCAUUUUGGACACUUGAAAAAUGGAAAAUGAUUUUUACAUACGAGGAAAAUGAAAACUUCCUUAAUCAAUAUUGUUUGUCAUUCCAAUAUGCAUCCUUGUGCAUAAUAUUAUAUCAUUUCAACAAACUAUGUCAUUAAUGUGGCCAUAGGAUUGAUAAUUUGGCUUGAAAGCCAUGGAUCUUCACACAUGAUAGCUCAUUUUUAAGAAAACUUUUUUAAAAUAAUUGUCAUAUUACAAGUUUAUUAUUUUUCCUGGCAACUCUGUCACAUAUAAUGACACAAUGCAAAGGUUUUCCAUUUUUUUAAUUUUUUCAUGGCCAUUUCAAAAUGCGGUCAAAACAGCGGGUAUGACCGUUCCUACCUAGUGGUUGAAUCUUGAAUUUUUUUUAAUGUUUCUCUGAUUAAGUAGAUACUUUUGCAAAAUUUGUAUGGUGCACUUUGGCAAAAUGUUUUUGAUAGAUGCUUCAUAAAAUUCCUCUAUUUUUAGUACUUGAAAAUUAUUUUAAAUCAUUGAUUUUUUGAAGGGAAAUUUGAAGAUUUGCCACAAGUUUGUUUACACUUUGAGGAUUUACCCCUGUUUUUCUUGUUACUAAUAAUUAGCCACACCUUUCUGAGAGUCUUAAUGAUUUGCCCCUUAUGAACGACAUGGAAAUAUAACACAAAAUCAGUGACCAAACUGCCCGAGCCCAAAUUAGCUAGCUUCAUGUUUGACCGUUCCCGUUUCUCUGUUCGUUCGUAUCCUGGCUGCUCGUCAUGGCUCGCAGCAGUGUCUCUCGUUGCUGUGGCUCGUGAACCCGCCUUGUUGUGCUGACCACUCCACUCCAGACCAAGAAGGCCGAGGUCGACGGCCAAAAUAGGUAAGCCACCGUGGUUGAUUCAUGUGCCAGGCGCAAGCAUCCGUCUUCGUCAACCGACGGCGUGCUCACUUAGUCGGGUUGGUGCCUGGUGGUCUUCACGUCGCCGACCCACUAGACCGCCUUGCCAAGUGGACAGACGAUGACGAUCACCCCUGUUCUUGGCUGGGCGUCAACUGUGACACGUGCACGGGCUGCAUGACCUCACUCUCGCUGCUCGCCACGUUGCUCCCUGGCCGCCUCCUCCCCUGCAACAACCUGUUAGGAUCGGCUAUAUCCCCUGCCUCCGCUCUCGUCCUCACAUCUUGACUUGUCUAAACGACAACGAGCGAGCACGCGGAGACGCAUCCGUCUGCUUCUCUUUUGGAAGAGACGAGGAUGACCUUGGGUACCAUGACGAGCUUUUUAGACAUAUUCCAGUGGGUCCCUACCUCCGGGGGCAAAUCAUCACCAAACUGAAAAAGAUAUCGCGAAUAAUCGAUGACAAGGAAAACGAAGGCAAGUCCUCAAAGUGCAAACAAACAUGUGGCAAAUCCUUAAAUUCCCUUUUUUGAACCAAUGAGAAAUCUUUCCACAGAUCGAUGACAUGGCGUCCAUCCAUCCAUCCAUCUACAGAAAAAAAAACCACCCGGAGCCCAAACCCUAGCUCACACCCCCAUCGCACCUUCCUCCCAGAUCCGGCGCCGCCGCACGUUCUCCUCUCCUCCUCCUCCCAGAUCCGGAGCCUCUCCAAGCCGCCCGCGCUCGCCGACGCGGCCGCCUCACCGUGCUCUCUCCGUCCCCACCCACCCGCCUCCCAAUCCCGAUCUCUCUCGCCCCGCUCAUGCAUGAGAGGUCGUCGGGGCCAUCGCUAGUCGCCGCCACGCGCCUCCGCUCCGCCUCCCUGGUCCUGCUGCUCCUGGCGCUGUCCCUGCUCGCCGGGUGGGCACGCUUCUGGGAUACAUGACGACCUCACGGAGGAUAAGAAGAGCCAGCCAACCAAUGAAACGCGAGGAACCUCCUCCACGCGGACCACCCCACCAGAAGCGAUCUGAGCCAUCCAUCACGCGCCCAUCCGACAGUGUAGCAUCUCCCGAAAAACCAAACCCUAACUAUGUGAUCGAGACACCCCACCCCUCACACACAGCCACACACUUCCUCCCUCGUCCCCAUCUCUCUCCCGCACGAACCCCUCUUGCCGCCGCCAUCACCAACGGCGCCCUGAUCCAGGCGACCUCCGGUGAGGAUAGACGGUGCCAAGCACACAACAUGGAUCCCCUUGCUCUGCUCCUCCCCUAUCCCGUGCUUCUUCCCACCCGCGCGCCCGUGCCAAACCCUACCGCGCGUGUGAUCCCGCGUCCGCCCCGAUCUGCGAGAUGUGGCGCGACUGAGCACACACACACAGUGACGCGCAGGGGAAGAGGAGGUUUCCCCCGAUCCGGCGCACGACAGGGAGCCCGCCGCCUGACACGGCGGGGCGAGGGCCCCCUCCGACGCGGGGCGGACCUUCCUGCAUNUGCGGUUCAGGGGCGCGGUGCAGGAAGAACUGCAUGAUGGUGGCACCUUCCACCAUGGUCGCCGAAUUACUGAUUGGGAUCAAGCACUGGUAACCUCUUCACACAACUUUCCCGUAGCAUUUCCAGCACUGAGAGUGCGACCUUUUUUCUGAACAGUACCUUUAGCCGCAUCUUUUCUAAAUACUGUAUACUGGUAGCCGGCGCGAUGUGGGAGACAAUCCACCCCAUCUAAUUCCUUUCCCGUAGUCGGAUGCCCCGUCACAACCCACAAUGCCUUUGUCCUAGCACAAUAACUUAUGGGCAACAAGCGUGCGACAUAGGUGACUGGAAAAUAGAAGGCAUUGCAGGCCAUACCACAAGCAUACGUACGUACACGCUAGCUAAAAAAUGUUUUUGGUGGUAUCUAUCUUCUUACAUUUGCUUAACGUCUACGGGGAAGCUUCUUAGUCUAGUGCAGUAUUUAAUUUGGUGGUGCUAAUGUGGAUUAUGAUAUGACAUCUUCUCCAACUGGGUAUAGGUGGAAAAAAAGCACCUAUGCUUAUCUGAAUGAGCCGGCAGUGACCGCAUCGGUGGAUAUAUUCCAUUUCUUGCAGAACUCUUCAAGGUACAUAUACUGCAAUUCUCUGGAGUCUUAUGCUAUUGUCCAUAACGCCUUCGCCCGGUUCAUCCUUGAUUGGCUCUGAUUCUUCUCGGUCGGCGUCUCGCAGAUGUGGCAGCUCAAGGGCGAGGUUGGCGCCAUCUCCAGGGCCGACGGCUCGGCGCUCUUCGAGAUGGGCAACACCAGGGUCAUCGCCGCCGUUUACGGGCCCCGAGAGGUGCGUCCAUGUCCCUCCUGUAAAAUUCAGUGUAAAGAUGAGCCCAAUGUUAGGCUAACAAGGGCCUGAGUCAAGCCGGUCAUAUGCUGAAAUAGAUUAGGGAUGGUGGUUUAUUUGUUGGCCCAUAACUCAUAUCGAUCGAACUGGUGUGGUGGUUAAUGUAGAAAUAACACCGCGAAAAUAGUUUCCAGCAAUGCUGCAUCGUUGUACUCUCCUCUUUCCUGUUAAUGUUUUCUUUUCAAAAAAUAAAUCCUUUUAAUGUUGUUGUACCCAUCCCCAAACGCCAACUAUGCUAUUUGCACAUCUUGUAGGUUGAGUUCCUCCGUAGAUUAGCGCUUUACAAAUCAGCAUCUCAUACUAGCUAGGAGGCCACUGAUUGCACCUUCUUUUAAAAUGUUUUAAUGUCCAAUGAACUUGCAGGCCUUUGUUAUUUUGUCAUCUGCUAGUUGUUGGUAGGCUGAAUAUGUUGUCCGUGAUGUGUUCUGUUACCUCUGUCGAUCUGUUCAUCAAGCAUAAAUGUUUAUUUUCUGAACUGAUAAGUCCUUGCCAAACACUAAUGAUCUAAUCAUGUUUUGAUUGCAGCGAACAGACGGUCUGCCGUAGCUUGGUCCUUGAAGGCGGGUCUAUGGGACUCUCUCAAAUCUGGGUAAAGUACAUUAUGUACCCUUUUAAAAUUUUGUGUGAUGUUCAUGUUUAAAAAAUAUCUACAUAUUAGAACAUCUAUGUACUAUUGUUAAAGAAACACUAUUUCCAGAGCUUCCCACCUUGAUGAAAAAGGUUAAACCAUUAAACAAAUUCGAGUUUCCCCCAUUAUCUUGGCUAGGACAAAAGUUUUCUUGGAUCAAUUAUUCGGUGUGCGAUUCAUUUCUGUAUGUUACUAAGAUGGACAGGAGAACGAUUCAGAUAUUUGCGAAUCAUAGGCUUUAUUUCGUGCAAAUUGGUUUCAGCCAGCGGUUAGGCAUUGGGCAUUUUGUUUCGCUCACCCUAUCAACUGUGAUUUAGGAUUAUGAUGAUUAUUGAUGUAGCCAACAUAAAAUCCUGCCUGCACAUUUUGAAGCACGACUCCUGUGAUGAUUUAUACGCACUCUGUUUGUGUUUUAUCUUGAAAUUUAAGCUUACUAUACCCUGAGUAUAAGAUGUUACAGUGUUGGUACCUUCACUUAUGUCUCAAUUAGUGGUAGUUUAAUGUCUACUGCACUAAACACCCAGCUAGUCUUUUUUCUACCAGUAUGUUGCAGCCACCAGCAUUCUUGUAGUUGUUGCUGAGUUAAGUUUGGUUCACAUGAUUGCAUUCUACGCUUUGAUAUAUUGUUCCUCAUGGUUGUUACUGUUAUCCAUGGCCUCAUGCUUCAGGAUUGACUCUUAACUGCUUGAGCUCUUUAGUCCUUCCAAAACAAGGUCUUGAUGUCCCUCUUACGGAAAAAUGUUCAUAUCGGUUCCUGCAUGAUGCGUGUAUGUACGUUGGAUGGUCACGUUCUAGUUUACUAGCUAGCUAGUAAGCAUUGUUUGGUUAGUGCUCUCCUGCUUGGUUGGCUAAACAUAUUCGUUUGUUUGAUUUGGCUUCACAGUUACAUAUUUUGAUUUGAACUUAGUCUAUGUUUAUGCCUAGUUUCUCUUAAUUAUCUUAAAUGGUGUGGUACCGUGUCUAUGCGCGCACAACUUCCUCUCACAAAAAAAAACUAAGUGCAUGUCUCUCUCACUUUUGUUCGCAUUUCUUUUAACAUCAUCUUGAGGAUGAAUACAAAUCUUUUUAUUUCUAAUAUUUUUAUAUUUAUUUCGUUUUGAUUGAUUCAUGUGCAGUGUAAUGUUCUUGUAGGAUGACAAGUUGUCGCAUCUCGAGCAUGUCUCAUAGGAGAGUAGAAUGAAGUCCAUUGUAUUGUUGGGAUAGUAGCAGAUGUGCCAUUGUUCUGUUGUGCAAUUUUGUCCGUUCUUGCUAUAUUCUUGUGUAAGGAAAUGUAUUCACGAGAUGAGUUAUUGUGUUAUGUAAACCUGGGAGAUGUAUUAUGUGAUGUUAUAUGAUGGAUGGUUUUAAUUCGACUUGGAGUUUUCUUGAUUUGAAUAUUAAAUAGUGUUGGAUUUAAUAUUGGACAAAUAAUUGGGUUGAAAAGGCCCAACAAAUAGAAAUGAAACCAAGUUCUGAAACAAAAAGUUGCUGAAUUCAAAAAUAAAAAAGGCCAAAACUAAAACUCGACCCAAUGUAUUUGGGAACUAAAAGGGCCAGGGCCCAAAUUAUAGUGAUACAAAAAAAUUCAUAAAAAACUAGAAGUGGUUGUAAAUAGCCCCAAUAAGAAAAAGCCCCAAAAAAAUAAAACCAGCCCAUAUGCUCAAUUGAAAUGGGUUGGGCUGAUUUCAACCAUGACGUUUUGAUUUCAUCGUAAUUUUGCCACGUAGGACUGGGUUAGAUUGGCAACGACGAUUUAGGAUCAUCGUAAAGGUUACGACGAUCCAGAAAUUCUCGUAAAAGUUACGACGAUUUCGAUCAAAACAUCGCUGUUGUUCAUUUCUGACGCUCCGUUUUCGACGCUUGGUUUUUCGUCGUGAGAUCGUCGUAAAUUAAAAACCAUGACGAUGUAGCGACGAAAAAAUAGCGUCGUGUAUUAGCAUAUUCCUUGUAGUGGAUCUCUGAUACGUCUCCAUCGUAUCUACUUUUCCAAACUCUUUUGCCCUUGUUUUGGACUCUAAUUUGCAUGAUUUGAAUGGAACUAACCUGGACUAACGCUGUUUUGAGCAGAAUUGCCUUGGUGUUAUUUUCAUGCAGAAAUCAAAGUUCUCCAAACGUCCUAAAAAUUUACGGGGAGCAGUUUUGGAAAAUAUCAAAAAUAUCUGCGCCAAGUAGGGGGUGGGCCAGUGGGCCACAAGCCCUCGCUCCGCCACCACCCCCCUGGUGGCGGUGGGGAGGCUUGUGGGGCCCACACGGCUCUGCCGCCCCCAAUUCCAGCUCUAUAAGAUCCCUUUCGUCCCAGAAAAUAAAAGAGAAGUUGUCGUCUCGUUUUCGAUACGGAGGCGCCAUCACCACCUGUUCUUCAUCUGGAGGGCAGAUCUGGAGUCCGUCUUGGGCUCCGGAGAGGGGAAAUCGUCGCCAUCGUCAUCAUCAACCUUCUUCCCACUCCAAUUCCAUGAAGCUCUUCGUCGUUCAUGAGUAGACUAUUCAUAGGCUCGCUGGGCGGUGAUGAGUAGGAUGAGAUCUAUCAUGUAAUCGAGUUAGUUUUGAUCGGGAUUGAUCCCUAGUAUCCACUAUGUUCUGAGAUUGAUGUUGCUACUACUUUGCCAUGCUUAAUGCUUGUCACUAGGGCCCGAGUGCCAUGAUUUCAUAUAUGAAAUUAUUAUGUUGUCACCAAUAUAUGUGCGUUUUAGAUCUGAUCUUGCAAGUUGUAGUUACCUACUAUGUGUUAUGAUCCGGCAACCCCGGAGUGACAAUAACCGGAACUACUCCUGGUGAUGACCAUAGUUUGAGGAGUUCAUGUGUUCACCAAGUGCUAAUGGGUUGGUCCAGUUCUUUAUUAAAAGGAGAACCUUAGUAUCCCGUAGUUUCCUUUUGGACCCUGCUGCCGCGGGAGGGAUGGACAAUAGAUGUCAUGCAAGUUCUUUUCCCUAAGCACGUAUGACGACACACGGAAUGCAUGCCUACAUCACAUUGACGAACGGGAGCUAGCUACAUAUCUCUCCGUGUUAUAGCUGUUGCAUGAUGAAUAUCAUCCAAACAAAUCACCGACCCAUUGCCUAUGAGUUUGUCCUACUGCUGCUACUACUGUUGCUACUACUACUUGUACUACUGUUGCUACUGCUGUUACUUGUCUUGCUCUGCUAUUGCUACUAUUGUUGCUACUGCUGUUACUUGUCUUGCUCUGCUGCUGCUACUACUAUUGCUACUGAUAUUACUUGUCUUGCUGUGCUACUACUGUUGCUACUACUGUCGCUUGCUACUGUUGCUACUUGCUACUGCUGUCACUACUGAUUUUACUUGCCGCUGCUAUUGCUCGUUACUUUGCCGUUACUCGCUACUUUGCUGUUACUACUUUGCUUGCAGAUACUAAUCUUUCAGGUGUGGUUGAAUUUGACAUAUUCAGCUGCUAAUACUUGAGAGUAUUCUCUCACCUCUCGUCGUGCGAACCAACAAAUUUGUGUUGAAUACUCUACCCUCGAAAACUGCUGCGAACCCACACGCAGGUGGGCCGUCAACAACAUUCUUCUAGUUUCAUUGCUGGGGAGUGCUAGUAGCAUUCUUCUGGUGCCGUUGCAGGGGAAGGCUUGUUGUCAUCAGCAUUCGUCUAGCCAUCGCCAGAGAUUGCAAUCAGCAUUUUUCUGGCGGCGUUGCCAGGGGGGUAUUGCUAUAUUCUCUAAGUUACUUGGGAUUUAUAUCUGUUGAUAACUAUGAAGAAUCUGAAGGAUCCGAAGACCAAAGUUUUGCCCUCAACUACGAGGGGAGGUAAGGAAUUGCCAUCUAGCUCUGCACUUGAUUCACCUUCAGUUAUGAGUAAGUUUGCGACAUCACCUCCUGCUAGAAAUCUUGAUAUGUCGCCUGUGAUUGAUGAUGCUUGUGAUACUACUGCUAGAGAUGCUAUGCUUGAUACUAUGCCUGAUGAUAUGCCUGAUACUGCUAGAGAUGCCAUGCUUGAUACUAUGCCUGAUGAUACUAUGCUAGAGAUACUACUUUGCCUGAUACUAUGCUAGAGAUGCUAUGCUUGAUACUAUGCUAGAGAUGCUAUGCUUGAUACUAUGCUAGAGAUACUACUUUGCCUGAUGUUCCACUAGGGGUAUUCCUUGAUGCUCAUAUUGCUAGAGUUACUGCCGAUGCCCGUGAUGCUUCUGAAACUGCCGAUACUAUUGAGAUAGAACCUGCUUUUGCUCCUGAUAGAUCUAGCCCUCCUAGAUAUGAAUUGCCUGAUAUACCUGAGGGGUACGUUAUGGAGGGAGAGAUAGCUGAGGAUUUUCUUGCGUGUAAGGAUGCGUAUGACGCUGAGAAAUUACUUCUCAAGUGGAAGGAAAAAUCUCGGGAAGCUAGGAAGAAAAAUGACCCAAAGUUUGCCACUUCGCCUAUCUUUGUCACCGAUAAGGAUUAUGAAUUCUCUGUCGACCCUGAGAUAAUCUCUCUGGUCGAAUCUGAUCCUUUUCACGGUUAUGAGUCUGAGACUGUCAUAGCCCAUCUUGCAAAACUAUCCGAAAUAGCCAACCUUUUCACUAAUGAGGAGAAGAUCCGCCACUACUAUAUCCUUAAGUUAUUUCAUUUCUCUCUAAAGGAUGACGCUAAAGCCUGGUUCACCUCUCAUGCUCCUGGAUGUGUGCGUAGUCCCCAGGAGAUGGUCUAUUACUUCUGUGAGAAAUAUUUCCCUGCCCAUAAGAAGCAAGCUGCCUUGCAGGAAAUAUACAACUUUGCUCAACUCCAAGAAGAGAGUCUUCCACAAGCUUGGGGGAGGCUCGUCCAACUACAAAAUGCUUUGCCUGAUCGCCCUCUUAAGAAGAACGAGAUACUUGAUAUCCUCUAUAAUGGACUUACCGAUGCCUCUAGAGACCACCUAGAUAAUUGUGCCGAUUGUGUUUGUAGGGAACAAACUAUAGAACAAGCUGAGACCCUACUAAAUAACCUCUUGAUCAAUGAUAAUGCUUGGACUAUUCCCGAACCACCUCCGACGCCAACUCCUAAGAAAAGAGGUAUUCUAUUCCUCAGUCCCGAAGAUAUGCAAGAAGCCAAGAAAUCUAUGCAAGAGAAAGGCAUUAGAUCUGAAGAUGUCAAAAAUCUACCACCUAUUGAAGAGAUCCAUGGUCUCGAUAACCUAUAGGUAGUGAGCCUUUGAUGAGAGUGAUAUUCCUGCGUAGGUUUGAUGAGAGUGAUAUUCCUUUUGAUAAACCUGCUAGCCUAUGCUUUGAUGAAUUUGACAACUUUGUUGCCAAACAACAGAGUUUCAAUGCUUAUGUUAGCAGACAUUUGGAACAAAGUACUCGUAUGCUUAGCCAUUUAAGUGCUUGUGUAGACAGAAAUGUCAAUGAUCUGAAGCUUCUGAGUAAACAUGCCUCUAUGAUUACUACUCAAGUAGAACAAGUACUCAAAGCUCAGAAUGACCUGCUCGAUGAAUUAAAUGACAACUCUGUCAGAGUCAUUACUAGAGGAGGCAAAAUGACUCAGGAACCUUUGUAUCCUGAAGGUCAUCUUAAGAGAAUUGAUCAAGAUUCUCAAGGAAUCAAUGCUGAUACACCUAGUCAUCCUAAGGAGAAGAAGAAGGAUGAUAGAAACCUACACGCCAGUUCACCAAAUACCGUCACACCUGAAGAACCUAAUGAUAUUUAUGCGUCUGAUGCAGAAACACAAUCUGGUGAUGAACAUGAACCUGGUGACAAUAUGGACAGCGAUGUUCAUAAUAAUGCUCAACCUAGCAAUGAUGAGGAUGUGGAGAUUGAACCUACGGUUAAUCCUAAUAACCCACAACCUAAGAAAUACGAUAAGAAUGACUUCAAUGCUAGGAAGCAUGGUAAAGAAAGAGAGCCAUGGGUUCAGAGACCUAUGUCAUUUCCUCCUAAGCCAUCCAAGAAAAAGGAUGAUGAGGAUUUUGAGCGCUUCGUUGAGAUGAUAAGACCCGUAUUUCUGCAGAUGCGGUUAACUGAUAUACUCGUCUCUGUAUGCCAAGUACAUGAAAGAUAUCGUGACUAAUAAACGGAAGAUACCAGAUCUUGAGAUCUCCACCAUGCUUGCCAAUUACACUUUUAAAGGUGGAACUCCUAAGAAACUUUGUGAUCCCGGAGUGCCCACUACACCUUGCUCCAUUAAAGGAAACUACGUAAGAACUGCCUUAUGUGACCUUGGAGCCGGUGUUAGUGUUAUGCCGCUCUCUUUUUAUCAUAGACUUGAGUUGGAUAAGUUGACACCCACUGAAAUUUCUCUGCAAAUGGCCGACAAAUCAACUGCUUUCCCUAUCGGCGUUUGCGAGGAUGUGCCUGUUGUGGUUGCUAAUACCACUAUCUUAACAAACUUUGUUAUCUUGGAUAUUCCCAAGGACAAUGACAUGGCUAUCAUCCUCGGAAGACCCUUUUUAAACACUACAGGGACUGUUAUAGAUUGCAACAAGGGCAAUGUCACUUUCCACGUCAACGGUAAUGAGCACACCGUGCACUUUCCGAAGAAACGAUAUCCAGUACAUUGCAUCAAUGCUAUCGAAAAGACUUCAUCGAUUCUCAUUGGGAGCUUUGAAUGCCCUAUUCCUCGUGUCAAGAUGAAGUAUGAUUUGCUUGUUGGGGAGAUACAUAUACCCAUUGAGGUGACUUAGUGGCUAUUCAAAAAUUCUCCGUUCUCUCUUGCGAUUCCAGAAGGUUCUAUCAUAAGGACUUGAUCAAUCCCAUUGACGGAUUUCUUUCGAUGACCAUGAAACGGAUGAAUCAAGGAGUCACAUACCUCUGUUUUAAGUUUUCCUUUUCUUUUGCUUAAAAGAAAAAUGAUAGAAUUAGUUUAGUUUUUCCUGUUUUUCGUUUUAGCGGCCCAGAGAAAAAUACCUCGAAAAUAAAAAUUCUCCGAUGGUCCUGAAAAUUUAGUAUGAUUUUUUCUAGAAUUUUUGAAAAUUUCUGGGCCUGAGAGCUGGCCUGGGGUCCUGACCAGUGGGCCACAAGCCCUUCCACCCCCACCUACCCCCCUGGUGGCGGGGUGCAAGCUUGUGGGGCCCACACGCACCCCCUCCACUCAUUCCAGCUCCCAGCCUCUUCUUCCACCCCAAGAAAAAAUUGUUUCGCAGCUCAAACUCGUGUUCUUCCUCAUUUGGCUGUGAUUUUCGAUCUCCUUGCUUAAAGCACCAUUCUCCGAACCGCUUUGGGGAAAUUACUCCUUGGUAAGUGACUCCUCCAUUUGUCCAAUUAGUUUUUGCUCUAGUGCUUUAUCCUUCGCGUAUUCUUCCUACCUUGGUGACCCUGUUCUUGAGCUAGAAAUGUUGAUUUUAGUUGGUCCCAUGUAGUUUUAGCGCGUGAUAUGGUCUCUAGGCACUAGUAGGAGUAGUUGCUACAAGUUGGGUUAAUCUUCAUUCACUUUUCUUUCAAAGUCUCUAAAAAUUUCAGAAUUUUUCAGAGCUAGAAAAAGGAAAAGAUGAGGAGGUUCUUGAGAGGCUCUUCAAGCCGUAACCCCAAGGAGGAUGAGAAGAAUCACCCCAAGUACGUAGUCCCUCAGGUCACAGAAGUUCGAGCGUGCGAGUGGCCAAGUGAUGAAUUUUUGCGCGUCGUCGGACUUUAUGAAGACUUUUAUUACUUGGUGGAGAACACAGGUCUUACUGCGUUUGUUGAAGAUAAGUGCCCACAAUACCUCCUCCUCACCAAUAUUUUCGUUCAAAGCUUCAACUUUUAUCCGAGGAAGAAUCCUCCCAUGGUUGAGUUCAUGAUAUACGAUGUCCCGAGUGCAUGACGCUGCAGGAUUUUUGCAAUGUAUGCAAAUUACCUUAUGUUGGGGAUAUCCAUGAUCCUCGUCCACGGGACUUGGAGGAUUUCAUUGGUUCUAUUGCUCUUGGAGAGGAGAGAGGAGUGUCUCGCGCUAGAAUUGCUAGCAUACAUUUUCCUGUGCUUCGGUACUUCUCACUAUUUGUGGGAAAAUGUUUGAUUGGCCGUGGGGAGGCUGGAUCACAUAGUUCUCCAGACCUUGUGGUUCUGCGCGAAGGCCUUUAUAACGAUAAGACUUAUAGCUUGGGCGCUAUAGUAGCUCAACGGUUGAACCUGAACCGUUCUAAAGGAGUCGUCUAUGGAGGUAUCUAUGCUACCCGUCUUGCCAGACACUUUGAGAUACCCAUUAGACUGGGAGAGGAAGGAGAGAUGCUUCUCCCUGAGAGGUAUCUGGAUUAUGACAGCAUGGUUCGCCAUGAUUUUCUGGAUAGAGAUGCUAGUAGAUGGAUGAUUUUCAACCUGGUGUUUAGUCAAGGUACUCGAGAGACUAUUACUUAGCCUGCUCCUUCUUUGUUCGAUCUUCAUGCAGGGAGGUACACUAUUAUGCCCGCGGACAUCUACGCAUAUUGGGGCUUGGCCCAACCACAGGCGCCCCUGCCCGAGCCGCCAGUGGAGUACCAGACGCCAGUUUAUCAGUGGGAGCCAGAGGAGCUCACACAGCAGUGGCAUCCACAGUCUUCUCCGGAGUAUCCUGGAGCUGGUUAUUUCCCACCUUGGGAGUAGACCAAGCUAGGCCAAAAUCCUAAGCUUGGGGGAGUACGUGUUCUCACCGACUUUACAUUCAUGGUUAUGCUUUCACUUUGUUAGCUGAUGUUUACACUUUUCCACUGUAUUAUCCAUGCUAGUUUCUUUUUGUUUUCUUGUUUUCUUGUUUUGUGUCCUUUUGAGAAAACCCAAAAAGAUUUUUCUCUCUUCUUUUGCUUGUUGGGAGCUUUCCCGUGUAAAUAGUUUUCUUUUUCUUUGUGUCAAGGUAGAAUAUAUUGGUUACAAUGUUUAUUUGUUCAUGCAUGCUUACCUGUUUAGCUUUCAAAGAGCCAUAUUAUUUUGUCAUCUCCUUUGUGUUUGCCUGCAGAUUCAGCUUAGUCCAAUGCGCUUAUUAUCGUUCUCAUCGUUCGAUCGUGCAAAUGAAAGGCAACAAUGAUGAUAUAUGAUGAAGUGACUGAGACUGAAAAGCUGGUAUGAACUCUAUCUAUUUUGUUUUUGUAAAUAUGACUAGCUUAUCGACCUAGAUUCAACUUUGUUGUGAGAGAACCAUGUUUGCAAUGACAACUUAGAGAUCAUAGUUUCUGAUGCCAUGCUUAUUUAGCUGAGAGCUUAUAAUGGUUUGUCUUGAAUGCCAACAUAGAUUUUGAGAUGACUAUGAUGUAGUAUGAUAGGAUGGUAUUCUCCUUUGAAUGUUUCAAGUGGCUUGACUUGGCGCAUGUUCAUGCAUGUAGUUGAAACAUAAUCAACAUAGCCUCUAUGAUGUUCGUGUUCAUGGUGAUUUAUAUCCUGUUCAUGCUUGCAUUCAAUGUUAGUCAAACUCAUUGCAUCUUGAUAACUGUUGCCUUUUGCUACCCAUCACUUGUACCAAGCGGAAUACUGCUUAUGCAUCCACUUACAUAAAACCAAAAGUUUUUCCAUGAGAGUCCACCAUACCUACCUAUUUGCGGUAUCUACCUGCCGUUCCAAGUAAAUUUGCAUGUGUCAUUCUCUAAACCUUCAAGAAAUAAUUUGUUUUGCAUGCCCAAACUGCUCAUGUGGUGAGAGAGGUCUAUUGGUAUCUUCCAUGCUAGGAGUGUUAUCCUCGACAUGUGUUUAUUCACAGUCAUUCACGAGAAAUGGGCCGGUAAUUGGAAUGCCCAGUUCCACGCUUAAAUCGAAAACAUAACUGUAAAACAAGACUCCCCCCGGAUUGAUGUUAGUAUGGACGGUACCCGAGGAUUCGGCUAGCCGUGGAGUGUGAUUGAUUGGUGGUGGGGGAGUUAAAACUUUACUUUUCUGUUUGGGAACCGCCUAUAGCAUGAGUAGCAUGGAAGAUAUUGAGAACUCUUGGUCAUUGCGCUGACAAUGAAAGCAUGCCACCCAAAAUUAUUAUCUCUGUUUUCAAAGCUUCAGCUCUGGCACCUCUGCAAAUCAAUGCUUCCCUCUGCAAAGGGUCUGUCUAUUUAUUUUCCCGUCGAGUCAUCCUCAUCUUAUAUAAGCACCAAUUAGAGAGCACCUCUGUCAUUUUUAUGCUUUGCUUUUGAUUGAUAUUGAGUAUGACUAUGACUGGAUCUUCGUUGCUAUGAGUUACAAUGUUUAGUCAGCCCUUGAUCUUUGAAAGUGCUCUGCAUUUAUGUUUUGCGGUCUCAGAAAGAGCUAGCGAGAUACCACCUAUUCAUAUUGCUUCAUGCUCGUUUUGAUUGAAGUGUUGGUAUUUGUAACUCAUUAUUAUUUGCUCGUUAGCUCAUUAUGCCAUUGAUAUUAGUUUACCGUGAGACCUUUGUGUCAUUUGCUUAUGUGGUUAACUUGUGAUCUUGCUGUAAUUCUGGUUAUGAGUUAGACAUAGUUGCAACAACAAGAUCAAACAGAGUUUGUCAAAGUUUUUCUUUCUCUCUCAGUUUGUCAACUGAGGUGCUUGAGGACAAGCAAGGUUUUAAGCUUGGGGGAGUUGAUACGUCUCCAUCAUAUCUACUUUUCCAAACUCUUUUGCCCUUGUUUUGGACUCUAAUUUGCAUGAUUUGAAUGGAACUAACCUGGACUAACGUUGUUUUCAGCAGAAUUGCCUUGGUGUUAUUUUUGUGCAGAAACCAAAGUUCUCCAAACGUCCUGAAAAUUUACGGGGAGCAGUUUUGGAAAAUAUCAAAAAUAUCUGCGUGAAGUUCCACCUCAGGCGGUGGGCCAGUGGGCCACAAGCCCUGGCUCCACCACCACUCCUCCUGGUGGCGGUGGGCAGGCUUGUGGGGCCCACGCGGCUCUGUUGCCCCCAACUCCAGCUCUAAGAUCCCUUUCGUCCCAGAAAAAAAAAGAGAAGUUUUCGUCGCGUUUUCGAUACGGAGGCGCCGCCACCACCUGUUCUUCAUUUGGAAGGAAGAUCUGGAGUCCGUCUUGGGCUCCGGAGAGGGGAAAUCGUCGCCAUCGUCAUCAUCAACCUUCUUCCCUCUCCAAUUCCAUGAAGCUCUUCGUCGUUCGUGAGUAAUCUAUUCGUAGGCUCGCUGGGCGAUGAUGAGUAGGAUGAGAUCUAUCAUGUAAUCGAGUUAGUUUUGAUGGGGAUUGAUCCCUAGUAUCCACUAUGUUCUGAGAUUGAUGUUGCUACUACUUUGCCAUGCUUAAUGCUUGUCACUAGGGCCCGAGUGCCAUGAUUUCAGAUCUGAAAUUGUUAUAUUGUCACCAAUAUAUGUGUGUUUUAGAUCCGAUCUUGCAAGUUGUAGUUACCUACUAUGUGUUAUGAUCCAGCAACCCUGGAGUGACAAUAACCGGAACCACUCCCAGUGAUGACCAUAGUUUGAGGAGUUCAUGUGUUCACCAAGUGCUAAUGCGUUGGUCCGGUUCUUUAUUAAAAGGAGAACCUUAAUAUCCCAUAGUUUCCUUUUGGACCCCGUUGCCACGGGAGGGAUGGACAAUAGAUGACAUGCAUGUUCUUUUCCCUAAGCACGUAUGACGACACACAGAAUGCAUGCCUACAUCACAUUGACGAACGGGAGCUAGCUACAUAUCUCUCUGUGUUAUAGCUGUUGCAUGAUGAAUAUCAUCCAAACAAAUCACCGACUCAUUGCCUACGAGUUUGUCCUACUGCUGCUACUACUGUUGCUACUACUGCUGCUACUACUGUUGCUACUGCUGUUACUUGUUUUGCUCUGCUGCUGCUACUACUGUUGCUACUGAUGUUACAUGUCUUGCUCUGCUGCUGCUACUACUGUUGCUACUGCUGUUACUUGUCUUGCUUUGCUGCUACUGUUGCUACUACUGUCGCUUGCUACUGUUGCUACUUGCUACUGCUGUCGCUACUGCUUUUCCUUGCCGCUGCUAUUGCUCGUUACUUUGCCGUUACUCGCUACUUUGUUGUUACUACUUUGCUUGCAGAUACUAAUCUUUCAGGUGUGGUUGAAUUUGACAUAUUCAGCUGCUAAUACUUGAGAGUAUUCUCUCACCUCUCCUCGUGCGAACCAACAAAUUUGGGUUGAAUACUCUACCCUCGAAAACUGCUGCGAACCCACGCGCUGGUGGGCCGUCAACAAUAUUCUUCUAGUUUCAUUGCUGGGGAGUGCUAGUAGCAUUCUUCUGUUGCCGUUGCAGGGGAAGGUUUGUUGUCAUCAGCAUUCGUCUAGCCAUCGCCAGAGAUUGCAAUCACUCUCCCCUCAUAUAUAUAUGGGGAAGAGAGGAGGGGGCCGGCCCUAGGGUUUCCUCUAGGGGUGGGGGUUGCGGCCUAGGAGGUGGCUUGCCACCCAAGCAAGGGUGGCCCCACCCCUAGGGCUUGCCCUUCUGUUGGGGAUAUUAUCUGUUGGGUAACCCGCCCUAGUUGGGCCGGGUCACCCAUGCUGGCGACUCAUCUCCAAGUGGUUCCGGCCUUGGCCCAGCGAGGUCGGGAGUCGUAUGACGGUUCAGGACCUUCGGGGAAGUCCAUUGUAGGGAAGAUCUCCAUGUCUUGGAAAGAUGGCGACUUAGAGAUCGGAAGAAUCACAAUUUAUGUAAAGGAAAGGACUCUUGUAAACCCUAAGGACUCGACCUGUAUAUAAAGGCGAGUCCAAGGGAAGGAGAAGGGAGGUUAGAAAUCAUCGAGUGCUAGGUCAGGCGAGUUACACCCCCUUGUAAUCGAAACACCAUCAAUACAAACACCAAGCAGGACGUAGGCCUUUACCUCCUCACGAGGGGCCGAACCUGGGUAAAUCUCUAUCUCGCACCCGCAUAACCCCUUUGAGUCACCACCAAGAUGCGAUGGCUCCAACACUAAGUCCUUUCACGAGGACAUCUGCCGUGACAAAACCAUGACAGUUGGCGCCUACCAUGGGUCCUGCGCACGGUGGAGUUGAAUUCUCAAAGGGAGCCCUACCAGGGUCUGGGAGCUACGCAGUGGGGAUCAUGACUCGGAGCCACCGCGGGAAGUACUACAUCAAUAACUUGCUAUGGGGGCCCGAGGCCGAUUCGAUCGAAUCCGGCUACAGAAUCCCCUUCGGCAAGAUCAACGUCUUCGUCGGCAUGGUUGGAUCGCCUAUGCCUGAGCCGGACAUCUCCUCCGACAUCGUCGAGCCGGCCAGGUACGUCUUUGUUGGGUUCACGCAGGGAUCUAAGGAACCAGAACAAUCGGCGACCCAGUAGACCAUGCCGGUCAACACAGAUGACGAAUCAUCCAUGGGCGAUUCAGAUUCAAUUCUAUCUCUACAUGGGGGCUGCCUUGGGGGCUUGUCACUAGCCAUGGACCCUGAGGUUCUUGACCGGACCCGCCGUCAGAUCGACGUUUACAUGGCAGGGGCGACUCAGCCCUCGCCAAACCCGGCACGCGGAGAUGGGGCUGGCGAAACGUCUAGAAGCCCGGCCAUGAUCUUGGUGGAGUAAGCGGCGGAGAUAACGAGGCUCACGGCGACCCCCAUAACGUCAGAAAACCAGGACGCGAUAAACACGAAGCUAACAAAACUAAGAGAUGGGGUGGCAAAGGCUCAGCGGGACGCUGAGGUGGAAGCCGCCGGGAUCGAGACCCGGCAGGCUCAAAUUACCGCCGAGGUAGCUCGCUUGAAUGCCGAAACCUGGCGGCUCAAAAGGCAUCAGCGUGCACCAGACGCCGUCCAUCAGCGGAGGCAUCAGGGUCAUUUACCCCCUGAUCUCAACCCAACCCGCCUGUUCGACACUCCACGAACACCCGGGGCAGGAGACGCCCCGGGGGCAGGGACGGGCCAGCCACCAAACCCGCUGUUUCAGCCAGCUGUGAUCGCGUCCCCCGAUUCCAGACACCUCGAGGUCACUUUUCCAACCCGAUGGAAAACGUCCUUGACGCAACUCGCCAUUUAGAAUCCCUUCCGAUUCAUGGCAACACUCCAGCUGAGAUAGAAGCAAGGAACGCCAUUGAGAUGUUGAAGAUGGCGGUGGUUCAAAACGCCCAGUUUUCACACAACCUAGAUCGGCUGCACUCCACUCCCUAGACAAGCCGCACCAGGAGUCGACCAGAGGACCAGCCCGCCAUAACCAGCGGACCGCGACCCUUUCCCCAGGUCAACUCGCCUGAUCGCCGAGACACGCCAGGUCGGGAUCACCCGAACACCCAAGUUUCCCCAGCGCCUCUUGUUGGAAGCGGCAGACAAGUGGGGGUGCCAUGCUUGGCCCCCACCCUUCACAACGAGUGAAUGCCCAAGGAUUUUAAAGGACCAAGAAAGGUGCCUAACUACACUCCGAACCUUGAGCCGUCGUCAUGGGUCAAGAGUUACGAAAUCGCCAUGGACAUGCUCGAUGUAAGCGAAGCAGUCUGCGCCAGAUACUUCACAAUGAUGCUCGAAGGGACGACACAUACUUGGUUAAAGCACUUGCCCCCCAAAUCCAUCCAGUCUUGGGCCGAAUUAAAAGAGCGUUUCGUCAAAAAUUUCCGAGGGACCUGCAAGCGCCCGAUGACAAUAGUCGAUUUACAACACUGGGUUCAACGCCCGGACGAGUCGGCCCACCGCUGGACGCGGCGGGUCGCGGAAAUCAUUCAUUCGUCGGAUGGUAUCACGGCGGCUCAGGCUGUGCUAAUCCUGGAGCAGAACUGCCACUAUGAGCCCUUGGUGCAGAAGUUGGGACGACUCAAGCGAAAGGUGCAAGAUAUGGGGGAGCUAAUGGACACCCUCACUAGGUACGCUGAGGCGACGACACCAAAGAUCCAGGAGAAGAUGGUGGUAAAGCCAACUCGCCAAGGAAAGGCGAGUCAUCCAAAAAUCAUACCCGGUUCGAGGGACGCGCCCGCCAUAAUCAUGGAGCUUAUGGAAAAAUAAGCAGCAGGAAGUGUCUUCGGACUUAGUUGCCAACACCAACGCCAACAAUGGCAACCAGCGCCAGAAGAAGAAUAGGGGUUACAGUGGCAAAAAGCCGCGCAACUAUAAUGAGUUACUCAAGGGCCCCUGCCCGCACCACGCCAUGGCAGACGGACCGGCGACUCAUUCCUGGGAGGACUGUUACGUGAUGCGGGAGUUUCGGGCGGAGGCGAUCAAAAAAGGGCAAGGCGGCGACCCGGACCAACGGCAGGAACAGUUUGGCUCACCUAAUCAAUGCCAGAACCCCUUCGGCGGCUUCUCCGAACCCAGGGCUCAGGGCGGCUCGCAGCCAAACAAUGGCCAGUAUCCGGUGCAUCACCAACGACGGUAUAACCAGCCGGGAGCCUUUCAACAACCACCCCCACAGGGGGUUCUGCAGGGGCAGGAUGACAAUGGCGGUUUCCGCAACAACCCCAAGCAGUUAAGCAAUGGGCAUUACCAUGUUUUCACCACCAAUGCCUGCAAGCGCGAUAAAAAGGUGAGUCACCGAGCGUACAGUGUAUCUGAGCCAGCACUCCCUAGAUAUCUCCACUGGUCGGAGUAGACCAUAUCAUGGAGCAGGGAGGAUCACCCGCCAAAAGUUGAGAAUCCCGACGACUUAGCGUUGGUCGUGGCCCCUCAAGUUGGAGGAUAUACCUUAUCGAAGGUACUGAUGGAUGGUGGUAGCAGCAUCAACAUAUUAUACUUCGACACCUUUCGAAGGAUGAACCUGUUGGAGAAAGAUUUGAUGCCCUCAACCACGGUAUUCCAUAGGAUUGUCCUAGGUAAAUCGGCAUAUCCCAUAGGCCGUGUUAGGCUCACAGUUGCGUUUGGAGCAGCGUCUAACUACAGGAGUGAGUCGCUUAUAUUUGAGGUGGUCAAGUUAAAAAGCCCCUAUCAUGCGCUCUUUGGGAGGCCGGCUUACGCCCGGUUCAUGCUCGCCCCUGCUAUGUUUACCUUAAACUCAAGAUGCCUAGUCCUAAAGGACCCAUCACGGUUGAUGGUGAUAGGAGGAUUGCAAGAGAGUGUGAAGAAGGGGAUACGGCUUACGCAGAAGUCGCCUGUGUUGCGGAAGAGCUUAAAUAUCACCAGGCCAAUGUUGAUCCGGCUGACAUGUCACCUCUAAAGAAGCCAACGACAGACGCUGAGCCGCCCCUCAAGUUCAAACCAACAGACGACACUAAGACAGUGGAUUUCGUCCCUGGUGACUCAACCAAGCAGUUCACUAUCGGGGCGGGUCUUGACCCCAAAUAGGAAAGCGCGCUCAUCGAAUUCAUCCAUGAGAAUCGGGACAUCUUCGGAUGGAAACCUUCUGACAUGCCUGGUGUGCCGAGAGAAUUCGCUGAGCACCAUCUUAAUGUUGACCCAAAAGCAAAACCGAUUCAGCAAUAUCUUCGCAGGUUCAAUGAGGAACGACGCAAGGCAAUCGGGGAAGAAGUUGCCCGUCUCUUGGCCACCGGAUUCAUCGUAGAGGUCUUCCACCCCAAGUGGUUGGAUAACCCGGUUCUGGUGCUCAAGAAGAACUGUACCUUCCGCAUGUGCAUUGAUUACACAGAUCUUAAUAGAGCUUAUCCAAAGGAUCCUUUCGCCCUUCCCCACAUCGAUCAAAUUAUUGAUUCGGUGGCGGGAUGCGAAUGUUUGUGCUUCCUGGACGCUUAUUACCGAUAUCACCAAAUCAAGAUGGUCGUGGAAGAUCAGGAGAAAACAGCUUUUAUAACCCCCUUCGAUGCUUUCUACUAUGUGUCCAUGCCAUUUGGACUCAAGAGUGCAGGGGCGACUUACCAGCGCUGCAUCCACAAUUGCCUCUGUGGCCAAAUCGGACGCAACGUUCAUGCUUACGUUGACGACAUUGUGGUUAAAACUCACAGGAAGGAAACACUACUGGGAGACCUAAAGGAUAAUCUGCGGGUAUACCAAUUGAAGCUUAAUCCCACCAAGUGUGUCUUUGCUGUUCCUGCAGGAAAAUUGUUGGGCUUCCUGGUAUCUGAGCGCGGCAUCAAAGCUAACCCGGACAAAAUCGAGGCGGUUACUUCCCUUGGGAAACCAGCGAAUGUUAAUCAAGUUCAACGAAUGGCGGGCCGUAUUUCGGCCUUAAGUCGCUUCAUAAUCCGUCUGGGUGAAAAGGCUAUUCCCCUUUAUCAAUUGCUUAAAAAAUCUGACCAUUUUGUUUGGACACACGACGCCAAUGAAGCUUUGGAAGCCUUAAAACAGCAGCUGGUCAACCCGCCGGUUUUGGCCGCCCGACUGAGAAAGAGCCUAUGCUUCUGUAUAUUGCGGCAAACUCCAAAGCGGUGAGUGUGGCAGUGGUCGUCGAAAGGAAGGAAGAAGGGAAGGAAUACCCAGUGCAACUCCCGGUGUAUUUCAUUAGCGAGGUGCUAACUCUCUCCAAGCAGCGAUACCCACACUGGCAGAAGUUAGUUUAUGGGGUCUUUAUGGCAAGCCGAAAGCUCAAACAUUAUUUCCAAGAGCAUCCCAUCACGAUGGUUAGCUCCGCUCCCCUCGGGGACAUCAUCCAUAAUUGGGAAGCGACAGGGCGAAUCGCCAAGUGGGCAAUCGAACUCGGGCCGCACCACGUGCGAUACACCCCUCGCACGGCUAUCAAAUCUCAGGCCUUGGUUGAUUUAAUCAACGAUUGGACCGAGUUACAGAUCCCGGAGGAUAGGCCUGACCUUACAUACUGGAAUAUUUAUUUUGACAGGUCUAGACAGUUGGAAGGCUCAGGGGCUGGUGUGGUGCUGAUAUCGCCUCAAGGAGACAAAUUCUGCUAUGUCCUCCGACUCAUGUUUCCAUGUACCAACAACGCUGCGGAAUACGAAGCUUUACUUCAUGGCUUGCGACUCGCCAAGGAGAUGAACCUUACGCGGGUCAGAUGUUUUGACGAUUCUGAUUUGGUGGCUCAGCAAGUUUCAGGUACUUGGGAUUCUCGGGACCCCCUGAUGGAGGCUUACAGGAGGGCUGUGUCUGAUGUGGCGGGUCACUUCCAUUAUUAUCAGGUCGAUCAUAUCGACCGGCGCCUUAACGAAGCAGCUGAUGGCCUUUCACGUCUCGGUUCGCAGCGCAAGCCGGUUCCCCCCAAUGUCUUUCUGGAUACUCUGCAUAAUCCUUCCGUAAGGUUACCCUCGGAGGAGGAGUUGACAAUACCAGACCCUGAGUCUCAGUUCGUGGCAGCUCUCCAUGUUACGCCGGAUUGGGUUCUUCCGUAUCUGGCCUAUCACGCCCGAGGCGAGUUACCUUUGGAUGAAGUAUUGGCUCGUCAAAUCGUUCGGCGAAGCAAAUCCAUGGUGAUCAUCAAUGGCGAAUUAUAUAAACGAAGCACUUCCGGGGUUUUCCAAAGAUGUGUCUCCUCUGAAGAAGGAUGUGUAAUUCUAAACGACAUUCAUUCCGGAGAUUGUGGACAUCACGCCGGGUCAUGUUCCUUGGUUUCAAAGGCGUUUCGUCAUGGUUUCUUCUGGUUGACGGCCCAUGCAGAUGCAGAAGAGAUUGUUCGUCGAUGUGACGGAUGCCAGCGUUAUGAACGACAGGACAAUGUGCCGGCUCAAGAGUUAAGGAUGAUACCUAUCACUUGGCCUAUUGCGGUCUAGGGGUUAGACAUGGUUGGCCCCUUUAAGAUGUCGUCCAACAAAAAAACUCAUCUGCUGGUGGCGGUUGAUAAGUUUACCAAGUGGGUCGAGGCAGAACCUGUUGGAUCCUGCGACGCGGAGACAGCGGUCAAAUUUUUGAAAAAGUUAAUCUUCUAGUUCGGAUAUCCACACAGCAUUAUUACUGACAAUGGCACUAAUAUGUCUCAAGGAGCGAUGCGGGAUUUUUGUCAUCGUGAGCAUAUCCGCCUUGAUGUUUCUGCAGUAGCUCAUCCGCAAUCUAAUGGGCAGGCCGAGCGGGCGAAUCAGGAAGUGUUGCGAGGAAUCAAACCCCGACUCAUGAUUCCCCUGGAACACACCCCGGGGUGUUGGGUUGAGGAGUUGCCUUCAGUACUAUGGAGCAUCCGGACCACCCCGAACCGUUCUACGGGUUUUACUCCUUUCUUUCUGGUAUAUGGAGCAGAAGCCGUUCUUCCCACUGACAUUAGGCAUGACUCGCCCAGAGUUGCCUCUUAUGUGUAAUAGGACAACGAGUUGGCGCGUCAAGAUUCUUUGGACGCUUUGGAGGAAGCACGCGAUUUGGCUGCAGCCCGUUCGGCGAUUUAUCAGCAGGACUUGCAGCGUUAUCACAGCCGCCGGGUCAAGAGCCGAAUCUUUCAGGAGGGCGACUUACUCCUUCGAUUGAUACAAGAUCGUACUGACAUGCAUAAGUUAUCACCACCAUGGGAAGGACCGUUCGUCGUCAGCAAAAGCCUUCGCAACGGGUCCUACUAUCUGGUGGAUCUAUGGCCUGAUCGGCCAACCACGGAGGCUGAGUCAACUCGCCCUGGAACAUAGCCCACUUGCGGCCUUAUUACACUUGAGCUAAUUAGCUCUGCCUUUUUUCAUUUCUUAUGAAGCAAUAAAGUUGAUGCCUCCAGGCUUGGGGGCUUUCCUGCUAAUUCAUCUUAUUGGAAGUAUGGAUCUUUAUUUUACUCUUCAAAAAGUCGCCCAAGCAUGGAUGCUAUCUAUACCAAAGGGCUUAAGUCGCCAUGAUGCGCUUAUUACAAAACUGGGUAUCGAUAAGCCAAAGAGGAUCGAAGUCGCUACAAGCGCGCGAUUCAAACAUAGGCGUUUUAUAUGAUUCUGUGGAUUAGGCCGGCUUACUUGAGGGCAGUUUGUUCUCAAGUCGUUUUGUGGUAAUAGCGUAUACGCUUCUACAAUCCUAUGACGGUCUUUCCCUUAAUCAUAGGUCACUUGGGGGCUUCCUCUCACUGAGAUCAGCCUUACUACCCAUUUGGCUUGCGAAAAAUUACCGCAUUACAAAUGGUUAUACUGGACUGUGUGCUUGGCCGAAUCGCCAUAUGGACCCAUGAACUCUUGGCGAGUUAAUCCGCUUAUGGACCCUGAAUAUGCCUUGGUUAAAACAUGUCUGGUACCGGCUAGCGCCUCACAUGGAAAAUAGAGAAACCACUGGUUCACUGAACCCGCUUCACUGAAGCUUGACUCGCGCCUGAUCAGCCGGUCUAAAUACUUGAGCUUUUUAUACAAAAGUCUACCUCGGGUAGCACUUGAGUUCAUUUAACUCAUCCUAUCCUAUCACGACCUGAUGAGCCGACGAAAUUGCAAUUUUUUACCUUCCUAGCACUGCCACAAGGUCUUUCUGACUUUUUUCUGACUCGCCACAAAUAUCUUGGGUCGGUUAUUAUUUAUUAUCAUCCAUUACUCACUGAGAUGAUUUGAUAUAUGUUUUUAAGCCUAACAGGUUGAUGAUCAAAAUCAUUCUAGCCAUGGCGGGUCAAGCAUCAUAAAAAUGUCUUGAGGGCGAGUCAAGCAUUCUAAGGCGCCUUAAGUGUGACAUAAGGGUUUUCAAGACAUCACAGAAGCAGUUUGAUCUCUAAAAAACUUAUUACAUGGCUCAUAUGGCCAAAUCUAUGAAGGAUUAUUCUACUGAUUUCCUCGGGUCAGCCUGCUGCGAGCUCUGGCCGACUUCAAUUUGCAAGUCGCCCAGUACCCAGUUACACUUGGAUAAUGCGGCGAACUCAUCUUCAUCGUUCAGCACUGAUGAAAGAUCCACCUCCAACUCAAAAGGAUUCUUGGGUCGACGCGGAGUUAAGCUGGUCGUUACAAAGGUUGGCGGGUUAAAUUUCUUGUUCUUGUUGUCAUAGGCGGCCUGGUAUUUUGAUAAAUCCAGGCUUGCGGCAAGCUGAGUCGCUGCCAAACGGGAUUCUUUGACAACACGCUGGUAAUCUUCUUUAGCAAAUUCUGACCCGUCAUCCUUGAGCUGGGGAAAGCCUGCCGCUACUUCUUCAGGGUUUAUUUCUGGAGCAUACGCCAGACACCGACUCAGCGUAGUGAGUGCUCCUUUCCGGGCAGCAGACCGAGUUAGCUCACCAAUUUGAGGAGGAAGAGUAGAUAAGCAGCCAAGCAUCUUCUUUAUUGAUGUUAUGGGUUCCUUGGCACCCAUCACUGCUUUCACGGUCAGCACACUUCCGGUAUACAGCUUCUCCGUCAACGUGUAAAUCGCCUUCAGCAUUAGGACGCAAUCGUUCUGAAGAUUGACGGCUCUUGGACCUGCAUAAGGAGUAAUGAUGGUCAGCGAUUUCUACAAGUUAUUUAUUUACGAAGUGCAAGGUUAGGGUUUCGUUUUAACCAAAGACGGCUUGGGCCAUGUUGGAGAUAUGUCGCUUUAAGGCGGCUAGCUCUUGUUGCAUAGUAUCCAACUUUGCUUCAGCUUUUUCUGCUCGCUUUAUCAGGGCAUCUUGAUCAGCUUGAGGAUUUUUUAUGUCGGCUUUUAGCUUCUCCUUCUCAGACAAGAUCAGUUGACACUUCUCUUCUGAUUUUGCCCGGGCAUCCUGCUGAUCGGUUAAAUUUUUCUUCAAGUCGCCAAAUGCUGAUUCAGCUUGGGUAAGUAAUUCCUGUUGAAAUAUAUAGUCAAGGGGCGAGUCUUAGAAUUAUUGCAAGCAACAUCCCUGACACUUGGGGGCUAAUGUAUAAUUUUUUAGACAAAUUAUACAGUAUCAAGACCCGACUCAUCUUUUUACAAAUGACUCAGCCCUUGGGGGUUACAGGUCGAAUGUUUUCUUCAAUUAUCAAGACCCGGCUCAUAUUUUUACAGAUGACCCGGCCCUUGGGGGUUACAGGUCGAAAGAUUUUCUUCAAAAUUAUCAAGACCCGGCUCAUCCUUUUACAGAUGACCCGACCCUUGGGGUUACAGGUCGACAGAUUCAUUUUACUAUUAAGACCCGGCUCAUCUUUUUACUGAUGACCCGGCCCUUGGGGGUUAAUAAGGACAAUACAGUAUGCAAUAAGACGUUCCUCAUGUUUGUUCUUCAGCAUAAGAAACAGACUUUUUUCCAUCUCAUAACUCGCCUCCAGGCGACUUGCAAAGCCCGAGCAAAGUUCUCUGAAUUCAAGAUUUUCAUAGUGGGAGAGCUUAGCCUUGGAAAGUUCAUACUCAAUAGCAGGUUGAGCUGAUGAUGAUACAUGCUUCGACAAAACUGUUGUGGCCGGCUUAGAAAAGCGAGUGCCGGUGAUAACCACAUCGUCUGGGUCUUCUGCUGUUUUCAAUGGACUUGGCGGAUUAGGCGUUUCCAUGGUUUCCUUGGGCGAGCUUGGGAGAUCCACUUGAUCCUCGGGUUUAUCUUGGGCCGGGUUAUCCUGGAUCGGCGCCGAUUUUUCAACAGGCUCUGAAGCUGUAAUGGGAGUUGACCCGCAAGUUUUCCUUUUCUUCGCAUGUGCCCUAAAAGGAAAAGUGGGUGCACUUAAAGAAACAGACAUUACCAUCAUCAGAACAAGGUAGGUGUUAUAAAAGACUUACCCUGGGACGCGGAUCAUCGGUGGAAGUGCUGACAUCACUGAGUCGCCGGAUGAAGGAGGAGAACUCUGCAAAAAUAACACUUCAAGAUGUGAGCGAGUUAUUAACGCGAUCCAAAAGGAAAUGAAGAGGUGCUAUUAAAAGAUACCUCAUUGUGCCUUUUCUUGGUUUUUGUUGGUAACCCGGACACCAAAUUUCUAGAAUGACUCCGAGUUUUCCAAUUUGAAGCAUGUUGCGCUUUCUUCAAAAGGAAAUUUGGAUCCAAACAAGCAUUUGGGUGUGAGAAGGGAACUUCCCAACAAAUUCGCCUGGCCGGCUUAGGUGGAGGAGAAGAUGAGUCGGAGGAAACAGAAAUUACCUCUACGGAGUCUUCCUGGCUUUCAUUGUCCUCAUUCUACACAAGAGAUACAGAGGCGUAAACACAAAACUAUCAACAAUGAAUGGCGAGUUAAAGAGGAUGGAUUUUUACCUCUGAAAGUACGUUGCCCACUUGGGAUUCAUCGACUUCAGAUGGCUCAGUGACGGCGGUUUGGCCUUGCCCUUGGACUUCUUCUUUGGAGGCGGCUUGGCUUGCUUCAAGGCCAUCUUUUUUGGCCUCCUGGACCAGAAUUUGUCACCUUUCUGAAAUGGCAUUUUUUAUUAUAGGAGGUCAUAGCUCAAGUAAGACGGAAGGAAUAAAGCAAAAGUGGGUUAAGUUAUUUACCUUUGGUGCCGGGUUGAUCUUGCAGAACGGCUUAAGACCUAUUUGGCCGCACUUGGCCAUGAGUUCGCCGGUCAAUUUCUUGAUGAUGGUUACAAUAUCAUUUUCUGUCAGUGCUGUGUGGAAGUAGCACUGGGAGUGAUCCAGGGUACCAUCAAAAUCACACAUUAAUCCGUCCCAGCGACUUAAGGGAAGGAUACGCCAUUCGACCCAGCAGCAGAUUAAGUCAACCCCAGUAAGGCCAUUGUUUGUCAGAGAUCUUAACUCGGACAGUACUGGGAUAAAAUCUGACUCCUCUUCUUCGGUGAGCUUGUCUGGGAGUUUUAAAUUUGUUGGAAGGCAAUCCUCCCUAUAGCCAAGAAGCUUGUUCUCGCCCUCAGGCGAAGUCUCCUGGCAGUAAAACCAAGACUCAGUCCAGCCUUUGGGAUGGCUUGGCAUGGCGAGUGACGGGAAUGAACUAUCCCUACGGUGUUGAACAUUGACACCUCCAAGCUCCAAGCUAGGGCCAUUGGAAAAUUCUGUCUAGCGAUUCAAAUGGAAGAAGUACCAGAAUAAAGGAACUGAGGGUUCCAUCCGCAAGUAGGCCUCACAGAACACGUGGAACUGGCAUAAAUUGCUUAUCGAGUUGGGCCCUAAGUCCUGGAGGCGGACAUUCAUAAAGGUCAUGGCAUCCCUGAGGAAUUUUGAUUUGGGCGGCUUAAAACACCGUUCAAGGUGUUCAACAAAAACAACUAUCUCCCCUUCCUUUGAGUUGGGGAUUUCCUCUCCUAACCCAGAACGCCAACUGAUAACCUCUUGAGGGUCCAGAAUCCCCGUUUUCACACAGUUGUUAAGGAGAGUAUCAUCAACCUUGGUCGGGAGCCAAUCACAUUUGAAAAUGGUGCCCAGGCUACAAAGGGACAAAUUUACGGGUAAAUUAACACGCCAAGCAUCUACUAAAUGGUGAAACAGAUUCAUUUGACUCGCCAAACAGUUUGCGUGAUAACUGAGGGAGUUUUUUGACUCGCCGAUAAAGGUCCGGGUCAGGAUACCAGGGCGACUUAUGUAAUUCUUACUACUUAAAGGAAAGAUGGUUCAAAGCUUCAGUAGUGUCCGCCAAAAUUGUGAAGUAUGAAUCCAUAAACAGGUUUCAUGCGACGAGCAGUAAGACAGAAAUGAAUGCGAAAAGGUCUGGGUAAAACGGCCUAUGACCAAGAUGAAAACAGUACAGUUGAUCUGGUGAAAACCUUUCUAAGUCUGCAAAUCAAGGCUAAGCAACAAAGGGUAUGGAAAAUGUUGAUGUACUCACUAUCGUCACCACCAACUAGCCAGGAAUUACAAAGCUAUUCGAGAUGUUUUAAAGAAAUAGUGGACAUGAACCUCGAGAAGCUUAGAUCUGCCUUCAAUGGCGGGAGGCUGACCUGGUAAAUGCAGCUGGAGGCGUCCGAAGAAAGAUUCGCGGUGAGCGUCGCACGUUCGGCAACUCCCGGACGGCGGCGAAGAUCUCGGACGAUGACGAAGAUCUCGGACGGCGACGAGGUUCUCGAAACGGCGGCGAGGCUCUCGGGCGACGACGAAGUGCUCGGACAACGGCUGAGCUUUCGGGCGGCGACGAAGUGCUCGGGUGGCGACGAAGCUCUCGGGUGGCGACGAGGCUCUCGGUGCGACGGCGAGGAAGAAGAGGGUGACAAGAUGGGUAGGUGGAAAUGUGCCCUGUCCCCUCCUCCCUCCUAGUUAUCAGGUCAGGCGCUGGGAUCGAGGCGCCACGAGUGGGAACUGCCAAAAAAGAUAAAGAUUCGCCAUGAUGGCGCCCCAAAAUUUUCGGGAUAGCAAUACCGAAGGAUCCGUUGGAGAUUACGUCAUCAUCUCUUCCGAGGUUAAAGGGAUAAGAAGGCGCCAACAAGAAGUGGUUCGGCGACUUGAGUUUUUCCGCAACAGAUGGCGGUUUAAGUGCAUGGUUCGUAAAAGGAUUGAGAUGAAUCGCCCCUAACUGGGUGAGAAUAUUGGCGUGAAAAAAUUCAAGUCAAUCUGGGGCCUAAUGUUGGGGAUAUUAUCUGUUGGGUAACCCGCCCUAGUUGGGCCGGGUCACCCAAGCUGGCGACUCAUCUCCAAGUGGUUCCAGCCUUGGCCCAGCAGGGCCGGGAGUCGUAUGACAGUUCAGGACCUUCAGGGAAGUCCAUUGUAGGGAAGAUCUCCAAGUCUUGGAAAGAUGGGGACUUAGAGAUCAGAAGAAUCACGAUUUAUGUAAAGAAAAGGACUCUUGUAAACCCUAAGGACUUGACCUGUAUAUGAAGGCGAGUCCCAGGGAAGGAGAGGGGAGGUUAGAAAUCAUCGAGUGCUAGGUCAGGCGAGUUACGCCCCCUUGUAAUCGAAACACCAUCAAUACAAACACCAAACAGGACGUAGGCCUUUACCUCCUAACGAGGGGCCGAACCUGGGUAAAUCUCUGCCUCGCUCCCGCAUAACCCCUUUGAGUUGCCACCAAGAUGCGAUGGCUCCAACACUAAGUACUUUCACGAGGACAUCUGCCGUGACAAAACAACGACACCUUCCACCAGCCCAGUCGCAUGGGCUUAGGUGGGGAGGGGCGCCCAGCCCACCAGGCGCUGGUAUGCACUCUUCUCAGCCCAUGUGGCCCCUCCGGGGCAGGUCGGACCCUUUCAACACUCCUGGUACUCUGAGGUAAUGCCCGAACUUUCCGGUGACCAAAAUGGAACUUCCUGUAUAUGAAUAUUUACCUCCUACCAUUUUGAAGAUCCUCGUCAUGUACGGGAUCUUAUCUUGGACUCUGAAAAACAUUUGGUUAUCAACAUACAUAAGUCAACAAUACUAUAUCGUCAUCGAAGAUUAAGCAUGCGGACCCUACGGGUUUGAGAACUAUGUAGACAUGAUCGAGACACCUCUACAGUUAGUAACCAAUAGAGGGACUUUGAUGCCCGUAUUAGUUCCUACAUAUUCCAUGAAUAACUUUAUCGUUCAAACCACGAUGCCAAGGAUUCAAUCCAUCCCGUAUGGAGUUCCCUUUGUCGAGCGGAAUGUUACUUGCCCGAGAAUCGAUCGUCGAAACCUUCAUACCUAGUUAAAUCUUGUUACCGAGAAGUCUCUUUACUCGUUCCGUAAUACAAGAUUCCAUGCCUAAUUCCUUAGUAACAUCCCAGAGAUACCUCUAUGUCAUACGGAGUGAAAAAUCCCGGUCUUGAUCCAUGCUAACCCAACAAAGACGCUUGGAGAUACCUCUGGAGGAUCGUUAUAAUCACCCAGUUACGAAUUGAUGUUUAAUAGGCACAAGGCAUUCCUCCGGUUUUAUGGAGUUGCAUGAUCUCAUUGUAUUAGGAAUAGGUACUUGAUGAUACGAUCAAAUGAUAUGCUUACGCUUGGGUCUUGUCCAUCAUAACAUUCUCCUAAUGAUGUGAUCUCGUUAUCAAAUGCCAACUCAUGUCUAUGGUUAGGAAAUCUUAAUCAUCUUUGAUCAAUGAGCUAGUGUAGUAGAGGCGUACUAGUGACACAGUGUUGUCUAUGCAUCCACACAUGUAUCUGAGUUUCAAAUAAAUACAGUUAUAACAUGGAUAAUAAAUGAUUAUCAUGAACAAGGGAAUAUGAUAAUAACUACUUUACAAUUGCCUGUAGAGCAUGUUUUCAAGAGUCUCCCACUUGCACUAGAGUCAAUAAUGUUGGAAAUAUGCCCUAGAGGCAAAAACAAAUUAGUUAUUACCAUAUUUCCUUGUUUAUGAUAAUCAUUUAUUAUCCAUGCUAUAAUUGUAUUGAUUGGAAACUCAAAUACAUGUGUGGGUACAUAGACAAUAAAGUGUCCCUAGUAUGCCUCUGUUGGACUAGCUCGUUGAUCAAAGAUAGUUAAGGUUUCCUAGCCAUACACAUGAGUUGUCAUUUCAUAAAGGGAUCGCAUCAUUAGGAGAAUGAUAUGAUGGACAAGACCCAAACCUUAAGAAUAGUGUUCGAUCGUAUCCAGAUUACUGCUAUUCACUACAGGAAUCACCUUCUUUGCCGUCCGUCAUAACAGACGGCAAAGAGGACCCCACCGACGGCAAAUCUCUUUGUCGUCAGCUUACUGUCGGCAAAGAUUCUGCGUCAGCUUACGACGGCAUUGUACCUUCUUUGUUGUAGGCCUUCCCUAAGCGGACGACAAAGCUCUUUGCCGUCAGUAUCUGGCAUCGAGUAGUCGGCAAAGAAUUUGAGAUGGCAGCCGACAGGAGACGCCUCCGUUAUGGCUAACGGAGGCUUUGCCGUCUACUUGCCCCUAGUCUUUGCCGUCUGCUUCCCCCUAGUCUUUGCUAUCUGCUUCCCCCAUAACAGCCCAACAGUUUUUCUUCUCUUUGCCAUCAGCCUCCCCGGGCAGCAGACGGCAAAGAAGCUACAUAGCAGCUGCCCUCGAGGGUGCAUAGCCUGGUGCCAUGUGGCACCUUUGCCGUCGGCCAGCUGAUGGCAAAGCUCUUUGCCAUCAGCUGGCAGACAGCAAAGAGUCCAUAUAGUUUCUAUUUUGUUUGGUUUUAUUAUUUCAUAAUAUAUAUAUAUAGUAGUGGCGCACCGAGACUGUGGUGCGCCAUUAGUANCUGUUCAUCCAUAGAUACAUAUACAUAUAGUUCGACAUUGUUCAUCAACUCAAAUUAAAACUAGAACUAAUAAGGCACUCCAUGAAUGCCAGCUUCCAUGCAUGUAGUACAUCCAAUCUGCAGAAAUGUGAAUAAGAAAGUCAGAAGAAGAACAACAUAUGAUAUUUUAGAGGAAAACAAGCUAAGAAUAUAAUAUUCAUUAGCUAACCAAGGUUCUAAUGCCAUUUUGAGCUUAUUAUGUCAUUUUGGAGCUAAAUGGGCUAAUUAUAUAUGUCAUUGUUGGGGAAAAUAAGGUAAGGAGAAUAAGAAAGAGGNNNNNNNNNNNNNNNNNNNNNNNNNNNNNNNNNNNNNNNNNNNNNNNNNNNNNNNNNNNNNNNNNNNNNNNNNNNNNNNNNNNNNNNNNNNNNNNNNNNNNNNNNNNNNNNNNNNNNNNNNNNNNNNNNNNNNNNNNNNNNNNNNNNNNNNNNNNNNNNNNNNNNNNNNNNNNNNNNNNNNNNNNNNNNNNNNNNNNNNNNNNNNNNNNNNNNNNNNNNNNNNNNNNNNNNNNNNNNNNNNNNNNNNNNNNNNNNNNNNNNNNNNNNNNNNNNNNNNNNNNNNNNNNNNNNNNNNNNNNNNNNNNNNNNNNNNNNNNNNNNNNNNNNNNNNNNNNNNNNNNNNNNNNNNNNNNNNNNNNNNNNNNNNNNNNNNNNNNNNNNNNNNNNNNNNNNNNNNNNNNNNNNNNNNNNNNNNNNNNNNNNNNNNNNNNNNNNNNNNNNNNNNNNNNNNNNNNNNNNNNNNNNNNNNNNNNNNNNNNNNNNNNNNNNNNNNNNNNNNNNNNNNNNNNNNNNNNNNNNNNNNNNNNNNNNNNNNNNNNNNNNNNNNNNNNNNNNNNNNNNNNNNNNNNNNNNNNNNNNNNNNNNNNNNNNNNNNNNNNNNNNNNNNNNNNNNNNNNNNNNNNNNNNNNNNNNNNNNNNNNNNNNNNNNNNNNNNNNNNNNNNNNNNNNNNNNNNNNNNNNNNNNNNNNNNNNNNNNNNNNNNNNNNNNNNNNNNNNNNNNNNNNNNNNNNNNNNNNNNNNNNNNNNNNNNNNNNNNNNNNNNNNNNNNNNNNNNNNNNNNNNNNNNNNNNNNNNNNNNNNNNNNNNNNNNNNNNNNNNNNNNNNNNNNNNNNNNNNNNNNNNNNNNNNNNNNNNNNNNNNNNNNNNNNNNNNNNNNNNNNNNNNNNNNNNNNNNNNNNNNNNNNNNNNNNNNNNNNNNNNNNNNNNNNNNNNNNNNNNNNNNNNNNNNNNNNNNNNNNNNNNNNNNNNNNNNNNNNNNNNNNNNNNNNNNNNNNNNNNNNNNNNNNNNNNNNNNNNNNNNNNNNNNNNNNNNNNNNNNNNNNNNNNNNNNNNNNNNNNNNNNNNNNNNNNNNNNNNNNNNNNNNNNNNNNNNNNNNNNNNNNNNNNNNNNNNNNNNNNNNNNNNNNNNNNNNNNNNNNNNNNNNNNNNNNNNNNNNNNNNNNNNNNNNNNNNNNNNNNNNNNNNNNNNNNNNNNNNNNNNNNNNNNNNNNNNNNNNNNNNNNNNNNNNNNNNNNNNNNNNNNNNNNNNNNNNNNNNNNNNNNNNNNNNNNNNNNNNNNNNNNNNNNNNNNNNNNNNNNNNNNNNNNNNNNNNNNNNNNNNNNNNNNNNNNNNNNNNNNNNNNNNNNNNNNNNNNNNNNNNNNNNNNNNNNNNNNNNNNNNNNNNNNNNNNNNNNNNNNNNNNNNNNNNNNNNNNNNNNNNNNNNNNNNNNNNNNNNNNNNNNNNNNNNNNNNNNNNNNNNNNNNNNNNNNNNNNNNNNNNNNNNNNNNNNNNNNNNNNNNNNNNNNNNNNNNNNNNNNNNNNNNNNNNNNNNNNNNNNNNNNNNNNNNNNNNNNNNNNNNNNNNNNNNNNNNNNNNNNNNNNNNNNNNNNNNNNNNNNNNNNNNNNNNNNNNNNNNNNNNNNNNNNNNNNNNNNNNNNNNNNNNNNNNNNNNNNNNNNNNNNNNNNNNNNNNNNNNNNNNNNNNNNNNNNNNNNNNNNNNNNNNNNNNNNNNNNNNNNNNNNNNNNNNNNNNNNNNNNNNNNNNNNNNNNNNNNNNNNNNNNNNNNNNNNNNNNNNNNNNNNNNNNNNNNNNNNNNNNNNNNNNNNNNNNNNNNNNNNNNNNNNNNNNNNNNNNNNNNNNNNNNNNNNNNNNNNNNNNNNNNNNNNNNNNNNNNNNNNNNNNNNNNNNNNNNNNNNNNNNNNNNNNNNNNNNNNNNNNNNNNNNNNNNNNNNNNNNNNNNNNNNNNNNNNNNNNNNNNNNNNNNNNNNNNNNNNNNNNNNNNNNNNNNNNNNNNNNNNNNNNNNNNNNNNNNNNNNNNNGGGCCAGGGGUGUUGGGGCGGCGGGCCAACGCCGGGGGUGUUGGGGCUGUAGGGUGUCGACGAGGGCGGUGGGGCAGCGACAGCGGGGCUGUGGGGCACCAGGGCGGCGGCGGGAUGGUGUUGGCGGCGGUGGGCGUCGAGGAGAGGAGUGGAAGAGAGUGGAGCGGCUACACCGAGGGUGAGAAAGAGAGGGGCAGGGUGGGGGCAAAGAGCCGUUACGGAGUUAGCUCUUUGUCGUCUGCCGGUGGAUGGCAAAGAGUCUAGACUCUUUGUCGUCUGCCUCCGGCCUCUUUUCGUCCGCUUGCACACGAAAAAGAAGGGACUCCAGUUUGACCUAACGUCCUCGCGGUCAGGUUGGCAUGUCCGUCUGCUUUGUCGUCUGCUUUAUGGAUCUUUGCCAUCCGUGGCUGACGGCAAAGAUGUGACUGAUGGCAAAGACCAUCUAUGCCAUCAGUCAUUUCUUUGCCGUCCGCUUUGUGGCAGCUGACAGCAAAGACACUCUUUGUCGUCCGUUCGCUGAUGGCAAAGAUUUGGCAGAUGGCAAAAAACUGAAUUCCAGUGGUGAUUGCUUUUUUACAUGUCAAUGUAUCUGUUCCUAGGACCAUGAGAUCCUGCAACUCACUAACACCGGAGGAAAGCCUUGUGUGUAUCCUACGUCGCAAUGUAACUCGGUGACUAUAAAGAUGAUCUACUUUUAUCUUCGAGGGUGUGUGUGGAGUUGGCAUGGAUCAAGACUGGGAUUUGUCACUCCAUGUGACGGAGAUGUAUAUCGGGGCUCACUUGAUAAUACAACAUCAAAAUAAGAUUUCAAGAAAUGUGUAUAAGGAGUUAGUUACAUGAUCUUGUAUUACGGAACGAGUAAAGAGACUUGCCGGUAAUGAGAUUGAACUAGGUAUGGAGAUACCGACGAUCGAAUCUCGAGCAAGUAACAUACCGAUGGACAAAGGAAACUACAUACGGGAUUAGCUAAAUCCUUGACAUCGUUGGUUCAACCAAUAAAUAUAUUCAUAGAAUAUGUAGGAACCAAUAUGGGCAUCCACAUCACACUAUUUGUUAUUGACCGUAAAGGUGUCUCGGUCACGUCUGCUUAGUUCUCGAACCCCGAAGGUCUGCCCACUUAACAUCAAGUGACGAUAUAGACAUAGUUGAGUUAUAGUGUUCGUCACCCAAGGUUGUUUGGACUCCCGGAUGAGAUUCCAGACAUCACGAGGAGCUUUGUAAUGGUAUGGAGGUAAAGAUUUAUAUAUAGGAAAGUGGUAUUCGGGUUCCGGAAGGGUGUUUUUGGUAUUGUACAAGGAGUGCCGAAAGGGUUUCGGGGGUCCACCGGGAGGGGCCCGCCCACCCCUGGGGGCACAUGGGAUUAAUAGGUCGUGCCCCAACACCUGGUGGGCUCUGAAGAUGACCCCUAUAGGGCCCAUGCACCCAAUGUGGAGGAGGAGUACUCGCUAGGGUGUACACUACCUUGUUGGAGGUGGACUCUUCCCCUCUUUGGUCGGCUAGCCCUCCUUGGAGGAGCACUACUAGGAAAAGGCUUGCUAAUGGCGCACCAUUUUUUGCUACUAAUGGCGCACUAUAGGUGCGCCACUAGCAUCACGCCAUUAGAUUUUUUUUACUAAUGGCGCACUACAAGUGCGCCAUUAGUAUCUGGUAUACUAAUGGCGCACCAGGUAGUGCGCCCUUAGUAUUGCUCACGGUGCGCCAUUAGUAUCUGGUAUACUAAUGGCGCACCAGGUAUUGUGCCAUUAGUAUAUAUCCUGGUGCGUCAUUAGUAUAGAUCCCGGUGCGCCAUUAGUAUAUAUCCUGGUGCGCCAUUAGUAUAGCUUAUGGUGCGCCAUUAGUAUGCCUCCCAGGGCCAUAUUUACCCAUAUGCUCUGACUUACUAAUGGCGCACUAGUGUGCUGAGUGAUGCGCCACUAGUAUGAAUAUUAGGUAUUUAUUUAAUUUUUUGUGAUAUUUGCACAUAUUACAAAAUAUAUUAUUGCACAGAAUAUAGAUAGCCCAACAUAUAAACAACAGAUUUAUCAAAUACAAUAGAAGAUUAGUCUCCGAAUACAAUUCAUCAUAUUAGUCUCCGAAUAGAAUUCAUCAUAUUAGUCUCCGAAUAGAAUUCAUCAAUAAUGCUAGAACAGGGUACUAUACAAACACUCUUAUAUUUCUUCCAUAGCGAGAGACAAAUGAGACAACAAACAACGAGCGAGCAGGCCAGAGACAAUUUGGCAUGAUAUGCAACCUGAGAGCGACAAAAACAAAGCAUGGAUUCCAGUGGUGAACUAUGAGAUGCAGCUCGUCAGGAAGGGCCGAAGGGCUCGGAGAUGCUUUUGCUCCUGCUACCGCAAGCUUCCGGUCCUCUAUGGGAGGCUGAGGCACCGCACCAAGGGCCAACAAUAAGACGCAUGUGGAGCCCAUGACAACCUUCAUGGGUACAUACAAGAAACUGAGUUACAUCAGUUUUAAGCCAACAACACAACAAGCAAAUAAUUGAGAGCUUACAGUAGGCAAGUAAGGUGUACACAAAAGGAACUGAAGUUGUGUUGAUAAAAUAACUUAAGACGCCCAAACAUAUGGAAAAGCAUUGAUAACUAACAACUCCUGUGCAUUCUUGUACAUUUGAUAGUUAACUUAAAAUAAUUUAUCAUUGCCGGAAAAGACACAAAUAAUCUCUAUGAAGAAAAGUGCACAUUGCCGGCGUAGGUAAAUAAAUCAUGCAUCCUCUCUUGGAGGAGACCCACUAAACAAGGAGCUCGAACAUGAAACAAAUGCCAAUAGAAAUGUAAGGUAGCCAACAAUUACGAACAUAGCAUGUUGGCUGCUAUGUUGCCGCAACAAAUAUUUGGAAGGUUGUUGCUGCUGCGAAAUGCUAGAAUUAAGAGCUUGACCUGCAGGUGGCUCAAACUAUUGAUGUAUUUGUGGAUGCAGUGUCUUCCUUUGUGAAUUCAAGAUGGCGAUAAUCUGUCUCUCGUACUGGGGAACUCUGUCCCUCAUGGAGGGCUGGAUAGCACUCUUGCUAAUUUGCAGCAUUUGCAAUAUAUGGUCCAACAUUAUUUUAAAGCUCUUGAUCCUAUCGUACUUGUCAGAUGGCAUACUACAAGAAAAGCUACAUGUAGAGGUCUGGUUAGAGGCAUCUCCAUGAGCUGUCUUUACCUUCAGAUAUUUAUAAAAAUUGUUACCGCAUACAAUCUAGCCUCAAAAUAAGAUAGCAAAAAAUGCUACAUAUCAGACAUACCUAAUAACAAGCUUUGUAUGUGUGUGCGUGUGAGAGAGUGUGUAUUUUGAAACAAAGAGAACUUUCAUGCCCGUAGUGCAUACCUGCCAUUUAAUGCUUUUACAACCGGUGAGAAGCUCUUUUGUCGGAUGAACUCUCCCGUGUUUGAACCAACUUGCUGCCACCAAUAGAUAUAGUAGUCUGCAGCUUACCAAUCUGCGAAAUAAAGAUGAUAUUUAUCCUCAGGACCACUGGAAGAACACAGAUACAUGCAGUUUAAUGAUGCACUCAAGCUAUGGGAGUAAAGCAACACAUACGUAUGUGUUUUAUCCUAGGGGUUAACAAAAAAGGACGCAUGAAGCAUGUGUUCCUGAAACUAUAAGAGCCUUGGCAAUACGCAUACAGUAAAUAUUGAACUCUUCAGCUAUCCAGUCUAAAAGGCCACUACAAAAUGAACCGUGUAUAACAGCUACUAAGUUCUGCAUCAGGACUAAGCAAACAGGAGCCUAAUGGCCUUAGAAUACCACACAAAGAGGAGCAGUUACAGAGGUGUGCACUUAGCAGAUAUACGAAAAAACAUUCUUAAAAUACAAAUUUGCACAUUUAUGUGCAAUAUCCCCAUGGAACAGAGUUGGUACUAAGCAAACUAGCAACCAAUAACUUGAAAACCUGCCCUGGACGGUCUUACUCCCUCGAAUAACCCCCAUGCCACAAGCAUGGUAGACAUGCAGUGUUUAAAUUGGGUAGAAUUUUUUCUCAUAAGCAUACUUAAAUCCCACACAUAAAUACCUACGCAUAUAUUAUAUGCCCCCAUACAACAUAACCAAAACAGCCGUGGUUCAAACCCACGUGCCCAAAGCAAGGGGAAGAAGAGAAGGUGAGAGAUCUCACCUCUAAUGUCUGUAGCGGUCGGUGAUGGUGGUGAGCUAGACGAAGACAACGAGACUGAGCCGAACCUACACGACCUGAACAACACAAAUAGUUGAGUGACGCUAUUGACAUUUAAAAUAUCGCUCCCACUAAUAACAGUAUAGCCUCAACGCAUGCAAGUUGUAAAGAUUUAACCUUUCAUCAAUAAAUGAACUAAGCAAUGAACAGCAGUGUGGAGUUACAAUUCAUUCUACUUCAUGAGAAGCAAACAAAUCCCCCAAAAUGACAAGUUAUAAUCACGCAACUGUAAUUAAGCAUCAGAUUAUUGACAAUGGAAUUAGGAUAUUAAGCAGCAAGUUGAUUUUUUUCUCUAGUGAAGAAUGAGAAAUCUGCUCCUAAACAAAAUACCAUGCCAAGUAAUUUACUUCACAGAUUAUUGCCAUGUCAGGGAGCUUAUGUUGCAGGCUGAGGUCGUCGUCGCAUGCCGCCGCCUUGGGCUCGAAGUUGCUCAAUGACUCCUCCAUGCUGCAGUCGACCGCCGCCUUGACUUAGGCCCUGACCAUCCACCGAAGCACACAGCAGAGGGCAGGAAAUCAUGAGCAAUACAACAUAUAAAAGCAUGAAUGGCACAAAAACAGAAUGAGGAUCUAUUAUAUCAAGUAAUCCAAGCAACCAAAUAUUCCACCAUGGAAAAAAUAAAGGGACGAUGCUAGUGAUGUUGCUAGACUUGGGGUUGGGCAUGAAUAAAUGACAUGCCAUAAAAAAACAACAAGAGCAAAGUGAGUGCACAAGCUAUGAAGUGGCUACAGUGAAGAUGACCCAGAGUGCGUGUUGUUUUCAGUAGAGUUGGACCCGUUAUUAAAAGGAAAAAUGAGAUAAAUAAGAAACCCCGUGACCGGAACCUUAAAUAGACCAGGCUAUGGUUAACAACAUCAACAGAGAGGGAAACAAACCUGAAUCCGGCUAGCAGAGACGUCACCGGAUGUUUGCCUGCUCCUCCACCUGCUCUGGCUCAUUCUCCUCUGACCUGCACACGCCCACGCAUCAGAGGAAGAAGAAGAAAAGGUAAGGAGGGAUACAUACCGAGGCUCUUGAGGGGAUCCUGCGGAUCUGACCUACAACGCCAUGCGUGGUGCUGUGUGGCUAGGGUUUCGGGCGGCGGCAGGGGUGGAAAGAGGAGGACUCCUCCUUUGCUGGUGCUUCGUAGUGGAGAGGGAAGGAGAUCUAGCUGAGCCGGCGGCGGUCCUCUGCUGGUCGCCGCAGCCCGAGCACGAUGGCUCCUCCACAGCGACCGGAGAGGGGGCGAGCAGCUGCUUGUUGGGGAGGAAGAACGCGGGCGCGGGAGGCACCGUUGUCAUCGCCGAAAGUAAUGACGAGGGAGGCGGCGCGGCGGCCGUUGGGUUGAGAUCGACUACGAGGAAGAGGAAGGGGGCGGCGCGGCGGCCUCCUUGGAAUAGAGAGGGGCACGAGGUGGGGGCGAGGCAGCGCACGGUGUGCUCGAUUUGGAGGCGGGGCGGCGCGCGCUCGAUUUGGGGGCCAAAACAGAGCGCCCGCGCUGCUCGGUUUGGAGGUGAAAACACAGCGUGCGCACGUGAUUUUGAAGAUCCCGUACGCUGCGUGCGGGCGAAAACAGAGCGCCCGUGCCGCGCGUAUUUUUUUGUAUCUCCCUAUUAUUUUAUUUUAUUGUACAUAUAAUAAGUAUCUUGUAAGAAGACUGCCAGAAUGUAGUGUAUCUGCACACUUAUUGUUUAAAAUUAUGGUUUCAAUUACAGAAAAGGAAUUUGUUGGAACACAGACCAAAAAGAAUAAGAGAUGGGCAACAUGAAGUGCAAAAGUAAAAGGGCAAUCUUGUUUCAGCUUCUAACUACCUAGAUGAGGGCAAUCUCAACCAUGUUGUUCUAGGGGGGCACUGUAUAUGAAUUUUAGGAAGUUCUAUGAAGAAAAGACACAAAAAAUGUCCGUGCAUUGUAUAUUCAAAGUACGCAUGCGAAAUAGUUGGAUGGUUGUGAGUGAUGAUGAUCAAACUCGUAAUCUGAAUUGUGUCGUUUUGUCUAAUCACACAAUUGUGCUAUGCGGCUGUGCCAUUUGUUUAGCGAGAAGAGUUGGACAACAAGGGACAUCGGGACAAGGGUGCCUUUGAAUUCUGAGUUCUACCAAUUUAUAAAUUCAUUUCUCCAUUUCUCCUUGCAUUAUCCCCCCCCUCAUUUUGAAGGUUUGUCCUCACUUUCUACUUUUUUUCCUGAUCACGCAAAAAUGUGAUAUGGCUUGCACGGACGACGGUCAAGGCCCUGCGCUCCCCGCCCCGCCAACCACCACCACACAUCGCCAAGCGGGACCCUCGCCGGUCAACUGGAGACGUGGGGGAGGGAGGGCGGAAAGAGCGAGAGAAAUCCAGGGCGUGGACGAGCGGGAUCUCUCCGGGGCGUGGACGAGCGAGGCGGGAUCUCGGUUGGAUUUAGGAGAGGAGAGGCGAGGGUAGAGGUAGAGAGCAGUGCGGGUUAGCAAUGGCGCACCCCCGAGCGGUGCGCCAUUAGAUUUUUUUUUGAUAGCAAUGGCGCAUCCCCAUGCAGUGCGCCAUUAGUAAUCUUAUUUUUAUAUAGCAAUGGCGCAUCCCAGAGAGGUGCGGCAUCAGUAAUCUUUUUUUUGGAUACCAAUGGCACACCCCAGAGAGGUGCACCAUUAGUAAUAUAUUUUUUGGAUAGCAAUGGCGCUCGGAGGGAGGGAGGGGGUGGGUGGUGCGCUCGACCGAUUCCGUUCGGGGGAACCGAGCGAGGAGACAGGGGAGGGUGAGGGGGGUCGGCGGCGGCGGUGGAGCGGGGGAGGGUGCUGGGGGUCAUCGGCGGCGGUGGAGCGGGGGAGGGUGCGGGGGAGGGUGCUCGUGGUGCGCCAUUAGUAGUUCUGUAAAAAAAAUAGUAAUGGCGCACCACCUACGAAUGCGCCAUUAGUGACCCUGGUUACUAAUGGCGCACCUCCUCUUGUGCGCCAUUAGUAGUUCUGUAAAAAGAACUUAGUAGUGGCGCACCACCAACAGAUGCGCCAUUAGUAACACUGGUUACUAAUGGCGCACUAGCUUUGGUGCGCCAUUAGUAGUUUGCAAAAAAAAACCAAUUUUUUUUAUAGUAGUGGCGCACUACUAACAGAUGCGCCAUUACUAACCAGGUUACUAAUGGCGCACCACGUGCUGGUGCGCCAUUAGUAGCCACCACACUAAUGGCACACCUCACAUGGUGCACCAUUACUAUAUAGUAGUGGCGCACUGCUUGUGUGGUGCGCCAUUAGUAUCUAUAUCAUCUAUAUCCCUUUUCCUAGUAGUGGAGGGGCCAAGUCUGCGCUCUAUCUACCCCUCCUCCUAUAUAUAGAGAGGGAGAUAGAGGGCAGUACCACCCCAAGGCAUUUCUCCUCCGAAAAGCAUCUGCGGCAACGCUUGGCGAAGCCCUCUUGAGAUCGCACCACCACUGCCGCCACCAUGCCGUUGUGCUACCCGAGAACUCAUCUACAAGUUCAGCCAUGCUUGCUGAAUCGAGAUCAUGAAGACGUCAUCGUGUUGUACGUGUGCUGAACGCAGAGGUGCCGUCUGUUCGGCACUUGAUCGGAACGAUCGUGACUUGAUCGCGAAGACGUUCGACUACAUCAAGCACGUUUCACAACGCUUUCACUUAGCGAACUACAUGGGUAUGUAGAUGCACCCCUCUCGUAGAUGCUGAUGUCCAUAGAUUGAUCUUGGUGAGCAUAGGAAUUUUUUUGUUUCCCUGCAAUGUUCCCCAAUAGUGGCAUCAUGAGCAAGGUCUAUGCGUAGAUAACAUGCACGAAUAGAACACAAAAGAGUUUGUGGGCAUUGAUAUUCAGAUUGCUUACUUCCUUAGUCUUACUUUGAUUCGGCAACAGUGUGGGAUAAAGAGGCUCAGACCAACCUUACUCGUCCAUGUACAAGAGACCGGUUCCUUCGAGUGACAUGCAACUUGUUGCGUAAACAUGGCUGGCGGGUGUCUAUCUCUCCCACUUUAGUUGAACCGGAUUCGACAGAGGCGGUCCUUGGNGUUUCACAACGCUUUCACUUAGCGAACUACAUGGGUAUGUAGAUGCACCCCUCUCGUAGAUGCUGAUGUCCAUAGAUUGAUCUUGGUGAGCAUAGGAAUUUUUUUGUUUCCCUGCAAUGUUCCCCAAUAGUGGCAUCAUGAGCAAGGUCUAUGCGUAGAUAACAUGCACGAAUAGAACACAAAAGAGUUUGUGGGCAUUGAUAUUCAGAUUGCUUACUUCCUUAGUCUUACUUUGAUUCGGCAACAGUGUGGGAUAAAGAGGCUCAGACCAACCUUACUCGUCCAUGUACAAGAGACCGGUUCCUUCGAGUGACAUGCAACUUGUUGCGUAAACAUGGCUGGCGGGUGUCUAUCUCUCCCACUUUAGUUGAACCGGAUUCGACAGAGGCGGUCCUUGGAGAAGGUUAAAUAGAAACUUGAAUAUCACUGUUGUGGCUUUGCGUAGGUAACAACGGUUCUUGCUAGUGACCCACAGCAGCCACGUAAAACAUGCAACAACAAGUAUAGGACGUCUAACUUGCUUUUGCAGGGCAUGUUGUGAUAUGAUAUGGCUAAUGACAUGAUGAUAUAUAUGUGAUGUAUGAUAUGAUCAUGUUUUCUAUAAAAUUACCAUGACUUGCAUGUCGAUGAGUACGGUAACCGCAGGAGCCAUAGGGUUGUCUUUAAUCAUUUGUGCAUUUUUUCUUUACUUGGUCGCUAUGAGUUAGCAAUAGUGGUAGAAGCAUAGUUGGUGCAACAGCCCCGAUGGCGACACGAUCAUGAUUAUCAUGAUGAUGAGGAUCAUGGUGUCAUGCGGGUGAUGAUGGAGAUCAUGCCGGUGCUUUGGAGAUGGAGGUCAAAAGCACAAGAUGAUGACGACCAAACCAUGUCAUCAUUACGAUUUACAUGUGAUGUUAAUCCUUUUAUGCAUAUAAUUUUGCUUAGGAUGACAAUAGCAUUAUAAGAUGACCCCUCACUAAAAUUUCAAUAUAAAAUUGUGUUCUCCCCAAGUGUGCACCAUUACGAAGGAUCUUCGUUACGAAGCAACACGUGAUGAUCGAGUGUGAUAGACUCUACGUUCGCAUACAACGGGUGUAAGCCAAUUUUGCAUGUGCACAACACUUGGGUUAAACUUCAUGGUCCUAACAUGUACAGACAUGGCCUCGGAAUACAGGAGACCGAAAGGUCAAACAUGAUCAUAUAAUAGAUAUGAUAAAGUUCACCAUUGAAACCACCUCAUCUCACGUGAUGAUUGGACUUGAGUUGGUGAAUUUGGAUCAUAUCACACUCAAACAACCUAAGGGAUGUCAAUUUGAGUGGGAGUUAUUAAGUAAUAUGAUUAAUUGAACCCAUUAUCAUGAACAUAGUCUAAGUUGUCUUUGCAAAUUAUGUUGUAGAUCAAUGGCUCGCGCAGUAGUUCCCCUCAUAGAGAAACCUAAGCUAAAAUAUGAUGGAAGCAACUAUGCGGAUUGGGUAUCUGAGGAUUAUCCUUACGGCUUCGCAAAAGGCUUAUGUCCUUGAUGCAUAGCUUGAGGGAACACCCCCUAGUGUCAGCAGAUGUUGUGAACUGUAACGCCCAACAUGCGAUUCUAUCCUUGUUUUGGCACGAGGGCCUCAACAAGGAUAGAAGCACAUAUCUUUGUUUCGCAAGAAUGAAUAUCGUUACAAGUACAUGUACUAAAAACAUAAGUAUAAGGAAUUGGCUUACACUCGCCAUAAGCUACAUCAAUAUCACAUUAAUACAACAAUACACAAUCAUCUUGCAAAAGAGGAGGGUCCAAUUACGGACGAAAACAAACGAUAAAAGAACGACGUCCAUCCUUGUUAUCCCAGGAUGUCGACCUGGAACCCAUCCUAGAUCGGUGAUGAAGAAGAAGAAACUCCAAAUAGCACAAUCAGCGCGGUCACGUCGUAAUAUCACCUUACAUGUACCUACAACUGGUGUUGUAGUAAUCUGUGAGCCACAGGGACUCAGCAAUCUCAUUUCCGAAGGUAUCAAGACUAGCAAAGCUUAACGGGUGAGUUAUGGUUAAGUGGUGAGGCUGCAACAAGCGACUAAGCAUUUAUUUGAGGUGGCUAGCUUAUGAGUACAUGUGGCGAGUGUAAGCCAACUCUUUAUACUCAUCUUUUCGGUACAUGUACUUGUAACGAUAUCCAUUCUUACGAAAUGACGAGAUGCGUUUCUAUCCCUGUCCAGGCCCUCGCGCCAAAAUAAGGAUAUGACCGCAUCUUGGGUGUUACAAGUUGGUAUCAGAGCAGUACGGACCUAGGAGCCCCCUUGAUUGAUCGAACAUGGCCGAGUCGAGUCUGGUGAAAAAUUGCUUUGAGUCUUGUUAUAUACCGGAGAGUAGGAUUCUUUUUUCUCCUCUUCUAUGCUCUCGUGAGGAAUCUUGACGUAAUAAUUUAAUUCUACUCCUCUUCUCACUCAAAAAAAUUAGGAUCACGUGGAUAUUUUUGGAAUCUAUAUGAUGUCGAUGUGACGGAAUUCUGACUUGGUGCCUCCUGCUGUGUUGAUUUUAUUCCGGGGAGUUGAGCUCCAGGGGAUUCUUGAGCACAUCGUUAUCAUUUAGAUUUCUUAGGAUGGAGGAUGUUCGAAAUUGCUUCAAUACUAGUAGUGGUGAGAUAACCCCGGCAUCCCCAAUACUGGUGCAGAGAGUUCAGGGGUACUGCCAUACUUAGUAUCAUGGUGUUUUUGAGGAUCUGAGAUAGAUGAGUUUCCGAGAUCUCUGGUUAUGUGUUGAUGGAUGUGAGACACUAGACGGGUAGUGUUAUUGCUAGGAGUUGAGUGAUGGAUUUUCUCCUUGAAUCCGUGGACCCGAUUCCAUGACGAUAAUAUUUCAGGAGUUCUUAGGUUGGAAUUCAAGUAGUUACUUAUAGGACAAUCUUCAAACAAAUGCAUGAUGUGAGGUUGGGGUUCGAAAUCUAGUGGAUUCAUUUGUUCACGGUCAUCUUACAGUGGUUCUAGUUGUGUCUUAAAGAGUACUUGUAGCUUCCUACGACUCGGGGACGCUUCGUAUGUCGUUUGCACUCCCUUGUACAUGAUGGCUACUCUAGGAUUCACGAAAAUAUCAGAUGAAAUCUGUGUCAUGAAUUUGUUCCGGCUUGUUUUGGUAAGCCUCAACCUUUGUUUUUUUGGAGUAUGGUAAUUCGAGUUGCUUCGAUUUUAAGUGGUGAAUUCAAAUCUUUCCAAGAGGUCUUCUCAUAUUUUUAGGGGAAUGCAAAAUAUUUUGCUCAAUCAAGUUGUGUUUUCAAUUCUUGCCAGCCGGAGUCAGCGUGACAAUUCUUUUUCAUCCGGUGUGCUUCUCUUCAAUUGAAUUCAACCAUCUCCAAUAUUUUGGAAGAUCAAUCUCUCAUUUCCUGCCCACCCGCCCUUUUCUUUAUUAUUCAAUUCUCAUCCAAGUGUCUUCUUUUCAGUGUUUCUUCUGCUAUCUUUUCUUUUAUUUUGUUCCCGGUGAUUCUUUGUGAAGAUUCUCGGGAGUUUUGAGCUCAUCAUUUCUUCAUUUUGUUUUCUCCCCGGUGGAGUCAAUUCAAGAUUUUGGUGUCAUCAUAUCCUUUUCACCCUUUAAAUUAUUUCCCAUGUUUGUAAUUCAUAUCAAGUCUUUCUUGUUUUUCAUCUCCCUCUAUUCUAUCCAGAGUGUUCAAGAUAUCUGAGAAGUUUCUUGUUUUCAAUUCUUUCAAUCAUUUUGAGGGUCUCACCUCAUCAAGUUUUCAUUCAUACCGGUGCAAUAUCUCCCUUCCUAAGCAAUCCUUUCAAAGGUGUUUUCUUUUAGUGGGCCCAUAACCCACAAGUUCUUCCCAGGAUCUUACGUGACUCUUCUAAUCUUUUUCUUGAGAUCUCUAAUUCUUCUCAAUUAUGGCGUAUAAGUAUGAAUUUCAUCAGUCAUAUUCCUUCUCCAAGAUUGCUUCAAAAUUAAUUCUCAUCAUUGGUCCAUUCUCUUGAAGAUUCAUCAUUUCAACUUUGUGUUAUCAUCUUGAAUUGUUCUCGAUCAUGAGAAAUUACUUCCAUAUCUAUUCGGUGCAUUUCAGUGUUGUGUUCAUUUCUCGAUCCUCCGAAGGCCAUCAUUUCCGAAGAUUUCUUCGUUCUCAACUUUCAUCUUUCAUCCUCAAAUUCUUCUCAAUGGUUGUCUCUUCAUUCGUCUCUCAAUUAUUCCAGUGCCUCAUUCAAGUUUUCUGUUAGGCGGCUGAGGAUCUCUUCAUUCUCUAGGUGUUCUUCAAGAUUCUUGUGGUAGUACCUCAAGUAUUCUAUCUCUUGCAUUUCAAAGAGCAAUGCUUCCUCCAUUAUCCUUUUUGGUGGUGUUAUAGCAUUCUUGCUAGUGGAGGAGCCUCGAAGGAAGUUUUUUAAAGAAUGAGAUAUGUAAACCCACUAAUCCUUUGAUCAUGAGAUUAUUUUUAACCCAUGGUUUCUUCAUUGAGCUAUAAUAGAUUAGUAGAUGAGUUCUCAGGUAGCACGACGACAUGGUGACGGUGGUGGUGGUGCAAUUCAGCAGGGCUUUGCCAAGGCCUGACGCAGACGCGACGGGGGAGAAAACUGAUCUAGAGGGAGGGAGGUGCCGCCAAAGGCUUGGUGUGUGGCUGCCCUCCCUCUCCUCUCAUGUAUAUAAGGGGAAGGGAGGAGGAACUCGUCCCUAGGGUUUGCCCAAGGGGUGGGGGCGGUGGACUAGGAGGUUGGUUGCCACUCAAGCAAGGGUGGCGCCACCCCUAGGGCUUGCCCUUCCAACAACCUAGCCGGAUGGGCCUAGGUGGGCGGGGUGCCCAGCCCACAAGGGGCUUGUGCGCACCCUUCUCAACCCAUCUGGCCCCUCUGGGGUAGGUGGGCCGCUUCCGAUGGACCCGAGAACCAUUCCGACACUCCUUGUACUCUCCCGGCAAUGCCCGAAUUCUUUUCGGUGACCAAAACCGAAUUUCCUAUAUAUAGGUCAUUACCUCCGAAACAUUCCAAAGAUCCUCGUCAUGUCUGAGAUCACAUCCGGGACCACGAAUAACAUUCGGCUACCAACAUACAUAACUCAACAAUACUAUAUCGUCAUCGAACGUUAAGCGUGCGGACCCUAUGGGUUCGGGAACUAUGCACACAUGACCGAGACACCUCUACGGUCAAUAACCAAUAGCAGGACCUGGAUGCCCAUAUUUGUUCAUACAUAUUCCACGAAGAUCUUUAUGAGUCAAACCACGAUGCCAAGGAUUCAAUCAAUCAUGUAUGCAAUUCCCUUUUUCCAGCGGUAUGUUACUUGCCCGUUAUUUGAUCACUGGUAUCUCUAUACCUAGAUCAAUCUUGCUACUCGCAAGUCUCUUUACUCAUUCCGUAAUACACGAUCACAUGACUAACUCCUUAAUCACAUUACUUGCAAGCUUCAUGUGAUGUUGUACUACCAUGAGGGCCGAGAGAUACCUCUCCGUCAUAGGAAGUGAAAAAUCCCAGUCUUGAUCCAUGCCAACCCAACAGACACCCUCGGUGAUACCUGUAGAGCAUCUUUAUGAUCAUCCAGUUAUGAAGAGAUGUUUGAUAUAUACAAGGCAUUCCUAUGGUGUCAGGGAGUUGCAUGAUCUCAUGGUCUUAGGAAAUGAUACUUGACAUGUAGAAAGCAGUAGCAAUAAACUUAAUGAUAUGAUCAGAUGCUAUGCUUACAGUUGGUUCUUGUCCAUCACAUCAUUGUCCUAAUGGUGUGAUCCUGUUAUCAGAUAACAACUCAUGUCUAUGGUUGGGAAAUCUUAAUCAUCUUUGAUCAACGAUCCAGUCUAUUAGAGGUUUACUAUGGACACGGUGUUGUGUAUGUAUCCACACAUGUAUCUGAGUGUCCAAUCAAUACAAUUAUAGCAUGGAUAAUAAAUGAUUAUCAUGAAGAAGGAAGUAUGAUAAUAAUCACUUUAUUAUUGUCUCUAGAACAUAUUACAACAUAUCCUUCUAUCCAUGUGCGGCUGUCAUCCUCAUGAAGAAGCACUUGGGGGUUGUGCCAAGCCUACAUAGCCUUGGAGGAAGACCGGGUGGGAUCCAUGCCGGAACAACAUCGUCGGGGGACGCGUUCAUGCGUCGUCGCUGCCACAACGUCCCCAUCACAUUCUCUGUGAUGGGUUGUAACAACUCUUGAACCCCUUUAUAUGUGAUGUUAUUUGAGUAAUUCUUGGCUAUGGGUCGGUUCGCUAGUAAGCAUUUAUUUGAUAUGCGUUGUCUAUUUAUGUCUUCCAUAUUCAUGAUAUUAUUUACCCUUGCGGUAAUUUUGCGAUUGGAGUCCUAUGACCCAUUAGUGUAGUUGGAGACAUUCAACUCCCUAGAUCACACAUGAAGUUGAUAGAUAGUUGUGCAUAUCGAGAAAACUCCGGGUGAUAGGCAUCGAUAUCUUAAGGGGAACAUAAUUACCGAGGGAUCAUGGUUGUCCAUAGAACUUAUUGCCUUCGGUCCACGUCUUAUUAUAUUAAUGUGUUUUCCAUUGUCCACUCGCGGUAUGGGAUGGAAAAUAGGAAGAUUGAGUUGUCUCAAUACGAUGAUGCUUGAGAGACAAUGUUAUGUGAAGGACCGCCCACCAUUGAUCAAUUGCCUUAUCGUAUAAUGCAAGGUACAUAAUUAAUUGUAGGUUUUAACAUUUGAGAUAUAUAUAAUUUUUGUCCUACCCAUUAAUGUUUAAAACAAGGUAUGGAGUAUCUCAACUCGAUUAUCACACAGAGUUGUCAUAAAGUUGAGAUAUAGAGCUUUUCUUUUCGUUCCUGCACACAUAGUUGAAAAACUCACAUCAAGGUCAAUGGACUACAAAAUGACUAUUGCCUCUGCCAAACGAGUCCUUGAUGCGCCGUUAUCUUUUAUCCCACAAAGGAGCUAGCCUGAUCAUGUCCAUGACAACCAGGAAGUCUUCAUGCACGUGCCCCUAAGUACCCGUGGACAUCGUCAUUGAAUCCCUGAAUUGGUUUGAAGAACCUGACACCAAAUAACGAUGUGCGUACGCACGCGAUAAAUCCUAACCUCGCUACCUGAGGCGCUGCAAGGAAUAUACGUUUGAGGUCCAUCUAAUCAUUCCUCGAGGUCGAACUUUGAGAGAAUCGGAUCCCGAAAGACUCACUCGAAGAAGAAUCGUAACCAUCCAUCUGAUACGUCUCCAACGUAUCCAUAAUUUUUGAUUGUUUCAUGCUAUUAUCAUGUCAAACUUUAGAAGUUUUGCAUGCCUUUUAUAUAUUUUUUGGACUAACUUAUUAACUCAGUGCCAAGUGCCAGUUCCUGUUUUUUCCAUGUUGUUGACCCCUUUUAGAGGAGGAUUUUGAACGGAGUCCAAACGGAAUAAAACUUCCAAAAAGAUUUUUUCCAGAACGGAAAAAGAUCGGGAGACUUGAGAACCAAGGCAGGGGGUCCUCUGGGACCCCACAAGCCCUCAUGGCGCGGCCAAGGGGGCCCGCGCCGUGCAGACUUGUGGGCUCCCUGGGCCACCUCUGCCCUAGGUUUUGCGCCUAUAUAUCCCCAGAAAUUCCACAAAGAAUCAGGAGAUCAUCGAAAGUACUUUUCCGCCGCCGCAAGCUUCUGUCUCCGCAAGAUCCCAUCUGGGGCACGUUCUGGUGCCCUGCCGGAGGGGGGAUUGGGACACGGAGGGAUUCUUCAUCAACACCAGGACCUCUCCGAUGAUGCGUGAGUAGUUCACCAUAGACCUACGGGUCCAUAGCUAGUAACUAGAUGGCUUCUUCUCUCUCUUGGAUCUUCAAUACAAAGUUCUCCAUGAUCUUCAUGGAGAUUUAUCCGAUGUAAUCUUCUUUUGCGGUGUGUUUGUCGAGAUCUGAUGAAUUGUGGAUUUAUGUUCAGAUUGUCUAUGAAUCUUAUUUGAGUUUCUUCUGAUCUCUCUUAUGCAUGAUUUCAUAUCCUUGUAAUUCUCUUCGAGUUGUGGGUUUUGUCUAGCCAACUAGAUCUAUAAUUCUUGCAAUGGGAGAAGUGCUUGGUUUUGGGUUCAUACCGUGCGGUGACCUCACCCAGUGACUGAAGGGGUAGCGAGGCACGUAUCGUGUUGUUGCCAUCAAGGGUAAAAAGAUGGGGGUUUCUUCAUUGGUUUGAGAUUAUCUCUCUACAUCAUGUCAUCUUGCUUAAGGCGUUACUCUGUUCGCCAUGAACUCAAUACACUAGAUGCAUGCUGGAUAGCGGUCGAUGUGUGGAGUAAUAGUAGUAGAAUUAAAGGAGGAUCUGCCGUCGUCGUGAUGGUUCGACCACCUCUCCCCAGCCUAUCGAUACCUCCUUCCUCGCAGGCAGGCACAUCCUCCCGCUCCCGCUUCCUCCCACUGAUUUUCUCUAAUUAUACCCUGCAGAAAACCAGCAAGGAACCGACCGGUUCAUUGUGAGAAACCAGCCCAUGUUUUUGCUAAAAAAAGGAAAAACAGAACCCCCUCCCACGUCCCACGAGUGACACGUACCGCCCACCUCCAGCCCCUCGCUCGGUCGCUCCCGAUCCCCCAUCUCUUUCCUCUCCCCGUUCAUCGAAGCCGAUGCGCCGCCCUGCCCCAUGCGUCACCUGGCCGGCCUCGAUCUUGACUCGUCGCCGCUCCCCCUAGAGUAGAAGCACUCUGAGGUCGACGGCGUUUCUCUGCUUUGUCCUUGGAACGCAGGUGCCUCAAGGACGAUCCAUGCAUGGUUUCAUCGGGGAGCCCGGCAACGGCGUCACCGACAAGGCACCGAGGUUACGCAGCAGUAAGGCCCAUCCCUGGGUUGAGCUCACCCCCGUCACCGCCGGUGGCGCCGCUUGCCCACGCCCCCGCCGGUGCCGCCGCUUGCCCACGCCCCCGGAUGGAGAAGCUCGUCGCAACUGGAGGUCGUUCCAACAUCCAUGUGCUCUGUACUCUUAGGUUGUAAUUCUGAUGUUGUUUGUAACUAACAAAAAUAUGCUCUCUUCUAUGCACAUAAAAGUAGCCCAGGAUGCAUCGAGCUGCCAGACCUGAACACAGUUUGGCGCAUCAAAACUGAGGGGUAAUACAAUCUUUUUCAUAUGCCUUCUUUCCCAAAACCGAAGCAUCAAGUUUUCUAUCUGCUGCUAUUUUCCUCUUCUUCGUAAGCAAAUGCUGGCUUUUCUAUCCUUUUUCUUAUCUCUCGAGUUCGGUAAGAGAUGAAUCAUGAAGGAACAAAGAGAGUUCCUUCUGCCUGGAGUAUGAGAAAAAGGAGAGAACACAUGAAUCCACUUGUUUCACUAUACAUUAUGAGUUUAAAUUGGUCCGUUUACAUGUUGCAGUUGACCAAGUAGAAUGACAACAUAGGGAGAGGUCUGGAUGUACUCUAAUAAUAUGUGCUCCUAGGAGGGUCUGGUUGUAGCUGGCUGCUUUUUCUCAAUGCCCAGGUUCCACAUCGUACGCUUACCACUUAUUUGUUCUAAUGGAGUAGAUUGAAUAUAUUUGUGUUUCUACCUAAACUAAUAGAAUAGUGUAUUAGAUCCGGGCUACACAUCUUUGGUGCGUAGUGGGGGUGAGCUAUUGUAUUUCCUGAGGACUGAACGGUUCUCAAUUGUUAAGCUGGAAUCCUGCUUUGGAUUAUAUUAAAUCUUUACUACCUCGUGUGCUUCUUUUGUUAUAUUAUUUUUUCAUCUACCUUGUGUGCGUAGUGCUCUUACUGACAUGAGUUGGAACUUUUGUUAUCAUCUGCUCUACAGGAUAUACUGGACAAUCUAGAAUUUGCAAAGGGGGGUGCAGAAUCAACAUGAGGUUCUGUUAGAGCUGCAAUGGGGCGUCCUGAACCAUUCCCAGUCAAAUAUGUUGCAAUUGGAAAUGAAGAUUGUGGGAAAGAAAAUUACCAUGGUAAAUCUUCAACUGAAAUCCAUUCCACACUCAAGUCUUUUUUGUGGUAAUCUGCACACUUAAAGCCCUGCGCACAGUAUUAACAUAUACAAUUGAGGAGCAGGAAGCAUAGCUGGGCCAUGAUAUAUAUGUGUUAAAAUAAGUAACAUAUGCAAUCAAACAAAAACAAUAUGUGAUUUCGUGCUUGCUCGCCGAGAGUCACAUUUGUUCAUAUGAAAAAUCACAAGAUUAUAUUAGCGUGCAACAUGCAUCAUGUACAUAAUUUGAAUUUGUCUGACCUACUCAUAUAAGCUGACAAUCUCAUUUUAUAAUCAUCCAUUCAAUUUUCUGUCACACAUUUCUAAGUAUACGGAGGAGGGGGAUAUCAAGUCAAAAGUUUUUGAUGAGGCCAUGUUUCUCAUUCUAGGAUUUUUCAGGCCGAGCAGUGCUUAUAUAUAUCAUAUAGAAAUCCCUUAAACUUAAGAGAAUAUGUACUCAUCAUCAGAGUGGUCUGAUCGCGCGAAGAAAACUUUACAUCCAUCUGAUAAUGGGGAGAUUACUGUCCAGUGUCUUAUGGUACAUAGCAAUGAUCGCCUUUCUAAGGUCCCAAGGUUUAGAUUCAGUGAAUAUGAUUCAUUCUAGCGCUGACCAAAUAGUGAUAUUGUGGAUUAAUGUUCUCCUAUUUUAAGAGCAUUAUGUACCCGAGAUAAACCGAUAUGCCCGCAACUGCUAAGAAAACACGAAAGUGGUUAUGUGCCCCUUAAUUAUUUUGGUUGAUUUUGCAUGUAAAGUGUUUCUAUCUUAUCAUAACUCCCUAUUAUAGUGUAUAAAUUUUACUUGAACUAUAGAGAACCCAACUAUUUUCUACUGAUAUAAUAUGUCUUUAGAUACAUGACAUUCUCUAAUUCUAUUGAACAGGUAAAUGCCUUAAGUUCUGCAAUGCUAUAAAACAGGCAUAUCUAGACAUCCUGAUGAUUUCAAAUUGUGAUGGUUCAUCUACACCACUUGACCAUCCUGCUGAUUUGUAUGAUUUCCAUGUACGCUACUUGCUACCAGAUCUAUUUGCCUUCCUUGUUGUAUAGAUCCUAUAAUCUUAUCUCAUGUUUUGUCACCGAGGUCGAGUAAACUCAAGUUUUUUUCUGAGAUCUUGAGGAUGCUUCUUCUUUUUAGGUAUAUACCUCUCGUAGUGGGUCCAAGGUCGUAUGGUUCCUUAUCAUUUCAUAUACGAUUAAAACUGUAAGAAUAUUAGAUCGAUGUAUUUUUUCGGGACCAUGCAAGAAAAGUGCAUUUGAUCAUUAUAGAAGAAAUAAUAGUAUCUAAUCUCAUAUUACAAAAUCUCAAAAGAAAAUAACGACCUCAUCACAGAGAAGUAAAAUCAAGCUGCCCCAUCACAGAGAAGUGCUUGAACGCAAUAUGCUCCUCCUCCGUCAUUUGAAGGAUAUAUGAAAACUUUCAUGAGAAUUGACAUGAAGGUCAAACAUUUUGUAGUAGAUAUACCUCCUCUAUAGAUCUUUUUUUUCUUCAGGUUUGGGAGUAGUCUAUGCCUUCAGCGAGAGUAUAUUUUCUAGAAAAUAAGAAUUAAUUAUUUCAUUUUUAUACUCACCAGAGUUCAUGUUUCCCACUUUUUCAGUUGUGAGACGAACUUUUUCAUUUUCCCUUCAUAUAGCGAUAGGAGGUAUUGCUUAAGUCUCCUUUGAACUAUAUCAUAAAAAGAGAUUGACACAAAGUAAACAAACGUAUGUUUUCGAAGCUAAUAUUUCCUACUAUUUUGUUGUUUGUUUUUCCGGCAUCCCCCUUGAAACAAUGCUAUGGAUACUUCUUUUGGUGUUGAGUCGACUUCAGUUUCAGUAUCUACUCACCGGAAAAUUGAUAUCACUGUUUUAUGAAGAAAGAAUGAUAUCAAUAAGAGUACAAGGUUAGAGACAAAGACAAAGAUAGACAUUCUUAAGAACAUGUAUUGUAUGUUAGGAAGACAACAUGUUUGCAAACAUUGGGUAAAAAGAUUAGAAAGACAUCUAGAUAUAUAUUUUCUACUCCAUGGCAACGCAGGGGUGUUUACCUACUGUAUUUAGCUCAUCCCUGGGUAUUUAGAAAGACAUCUAGAUAACUGAGCUGGACUCUAAGGUCAAUCAGCUCCAAGAUGAGUUGAAGAAGACAAAGGAACGGCUGAGCGGAUCUGAGUCAUGAAGGCGCCAAGCACAGCAGGAGGAUGAUGAAGCAAAGAAGCAGGGGCAGGAUGCAUCAUCGAAGCUGGAGGAGUCGCAGUGCCAGCUUGUUGAGCUCUCAGCAGCAAAGGAAUCCCAUCUCCAGGAGCGGCGCAAGAUCCAACAGGAGCGUGAUCGCACCUGGUAGGCCGAGCUUGAGGCAUUGCAGAAAUAGCACUCCGCGGAUGCUCCUGCACUUAGCUCGGUGUUGUCCAAGAUCCUGAGGCUGAAGUUGCAGUGGGAGGUGACAGUUCACCAUAUUCGUUUGAUACAGCCAGUGCCCAGCAACGUGAGCAUGCAGAAUCUAAGCUUGAAGCGCUGGAGCAGGAGACGGAGCUCAGGCUUGCAACGAUUGAAGGCCUGAAGGUAAAUGUCAAUGAAAGUGACAAGGCUGCAGCUAAUGCAAAUGCCAUGGCACCUGAGACCAAGCUACAGCUUGAGACCGCAAAGGCCACCAUUGACUCACUCCUAUGUGAGGGUGUCUGGUUGUAGGAAUGCCUGAGGUCAAAGGACAUAGAGCUCAGUAAGUCUAAUCUGAAGGAGGCUCAGGCUGCAGGUGAUGAAAUUCGGAAUGAGGCAUAGGCAGGCAAUGCCAAUCGUGGCUUUGGCAGUCCAUUGACUGAAGUUUUGAAAAGAGCCCUCAUCCCACCAGUGACAUGAAUGGAAGAUGUCGAAGUCCUGACCUAGAGAUUGAGCCCUUGGCCCUUGCGGAUGGCGCUUGAGGUGGCUAAGAUGAGGUACCAGGAGGAGCAAACUGGGAUGGCCUUCGAGACAAAGACAGUCUAUGAGAUGCUGGAGUGUGUCAAGUCUGAGUGCAUGCGCCAAGUGUGUGAUAUCGAGCUCAAGCUGAAGAGCAAGACUAAUGAGCUCAUGGCAGCGUAGGCAGCCCUAACAGGCAAGGCGCAAGAGGACCUUCACAGGUCACACGGGCUGAGCGAAAUGCAGCCGGAGCUGGAGGCGAAGCUGAUGAAGUCGAUCACCGACAUCGCAGAGCUCAAGGCGAAUCUGAUGGACAAGGAAAACACGUUGCAGAGCCUGUCGGAGGAGAACGAGACCCUCAAGUCGGAGGCUGGAAGGAAGGAGGCCGGCGUGCAGCAGCUGGAGCAGGACGUGCGGAUGCGGCUCGGGUACGUGACAGAGGAGGCCAACAAGAGGAACCGGCGCGCAGCCUGGGCCUUGGAGCAGGUGGACGCGGCCCAGGCAGCGAGCGCUGAGGCGGACGCGGAGCUGCGCUGGUUGCGUGUGCGGUCCGACCAGUGGCGCAAGGCCGCGGAGGCCACCGCCGCCCUUACUGGCGGCGGCAACAAUGGUGGCCUGAUGGUGGAGAGGACCGAGUCGCUGGACACGGAGUACAAUGGGUCGAUAGGCGGAAAGCUAAUGGGGUAUGUACUAACAAAUAAGUAUUUUCGGGCGGAGGGAGUCUGUACUAACAAAUAAGUUCAUGAAAAUGUUAAUCCGGACUGAAACUAUUGCACCUUAAUUGGCAUGUAGGUCAAACCUGGCUUGUCUUGUGUAUGAAGGUUUUCUUACCUUGUUUGAUUGUUGGAGUCCUAUCUUAUGUACGAGUACUGAAUGGCCUUGCCUAGAGUCUGAGAGAUAGUCAAACUCUGAAUUUCCCUCUUGGUGGUAUCUUUUGUUUUCGUCCAGUACUAAUGAUAUGAAAUUUGUGAGAGCUGUAAAACAUCACGUUAGGUGUCCUUCCUUGUUCAAAGUUAAUUGUCAUUUUGAUAAUACUUUAGAAGAAUAAUGCAUGAUUUCUUCAACUGAGGCAUGAGUAAUCAGACGCUACAAACAUGGACAUUACAGUUGCAAAGUUUUUAUAUACUAACUUAAUUUAUAGACACUCCUUUCAGAUAGCUGCCCCUGUCAAUGGUCCAUUAUAUUUACAUUAUGGCUGAUUUGUGUUCUUAUGUGGAUCAUGCGACGUUGUGAAAAUGAGGUUUAAUGUUGUAUUUUUUUAAUAGGAGUUGCCAUGACAAAUGAAGAUGAUAUGUGUCACAAGUGCACACUUGAAGUUUGCCAUCAUGUUCUAACUUCUAUGCCCGGUGGCUGUGGAGGAACAAGUGUGUCGUGACAGGGUGGUGUUGGCAAUUGAGGUAUGAACCUAGAAAUUAAUCUUGGAGAUUGAUUGCCUCAUAAUGCUAGAUUGUGCUUGGAGGGUUGAAAUCGUGGUGGUUGCUGAAAAGGAAUUAUAAAAGGAAACGACAUGCAUCUGACGUUUGACACGUUUCUAAAAUAGUAUCCUUUCUUUAUGCGCAUGUAGCAUGAUAACAAUUAUGAACUACCAGGUGACUACCCCAUUCAAUUUGGCCUAGGACCUCUAGAUAUGGUCAUCAAUUGGUCAGUAGAAUUUAUAUUAGUAUAACACUAGGGUAGAAGCUCUUUUCCUAUUUUUCAUGCAUGGAGAUAGAGAAGACCAUGAUAUGAUGCACAAGAUUUUGACUAUUUUAAAGAAUAUUUUCUCAUUCUAACAUGUAAAUUGCAUUCACGCAGUUGCUUUGCGUUUGAACUAGCUCGCGGGCUUUUGUUAUAUGUGCUGACCACAUGAAGUUCCAAGUUUUUUCCCACUCGAGGGGAAUAUUGGGCGCUCUCACUACAGAUUUCUUACAGAAUGGGUAUGUUCGGGACUGAACAAAGAUUCAAGCUAAGACAACUAUUAUGUUAUUUUAGUUGGGUUCAUUUAGCUUUUAAAAACUAUUCCUUUAAAUAUAUGUCACAUUNUGCCACCGAUAGAUCAUUUAUACCAGAUAUUUUGUUUACAAAUGACGUGUUUAUUUUUAAUUGUUUACUCCUUUUUUAUAAGACAUGAAAGGGGGAACAGGAUUAUGUAAUAUAAGGAUAUGUAUACUAAUUUUUUUUUAUGGAAGAUAACAAGGAAAUUUAUGACUUAUAAAAUUAUAUUUUUUAUGUUUUAUUAUGUCACAAUUUGAGUUUUAGACUUUUUGAUAGUUUUGACUAAGUAUAUAAUAAUCUAUACGUGUACUAGAAAUUAUAAAUGGUGGUCCGAGUGAGGUAUCAUUUUUUCUAAAUCUAGGCAACCAAAUUUGUUCAAUAUCAACUGCUUGAUUUCUUUAUAUCCUCUUCUUUCGCCCACUAUUGAAACAUACAUUGGUCGAGAUAACUUAGGGAAGAGGGAGUUGUUGAACCAUGUCUGUAGGCCGACAGCGACGACGAGCGUGGUGAUUGUGAUGGGGUGCAACGAGGACAUCCGCGCGUGCCAAUAGCUGCUUCACGUCCCACGAGUUCUUUUGUACCUAAGCGUACACAGACCAUGUGACGGAGAGAGGUCGGAUUUAGACGACUGGAGAUGCCGAUCGAGGUAGGUCGGGUGAGGCGCAAGAGAGUGGUAUACCAUGUCGUUAUGCCCUCGAUGGACUGUGCCAUGGAGAACGCGAGAACCCGCAUUCCCGGUGAGCCGAAUCGCCCACUCCCGCGGUGGCAGCACGGGGCAUGGCGUCGUAGUGGGGAUCACAAGGCAAGAUGAGAUGGACAUGAUCUCGGUCCUGUCGAUGCAGGCGAGGGCAACGGUUGGGUCGAGGGACUCCCAAUCUCGUCGAUGCGACAGAGGCCAUCGUCCAUGAGUAGCCUGGGCUUGAGCGCGAGGAGGCUGGCGAGCAUGAUAAAUGGCCGCUUGCGUGUACGUCACGGCGGGGAGGACCAAGGGGAGCUCUAGGAGUGGACGGCGGCCAGGAACACGAGGGAGAGCGGCUGCUUUGGGGUGGACAGCUGUCGCGAUUUUUUCAAGAGAUAGAUCGGAUUGGGAGGAGCGAGGGUGCGUGGUCAUUGCUUUUUGCAUGCCAAGAUGAUGUGCGGGUAGCCAGAUCGUGAGGGUGGAGGUCGACUGAACCAUCCCGUUUGUUCGCUGGGCUUUUUCUACGUGGAUCGAAUGAGGCGUGGGUAGCUAUCGCGUAGGAAGGGAGGUGAGGAUUGAUACAAAGGGUGAGCGGUAACCCAACGAGGUUAAACCAUCACGACGACUGCACAUCCCUCUUUUGGAAUUCCUUCUUUCUAUGUCUGCUGAAAAAUUAUUACCCUCGGUUCUUUACAUUAUUCGGUCUUGAACCAUUUUUGUAUGGUGCGUGUUUUGGCCGAAGUGAAGUUACGUUUUAAUGAAAUAUUUCUUUAACAUGAGCAAUGGUCCUUGCUUUUUAUGGCCUGUUGAUCUCUGUGCUCAUGAUACAAAUGUAAAUGAUUCUUUUGAUUGACAUAGGCCUAUUAAUCACAAACCAAACUGCAAACUCCAUUCAUGUACAAAUAUUACUUUCAUGAUUCAUAAAUCAUUUUUGUAAACUAUUAGUUUAUCAUGGUCAAAAAAUAGGGUGUAUCGUCAUGAUUUCGGUGUACUGUUUUAAAAUUGUCGCAAAAUGCAAGAGCUAGGGGGACAAGUACUCACACUCUCAGCUUCUCUACAAAUGUAAGUCUGUUGGAAAGACAAAGACAUGUGAUAUUAAGUUGGAAAGACAAAGACAUGCGGGUUUUUCAUGUGUACUUUCCAUUUAUGGCAUGAAUAACAUUAUGAAUAACUAUGUAUUGUACACAUGAGUCAAGCUUUUCGUAAUAUGCUUUUCUCUCACAUGAAGAGAAAACUUGUGAAAGUGCGUUAUAUCGACUAGAGGGGGGUGUAUAGGAGAUUUUUAGAAUUUCAUCAUUGAGGAAAUUCCUUUUGAGGAAAUUCCUCACUGAUGACUAACUUACAGCGGAAACAGUAAAGGAUCAGAAGUGCAAAGUUUCACAACAGCAGUUUUUUAGAGUGAAGAAUGUGAAAACAGAUUGCACUGUGAGCAGGCAUGCACAAUACAGAUGAGGAUUAAUUGACGUGAAGAAUUUGGGGUUGAGGAAAUUCAGAGAAAUUCUUCAGCAAAUUCUUCAAACAGUCUCACUGAAAGUCAUCAACACAUAACACGAGGAAAGUAAGGAGUUGAGGAAUUAGAACCCGUUUCUCAGUGAAGACAGUCGUUGAUGACCCAGUUCCAACUGCUGUGACAGUCGUACAUCUGUUUGGAGCGGCUUGGUAUUGAAACCAAAGGACACACAGUCCCGGGACACACAGUCUCUACCGUAUUCUCCUUGAGCUAAGGACAGACAGUCCUCGCCCAACAAUCGUGGUAAGUCUUCAGGGCAGACUUCCAAACCCUCACAGACUUGGUCACCCGGCGAUCCACAAUUGACUGCUGGAAAGCUCUAGACCAUGACGCCUAACCGUCUGGAGGAUGCACAGUCCUCAAAGGUAAAAGGCUUCAGUCCCACACAGGAACAACUUCUUCAGUGAUGCUCAAUCACCAGGUUUGGUUUGUGGUUUCGGUGUAUGGGGUAUUUCCUCACUGAUGAAUUACUCUUUAAGAAUCUGAGGAAUUGGGUUGCUCUUAUGACAAGUGUCAGUUUCUAACGGAGCAGCCAACCAGCUAGUGGUUGUGGGGGGUGGCUAUCUAUAGCCUGGGAGCAUCCCGACAUGAUCUGACACUAAUGCCCUUAAAUAAUAUGACCGUUGGAGUGGAUAAGACCAAUGACUUGGCGUGGCUAUCGGAACGGUCGGAACCCUCAACUGGGAGAGUCCUCAUGUCAUUCGUAUUCCUCACUUGAGGCUUUUUGGUAGGAUUAGGCUUGAGAUGAGCAUCAUGAGGAAAUUCAUUCCAAAGUGUAACUUGGACCCCCUUUAACAGUACGAUGUUCCUAUUACUCAAAUGCGAAGAAAAUAAAACAGAAAGUGUAAAUCUUCAUGCUUCAAAUUCUUUAGAGUGAUUUUCUUCAGGACACACCGGACUUCUCAAUAUCAGUAUCUUCAUGAGGAAUAUCAAUUUCAUCGCAGAUUCUUCGCGAUUCAUUUCUUCAGCUUCAGACCAAUUUCUUCAACUGAAGACAUACAUUUUUAGGGGUCGAUAUUCUUCAAAUAUAUCAAACUCCUCAAUGACUUAUAGAUCAUGUGUACACUCACAAACACAUUAGAUACUUAACCUAUAAGUCUUCAAACCACCAAAAUCACUAAGGGGCACUAGAUGCACUUACAAUCUCCCCCUUUUUGGUGGUUGAUGACAAUUAGGUUAAGUGUUCAACAGGGAUCAAAAAUAUGAAGUGUAAAUACUCAUUUGCGGAAUUUGAAAUCAAGAUUCAGAGAGACUCCCCCUGAAGAUGUGCAUAUCUUGAGGAUUUUGCUUUUCACAGCAAAUGCACAUUGAUGAUUUAUAUCAUGGAGAUCUCCCCCUGAGUCUUGUAAAUCAUGCAUACAUAUAACAUAUCAUAUGAAGAAAAUGAAAAUGCAUGAUGACAGAUGGUAUCUGACGAAUUCCAGCAUGCAUGCAUUAAAACUUGAGGAAUAAGCAUGCGAAGAAAAACGUUCAAAAGCGUCAGAGUACCAUCGGGCUUAAGUUACAACUCAUUACAUAAAAACCUCAGAAGAGCCAAGAGUUUGUAACUUAAACAUAGUUCAUAAGCCCCAAAAAUAUCCCGCUUGAAGACUAACUCUCAAGUUUCUCCCCCUUUGUCAUCAAGUGACAAAAAGGGACAAACUGAGGACUAACGUCCGUGAAGAUUUCACUUUGUGGCAGUUGAGGAAGAGCAGUGAUGCUCCUUGGGAGUAGUCUUCUUCCUUGGACCGGUAGCAGUGUCGAGCUGUUCUUCAUCAGUUUCAGCAGUGCGGAAUGAAGAAAAGGAGUUGUCUUCAAGGUCUGGCACUGGAAUAGGUCUGAACUUCUUCUUGGGAGGCCACGACCAUUCAAAGUCUCGCUCAAAGUCCAUUUCUUCAAGCUCAGUCUGAGUCUUCAGAUGUGCAAGUGUAGCCUAUGUGCGAUAAAAAACCUCAUGCAGAUAGUGAUGGUUGAGCUUCACAGAGUUCUGUGUUUCAGUGAGGGUUUUCACAAUGGCGCCAAACUAGCGUUUGACCCAUUUGUGAUUGCGAUCCACCUUCUGGUGAAGACUAAGGAGGAGCUCUCUUGUAUUCAUCACGCGAGGAGGAACGGGGCUUGCCGGACAAGUCUCAGUAUCAUCCCAUGAAGAAUAAGCUUCUGGCUCUCUGAACUGGCCAUCAAGGGGCCUACUGCCUUCUUCAAUCACAGAUUUGCCUUUUCCUUCAAUGGACUCGAAAGUCUUCUUGUUGACCCAGAUAGGAGGCAUAUAACCAACAUGGUUUUGGAGAUCAGCGUGGAAGUUGAUGCCUGUCCUUGUCCUGAUGAAUCUCAUGAUCCAUGGGGCAUAUAUCUUGUGAUCAAAAGGACACAUAGCAUUGUCUGCCAAAGUCCUCAAGAAGAAAUUAUGGAUGUUGAUAGGAAUACCAUGGAUAAUGUUGAAGAGGAUAUUCUUCAUGAGGCCUACGACAUCUUCUUCAUCAUCAUGGCCUUUGAUCGGCGCGAGCACACUGCAGAGGAUUCUGUAAACAGAUCUGGGUGUGUACUUGAGAUCAUGGACGAGGAAGGUUGUUCUCGAAGGUUUUCCUUCAGCCAAAGGUUUCAUGAGGACUUCCAUCAUCCCAUUGGGUAGCUCACGCUCACCAUAAAGCUUCACAGCCUCAUCUGAGGGAAUUGGUAUAGGCAGUUCUCAGAGGAGUUCAGUAGCAGGAGCGUUGUAGUGAGUGUUUUGUGACAUCCAAUCAAACACCCAAGUGUUAAUGUCUUUAGGGUUGCCAGAUAUGUGAAGAGUGGCAUAGAACUAAAGAAUUAGCUCACUGUUCCAGUCAGAGAUGUCGGAGCACAUUGGGAGUAAACCAGCAUCAUGUAAUACACUGAGGACUGGCUCCAGGCACGGUAUUGCGUCAAGUUCAACAUGAGGAUUAUGCCUGUGCUGGAAUAUCUUGUUUCGUCCACAUAGCAUAGAGGCAUAGUAAUUCAUCUGAGUCCUAGUCCAAAACUUCAGAUGCCUCAUUUGAGGCUUGUCAUAGGGGUUCUCUCCAAUGAAGUACAUGCGUUCUUCAAAGAAAUUUUCCUUUUGAAACUUAGGACGCUUGGAGAAUGGCUGACGCUGAACUAGCUUAAGGUUUUGCUGAGGAACAGGAGGGGAGACAACAAUGGCAGUCUCUGGGUUGAGGACAACGAAUGCAUUGUCUUAGUCUGGUGCAUUUUCUUCAGCAUUUUCCUCAGGGUGAGGAAUUUCAGCAGCUGGUACUUCAGGCUGAGGAGAUGGUGCUGGCUGGGCAUCAGGAUGAGGGGCUUGCUCUGGCUGUGCAUCAGGCUGAGGAAUAGCUUCUUCUUGCUCAGUUGGAGGAGUUGGGUCAGCCUGUUCCUCAUCUUGAGGAUUUUGCUCAGAGCGUUGAACUUCAUCAGCAUGAGGAUUUUCAGUUUGUUCUUCCUCAGCUGGCUUGGUGGCAGAUGCAAUUUCAUCAGCUGGUGCAGCUGAUGCUUGAACAAUGUCUUUCUGAGGAAUGAAAGGCUGAGGACUGUCGUCUAUAUGAAUCUCCUUGUCAGUGUGUUCCUGAGAGGCGGUAUCCUUCAUUUCCUCAUCCACCCUUUUCGCUGGAUCAUCAAUGAUGUCCAUUUCAUAGGAAGGAGCGACAUUCAGGGGCACAUGGUCCAGAGGAGCAGUUUCUUCAAGUGCUUUGAGGCGCUUGGCCUCUGUUUCUUGUUCUGCUGAGGAGGCCUUUCUCUUUUUGGCUUCCUUCUCCGCAACCCUGGUUUUCUUCACGUUGAUGCAGACGGAGUCAUCUUCUUCACCGUUGAAGCUUUUGGUGAAGGGGUUCUCUUGACAGAUUCUUCAGCUGGUAUUGAGGAACCAGCUGGAUCAGAGUCAUCAGCUUGCUUUAGUGAAGCAGCUGGGUCAGGGGCAGUCUCAUCAGCUGCAGCAAAUUCAUCAGUAGGAGUUUCCAUGAUGAUUUCUUCAAUAGCCGGUUCAUCCACACGGCGUUCUUGGUGUACUUCCUUAGCUUGAGGAGUUUCCUCGUCAUGAGGAGAUUCAUCUGCUGGCUCCUCAAUUAGGGGCUGAGAAGUUGGUGAUGGGGGUGCAACCUUCUUAUUGUAAUCAUCAACAACACUAGUGGCCAGCUUGAUGAAAUUGCUUUUGAGACUCUUACGAUCUGACAGCUUGUAGUACUUGUCAGUCAAUUUCUUCAGCUCUGCUUGUGUUGAUACCAGUGCAUCAGGAGUCAAUUUGUGGAGAUUAUGCUUGAGGAAUUUCUCCUUUUUAAGCUUUGCAACUUUGGCCUGCUUGGCCUGCUGUUCUUUCCACUUGGCUUCAUUUAUGAAAGUGGUCACCAUGUGGCUGAUGCCAGGGGGAAGUUUCAAAUCAUCAAGCGGAGUGUUUGGGUCCUCAUACCAUAUGUUGAUGUAGUCAAGGAGGACCUUGGGGUCCAUUGCCAGAGGAAUGGCACUGCCUGAUGCUUGAUCUACUCUUUCCUGCUUGUUCCUGAUGAUGGCUUGAAGUGUUUGAUCAUCAAAUUCAUCACUGCCCUCUGAUGCAGACGGGACGGUGAUAAUUUUGCUGGGGCUUGGCAGAGUUGCACGUUCAACAGAUACCUGAGUCUUCGCAGAAGAUGUUGAAGACUUUGUCUCCGAGCUGGUUGCAGCUGGGAGUGAGGAGCUGGAGCUGGCGGUCAUAGGCUUCAUGACUUGCUUCUGUACUGGUUUCUCUUGAGGCUUUGGUGGUGGUGCUGAGGAUUUUGGAGCUGAGGAGAUUGGUACUAAGGGCUUUGGCGCUCAUGGUUCUGGUGUUGAAGGUUCUGGUGCUGAGGGUUUUGUGACUGAAGCCUGAGCAGACUUCUCUUGAGGCUUUGGAGCCUUUGGUUUUGAUGGUACAGACUGCAUUUAAGGAAUUUCUGAGCCAGAGGUCUCAGCGGUAGAGGAAGUAGCAGCAGCUGAGGAUUCAUUGAAUUUCCUCAAUGCAGUUUCUGCCUGCUUCUUGAGCUUAGCCAGAUGCUUUUCCUUCUCAUCUGGAUAGUCAUCAAUGGUCAUCAGGCUUGAGGGAUGUGCUACUUGAUGAUCCUCAAGUGGGGACCGUCUGCCAGGGGGCUUCAAAGCGAAUUUCUUCGCAUACUUGGGAGUCACAAACCUGUAUUCCUUCCAUUCCUUCGCCCAUCGGCGUUCUAUCUUCUGCAGCCGUAUCUUUCUCUUUGCCAUUGUCUCAUUUUCAUCAGGCGUGCAAUACUCCAAGUAGAUAUCCUCAGGGAUAUCCACAGAUGUGUUUUGCUCAAGUUUCUUUCCUCCCUUCUGUUUUCUAUCAUCCUCCAUUUUUUCAGCUGAGGAUUUUGCUGAUGAGAUUGAACUCUUGAGGAUUCUGAUGAGACUUGAAGAUUUUCUUCAAGAAACGCUGCAAAUAAGUUAAUGUGAUGAGAACCAAGAGAUUCAUCAGCUGACAUGUGUGUACCUGUGAACAGAGUAUAGCUGCGAGGAAUUUGGAGAGGUCAUAUGCGUUCUCAAAUUUGAAGAAAAUGAAAAAGUUUGACAGUUUCACGAAUAUAACCAGUGGUUGAGGAAUUUGCCUAAGCAUACUGUUCUUGGGUUCCAGAGUUGUACAGAUCCUAAAAUUCGCACAAUUGAGGAAUCUCGUGAAAAUCUUAGAUGCUUAGCAUAAUUCAUCAAUGAUGUGGUGAUAGGAAGUGUUUGAGGAAUCAAGUGCUUAUCGAUUCUUGAGGUAAAACAGAUUUCACAUAGAAGAUGUAAAAUUUUAGAUCUAACUUGCGGUAAAAAUGGGAUUUAUUUACCCUGGAAGGUGCGCACGAAGAACACAGAAAGGUGUGUGUGGAGAAGCUCUUCGGUCGCGUGACCAAUGCACCCUAACCCGGCGACAAAUGACGUCUACGGCGGCGGCGGACAAAGAUGGUCUGACUCCGGCGUGAUUCUGGCGACGGAGAAGUUGAGGUAGUGAACCUCACCGGCGACGAGACUACGUACCAGCGAUGGCGCUAGGGUUCGGUGGUGUUUGCUGUGACAGAAGAACGAUGGAGCGAAGAAGAGUAUGCCGACACUACGGGAAUCAGGUAAUUUGCCGUCUGUUAAGAUCUUUGCCGUCAGCUUUUCUUCGUGGAUGACGGCAAAGAGCACUUUUGCCGUCAGUUGCCGUCAGCUGCUGACGGCAAAGAAUGACUGCCGGCGUAAACAUAUUUUGCCGUCUAUAAUAAAAAUUGCAGACGGCAAAAUUAUUUUGCCGUCUAUAAAAAUAAGCGGAUGAUGACAAAGAUAUAAUUUGCCGCCUGUAAUAGAAAGUGAUGACGGCAAAGAAGAAGCACAGCACACGGAUCGAUCACGCGGAUCGAUGAUGUGGCAAGAUCUGAGACUCACGAACCUACCCCAUCCCACCACGCACGAACGUGGGUGAAAAAAUAUUUUGCCGUCUGUAAAAAUAACUGGAUGACGACAAAGACGUAUUUUGCCGUCUGUAAACUAGAUGACGGCAAAAUUAUUUUGCCAUCUUUGAAAGUAACUAGAUGACGACAAAAUAAGAAGCAAUUUGCCGACUGUAAUAGAAACUCAUGACGGCAAAGAAGAAGCACAACACAUGGAUUGAUCACACGGAUCAAUGACGUGGAAAGAUCUGAGACACACGAGCCCACCCCAUCACACCACGCACGGACGUGGGUGAAAAAAUAUUUUGUCGUCUGUAAAAAAACCGGAUGACGGCAACGACUUAAUUUGUCGUCUUGAAAAAUAACCGGAUGACGGCAAAGAGAAAGCACACCACGCGGAUCGAUCCCAUGGAUCGAUGACGUGGCGGCCCAUCCCACCGUCGCUGCCUCUCCCACCCAGGAUCCACCGCAUCCACUCAACUCGGCUGGCCCACCACUCACCUCCACCCGACCUUAUCCUCUCACCACCUCUCUUCUCUCUCGUACCCAGACUCCUCCCCCGUCGCGACCACCACCUCUCUUCUCUGUCGUACCCAGACUCCUCCCCCGUCGCGACCACCACUCUCGGCCCCGACUCCUCUCUCGUCCCGACCACCACCCCCUCCUCCAAUGCACCACCGGCCACCCUCCCGAUCAGGUCGCCGGCGGCAAAGCCCCUACCCUCCAGCGCCCACCACCACUCAGCCCUUCCUCCGAUGCCCAACCACCCCCUCUCUCCGGCGUCUCACCGCCCACCCCUACCUCCCGCGCCCCAGCACCCAUCCUCUGGAUCAGGUCGCCGGCGGCAACGCCCCCACCCCCCGCGCCCACCACCACCCACCCUCUGGAUUAGGUCGCCGGCGGCGAGGCCCCCACCCCCCGCGGCCACCACGUCAGAUCCAGCGACCCUGCAGCUCCCCGACGCCACCGCAGUUGGCCUCAGCAGCUCCCCGACGCCACCGGAUCUGGCGACCUCAGCAGCUCCCCGACGCCACCGCAGCUCGCCUCUCACGCGACCCCGCCUCCUUCCAGUGCCUCCACCAGGUCGGCCUCCGGGUGGCCAGCCCCGGAUCCGGUGAGAUCCGUGAGGCGCGGCUGCGGGAGUUAGAUGGGGUGCCCGAGGAGCUACUCUUCGCCUGCUGGCCCUGCACACGCCGCCUGGUGGCCCCACACCCGCCGCCUGGUGGCCUUGUUCGAGAUGUGCCGCGUCCAUGCAGUGGAGAAGAAGCCAAGGGACCUGAUUGCUUUUUAUCUUUAGUUCCAGGGUGCUUUAUGUAAUACGCGAGGACUGCUUUAGGAGUUGUUCUUAUGUCAGGGUUCUUUGUGUAAAUUUAUAUCCACUUGUUGGCUGAUGUAGUUAUGCCCUUUUCUGCCAUUUUGGUUCAUUGAGUGACGAUGGACUAUGUAUGUUUUAUAAAAUCCGCUCGUAAUAGAUUCUAUCUAUGCCUUUGACCAGAUUUGCAGCUGAUUGUUAUUUAUAUUUUUUUUAAAAGAAAAUUCCGUUGCCGUUUGGUAUUGAUAACAACUGACGGCAAACCCGUAAUCUUUGCCGUCUUGCAUUCCGGUCGGAUGACGGCAAAGAGUUAACGUCGUCCGGGUGGUUCUGUUAGGUUUUUUGCCAUCUGCCUCAUAAUAGAUGACGGCAAACCGUUUUCACUAACGGCAAAUUUUUUGCCGUCUGCCCGAAAAAAUGCUGACGGCAAAAUUACCCUUUGCGGGCACAUGGUCUGACGACAUUUUUUGCCGUCAUGGGCUGACGGCAAAAAUUUUGCCGUCUGUAAUUCUCUCUUUGCCGUCUUUAGCGUCCUGAAGGCAAAAUGCCUGAUUCCUGUAGUGCGAGGGGGAUAAGGACAUAUUUAUAGCCAAAAGUUACUGUUGGCGCGAAAAGUUUGGACCAAACAGCCCGUGCCUCUACGUCUCCGCAGGACACGUGUAGCUCCCGAACAGUGCGGUGGAGAUAGUGGAGAUCGUGGUUAUCCAAUCGUGGGAAGUGGGGUUCAGUUACUGUGUAUUAAAGAAACAAUUUUUUAAGAUUUGAGGAUUUUCGUUACAAAAUCAUCAGCUGACAAGGGCGCAGUGAGGAUUUUGAACAAAGUUUCAAGUAGAACGCAUAUGAAGAAUUGAAUAGACUGGAUGAGUAUAGCAUAGAGGGAAAGUAGGGUCCGAUCACAUUCACUUAGCAGAAAUGUCAACUUGAAGAAUUAGCUAUAAGUGAAUGUUGUUGAGGACUUGAAAUCACAUUCUAUCUAGUCAAAUGAAAGUCAUCAAGUGUUUUUUGAAGAUUUUGUGAUAAAUCGUCACAAUGAAGAACAGUUGUUUUGAAGAAAAACACAUUUUGAGGAAAUAGAACAUUUGAAGAAAAUCAACUUGUGGAAUUUCACAUUGGGCGGUGGCGUGACCCACCAUAUAAGAAUGUUGAUUACAGACGCCGCGUACAAUUGUCGUAGGGCCCUGAGAAUCAAUUUCUUCAUUGAUUUCUUCACACUCAGAGUGACAUUCUUCAUUAGUUGAAGAAAAUCGAUUCAUCAUGUGUUGCACAUCUAAGUCAUCAGUUUUGCAUAAGUGUUAGGAUGUGUGCAUGUUUUCACAAAACAUUUGAGGAUUCUAAGAUAUUUAGCUCACACCGCAACUUGCAAAACCUUUUCUCAUCCAAGGGCUUAGUGAAGAUAUCUGCCAGUUGAUCAUCAGUCUUCACAUGGUCGAUGAGGAUAUUGCCCUUGAGGACAUGGUCCCGAAGAAAAUGAUGAUGAAUCUGGAUGUGCUUGGUCUUCGAGUGUUGUACUGGGUUGUAUGAAAUCUUGAUAGCACUCUCAUUGUCGCAGUAGAGAGGCACAUUCUUCAUGUUGAUGCCAUAGUCCUUGAGGGUUUACUUCAUCCAUAGUAAUUGAGCACAGCAAGAACCAGCAGCAAUGUACUCAGCUUCGACAGUGGAGAGUGAUACGCAGUUCUGCUUCUUUGAGGACCAGCAAACUAGUGAUCUUCCGAGGAAAUGGCAUGUGCCAGAAGUUGACUUGCGAUCCACAUGGUCACCAGCAUAGUCAGAAUCAGAAUACCCUACCAGAUGAAGAUUUGAGCCCUUGGGAUACCAUAAUCCUAGUGUUGGUGUGUGAGCUAAGUAUCGAAGAAUAUGUUUCACAACCUUAUGGUGUGGUUCCUUUGGUUUUGCUUGAAAACGUGCACACAUGCAAACACUAAGCAUUAUAUCUGGCCUAGAUGCACAUAGAUACAAUAGAGAUCCAAUCAUAGAACGAUAUACCCGCUGAUCGAAAUCUUUACAAUUUUCAUCAGUGCCGAGGUGGCCAUUGGUAGGCAUUGGAGUCUUGGCACCUUUGCAUUCAUGCAUGUUGAAUUUCCUUAGAACAUCCUUGAGGUAUUUCUCCUGUGAUAUGAAGAUUCCAUUGCUUUGUUGACGAAUUUGAAGACCUAAGAAGAAUUUUAGCUCCCCCAUCAUGGACAUCUGAUAUUCUUCACUUAUCAUGUAGGCAAAUUCAUCACUGUAUAUAUCGUUUCUCAGUACAUCCAAAUAUGAUACCAUCAACAUAUAUUUGACACACAAAUAGCUCAUUAUCAUAGGAUUUAUUGAAAAGAGUUGGAUCGAGUGAACCAGGUUUGAAGCCUUCUUUCAUGAGGAAUUCCUUCAAUGUAUCAUACCAUGCUCGAGGGGCUUGCUUGAGACCAUAAAGAGCCCUUUUCAGUCUGAAGACUUUGUCUGGAUUCUUUGGAUCCUCAAAACCUGGGGCCUGAGCAACAUAUACUUCUUCCUCAAGCUUACCAUUGAGGAAUGCACUUUUCACAUCCAUUUGAUAUAAGAUGAUGUUAUGAUGAUUAGCAUAAGCAAGUAGUAUUCAAAUAGCUUCAAGUCUAGCAACAGGUGCAAAAGUUUCAUCAAAAUCUAUUCCUUCAACCUCGGUGUAGCCUUGGGCUACAAGUCGUGCCUUGUUCCUGACCACUUGACCGUCCUCAUCUUGCUUGUUUCGGAAAAUCCACUUGGUGCCGAUGAUGUUGUGCUUGCGAGGAUCUGGUCGUUUGAUGAGCUCCCAUACGUCAUUCAGCUUGAAUUGAAGAAGUUCGUCUUGCAUAGCUUGGAUCCACUCCGGUUCCAGAAAAGCCUCAACAACUUUUGAGGGUUCUGUGAUGGAUACAAAGGAAAAAUGCCCACAAAAGUUAACUAAGUGUGAAGCUUUUGAGAGGACCUGGCGCGUUGAUGUCGUUGAGGAUUUUGUCAAGUUCUACUUCAUUUGCAAUCCUCAGAUGAGCUUGUUGAGGAUUUUGUCUGGGCUGAGGAAGUGGUUCUGGUGCAAUUUCCUCAGGAGCAUCUUCUUGAUUUUCAUCCGUGAUGGGAAUCGUUUCUUCACCAAUUUCCUCAGUGGGGACAAUGUCUUCAGUAGGCUUGAGCUUUCACUACAAGAAAUAAGGUCAAUUAUGACUCCCUAUAUUGGUCACUGAUUCGUCAUUGUCGUUGUUUAUUGACCUUUUUUGACCAAAUUUACAACGUCAACAGUUGGCCGUCAAGAAUGAACAAACAUGACCUUUCUAAAAUUUUGGUCGCAGGCCUCUAUCGACCAAAAUUUUGGUUUGAUCAUUACUCAUUUGUGUGAGCCACGUAGGAUCUGACGUGGCCAAGCUGACGUGGCAUUGCUAGUGACCAAAUAAAACCAUCAUAAAUUUCAGAUCCCUGUCCACCAAUCCAGCUACAUGGGCCUGACCCAAUACAUAUUUUACUAUUAAAAAUGUCUGAUUUGUUUGGGUUGAAGAAAAAAAAUUUGCCAGAAGCACGCAUAUCUCAAGAUAGGCCCAUUAAAAUAAGUACAACAGAAUAAAAGAUUGCAAAUAAAAUGUAUAUUUUAUUUCAGUAGCAUAUCACAUCAAAUACAAUACAUCAUCCACCGACUUCACGCAUUAAGGUUCAACGCCUAAUAAGGGCACAUCAAAAUAACUUACAUGUGCACAACAGAAUACUUCUCCAAGUGCAAGUAAACAGAAAAAGUUUCCAACAAAUUCACAAUCGAACAUAAAGAGAGUUCCACAAAGAUUGGAUGAGAACCACAAGUUUCUUCUCAUCCUCUUCCUCUGCACAAUAUGCUCUUGCCAUUCCCGUCUGCAAGAAAAAAAUGAUGGUAAGGCUGCAUAUACUUUGUAUACUUCGGACUAGAGUAUAUAGAUUCUAGUAUAUAUGUUGCAAAAUAGUUAUUACUGUUGUACGUGUGUAUAUAUAUCGAUGGUGUGACGCUACUUGUUUUCACUAUAGUAUAGCUACGUGGACACAUGUAGUAUAUGUUCGUAUACCUGAUACUAUAUUGACAACAAACCGAACCGACUACCGGACACAAAAUACUGGCAUACAUGGACAUAGUAAAUGGACUAUAAAAAAGAGAUUCAGAUAACAGCAAAUUGUGAAAAAGUAUCUUUAAUAGUGCCGUAAAUAAACUUAAAACAGCGAUCAACAGUAGCACGUAAACUAGAAGACAAAGAGAGAAAAGGGAAAAAAUAACCUACUUACAUGGAUAGAGAAAAUGGACUUCAAACAACAAGUAAAUGAGAAAACGUCAAAUAUUAUUGGAAAAUAAACUUGCUAAUGUGAUGAAUAAUAGCUGGAAUUAAAAUAGAAAACCCCUACAUACAUAGACACAAAGAGUUGAGGGGAAACUAGAUGACAGACUAAAACCAAGAGAGAAUAGGGAAUUGCAUUAUGUACACACAGAGACGGAAAAUAUCGGAACACAAAGAAAAAAUACACCUACCUAGAAUAAAGAAAGGAAAGGACUGAAGACUGUAAAACAUAUACAUGUACACUUUGUAUACUACUGUAAGCCUAUGUAUUACUUGUUGUUUCUAAAAAGGAAUGGACUGAAGACUGUAAAGGAACAUAUUUUUUUUCUUUCUAAAAGGACAUAAAUUAACGUGGAAAAUAGGGUAUGGAUCAUCUUCAGCAAAGUCACUAGGCAAAAAUUGCCUCCAGAAUCAUCAAUGUCAAAAGAACAUUGUAUGCGAAUAUUCGGCUACGCAUGAACCAGUCAACAAAAACAGAGUCACAUUGCAAAUUCAACUACAGUAAAAAGCUUACUUGCCUGAACAUACGGGAACACAAUUACAGGGAGGGUCUCAAGAAAGCAUCCAACUUGUCAUGCAACACAUUUGCAUCUCCCAGCCGUUCUUGUUACUCCAAUUCCUCCCCUGCAACCCGUGGCCACUGGACACACUCGAACCAGAGGUGUUCGAUGUUCCAUCCAGCCUAUGCACGGCAGUAAUUAGUAAGGCGAAAGGUAUGACUUAAAACCUAAUCCUCACGUAGCAAAAUAAAAUGGUAAAAAUAUGAACUUCAGGAAACCAACAAAGCAAGCAGGCAAAAAUUAUUGCAGCUAGCUCAUACAUCUUCCUUUUUCUAACCACACAUAAACCAAACCAAUGUAUCAUGUUGUGGGGGAACGCGCUGGCGGCGGCUGAUCCUCAUGAUAAACUUUGAAGGUAUCAUGUUUUUCUGACCUGAGAAGCCCUUCAGGAUCACAUGGGGCCUGGCAUCAUGAGGGGGCAUCACGAGGGAGUGGCCCAUUUUGUGGUGAAUCAAUGCAGCAUUACUGUCACAAGAGAGAGGAGUUAAUCAAUGCAGCAUUUUGUGGUGAAUCAAUGCAGCAUUACUGUCACAACAAAGGUGACGAAUGAGCAUUAUGCAAGCUCUUGAUUUUAUUAGAACCUGGGAUCGUGCAUAAACCGGUCGACCGUAGAGAUCCUGGAUGCCUAAGAUUUUGCGGUCAAUCAUGCCAACUGCAUUGCAGCCUGGCCAGAGUCACCUCGUACACCGCAUUUGAUCUGAUGUAAGUUACGAUUUUGAAGCUCAUCAGUUCUACUGUCAUCUAUAAUAUUGCUAGAUAUAUUCUUAGCGUGAAAAAUAAAUGUGAAAGUGGAACUUACAGUGAACGUUUUCUUUGUGGAACCAGGACCUGAUAUCUGAUACUCCCAGUUGGGAACGUAGGUACCAUACAAGAGGGCCAUGUAGGCGAUUGUGAUGAGCAAGCCUGCGAGUCUAGAAGAACAAUACCGAAUGGUAAUUUCAGAAACACAACUUGCUCAUACUAAGUCCUUUAAAUAUGUCAUCUGGAUCAGUGAUUUUUAUUUNNNNNNNNNNNNNNNNNNNNNNNNNNNNNNNNNNNNNNNNNNNNNNNNNNNNNNNNNNNNNNNNNNNNNNNNNNNNNNNNNNNNNNNNNNNNNNNNNNNNNNNNNNNNNNNNNNNNNNNNNNNNNNNNNNNNNNNNNNNNNNNNNNNNNNNNNNNNNNNNNNNNNNNNNNNNNNNNNNNNNNNNNNNNNNNNNNNNNNNUAUUUGGUUCUUAAAGGUUUGAACUCACAGUUGAUAUCUGUAUCUCUUGAUCAAAUCAAGUCCAAAAUCUACAUCAUCUUCUCCCUUGAGCCAAAUCUGACACAGUGCUCUGACAAGAUAAGCUAUUGUGAUUCUCUGCAACCAAGUAGGCACCACAAAUCAUAAGUCAUCCCACAUUUAGUUGAACUAUUGAUGCAGAAUAAUGUAUUGCAUAUGCCGCUUACCUGCAGUAUACCCAUCAAACGUAUUUGUGCAAUAUCAACCCCAAAAGUAAGGCUACGAACUCCUUGAAAAAAUCCACCUGUGCAACACAGCAGAACAAGAAACUAAACAUGAAACAUUAUGUCGAAUCGAAUGUACCGUCAUCCUGUUCAGGAACAAUCCUAAUUAAUACCUUGUAGAACAAAACCAACACAGAAUAGCUUCAGUGCACGAAGUGUUGCCUUUCGAGUCGCAUCCAAUUUGUCUGGCACUCUCUGCAUGCAUCACGAGAUGACGCAGUUAGGUGUAAGCAAUAGCAAGUCAUGAAUGUCACACCAGUGUUAGCUCGACAGAACGAAAGUAAAUGUCAUGGUCGUGUUGUUGUCAGUGUGUACCUUGUACGCUAGAGCUAGAGCGACCCCAACAAUGAAAAGGAAAAAAGGCAUGACGAAAUGAGCUAUGGUUACACCUUCCCAAGGGGAGUGGUUCAUCGCCGGGAGAAAUGAUCCAGUGUCGUCCGCGAUGAACAUAAGCUGCAGCAAUGAAAACAACGGUUAACUUUUAUUUCACCCAUUUUGUUAACACAGAUGGAAGAACAACAGAUUAGAAGGGCGCAGAAUGAUUUAUGUAAAGUAUAUAGAGUUGUACUGUGUAUUCCAUGGAGGAACAAGCUUUGUUCUACCAUUUCCUAGGGGACUAGUUAGAAGUUUCCACCGUCUAAGCCAAUCAUCUGCAAAUAUACUGGAGACCUUUCUAUAUUAAACAACCAUCCCACUUGUUACAUACCUGAUGGCACGAGGGUGAGAGCCGUAGCGAGCACCACCUUCACACGGCUUGAACCUGCACAUCGGGGCGCUCACGCCACCAUGGAUGUGGAUCUGAACCGGCUGCUCGAUCUUGGUCAAGGAGAGGUGAGGAGGCCACCGGUGGUGGGGAUAAGGCGAGGGGGAGAAGGGGUGGGGCACACGUUGUGGGGGAAGGCGGCGGCGGCGGCGGCUGAGGCUGUGGGGGAUGGCGCCGGUGAGUGAUGGCGGCGGCAGCAGGCGAGGGAGAGGGAGAUCGAGAGAGGGGAAUAGGGGAACGGGGGGCUAGGGAUGGUGCGUCGACGUGGGCAUUACGAGCAAGCCUAUCACAUGGGAGGCCACGGAUCCAUCCCUAGAAACAGAUCUGGCCAUCCACUCCUACUACAUCCAACGCUCCAAAAUCCUCCCCUCAUAGAACACACCUUUAUCACUUUUUUCUUCUUCCUUUUUUCGAUCGGUAGCACUUAAUGACCAAUUUGUGCAAUAGUAUCAUGACCUAAUGGACGUAAAAGGUCAUAACAUUAUGGGCUUUGGACCCUCUUAGACUUGCCAUGACUAAUUUCAGAAUUUUGGUCAUGGAUCAAUGACCAAUUAAACCACCGUCAUUUUUUGGGGUCAUAAUUGAGCAUUUUUCUUGUAGUGUUUAUUGCUUCCUCAAGAGACAACUUAUCUGGAUCAGAAGGCAAUUUCUCUCUUUGCGAGCCAUUAGUUUCAUCGAACCGCACAUCUACAGUCUCAACAACUCUGUUCUGAUAGUUCUUGAAGACUCUGUAAGUGUGCGAGUCCUUUCCAUAACCGAGCAUAAAACCUUCAUGUGCCUUAGGUGCAAAUUUUGAGCGAUGGUGAGGAUCUCUAAUCCAGCAUUUUGCACCGAAGACUUUGAAAUAACUUACAUUGGGUUUCUUGUCAGUGAGGAGUUCAUAUCAGGUUUUCUUGAGGAAUUUGUGAAGAUAUACCCUGUUGAUGAUAUGGCAUGCAGUGUUGAUUGCUUCAGGCCAAAAGCGACGAGGAGUCUGAUAUUCUUCAAGCAUAGUUCUUGCCAUUUCAACCAGAGUCCUGUUCUUCCUUUCGACGACACCAUUCUGCUGAGGAGUAUAAGGAGCAGAUAAUUCGUGAGUAAUAACAAGUUCAUCAAGAUAAUCAUCAAGACCUGUGUUUUUGAACUCGGUUCCAUUAUCACUCUUGAUAUGUUUGAUCUUGAUGCCAAAGUUCAUCGAGGCCCUUGAGGAAAUUCGUUUGAAGAUUUCCUGCACUUCAGUUUUAUACACUAUGAUAUGCACCCAAGUAUAUCUGGAAUAAUCAUCAACUAUGACGAAGCUAUAUAAAGAUGCUGCAUUGGUUAGUGUGGCAUAGUGAGUAGGUCCAAAUAGAUCCAUGUGAAGCAACUCGAAUGGACGUGUAGUGGUCAUGAUAGUCUUCGAGGGAUGCUUGGAUCUGGUCAUUUUCCCAGAUUCACAAGCACCGCAGAGAUGAUCCUUGAGGAAUUUGAUCGAUUCGAUGCCGAUGACAUGCUUCUUCUUCGCGAGCGUGUGCAAAUUCCUCAUGCCUGCAUGACCUAGUCUUCGGUGCCACAACCAUCCUUCUGAGGUUUUUGCUAAUAAGCAAGUGGCUGGUUGAGGACCUGUAGAGAAAUCAACAAUGUACAAAUCCCCUCUUCUUACACCUUCGAAGACUUUGGAUCUGUCAGAUUCCAUGAUGACUACACAUCUAUAUGUACCAAAGAUAACAAUCAUAUGAAGAUCACAAAGCAUCGAGACUGACAUGAGGUUAAAACCAAGGGAUUCAACAAGCAUCACUUUGUCCAUAUGCCUAUCCUUGGAAAUAGCCACUUUGCCAAGUCCCAAUACCUUGCCUUUACCUUUGUCAGCAUAUGUGAUUUGGUUCAGAGGUGAUGGAGUUAGUGGCAUAUUCAUCAGUAACCUUUUAUCACCAGUCAUGUGAUGUGUGCAGCCACUAUCAAGAACCCACUCAGUAUUCUUGGGUUUGUCAUCCUGCAGAUGAAUUAGUACAGCUUACCAUCUCAUAUGCUUCAGAUUUGAAGAAUAUGAUACUAAUUUCAUCAGACCAGUAAUUUCAUCACAACAGAAAUGUAAGGACGUAUGAAAUAUUUCUAUUUCAUCAAUCAUUAGCUUGCGUCCUAUCAAGCAUUUCUUCAGGUCUCCAGCAAAUUCUUCAGAUGAUGAUUUUCAUCUAGAGACCUGACCUGCAGAAGUGAUUAGUUCGAUUUCUUCACCACCCACAUCUAAAGGGGUGGCAAAGCAUUCAUUAUCCUGCGAGCACCAUAUGAGAAUGGUGGCAUUGAGGCCAAUGCACUUCUCUUAAUAGUAGGGUGAUUAAAGUACUCAUAUGAAUAUGCAGAGAACUGGUUAGAGGAUUUAUGAACAUAAUGAUUUGAGGAGUAACGCUCAUAUUCAUAUUCCUUGUAGUUUCCCUGCAUGUUAGACGCAUUAGCACGGGUACGAGCAUAGUUUUGACCAGUUGAGGAUUUUGAUCCUCUUGAAGACUUUGGUCCUCCUGAGGAAUUUGAUCUGGGGUUCAGAUUCUUCUGUGGUGGUGUCAUGAGGACAUUCACCUGAAGAUUUUCAAGACAGCUUUUGGGAACCCAGAUUUUCCUCAAGGGGGGGCCAUUCCUGCAGUUAGUUCCAACAUAUCGAGCAAAUACUUCACCAGAUUGAUUUUUGAACAAUUUAUAGUUGGAGUAAAAUGACUCAUCUGAGGAAUAGGAUAAUUCACAUGAAAAGCUAGUUAAAUUAGAUGGAUCAAAAGGAGGCCCAGUAGCAGCAACCCAUGAGGUUUUGGGAUACUGCUCACGUUUCCAAUAAGAUCCAUCAGCAUAUAAUUUCCUCUCAAAGGCAAUUCCUUCUUUCCUCGGGUUCCUGUUCAAGAUAUGCUUUUUGAGCACAUCACAAAGGGUUUGAUGUCCUUUGAGGCUUUUGUAUAUGCCUGUCACGUACAAUUCCUUCAACCCUGCAUUUUCAUCAGUAACAUUUGUGUUUUAGUCAAGUGGGGAGAUAGACACAACAGGUGCAGUUGAAGAAUUUGUAGCAAUAGCAGCAUUUGAUGAUUCUGGUGAGGAAUUAGCAGUUUCGCGUUCAAUGCAUUUAAUACAUGGAGGAAUGAAUUCAACUUGACCAGCGUUGAUCUGUUGAGCUAGUAAUGAAUCAUUUUUCAUACGAAGAUCAUCAUGAGACAUCCUCAGCUUCUCAAGGUCAAGCUUCCUUUGAAGAAAUUCAUAGCAAAGCUUCUCAUGAUCAGUGAGGAGUCUAUCAUAACGAUCCUGAAGAUUAUCAAAUCUAGACUGAAGACUUUUCACAUCUUCAGUGAGGAUUUGGGUAAGGUUCAUUUCAUCAUUCAACAGAUCAUCACUUUUAUCUAGAAGUUUCUGAAGCUUUUCCAGGGCAGUUUGUUGUUUAGUGGCAAUGAUAGCAAGUUUACUGUAACUGGGUUUCUUAUAAUCAUCAGGUUCACAGUCACUUGAAUCAGAGGAGGAGGCAUUAUUUGGUACCUUUGAACCUUUUGCCAUGAAUCAAUAGGUUGGAGCGAAGUCAUUAGCAUAGUCAUCAGUAUGGAUGGUGCAAUCAUUUUCUUCAAGAUUGAAGAUUGACUUGCUGACGAAAGUGGUUGCCAGUGCAAGACUAGCCUGUCCGGAUUCCGAGUCUUCAUUAGAACCCUCUUCUUCAUCACAUUCCUCUCAUUCUGCCUCAGAGUCCAUUUCCUUGCCAAUAAGUGCCCAAGCCUUUCUGAAACUAGUCUUCUUGUGCGAUGAGCGCUUUGAAGAUGAGGAUUUUGAAGAUUUCUUCUUCUUCUUCGAGUCAUCAAAACUGUCAUCCUUGUAUUUCUUCUUCUUUGAUUCCUUUCCCCAACGGGGACAAUCAGAAAUGUAAUGACCCGAUUUCUUGCACUUGUGGCAGGUUCGUUUCUUGUAGUCCUCAGAUGAAGAUUCUGAUUUCCUCAUGUCUCUUCUUGCAGAUUUACCGAACUGGCCACGUCGUGUAAAUCUUUGGAAUUUCCUCACGAGCAUUGCAAGCUCCUAUCCAAAUUCUUCAGGGUCACCAAUGUUGUCAUCUGUGUCUUCGUCUUCAGAUGAGGAAAUUGCUCUAGCCUUCAGUGCACGUGGUCUGGAAUAGCUGGGUCCAUAUAGAUCUCUCUUUUCUUCUAGCUGGAAUUCAUGAGUAUUUAGCCUUUCAAGUAUAUCAGCUGGAUCAAGCAUCUUGUAGUCUGGUCUUUCUUGAAUCAUCAGAACUAAAGUAUCAAAUGAAGAAUCCAAAGAUCUCAGCAGUUUCUUCACAACUUCGUGAUCGGUGAUGUCUCGAGCUCCGAGUGCUUGCAGUUCAUUUGAUAUGUCAGUGAGGCGAUCAAAGGUGUCUUGUCAUCUUUAUUUGUCAUGUCUCUUGAAGCGAUUGAAGAGAUUGCGAAGAAUAUCAACACGAGAGUCACGCUGGGUUGAUACUCCUUCAUUUACCUUGCACAGUCUCUCCCAUAUCAGUGUUGCAGAGCCCAAAGCACUUACUCUUCCAAACUGGCCUGGGCUCAAAUGGCCACAGAUGAUGUUCUUCGCUUGAGAAUCGAGUUGCUUGAAUUUCUUCACAUCAGCAACAAAGACACUGGCAGAGAUGAUGGGGACGCCAUGUUCCACAAUAUACCAGAGAUUAUUAUCAAUAGCUUGUAGAUGCAUUUGCAUUUUGUUCUUCCAGAAGGGAAAGGUCUUUCCUUUGUAGGUAGGACAUGCUGCACUCACCUUAAACAUGUCUGCAGUCGACAUAACUAAAACUCCAGGUGGUUAAACCAAAAUCACAUAGAACAUGGGAGUACCUUGCUCUGAUACCAAUUGAAAGUGCGUUAUAUCGACUAGAGGGGUGGUGAAUAGGAGAUUUUUAGAAUUUCAUCACUGAGGAAAUUCCUUUUGAGGAAAUUCCUCACUGAUGACUAACUUACAGCGGAACAGUAAAGGAUCAAAAGUGCAAAGUUUCACAACAACAAUUUUUCAGAGUGAAGAAUGUGAAAACAGAUUGCACUGUGAGCAGGCACACAGAAUAUAGAUGAGGAUUAACUGACGUGAGGAAUUUGGGGUUGAGGAAAUUCAGAGAAAGUCUUCAGCAAAUUCUUCAAACAGUCUCAGUGAAAGACAACAACACAUAAUACGAGGAAAGUAAGGAGUUGAGGAAUUAGAACCCGUUUCUCACUGAAGACAGUCGUUGAUGACCCAAUUCCAACUGCUGUGACAGUCGUACAUCUGGUUUGGAGCGGCUUGGUAUUGAAACCAAAGGACACACACUCCCUACCGUAUUCUCCUUGAGCUAAGGACACACAGUCCUCACCCAACACUCGUGGUAAGUCUUCAGGGCAGACUUCCAAACCCUCACAGACUUGGUCACCCGGCGAUCCAUAAUUGACUGCUGGAAAGCUCUAGACCAUGACGCCUAACCGUCUGGAGGAUGCACAGUCCUCAAAGGUAAAAGGCUUUAGUCCCACACAGGAACAACUUCUUGAGUGAUGCUCAAUCACUAGGUUUGGUUUGUGGUUCUGUAUGGGGUAUUUCCUCACUGAUGAAUUACUCUUGAAGACUCUGAGGAAUUGGGUUGCUCUUAUGAAAAGUGUCAGUUUCUAAUGGAGCAGCCAACCAGCUAGUGGUUGUGGGGGUGGCUAUUUAUAGCCUGGGAGCAUCCCGACAUGAUUUGACACUAAUGCUCUUAAAUAAUAUGACCGUUGGAGUGGAUAAGACCAAUGACUUGGCGUGGCUAUCGAAACGGUCGGAACCCUCAACUGUGAGAGUCCUUAUGUCACUCGUAUUCCUCACUUGAGGCUUUUUGGUAGGAUUAGGCUUGGUUGAGCAUCAUGAGGAAAUUCAUUCCAAAGUGUAACUUCGACCCCCUUUAACAGUACGGUGUUCCUAUUACUCAAAUGCGAAGAAAAUAAAACAGAAAGUGUAAAUCUUCAUGCUUCAAAUUCUUCACGGUGAUUUUCUUCAGAACACACCGGACUUCUCAAUAUCAGUAUCUUCAUGAGGAAUAUCAAUUUCAUCGCAGAUUCUUCGCGAUUCAUUUCUUUAGCUUCAGACCAAUUUCUUCAACUGAAGACAUACAUUUUUAGGGGUCGAUAUUCUUCAAAUAUCUCAAACUCCUCAAUGACUUAUAGAUCCUGUGUACACUCACAAACACAUUAGAUACUUAACCUAUAAGUCUUCAAACCACCAAAAUCACUAAGGGGCACUAGAUGCACUUACAACUUGCAUGAUUUUUCUAAAUAGCACAAAAAAUACUAAUAAAAUACUUCAAAAAUGUUCAACAGAGCAGUGUUAACAGGAAACUAGAAUUAUGAGAUUCUCAAUUACCACAAUUAUUUUCUAAUUAUAUUUUGUUAUCUCGUGGCAAUGCACGGGCACUCAACUAGUAAUAGUAGAUGCAGAAAGUAUCGGUCUACUUGUCUCGGACGUGAUGCCUAUAUGUAUGAUCAUUGCCUUAGAUAUCGUGAUGACUUUGCGAGGUUCUAUCAAUUGCUUGACAGUAAUUUGUUCACCCACCAUAAUACUUGCUAUUUUGAGAGAAGCCUCUAGUGAACACUAUGGCCCCCAGGGUCUACUCCACACCAUAUUUUCAGCCUUACACUUUUUACUUCGUUGCACAUUCCACCUUCAGAUCUCACAUUGCAAACAAUCUUGAAGGGAUUGACAACCCCUUUAUAGCGUUCGGUGCAAGCUCUUUUGUGUUUGUGCAGGUACUCUGGACUUGACGAGAUUCUCCUACUGGAUUGAUACCUUGGUUCUCAAUCUGAGGGAAAUACUUACUGCUCAUGUGCUGCAUCACCCUUUCCUCUUCAAGAGAAGAACCAACGGAAGCCCAAGAGACGACAGAAGGAUCUCUGGCACCACUACUAGGGAAGAACUUUUUUUGCCGUAGCAGAAGAAUUUCUCGCACCAUUGCCAGGGAGGAUCAAGUCAAGAACUCAUCCAAGUAAGUGUUGCAAACUCGUCUCUUGCAUUUACCUUUUUUGCCUCUCGUUUUCCUCUCCCACACUUCUGAAAAACAAAAAUUUACAAAAAUAUUUGCCUUUUUCGUUCGCCCUCUUCUUUCGCUUGCUUUCUGUUUGUUUGUGUUGCCAUGUGCCUUCAAUAUGCUUGCAUCGUCACUUGCUGAAAAUCUAUUGAUAUGGAUCCUCACCCACUUGCUAAUCUCUUUAAGAGAUCCACUUAUGUGGAACCAAUUGCUAGUGAGUUGAGUGCACUUGACUUUCUCUAUGGAAUUUUGCUUGAGAUGUGUGAAUCUGAAAGUCGUGAUGAAGAAAUUUAUGAAGUGAUUCACGAGGGCUGCUUGAAUGAAAAGCAUGAUUGCAAUGGUUUCACUAUAAAUCCUAUUAGUGUCAAUCAUGCUAAAAAUAUGCAAAACCCAAAGCUUGGGGAUGCUAGUUUUGCUAUGUCAACUACUUGUUGCAAUGAUCAUGAUUGGGGUAAUGAUUUUUCUUAUGAUCUUGAAAAUUUGUUUAAACCUCAUGAUGAAUAUGAUAUUUGCAAUAUUAUUGAAAGUGGGUUUGGAGAAGUCAUGACAUUAGUUGAUGAUAAUCCCACUAUUUUUGAAGAGCGUCAACUUUGCAUGCAUGUGGAUCAUGAAAAGAAUAUCCUUUGUGAUAGUUAUAUUGUUCAAUUUGAUUUUGGUCCCACAUGUAAUUUAUAUGAGAGAGGAAAAUAUUGUGGUAGAAACUUUCAUGUUACCCAAUUACCUCUUGUUAUGUGGAGAUUGCUAUUGUCUCUUUCUUCUUCCUUGCAUAUGGUGACUAUUGGUUGUCUUGACAAUCUGUUUUCCUAUAAAAUGCCUAUGCAUAGAAAGUAUGUUAGACUUAGAUGUGAUUUUCACAUGCUUUAUGAUGCUCUCGGUGUGCUUCAAUUCUUGUCUUUUGUGUGAGCGUCAUUGAACUAUCAAUGCCUAGCUAAGGGCGUUAAACAAUAGUGCUUGUUGGGAGGCAACCCAACGAAUCUAUCUUUUUCUUUCUGUUUUGUUGCGUCCACACUUUCAUAACUCUGUUGUGAUUGUGUUUUUUGUGUUUAUUUUUGUGUUUGAGCCAAGCAAAACCUUUAUGACUACUCUUGGUAAUGGUUGUUUGAUCCUGUUGGAAAAAGACAAAAACUUUUCGCUCACCAGAUGAUAUUUCAUUUUUAUUCAGAGAGAGCUUUUGAGUUGAUUCGUUUUGCUUCUCGUUGAUAUGCCUUUUUCCCAGGCAGCCGUAAUUUUUAAGAUUUUUUGAGGUACCAGAAGUAUACGAAGUAUACAGAUUGCUACAGACUAGUCUGUUUUUGAAAGAUUCUGUUUUUGUUGAGUUGGUUGCUUGUUUUGAUGAAACUAUGGUUAGUAUCGGGGGGUACUAGCCAUGGAAAAGUGAGAAUGGAGUAGCCCAACACCAAUAUAGAUAGAAUUCAAGUUUGCUACAGUACCAAAAGAAGUGGUAAUUUGUUUUCUUCUUAAGUUUUGUGUUGUGAAGUUUUCAAGUUUUGGGUGAUGUUCUCAUGGACAAAGAUAUAAGGAGUGGAAAUAGCUCAAGCUUGGGGAUACCCAAGGCAUCCCAAGCCAAAUUCAUGGACACCAAAAAGCCUAAUCUUGGGGAUGCCCCAGGAAGGCAUCCCCUCUUUCGUCUUCAAUCCAUCGGUAACAUUACUUGGAGAUAUAUUUUUAUUCACCACAUGAUAUGUGUUUUGCUUGGAGCGUCUUGUAUCUUAGUAGUCUUUUCUUUUGUUGUGUCACAAUCAUCCUUGGUGCACACCUUUUUGAGAGAGAGAUACAUGCACUCAUCGUGAUUUUGCUAGAAUGCUCAUAGUGCUUCACUUAUAUCUUUUGAGCUAGAUACUUUUGAUCUAUGUGCUUCACUUAUACUUUUUAGAGCACGGCAGUGCAUGACUUGGUAGUUGGCUUAUGCUAUGAAAGUAGUCCCAAAUGUGAUAGGUACCCAAAGAGGAUACAAAAACCUCCAUCUUCAUGUGCAUUGAGUAGAAAGAGAAGUCUUGAUUCCUCUCAAUUAGUUUUGAGACGUGGAUUCGGUAAUAUUAAGAGUUAUGUUAGUAGGGUGUUGUGAAUCUAGAAAUACUUGUGUUGAAGUUAGUGAUUCCCGUAGCAUGCCCGUAUGGUGAACCGCUAUGUUAGGAAGUUGGACCAUAAUUGAUCUAUUGGUUGUCAUCCUUUGUGUUGAGGUCGGGAUCGCGCGAUGGUUAACACUUACCAACCCUUCCCCUCGGAGUAUGCGUUUAGCACUUUGUUUCGAUUACUAAUAAAAAUUUCGCAACAACUAUGUGAGUUCUUCAUGACUAAUGUGAGUCCAUGGUAUAGAUGCACUUUCACCUUCCACCAUUGCUAGCCUCUCUAGUGCUGUGCAACUUUUGCCGGUACACAAACUCACCAUAUGCCUUCCUCAAAACAGCCACCAUACCUACAUACUAUGGCAUUUUCAUAGCCAUUCCGAGAUAUAUUGCCUUGCAACUCCCACCGUUCCGUCUGAUGACUUGUGCCGUCACUCUCAUAUUGCCAUUGCAUGAUCGUAAGAUAGCUAGCGAGAUGUUUCAACGUCAUACGCCAUGCUAGAUCGUAGCGCAUCUCGGUACACUACCGGAGGCAUUUCCUAUAGAGUCAUUAUCAUUCUAAGCUUCGAGCUGUGAGUAAAUAAAUGUGUGAUGAUCAUCAUUAUUAGAGCAUUGUCCCAUGUGAGGAAAUUAAAAAAAAGAGGCCAAAGAGCCCAAANNNNNNNNNNNNNNNNNNNNNNNNNNNNNNNNNNNNNNNNNNNNNNNNNNNNNNNNNNNNNNNNNNNNNNNNNNNNNNNNNNNNNNNNNNNNNNNNNNNNNNNNNNNNNNNNNNNNNNNNNNNNNNNNNNNNNNNNNNNNNNNNNNNNNNNNNNNNNNNNNNNNNNNNNNNNNNNNNNNNNNNNNNNNNNNNNNNNNNNNNNNNNNNNNNNNNNNNNNNNNNNNNNNNNNNNNNNNNNNNNNNNNNNNNNNNNNNNNNNNNNNNNNNNNNNNNNNNNNNNNNNNNNNNNNNNNNNNNNNNNNNNNNNNNNNNNNNNNNNNNNNNNNNNNNNNAAAAUAAAAUAAAAAAAGAGGCCUAAGAGCCCAAAUAAAAAAAAGAGAAAAAGAGAGACGGGACAAUGCUACUAUCUUUUUCCACACUUGUGCUUCAUAAUAGCACCAUGUUCUUCAUGAUUGAGAGCUUCUUGCUUUGUCACUACCAUAUGCUAGUGGGAAUCUUCAUUAUAUAACUUGGCUUGUAUAUUCCAAUGAUGGGCUUCCUCAAAAUUUCCCUAGGUCUUCAUGAGCAAGCAAGUUGGAUGCGCGCCUACUAGUUUUCCUUUUGAGCUUUCACAUACUUAUAGCUCUAGUGCAUCUCUUGUAUAGCAAUCCCUACUCAUUCACAUUGAUAUCUAUUAGUGGGCAUCUCCAUAGCCUUUUGAUAUGCCGAGUCAAUGUGAUCAUCUCCUCCUUUUUGUCUCACAACCACCACCACACUCUAUUCCACCUAUAGUGCUAUAUCCAUGGCUCGCGCUCCUGUAUUGCGUGAUAGUUAUAAAAAGUUUGAGAAAGUAAGAGUUCGAAAACAAUUACUUGGCCAAUACUGGGGUUGUGCAUGAUUUACAUUAGUUGUGUGAGGAUGAUGGAGCAUAGCCAGACUAUAUGAUUUUGUAGGGAUAACUUUCUUUGGCCUUGUUAUUUUGAAAGUUCAUGAUUACAUUGCUAGUUUGCUUGAAGUAUUAUUGUUUUCAUGUCAGUAGAAAACAAUUGUUUUGAAUCUUAUAGAUCUGAACAUUCAUGUCACGUGAAAGAAGUUGCAAAGGACAACUAUGCUAGGUAGCAUUCCACAUCAAAAAUUCAUUAUUUAUCCCUUCCCUACUCGAGGACGAGCAGGAGUUAAUCUUGGGGACGCUUGAUACGUCUCCAACGUAUCCAUAAUUUUUGAUGGUUUCAUGCUAUUAUCUUGUCAAACUUUGGAAGUUUUGCAUGCCUUUUAUAUAUUUUUUGGGACUAACUUAUUAACUCAGUGCCAAGUGCCAGCUCCUGUUUUCUCCAUGUUUUUGACCCCUUUCAGAGGAGGAUUUUGAACAGAGUCCAAACGGAAUAAAACUUCUGAAAAUAUUUUUCCAGAACGGAAGAAGAUCAGGAGACUUGAGAACCAAGGCAGGGGGUCCUCAGGGACCCCAAAACCCUCAUGGCGCGGCCAGGGGGGCGAGUCGUGCAGGCUUGUGGGCUCCGUGGGCCACCUCUACCCUAGGUUUUGCGCCGAUAUAUCCCCAAAAAUUCCACAAAAAAUCAGGAGAUCAUCGAAAGUACUUUUCCACCGCCGCAAGCUUCUGUCUCUGCAAGAUCCCAUCUAGGGCACGUUCUGGUGCCCUGCCGGAGGGGGGGUUCGGACACAGAGGGCUUCUUCAUCAACACCAUGACCUCUCCGAUGAUGCAUGAGUAGUUCAUCAUAGACAUACGGGUCCAUAGCUAGUAACUAGAUGGCUUCUUCUCUCUCUUGGAUCUUCAAUACAAAGUUCUCCAUGAUCUUCAUGGAGAUCUAUCCGAUGUAAUCUUCUUUUGCGGUGUGUUUGUCGAGAUCCGAUGAAUUGUGGAGUUAUGAUCAUAUUAUCUAUGAAUCUUAUUUGAGUUUCUUCUGAUCUCUCUUAUGCAUGAUUUCAUAUCCUUGUAAUUCUCUUCGAGUUGUGGGUUUUGUCUAGCCAACUAGAUCUAUAAUUCUUGCAAUGGGAGAAGUGCUUGGUUUUGGGUUCAUACCGUGCGGUGACCUCACCCAGUGACUGAAGGGGUAGCGAGGCACAUAUCGUGUUGAUGCCAUCAAGGGUAAAAAGAUGGGGUUUUCAUCAUUGGUUUGAGAUUAUCCCUCUACACCAUGCCAUCUUGCUUAAGGCGUUACUCUGUUCGUCAUGAACUCAAUACACUAGAUGCAUGCUGGAUAGCGGCCGAUGUGNGAGACGAUAGAAGGAUCCCUGGCACCACUGCCAGGGAAGAACUUUUGUUGCCGUAGCACCAUCCCAGUGCCAUCUUGUGAAGGCAAAAACCCUCCCUAUGUACUAGACAGAGCUGAGGCAUCGGGAAUCCCAUUCCCGUCGAGGGGAGUCAUAUACACAGGCUCGCCGACGGAUAUCGAGGGGAUGAAAGAUUUCCCUAGUGGCCUUGCGAGAGGGGAAAGAACUUCGUCUACGUGUGGAUGGUUACUAUGAUAGUUCAAUUAAUUAUACCAAAAAACACAUAAUUUAUUUUGAGAAACCUUACAAAUGCAGACAUUCACAUACAUGCAUGUACACCAUCCCUUUCGAUGUACACACUCACACUCUACGUCUAUGAACAUUUUGAAGAGAGUGAGCCAGCAGACCUUAUGAUAAAAUGAAAAAUAUUUUUCCCGCACCACUCAAAUGGCAUCCUUAGACAAUUAGUAAUCAAGAAACCUUGUGCUUAAAAUGAAACCAAAAAUAAGGAAAGCUGGAAAAAGGUUGUGUGGCAACCACCCUAUGACAGGAAGGACUGAAACUUCGAGCAGACACAAUGCAUCCGACGGCCACAACCUUUGAAAUAGAUAUGGCAGUGGCUGCAACAAGGCCAUUACCAUGUACAACAAAUAAAGUGUGAGUUUACCAAAACAAUGCCUUCAACAAACCCAUUGCCAGGUAUAACCGAUAAAGGCCUGACCAUUAGUUUUCACCCUCGGAAUCAAAACUCGGUACUCGUGGACCACCACAAAAGGUGAAGUCCUCCAGUGUUGCCACCCCCGCUUGCUGAGACCGCUGUUGCAAGUCACCAAACACCUCCCACAUAGUCUUCAUCGCAUCCAAUAGACCCUUCCAUCAAAGCUUAAGACCUCCAAUCACAACGGCUAUGACUUUCUCCACCUCUAUUCAAGCCUUAGAAAUCAUAACAUAGACAUGUCCCAUGACACCCGUAAGAAAUCGAAGCUUCGCGCCACGCGCUCUCGGCGUUGUGUUUGAUAAUAAUAUUAGCGCGUGCAACAGGAGCCUUUCUGGUCUAGAUAUCUAGGGACGACAAACGUCAUUCUGUAUAGAUCUCUGAGGGGGAAGACCGGAAUGCGUCAGCGAUCAGAUCCAAGAGGUCGACAUUCGGUAGAAAGACAACUAGGCGGAACAACAGUGCACCAUUGUUAGGCCGAACCACACUCACCCGCGUCCAAAGAAAAACGAGCCACUCCGCAUGAGACCAAACGCUUCAGCCACCGUACCGAGCAUCACUCCGCAUGAGGCCAAACACCCCUGAACAACCUCCACCUUAGGCACCCAUGGCGCCAGGUCUCGAAUCCGCUCCCGGUGAGGAACGAGUCAUCGUACGACGUAGCAUCAAGCAGAGACUAUGCAUGCACUCUGGUCUAUUCGAUCCGUAGUGAUCACGAUGUUCAUCUACGUGAUUGCCAUACCACUAAGAGGUCAUGGUUGAUCGCAUCAUUUUGCAGGGUGCUUCAUCAUCAUGAAAUGAAUGAAUACGCAUCUUCCUUUUUGGGAGAAUAGCUCCCAUGCGACGUUUUUGAUGUGUGUUAUCUCUCAUGCGACGUCAUUGGUUGUAAUGGCUCUUAUGCGACAUCUCCCAGUGCAGAAAUAGCUGUCGUGCGACACUGCUGCCUAAUCGAAAGCCACAUGUUUAAAACUCGAAUCAGGUGAGCCCCUACGUAACAAAGCGGGACCCACAGCAUGGGAUCCAGUAACUUAUCCAGCUCAGCAUUGGUACAAGAGCAAUACCGCGACCUUCUCAUCCUCGCCGCGCUCCCCGACCGUUGUUGUUCUUAUUUUCCGGCGACGACGGGCAUCAACGUUGUUCGGGGCCGCGACCUAGCAAUGUCGAGCUCCGCUUCAGCCUCCCACCGCUCAUGGUCGCGCUACGGCAAAGUGCCCAUGACAAGGUGCCCUGCAUGUCCACGGACCGCACCCCUAAAGCGGCUAGUCACAACGACCGACAAGAAUGGCAACCUUGGGCGGGAAUUCGUGAAAUGCGAGAGCAAACAAGAGCAGGGAAAGGUGAUAUUUUACUUCUCAAUGUGCCAAUUUCGGUUUUUGUCCCCCAAUUUCAUAUUUUUCAUCGGAUUUGGGAUUUAGGGUUCAUCUUUGCGAUUUCAGAAAUUGAAGCAAUGCGCCCAUUUUGAGUGGCUAGAUGAGUACAUAGAGCGGAUUCAACUUGAGGGUGCUUCACAGGAGCUCGAUUUACCGUUGGAGGCGGAGAAGUUUGGAUCUGGGGCCCCUGGAUCUGGCAAUUCCAUUCGUGCUACUGUGGGGGAUGCAGCAGGGAUGGCAGAGCUGAAGAAGCUCAAUAAGAAGAUGAAGAAACUAAUCGAAUUGAAGAAGCAGGGCAAUUUGAUGGCCGGAAUUUUUUAUGUUUGUGUAAUUUCUCUCGCAUUUGUUUAUGUGAUGAUAAUUAGUCGUUAGUGAAUAGAUCGGGUAUCAUCUGUAAUCGUAAUGAUAUGGAUGUUUGAAUAAAACUAUUGCGAUGUACGAAUUCGGCAUGUUUUCUCGUCUUCUCCACUCUGUUUCGGCCCCGUUUUUACAGUUCUGCAGUUCGUCGUCAGUUUCAGUUUCGGUGGUAGAGGGAAAAAAGGAAAAAAAAAGGUUCGUCGACAAUUCCCCGAAAAGGCCCGGCCCAUGUAGAAGGUAGGCAGGGCCGAAUAGAACAUAUUCAGGUCCAUUGACAAAAAAGGUGUAGCUAGUGCAAAAAAAAGUGCACACGGUCAUUGACAUCGAUAUAUGCAGGUCCAUUGAUAAAUAAGUUGUAUCUAGUGCAAAAAAAAGUGCACAGGGCCGAAUAGGAAACCAUCGCUUAUUAUAGUACUCCCUCCGUCACAGUUUACAGGGUGCGCUUCAACAAUCUCGCAUGCACUGGUGGAGACCCGGCGAACAGAACUGCAUGCACUUAUUCCAUCCCCCGCAUACAUAUCUGCAUGGAGAGAAAAUUGUGGGCUUUAUCCCCCCCCCCCCCCCCCGCAUGCAGUUAUUCCACCCCCCGCAUACACAUCUACAUGGAGUUAAACCAAACACGUCUAAAAUCUCUACGUGCCUAGGUUGCAGUGCACCUUCUAAUAAGACUAAUGCACUAAAACGGAGGGAGUAUCAUUUGACCGCACACAAGAAUAAUAUGACUAAUGCAUAUAAUAUGACUUGCAUGUCAUAUACUCCCUCCGUUUCUUUUUAGUCCGCAUACAAGAAUGUGCACCGAAACGGAGGGAGUAUCAUUUGACCGCAUACAAGAAUAAUAUGACUAAUGCAUAUAAUAUGACUUGCAUGUCAUAUACCCCCUCCUUUUCUUUUUAGUCCGCAUAUAAUAUGACUAAUGCAUAUAAUAUGACUUGCAUGUCAAAGUCAAAGUUAGCCUCGAAAAGCGCAUUUGGGGAGUAGGUUGUUAUGGUGUUUUCAAAGUUUGUGCAAUGGUGUUUUCGAGCAGUUCUCUGUCGUUUCUAUCGGGAGACAUUAAUAUAUUGCAUAAUGCAUAAAACAUUGAUAUGUUCCGAGUAGGUUGUUAGGGUUUAGGGUUUAGGUUUAUGUGAAAAAUGUUCUUCCCUCCUCACUCAUGGUUCUCCGGCAAAGAUAGUGACAAUCCAAACAGCCCCUAAUAUAGUGCAUAAUGCAUAAAACAUAAAACAUAAAACUAGAUAGAAAUAUUACGAUAAAACAUAAAACAUAAAAUAUAAGGGGCAUCAGGUACCCUAGUAGCAUACAACAUAUAAAAAUACUAGAUAAAAUAUAAAAAGACGGUCACACACGCCCCAACUACUAGAUAAAAAUAUAAAAACACUCCUCGGCCAGCAGAAGACUCCUCGGCCAGCAGAAGUCUCCUUGGCCCCUCCUUCGUCGGCGCCCCUCACUCGCUGUUCUCCGGGGGUGGCAUCUGGUAGGGGAGGGCGUGCAUGUCGUUGGGCUCGGGGAAGAUGUGGUGGAAGUUGGUGAAGAUGUUGUAGGUGGUGAACGCGAUGAACUCGCAUCCACACCAAAACACCUGGCCGAGGAGGUGGUACGUGUCGUAGCGGUUGGGGAAGGUGACGUAGAGGCCGAUGACGAAGCCGUUGGGGUUCCCAUCGACCUGCUCGUGGAGGUGGAACAUGGGCGGAGUGCCCGGAGGGAGGUUGCGGUAGCCGGCGUGGAGGAAGAAGCUAGCCAACUCUCUAGGGCCCCUCCACCUUGAGAUGGCCCAGAUCCUCUGGCCAUUCUCGACCACUUCGCCGGGCGGGAACUAUCUCUCCGGCACGGUGCGAGGGCGACGGUAGGUCCGGCCGUUGAAUUGCAUCGUGGCUCGAGUGCGGGUUGGAUUUCGCUCGGAAAGAAGAAGAGGAGGAGGCUUGAGAGGUGAGUGUGAGAGGGAUGAGGAUAUGGUGCCCUUUUAUAGCCCCGUUGCAGCCGUAGUCAAUGUACACGAUUGAUCAUUUUCUCUCCUCCGCGUGGUGGAAUAAUUAAUGGGCGUGCAAAAAAAGGCAGAGCAUCCAAAAAGGCACGGGCGGCACAGGCGAGAUGCUUCGUUUUUAAUUGCCGUGAAAACUGUGUCACCAACGCGUCCGUCCCGUGUUCUGAGGUUCGUGCAUGCAAUUGUUAAAAACAGCUUAGAUGCGAUGUACCGCUGCGCCCGUGCCGCCCGUUUUAAUGCGUUGCUGCAUGGCGGCUAGACUGUGUUCAUUUGGCAGAAUAGCUAGGUUGCGACACCGUUGCAUGGCAUGCAGGGUGGCCCAUCUCGCUGCGACGCACACCAGGCUCUGCCGGGCCGAUCCGCUCGGCCCAACGGUCACUGAGAUGCUCCCCCGCUCAACGUUAUCCGCUCGGCCCAACGGUCACUGAGAUACUCCCCCACACCCGUGGCCUAUCCGACGGCCGCAGUUUGGCAUUAGGGUUAGAUCGACGGUGGACAUUUCGCGUUAGGGUUAGAUGGGAUUUGGAGGCAGUCAACGGGGUUUUGAAAGGUUUGACCGAACAUUCAAAUAUGUGUAACUAAUUCAAAAAAAAUCUAAAAAAUGAAAAACCAGCGCAUAUAGUCUUGUUAUGUUACGUAGUUAUGAUAUAAAAUGAUAAACUUGAUGUAAUGAUCUUUGCAUAAAAAAACCUUCACAAAUUGGACUAUCGCGACUGAGGUUGCAUAGAGUUCAAAAGAGUGAGAAGAGGGUUUUAGGUUUUGAAAAUUCAAAAAAACAGAAACCCUCACCUUUUAGCUUCAUUUUGGAGUGACUAAGCACGAUGUGAAGUUAUUUUUGCAUUUUGAAAUUUUUAAACUUGUUGGUGACUUUGUAUUAAAGGGUGUUUUUCAAAGAUAAAUUAAUAAUAUGAAUACUUAUUCAAAAAAAGGUGAGACUUCGUAUUGAUCAUAUAUAGGUAUAAUAUAAGCGAAGACAAUCUUUUUGGGUGAUUUUGAGAAGGUGUUAGGGUUAGAUGGGGUUUGCAGGAAGUCAACAUGGUUUUGAAAGGUUUGACUGAACAUUCAACUAUGUGUAACUAAUUCAAAAAAAAAUCUAAAAAAUGAAAAACCAGCGCAUUUAGUCUUGUUAUGUUACAUAGUUAUGAUAUAAAAUGAUAAACUUGAUUUAAUGAUCUUUGCAUGAAAAAACUUUCACAAAUUGGACUAUCUCGACUCAGGUUGCAUAGAGUUCAAAAGAGUGAGAAGAGGGUUUCAGGUUUUGAAAAUUAAAAAUAUCACAAAACCUCACCUUAGCUUCAUUUUGGAGUGACUAAGGAGGAUCUCAAGUUAUUUUUUCAUUUUAAAUUUUUAAACUUUUUUUGUUGCUGACUUUGUAUUAAAGGGUGUUUUUUCAAAAAUAAAUUAAUAAUAUGAAUACUUAUUCAAAAAAAGGUGAUACUUCGUAUUGAUCCUAUAUAGGUAUAAUAUAAGCUAAGAAAAUCUUUUUGGGUGAUUUUGAGAAGGUUAAAAAAAGCGUGCUUAGAAAUGGGGUCGUUUUCCCUUACUUUGGAGCCUGUUUGGACAACAUUUUCAGUGACUAUGAGUUGGACUUCGCAAAAAGGGUUGGAUUUAUGAACUAAAGUGCAUAGUAGUAUAUAAAAAAUUGAAACAUCACAAAACAAACAAAUGAACUCCAAAAAUAUUGGAGAUAGGUUCAAAUUUGAAUGUCGGUUCAAAUUUGAAUUUUAUUUUCAUGUCAAAUCAACAAAAUAGCACAGAAGUUUUACAUCAAAGAACAUAAGUUUUCACAUCAAAUGACAACAAAUUUAAGUUUUCAAAUCAAAUCACAUCACAUUUGAAUAAUUUCGACUCUAUUUCUUUUGCUUCUUUCUACCACUCGAUUUCUUCUCCUUUUUUCCACUGUUUGGUUCCACGGCGCACAGUUUGUUGAUGCUGAUACAUUUGGUAUUCUUGCCAACAACUCCACUAGGCCCCCUCAACUUUUGCACCUGACCAUGUCCCACUUCUUCAGUUUGCACUUCUGCAGAUUGAGUAGAUGGCACACAUUGUUCAACUUAUUCAGUUUGCAACUCAACAAUUGGCAGCACAACCUCCAAACAUGGCAACACAGCUGUCAAAGCAGAUUUAGUAACAGUUUCAGUUUGCAACUCAACACUUGGCAGCACAAUCUCCAAACAUGGCACAACAUCCACGCAUGUCAGCACAACAGUUGCUUCAUCUGCAACAGUUUCAGAUUGUCCUAGCGCCUGCAAAAAAGAUUCAGUAACAGUUUCAGUUAGCUCAUGUUCAGCAGUAACAGUUUCAGUUUGCUCAUGUUCAGCAGUAACAGUUUCAGUUAGCUCAUGUUCAACAGUAACAGUUUCAGCAGUAAUAGUUCUCUUCCUUCUAAAGCCAUUGAGUCUUGCUUUUUUCACUGGCCAGCAUUGUUCAACAACAAGAGGUGGGCCUUUUUCUGCACGCUUCCUCCUAAGAUAUAAAGCAUUUCACUUGGUUAGAUCCUAGAACAAGUAGCAAAAUCAAAACUUGCAAAAACAGUAACAUAAAAAUACUUUGGCCUCUGAGGAGUGUAGAUGCAUUUGGAUGAACCAAUUCAGUGCCCAAGUACCUCACACAACUUGCACCUAUUUUUGUUACCUUGUUGAGCCCUUUUGGGAUUUUCAUUCUUUUCCUUUUCCCCUUCCUACUACAACCACCUUUCUCAAACCAAUCUUUGAAUCUGCUCUGUUUUGGCCUCCCAACCUUUCUUCUAGUGACAGGGGACACAAGGUAAAUUCUAUUUCCACCUCAGGCCACUGAGAUUGGUCAGUCAGUGCAGGAAUCUGACUUGGAUAUGCAGCUUUGGAUUUUUGUACUGAAUAAUACUCAUGCAAAUAGGGGUGCAUAUUUAACCUGGGUUUAGAUGCCAAAAAAAGUAUUGCAUGCUCACAUGGUUUUCCAGUGUGUUGCCACUCUUGGCAAGUGCACUCAUGCAACUCAGUAUUUACCACGUGCCUCUUGUCACUCUUUGUAUCUCUAACUUCUGCACCCCACAAGGAAGAUUUCUCAAUAGAUAGAUGUGAAAGAUUUCUACUCUUGUUGACCACCUGUUGUACCACUGCUGGAAGCUUGUCCCCUUCCAAAAUAUUAGCAAUUUUUCCUCUCAACUCCCACAAAUGCAUGAUCAUGAUCCUUAUUUGGCCCACCAUGUCAUGCACAGGCAAGUCUUUCAAAUCCUUCACUUUGUGGUUAAAACUUUCUGCCAAGUUGUUAUUGAUAUGAUCACAUUUUAUGGCAGUAUUAAAACCUGAUCUGUACCACAACAGAGAAUGGUGGUUGUUCAACCAUGAAGCAAAUUCAUUAUCACUACAUGAUGUCAAUAUCUUACCAAGGUGAUAGGAAUGUGUCUCUCCGGUGUACGAUCUUGCUGCCGGCCACAUGCGCCCAAAUCCAUCUACGCAAGGCUUCAAACACAUAAAAAACUUGCUGAAAAAACCUUGCCAUCCUCUGUUACCUCUGUAUCCAUCUCCACCACGCUUCUAGGUGACCUCUUCUCCACCUCUGCUUUAAAACUAUACAACAUCCUAAAUGUAUUUUCCCAGUCACCAUACAAUGAUUUCAUGGCCCUUUGUUUUGCUUUCCACACUAUGGUAUAUUGCAGUUGGAUGGGGUAUAGCUUCUCCAAGUCAACUUUAAGCCUCUUUGUAGUACUGUUUGGAGUCUUGGCUAAAAUAGGAGUAAUCUUCUCUGUAAUCCAAAGUUGUGAUGUCAUCUUUGAAACUCUCUGUGAAGUGGUCAUACAUGUAUGCUCGUGUGGUAUUUGAUUUACCGUUACUCUACUUCCAUCAGGUUGUAGUCUGGCAGAUAUGUACCAUUUGCAAGCAUUGCCACCACCAUCAUAACCUUUGCACCGAGCAUAAAAUUUCUUUCGAUCAGUCCACAUAUUCUUGGCCUCGAACUCUUUUUUCACUGCAUAGGUCCUGAAAGACAUCCUAAACUCAACCAUGCUUGGCCACAACUUUCCCACCUCAAUAACUGGGUUCUCUUUGUCAGACAAACAAACCAGCUCAUUAUCAUUUGUAUCAUCCACAUCAUCUGCAGCCAUUCUCAUCAGCUCUUGUUCAUCCUUAUUUGCAUUUCUAGGCCCGUGUUACCACCAGCAGGCAAAGAAUUGUCAUCCUUCUCCUUAUCUUUGUCAUCAACUUGAAUGCCAAACAUUUCAACCAUAUCAAUGUCAGAUAUUGGUGCAAUUACCAAAUCUGUUUUUUCAUUGGACUCUACUACAUUCCAGUCAACAACAAUCUUCCUAGCACCAUGGGUUCCCUCCUCUCCAUCUGCAUCAAUCCCUGUAUCAUCAUCUAGUACAGUCGGUUCAGUCAACAAUGCCAACAUACUAUUCUUUUGUGAAACCCACACAUCAUCUUCCAACUGUGCAGCCAUCUUUGAUGGCACAUAACCAACUCUGGAAUUAGUUUGCAGAUCAAUUAGCUCUGCAUAAAAUGUUACUUGUUUGCAUGCCCACCGUUCUUGCUGAUCAAUUUCAGCAACCAUGGAUUCUCCAUCUUCAAUUCUAACAUAUUCACCAUAAUAGUUGUCGAAACGUUGCAGAGAUAUCUCUUGUUCUGGACCCCAAACAAUACUCUCCCCAAUUCUCUCCACCAAAUUUCCCACGGCCUUCUCCUUCAUGCCCUCUAAGUCCUGGGGAUCAACAUCUGCACUUCGACAUCCAACCUCACGGAGGUAUCUCUAUAAAUGUCUUGGACACUGCCAUCACUAAGCUUGGUUUUACAGGAAAAAAUGCACUAUAAUUGCGAAUGUGGUGGUAGAACCAGAACCUCCCCUGUUUUGUCAAUGGCGGGCAGCGGCAGUGUAAGACGGUCACUAUCAAAUCGAGUUUGAUAACAGCUAAAAGAGAAAAGAGGGAGGGGCGGCAUUACCGAUUUGAAGCACUGUCUCCUCGCUCCAUCUAAUUCAGCCCACGCGCUCCUAUCCAAUCGAGAUUCUAAAUCGCCAAGAAAUAGAGCAUGAGGCCACAGAUCUAUCCAAAAAUCUGGGGAUUGGGACUAGGGUUUCGAAAAUACUCACUCGCAAUAGAUCUGCCGCUGCCGAGACAGGCGCUCCACCACCGCGAAGAAGAAACUGCUACCUCUGCCGGAGAAGAUGCACACGGCGGCGCUGCUCGCCCAGUCGUGCACGAUCGAGUCGAGUAUGGUCAGACAGUCACCGAUCGAGUAGUGGACGGUUGACUCUUGACGACGUGGCCGUAGGUGGACCCCACCAGUCAAAGCACAUUCCUAACCAAAUCUCAGCCUAACUAACAGCCAGCCAGCCCCGUAAACGGGUUGAGUUGCUUAAGCUAUUUCUGCGCUGGAAGAUGUCGCAUGAGAGCCAUUACAACCAACGACGUCGCAUGAGAGAUAAUUCAACUCAACGACGUCGGAUGGGAGCUAAUGGCCCCUUCCUUUUUUGUGGGCUAGAUUCAACGAUGAUACAAAAUCAUGAUGGACUCACCAUACGUAAUUUAUGAGUUCACUCGGGACGACAUGGACAGAGCAAAAUGGACAACAGAGGAUUCUAAAACUUUAGCUAUGGAUUAAAACAAAGUCUUACCUUGCUUGGACACCCAAUUAAGUAGCAUUUCUACUCACAAAAAAAAAAGCAUUUCCAACACUUUUGUAGUCCAAUGAAUAAUUGUGAAUAAAACAUAUAAAAGGUCAUGAUGACACACAUCACACAUGCAGCAAAUAUAUGUUAAUUACCUGCAUGAAAUGUUAUAAAAUGAAGCACCAAAGUUUACAAGCAAGCAUAAUUGGUUGACAAGUUUGUAUUAUAUAAAAGUGGAUAAAGGAUGUACGAUUAACAUUCGUCGUGCCUGUGCCACUGAACCUAAAUCGCCCAUCAACAAAGGAACUUCUUCGUGCACCUUUGAAGCGUUACCCGUCGGAAUAUGAAGCGAAAAGAAUAAUAGAGUACAUGCAAGGCUGGAAAAGGAUUUGUGGCAAUCCCACAUUGACACGGACGACUGAAAUUUUCGGCACACACAACGCAUCCAACGGCCAUGCCUCUUACACUAAUCCGGGGAGAUAAGGAAACCAGGCAACCAACAAACGCCAGCCACCCCUUCCACAUCUUGAUUAAAGAUAGGAGCUCACAUGGCUAUAUAUACCGUGGUGAACAGGCAAUGGGGGCCUCAAGUGUAGCCGGCAUCCUCCUCUCUACAGUUAAUACAGUACCAUGGCCCCCGCCGUGAUGGCUUCGUCGGCUACCACCGUCGCACCCUUCCAGGGGCUCAAGUCCACAGCUGGUCUCCCUGUCAGCCGCCGCUCCAGCGCCAGCCUCGGCAGCGUCAGCAAUGGCGGAAGGAUCAGGUGCAUGCAGGUAUGUCGGGGCACAAAACUGAUAUGAGUUUCUUCCACAUUACAAUUACUGCACUUAGCAGUUACUAGCACUAAGUGUUAAGCGUUCCAUAAUUUCCAAUCAUUCAGGUGUGGCCGAUUGAGGGUAUCAAGAAGUUCGAGACCCUGUCUUACUUGCCACCCCUCACCACGGAGGCCCUCCUGAAGCAGGUUGACUACCUGAUCCGCUCCAAGUGGGUGCCCUGCCUCGAGUUCAGCAAGGUUGGCUUCGUCUUCCGUGAGCACAACAGCUCCCCCGGGUACUACGACGGCCGAUACUGGACAAUGUGGAAGCUGCCUAUGUUUGGGUGCACCGACGCUACACAGGUGCUUAACGAGGUGGAGGAGGUCAAGAAGGAGUACCCUGACGCUUACGUACGUAUCAUCGGCUUCGACAACCUGCGGCAGGUGCAGUGCGUCAGCUUCAUCGCCUUCAGGCCACCGGGUUGCGAGGAGUCCGGCAAGGCAUAAACUACGAGGUGAAAGAAUGGCCUAUGUCGUAUGAAGGUCNGCAAGGCUGGAAAAAGGAUUUGUGGCAAUCACACAUUGACAUGGACGACUGAAAUUUUCGGCACACACAACGCAUCCAACGGCCAUGCCUCUUACACUAAUCCGGAGAGAUAAGGAAACCAGGCAACCAACAAACGCCAGCCACCCCUUCCACAUCUUGAUUAAAGAUAGGAGCUCACAUGGCUAUAUAUACCGUGCUGAACAGGCAAUGGGGGCCUCAAGUGUAGCCGGCAUCCUCCUCUCUACAGUUAAUACAGUACCAUGGCCCCCGCCGUGAUGGCUUCGUCGGCUACCACCGUCGCACCCUUCCAGGGGCUCAAGUCCACAGCUGGUCUCCCUGUCAGCCGCCGCUCCAGCGCCAGCCUCGGCAGCGUCAGCAAUGGCGGAAGGAUCAGGUGCAUGCAGGUAUGUCGGGGCACAAAACUGAUAUGAGUUUCUUCCACAUUACAAUUACUGCACUUAGCAGUUACUAGCACUAAGUGUUAAGCGUUCCAUAAUUUCCAAUCAUUCAGGUGUGGCCGAUUGAGGGUAUCAAGAAGUUCGAGACCCUGUCUUACUUGCCACCCCUCACCACGGAGGCCCUCCUGAAGCAGGUUGACUACCUGAUCCGCUCCAAGUGGGUGCCCUGCCUCGAGUUCAGCAAGGUUGGCUUCGUCUUCCGUGAGCACAACAGCUCCCCCGGGUACUACGACGGCCGAUACUGGACAAUGUGGAAGCUGCCUAUGUUCGGGUGCACCGACGCUACACAGGUGCUUAACGAGGUGGAGGAGGUCAAGAAGGAGUACCCUGACGCUUACGUACGUAUCAUCGGCUUCGACAACCUGCGGCAGGUGCAGUGCGUCAGCUUCAUCGCCUUCAGGCCACCGGGUUGCGAGGAGUCCGGCAAGGCAUAAACUACGAGGUGAAAGAAUGGCCUAUGUCGUAUGAAGGUCUUUUGUGAACUUCACUUUUGUCCACGACUCUGCUUUCCGACCAGAGCAUAAUUUUCUUCUCUAUGAUCUGUGUAUGUACGAGCAUAGGUUGUGGAGCAUAUAUGCAUAUGUAAAUUCUAGCACCGCCUACACAUAUACAACACCUGUGUCAUAUUUAUAAUAUAUACAACAAGCGGACCAUUGUCUUGCUGUUAAUUAUCGGAAAAGUUUAUUUUAUUUAGCACUGCAAUGGAUGUCUCACAGCUAGUGGGUGGAAGAUUUCAGUAUUUGACAUUAAGACCCACUGAUUGACAAUUGCAAUUUUCAGUUUCUUUACUUAUAUCAAUAACAAAAUAAUUGUGGUAUCUUUUCCAUGUCACUACCAUCAUUUUCAUCGGUUUUUGCUAGUAGAAUAGGAUGACACAUAUUCUUAGUAGAGACACUUACUAAAGAACGUGUGAUGGUCUGGAUAAUAAGCAUCUAACUGACUAGAUAUAGCAACAACAUUCGAACCAUAUUAUGGAUCUAUUGGAAUAAAUCUCGAACAUGCAUUGCAUGAGCUCCUUGAGAAGGAUUGUAAUCAUGCUAGUGAAAAUCAAGAAAAAAAACUCGGAUUUCUGUAAGUACUAUGGAGCAACAGCUCCACCGUCCUUUAUUCCAUGAAAACAAAAGCAGGCAAGAAAUAUUUACAAAGGGAACAAAGGAAAAAGAAAAAAACACUUACCUACUUACCUAUUUAUCUAAUGGAGGUUAGAGCAACCUCAACCGGACGAUCCAAAUGAAUGUGUGUUUUGCCCACGUUCUGACCGUUUGGGACGGCAUGUCCGCCCUGUUUUUCUUUUGGGUCGGCCGUGUGCCCAAGCGCCGACCAUCUUUCGUUAGCACGACAGGCUUGCAGGCAUUUUUUGAUCGCUUUGUCAUGUAUGUAUACAAUUUGAUCCUAUAUUAACAAAGUUAUGUAAAAAUACAAAACGUUUCAUAGUUCAGACACCACAUAAAUAUCUCAUACACUAGUAGAGAAAUGAGCUAUAGUCCCGGUUGAACACGACCUUGGACUAAAAGUCCCACCACGUGGCAGCAAGUGCGCUGGGGGUGGGGACCUUUAGUCCCGGUUGGUGACACCAACGAGGACUAAAAGGCAGCCAUGCGCUAGCACUGCUAAGCCCUGUGGUUUAUGUUUUUUNNNNNNNNNACACAUAUUGAUAUAAAACAUCAGUACAAAUUUUGGAAGAACGACAUCCAACAUCAAUACAAAUUAGAUGGAUGCAAGAGACCAAGUUGAAUUAGAGGAAAACACGAUGUUGCGAAUCGCAACAUGGUGUUUUCCUCUAAUUCAAUUUGGUCUAUUGCGUCCGUCUAAGGAAGGAUCGUCGUGCCGCUGAGAUGGUUGGCCGGUAGCUCGCUGGAUCUCAAAUUCCUCUAGUUUCGCUAAUCUUGCAGUGAGCUUCUGCAUUUCGGUUGCUUACUCUUUUUCUUUCUCUGUCGGCUUCUAUAACCAUCGCUUCGGGAAACCCAUGCACCGACGGAACAGAGCAUGAUUUGCCUCGUGUUCGUCUAGGGUGUUCGGGAUUCCCGAGGGCCUUUGUCAGCUCGUCCUUCUCUCUAUGGGGAAUGAUAGUUCCUUCCCGCGCUGCCUUGAAUGCAUCCUCAAGCUUGGUAAUGGGUAUUGCAAGUAAUUCGUUCGUCCAAACACACUUCCUUGAUUCUGGGUCCAAAGUUCCCCAAACCCCGAAGAACCAAGUCCUUGACCGAUCUGGCCAGUGCAAUGUCACUAGUUGGAACCCUUCAGCAAGCAGGUCUUGCUCAACAUUGUCCCACAACGGCCGGGCUUUGCUGUCGCCACCUGACCCCGUGGUAUGGUGAUACUUCUUCAAUGCAUCAUUUUUCUUGUUUGUCUCUGACCUUUGCUUACACUUGUUCGAUUUCUUGUAGGCCACAAAUGCGGUCCAGUGAUCUCUGAUCUUCUUGUAUUGACUGACGAACUCUAGAGUUUCGUCUUUCUCGAAAAACUUUGUGUUCAAAUGUUUCCUCCAGUUUUUCAAUAGUUCUGGCAUCUUCUUAAGAGCAAACGCCUUGACCUUUCUCUCUAUAACUUUGUUAUUCGGAUCCUCCCCAGGCGGUAGGCUGAAAUUUGUCAUCAGCGAGGUCCAAAGAUCAUCUUUCAGUCUAUCAUGGACAUACGAAACUUCAGGGUCCUUCUUCUUAUUCCAUUUUGUGGAUUGUGAUUGGGACGCUGUCCCUAACAAGAACUCCGCACUGAUGUACAAAUGUGUUCUUCGUCCACGUGGGAGCAAUCGGUUGGCCAUUUUCCGCGACUUCUGUGAUCGUGAACCUUUCAUCGUCGCACAACCUUUUCUUCGGGCCUCGUCUCGUUACGGAAGUUUGGCUCGAUCCAGAGGGAUAAAAGAAGAAAGAAGCGUUCAUAUAUGUACAUACCAAAACAAUUAAUGCAUCAAGUCAGCACAUGCUUAAUUAAUAUAUAUGAAUAUAUAUAGAUAUACCAUGGCGUACUUUGCAAUAGUUAAGGAUCCCUCCUCUGUUCGGUCACCGGAGCCGUCACCAUGAUCUCCUUCCUCCGACAUUCAGUCACCAGAGCCGUCAUGACCUACUUCCUCCUCCAUUGUUGGAUCACCGGAGCCAUCAUCCUGUCCUUCUUGACCAUCGGUGUCGUUGAGAAACGACAAGGGAUCACCUCCGUCACAGAUUAUAUCCGCCAACAUCUCUUCUUGUUCCAAGUCUCUUUCCAUAGUUUCUGCAAAUAUUACAACAUGGCAAUAUACAAACAUGCAUGAGAGAUGGAUUAGUGGAAAAGAUGGACUUAAUAUCACAAGAAGGAAUCAUAUGCAUAUGAGCAAUAGAUUAGUGGCGAACAUCGUCGAGGACUCCUCCCCCUCAAGUCUGAUGAGUCGUCCUAUAUAUCUUUCGAGUGAGGAUACUUUGCGGACCGCCUCUCUCAUGCACGUCCGAUGUCCCCCCUCAUGUCGAAGUUAUCGGGGUUAUACUUUCAGGAGAGUACACUAUAUAUUAUUAUACAUAACAACUACGAGUAGAGGCGGGAGGGGGUAGAUCGACAAUGACGCUCUUUCUUCUAGGGUUUGGGUGACCUCGAUAGUUGGUCGGGCGAGCGGACCGCCUCUUUGUUAUGUAUGUGAGACGUCCCCCCUCAUGUUGUCAUUCUAGUAUUGUUUCACUAUUUUAGUAAAAAAGAGAUUUGUAAAUUUUUAUUCAUACUUCAUGCUGAAUGGAUUUGUUCUAGUUCUUCUCAUUUCUUGUUGGGCUUUCGCACCUGCUUUUUUCCUAUUAAGAAUAUAUCAACUAUAGGAAUGGGAGCGUCACAUUUACCUUUAAAAAAAUAGCUUCACAUUUUCAUUUCAAAAAAGGACUUGUUAUCAUGUCUCUGGUGCAUAGACUUAUAGACAAAAUGAAUACAAGAUUUAUAUUAAGAAUACAAGACUUUCUAUUAAGAAUACACAACAUUAAUUCUUUGGAAGGCAGUGAAGAAACCUCUAUUUUCCCUCCAGUGCGAAGGGCUUAUUUCGUACAUAUGGUUUAUAUGUUGCAGGGAACAGUUCCAUCAUGGUGACGGUGUAAUUUCGAUCAACCUUACAAAAUGGAAAUAGCCAGUACAGUGGAUGAUAAUUUAGCCUUGAUUACUAAAGGGUACCGAGCUAUGAGUUACAAGUAGGCAUGCAGUGAGCCCUCUUUGAUCUCCUUAAUUAUUUUUUGCUUUUUCACGUGUUUAUGUCGCUGCAGUGGAGAGCACGACUGUAAAAUAUCUUAUGUGUAUACCCAAGCAUGGAUCAGACAACUUAACCUAUCCAUCACAGAUCACUGCGACUAUGGCAUGUGGAUGGCCAAGAUUUAUACACAAGAUGAAUAUAAGAUGAAUACACAAGAUGAACUAGAGGAUAAUGCUUUCCUCUCAAUUCUUUACAUUAGCUCGGAAUAAAAAUAUCACAAAUGAAAAUUUUGUAAUAAUUUCUUUAGGUUUCAGAAUUUGCAAAUUUCUCUAACUUUGAUAACGAAAUAUGCCUGAAGCAGUACCAUGUGAAUAUUAUGAGCAUAAUCAUCCUCAAGCACAAAAAGAAUGCCGCACAAUAUUGUAACCGAAAGAAAACGGCGGAGUCAACCAGCAAAGUGGCGGCGCGAGCGGCAUUGGGGACGGGGUCAGCGUCGGCAUCGGGGUGGGGCAGCAGCNGUGGCGGUGCCGGUGACGACAUCAGGGUCGGCGAAGAGGAGGGGAUCGGGGCGACGCUCACAACAACGAGGCAUCGGCGACGGUGUCGGGGAAGGGCUCGGCAACGGCGUGCGUCGGGGAAGGGCUCAGCGACGGCGCAUGUCAGGGAAGGACUCGGCGACGUCGUUGGUCGGGGAAGGGCUCGGCGAUGGCGAGCUCCGACAGCCUCACAUCGUCGUGGUGUUGUGUUUGACGUGGGGGAGAGAUUGAAACUGAGACCGAAACUGCCAAGUCCUGCCUUAUAUACACACACCUUUAGUCCCGGUUGGUGGCUUCGACCGAGACUAAUUAAAGGCCCCCCUUUAGUCACGGUUCAAGCCACCAACCGAGACUAAAGCUGAAUUUCAAAGGCCCAAGUGCGCGAAACCGCGAGUCCUUUGGUCCCGGUUGGUGGCUCGGACCGGGACUAAAGGGGGUCCUUUAGUCCUAGUCGAAACCACCAACCGGGACUAAAAGGCUGCUCCUGGAACUAGCGCAGGGUGGUGGAAGUUUAGUUCCACCUCGCCAAGCGAAGGGCGCUUGCAGUGGUUUAUAAGCCCUCCUACGGCUUACCUCUCCAGCUCCUCUCUAUUGCAAGCAGUACAUGCCUAACACUUUCUGUGCCCUGUUGGGCCUAAUUACCCCGUGGGCCUGCAUCCUGGCCCAAGUAUAGUUGGGUUCCUAGUCGUAUGUAGGCCAUGGUGGCCUAUUAGGAGGGCAUUUUCUUUAUUUUUUGCAAAAUUAUAUUUUGAUCAUAACCUGAGGUUUACAAAAGCUUUUUAGUUGAUUCUUUUUGUUAUUGAAGAAUAUUAUAGUUUUGUUUUAGUUGAUCACAACAAAAUAUUUUAAUUGAUUCUUUUUAGUUGAUUCCUUUUGCUAUUAGAGUUUUAUAAAAGCUUUUUAGUUUGCUAUUAAAGUUUCUAACAAAAAAUACUUUAUGAAAAUUCCUUGAGUUUGUGGUAGCAACCAACUAAAUACUUAGAGUNNNNNNNNNNNNNNNNNNNNNNNNNNNNNNNNNNNNNNNNNNNNNNNNNNNNNNNNNNNNNNNNNNNNNNNNNNNNNNNNNNNNNNNNNNNNNNNNNNNNUUGGGCUUGCGUUGGUUCUUCCCUUGAAGAGGAAAGGGUGAUGCAGCACAGGAGCAGUAAGUAUUUCCCUCAGUUUGAGAACCAUGGUAUCAAUCCAGUAGGAGAAUCUCGUCAAGUCGAGAGUACCUGCACAAACACAAAAGAGCUUGCACCCAACGCUAUAAAGGGGUUGUCAAUCCCUUCAAGAUUGUUUGCAAAGUGAGUUCUGAAGGCGGAAAGUGCAACGAAGUAAAAAGUGUAAGGCUGAAAAUAUGUUGUGGAGUAGACCCUGGAGGCCAUAGUGUUCACUAGAGGCUUCUCUCAAAAAAGCAAGUAUUACGGUGGGUGAACAAAUUACUGUCGAGCAAUUGAUAGAACCGCGCUAAGUCAUGACGAUAUGUAAGGCAAUGAUCAUACAUAUAGGCAUCACGUCCGAGACAAGUAGACCGAUACUUUCUACAUCUACUACUAUUACUCCACACAUCGGCCGCUAUCCAGCAUGCAUCUAGUGUAUUGAGUUCAUGACGAACAGAGUAACGCCUUAAGCAAGAUGGCAUGGUGUAGAGGGAUAAUCUCAAACCAAUGAUGAAAACCCCAUCUUUUUACCCUUGAUGGCAUCAACACGAUAUGUGCCUCGCUACCCCUUCAGUCACUGGGUGAGGUCACCGCACGGUAUGAACCCAAAACCAAGCACUUCUCCCAUUGCAAGAAUUAUAGANNNNNNNNNNNNNNNNNNNNNNNNNNNNNNNNNNNNNNNNNNNNNNNNNNNNNNNNNNNNNNNNNNNNNNNNNNNNNNNNNNNNNNNNNNNNNNNNNNNNCUAUGAUCUCUAAGUUGUCAUUGCAAACAUGGUUCUCUCACAACAAAGUUGAAUCUAGGUCGAUAAGCUAGUCAUAUUUACAAAAACAAAAUAGAUAGAGUUCAUACCAGCUUUUCAGUCUCAGUCACUUCAUCAUAUAUCAUCAUUGUUGCCUUUCAUUUGCACGAUCGAACGAUGAGAACGAUAAUAAGCGCAUUGGACUAAGCUGAAUCUGCAGGCAAACACAAAGGAGAUGACAAAAUAAUAUGGCUCUUUGAAAGCUAAACAGGUAAGCAUGCAUGAACAAAUAAACAUUGUAACCAAUAUAUUCUACCUUGACACAAAGAAAAAGAAAACUAUUUACACGGGAAAGCUCCCAACAAGCAAAAGAAGAGAGAAAAAUCUUUUUGGGUUUUCUCAAAAGGACACAAAACAAGAAAACAAGAAAACAAAAAGAAACUAGCAUGGAUAAUACAGUGGAAAAGUGUAAACAUCAGCUAACAAAGUGAAAGCAUAACCAUGAAUGUAAAGUCGGUGAGAACACGUACUCCCCCAAGCUUAGGAUUUUGGCCUAGCUUGGUCUACUCCCAAGGUGGGAAAUAACCAGCUCCAGGAUACUCCGGAGAAGACUGUGGAUGCCACUGCUGUGUGAGCUCCUCUGGCUCCCACUGAUAAACUGGCGUCUGGUACUCCACUGGCGGCUCGGGCAGGGGCGCCUGUGGUUGGGCCAAGCCCCAAUAUGCGUAGAUGUCCGCGGGCAUAAUAGUGUACCUCCCUGCAUGAAGAUCGAACAAAGAAGGAGCAGGCUAAGUAAUAGUCUCUCGAGUACCUUGACUAAACACCAGGUUGAAAAUCAUCCAUCUACUAGCAUCUCUAUCCAGAAAAUCAUGGCGAACCAUGCUGUCAUAAUCCAGAUACCUCUCAGGGAGAAGCAUCUCUCCUUCCUCUCCCAGUCUAAUGGGUAUCUCAAAGUGUCUGGCAAGACGGGUAGCAUAGAUACCUCCAUAGACGACUCCUUUAGAACGGUUCAGGUUCAACCGUUGAGCUACUAUAGCGCCCAAGCUAUAAGUCUUAUCGUUAUAAAGGCCUUCGCGCAGAACCACAAGGUCUGGAGAACUAUGUGAUCCAGCCUCCCCACGGCCAAUCAAACAUUUUCCCACAAAUAGUGAGAAGUACCGAAGCACAGGAAAAUGUAUGCUAGCAAUUCUAGCGCGAGACACUCCUCUCUCCUCUCCAAGAGCAAUAGAACCAAUGAAAUCCUCCAAGUCCCGUGGACGAGGAUCAUGGAUAUCCCCAACAUAAGGUAAUUUGCAUACAUUGCAAAAAUCCUGCAGCGUCAUGCACUCGGGACAUCGUAUAUCAUGAACUCAACCAUGGGAGGAUUCUUCCUCGGAUAAAAGUUGAAGCUUUGAACGAAAAUAUUGGUGAGGAGGAGGUAUUGUGGGCACUUAUCUUCAACAAACGCAGUAAGACCUGUGUUCUCCACCAAGUAAUAAAAGUCUUCAUAAAGUCCGACGACGCGCAAAAAUUCAUCACUUGGCCACUCGCACGCUCGAACUUCUGUGACCUGAGGGACUACGUACUUGGGGUGAUUCUUCUCAUCCUCCUUGGGGUUACGGCUUGAAGAGCCUCUCAAGAACCUCCUCAUCUUUUCCUUUUUCUAGCUCUGAAAAAUUCUGAAAUUUUUAGAGACUUUGAAAGAAAAGUGAAUGAAGAUUAACCCAACUUGUAGCAACUACUCCUACUAGUGCCUAGAGACCAUAUCACGCGCUAAAACUACAUGGGACCAACUAAAAUCAACAUUUCUAGCUCAAGAACAGGGUCACCAAGGUAGGAAGAAUACGCGAAGGAUAAAGCACUAGAGCAAAAACUAAUUGGACAAAUGGAGGAGUCACUUACCAAGGAGUAAUUUCCCCAAAGCGGUUCGGAGAAUGGUGCUUUAAGCAAGGAGAUCGAAAAUCACAGCCAAAUGAGGAAGAACACGAGUUUGAGCUGCGAAACAAUUUUUUCUUGGGGUGGAAGAAGAGGCUGGGAGCUGGAAUGAGUGGAGGGGGUGCGUGUGGGCCCCACAAGCUUGCACCCCGCCACCAGGGGGGUAGGUGGGGGUGGAAGGGCUUGUGGCCCACUGGUCAGGACCCCAGGCCAGCUCUCAGGCCCAGAAAUUUUCAAAAAUUCUAGAAAAAAUCAUACUAAAUUUUCAGGACCAUCGGAGAAUUUUUAUUUUCGAGGUAUUUUUCUCUGGGCCGCUAAAACGAAAAACAGGAAAAACUAAACUAAUUCUAUCAUUUUUCUUUUAAGCAAAAGAAAAGGAAAACUUAAAACAGAGGUAUGUGACUCCUUGAUUCAUCCGUUUCAUGGUCAUCGAAAGAAAUCCGUCAAUGGGAUUGAUCAAGUCCUUAUGAUAGAACCUUCUGGAAUCGCAAGAGAGAACGGAGAAUUUUUGAAUAGCCACUAAGUCACCUCAAUGGGUAUAUGUAUCUCCCCAACAAGCAAAUCAUACUUCAUCUUGACACGAGGAAUAGGGCAUUCAAAGCUCCCAAUGAGAAUCGAUGAAGUCUUUUCGAUAGCAUUGAUGCAAUGUACUGGAUAUCGUUUCUUCGGAAAGUGCACGGUGUGCUCAUUACCGUUGACGUGGAAAGUGACAUUGCCCUUGUUGCAAUCUAUAACAGUCCCUGUAGUGUUUAAAAAGGGUCUUCCGAGGAUGAUAGCCAUGUCAUUGUCCUUGGGAAUAUCCAAGAUAACAAAGUUUGUUAAGAUAGUGGUAUUAGCAACCACAACAGGCACAUCCUCGCAAACGCCGAUAGGGAAAGCAGUUGAUUUGUCGGCCAUUUGCAGAGAAAUUUCNNNNNNNNNNCUCAAGUCUAUGAUAAAAAGAGAGCGGCAUAACACUAACACCGGCUCCAAGGUCACAUAAGGCAGUUCUUACGUAGUUUCCUUUAAUGGAGCAAGGUGUAGUGGGCACUCCGGGAUCACAAAGUUUCUUAGGAGUUCCACCUUUAAAAGUGUAAUUGGCAAGCAUGGUGGAGAUCUCAAGAUCUGGUAUCUUCCGUUUAUUAGUCACGAUAUCUUUCAUGUACUUGGCAUACAGAGACGAGUAUAUCAGUUAACCGCAUCUGCAGAAAUACGGGUCUUAUCAUCUCAACGAAGCGCUCAAAAUCCUCAUCAUCCUUUUUCUUGGAUGGCUUAGGAGGAAAUGACAUAGGUCUCUGAACCCAUGGCUCUCUUUCUUUACCAUGCUUCCUAGCAUUGAAGUCAUUCUUAUCGUAUUUCUUAGGUUGUGGGUUAUUAGGAUUAACCGUAGGUUCAAUCUCCACAUCCUCAUCAUUGCUAGGUUGAGCAUUAUUAUGAACAUCGCUGUCCAUAUUGUCACCAGGUUCAUGUUCAUCACCAGAUUGUGUUUCUGCAUCAGACGCAUAAAUAUCAUUAGGUUCUUCAGGUGUGACGGUAUUUGGUGAACUGGCGUGUAGGUUUCUAUCAUCCUUCUUCUUCUCCUUAGGAUGACUAGGUGUAUCAGCAUUGAUUCCUUGAGAAUCUUGAUCAAUUCUCUUAAGAUGACCUUCAGGAUACAAAGGUUCCUGAGUCAUUUUGCCUCCUCUAGUAAUGACUCUGACAGAGUUGUCAUUUAAUUCAUCGAGCAGGUCAUUCUGAGCUUUGAGUACUUGUUCUACUUGAGUAGUAAUCAUAGAGGCAUGUUUACUCAGAAGCUUCAGAUCAUUGACAUUUCUGUCUACACAAGCACUUAAAUGGCUAAGCAUACGAGUACUUUGUUCCAAAUGUCUGCUAACAUAAGCAUUGAAACUCUGUUGUUUGGCAACAAAGUUGUCAAAUUCAUCAAAGCAUAGGCUAGCAGGUUUNNNNNNNNNNNNNNNNNNNNNNNNNNNNNNNNNNNNNNNNNNNNNNNNNNNNNNNNNNNNNNNNNNNNNNNNNNNNNNNNNNNNNNNNNNNNNNNNNNNNUUAUUUCAUAAUAUAUAUAUAUAUAUAUAUAUAUAUAUAUAUAUUUCACAACACAUAUAUGAUAUAUAUUUCACAACACAUAUAUAUAGUUCACCACACAUAUAUGAUAUACAUACAAAGUUCACCAAUGUACAUCCCAUAUAUCGAAAGAACCAACAUACAAAGUUUUACACUGUUCAUCCAUAGAUACAUAUACAUAUAGUUCGACAUUGUUCAUCAACUCAAAUUAAAACUAGAACUAAUAAGGCACUCCAUGAAUGCCAGCUUCCAUGCAUGUAGUACAUCCAAUCUGCAGAAAUGUGAAUAAGAAAGUCAGAAGAAGAACAACAUAUGAUAUUUUAGAGGAAAACAAGCUAAGAAUAUAAUAUUCAUUAGCUAACCAAGGUUCUAAUGCCAUUUUGAGCUUAUUAUGUCAUUUUGGAGCUAAAUGGGCUAAUUAUAUAUGUCAUUGUUGGGGAAAAUAAGGUAAGGAGAAUAAGAAAGAGGAGAAGAAAGAGGAGGAGGAGGAGAACAAAGAGGAGGAGGAGGAGAAGAAGAAGAAAUCAAGAAGAAGGAGAAGAAGAAGGAGGAGAACGAGGAGAAGGUCUUCUCCUCCUUCUCCUUCUUCUCCUCCUCCUCCUUCUCCUUCUUCUUGUCUUCUUCUUCUUCUUCUUCUUCCUUCUUUUCAUUUUUCCUAUUUCUUCUCCUCUUCUCCUCUUUUUGGAGCUAAAUUAUCUAAUUAUGUCUUUUUGGAGCUAUAUGGGCUAAUUAUGUCAUUUUAGAGGAAAACAAUCUAAUAAUAUAAUAUUCAUGAGCUAACCAAUGUUUUUAUGCCAUUUUGAGCUUAUUAUGUCAUUUUGGAGGAUAAUUAGCUAAGUUAUGAGCUAACCAAGGUUAUUACGAUGUUUUUACCCUAAUUAAGCUAAUUAUGUCAUUUUGGAGGAUAAUUAGCUAAGUAUGUCUUAAUUCGGGAAAAUAAGCUACGCAGAAGAAGAAAGAGAAGAAGCAAGAAGAGAAGAAGAAGGAGGAGAAGGAGAAGGAGGAGGAGGAGAAUGAGAAGGAGGAGGAGGAGAAGAAGAAGAGAAGAAGAAGGAGAAUAAGAAGGAGAACAAGGAGGAGAGAAGAAGGAGAAGAAGGAGGGAGAACAAGAAGGAAGAGAGAAGAAGGAGAAGAAGGAAGGAUCCUUCUCCUUCUUCUUCUCUUCUUCUUCUUCUUCCUUCUUUUCAUUUUUCCUAUUUCUUCUCCUCUUCUCCUCUUCUUCUUAUUCUUCUCCUCCUCCUCCUCCUCUUCUCCUCUUCUCCUCUUCUUCCUCCUCUUCUUCUUCUUCUUCCUCUUAUUUCUAUUUCUAUAUUUCUUUAUCCACUUCUUCUACUUAUUCUUCUUUUCUUAUUUUUUCUCUCUUCUUAUUUUUUCUUCUUCUCUUCUUCUCUUCUUCUUCUCUUCUUCUCCUCUUCUCCUUUUGUUGGAGCUAAAUUAUAUAAUAAUGUCUUUUUGGAGCUAUAUGGGCUAAUUAUGUCAUUUUAGAGGAAAACAAGGUAAGAAUAUAAUAUUCAUGAGCUAACCAAGGUUUUUAUGCCAUUUUAAGCUUAUUAUAUCAUUUUUGGAGGAUAAUUACCUAAGUUGUGAGCUAACCAAGGUUCUUAGGAUGUUUUUACCCUAACUAAGCUAAUUAUGUUAGUUUGGAGGAUAAUUAGCUAAGUAUGUCUUUGUUGGGGAAAAUAAGCUACGUAGAAGAAGAAAGAGAAGAAGCAAGAAGAGAAGAAGAAGGAGAAGGAUGAGAAGGAGAAGGAGGAGGAGGAGAAUUAGAAGGAGGAGGAGGAGGAGAAGAAGAGAAGAAUAAGGAGAAGAAGAAGGAGAAGAAGGAGGUGAGAAGAAGCAGAAGAAGAAGGAGAAGAAGGAGGGAGAAGAAUAAGGAUGAGAGAAGAAGGAGAAGAAGGAGGGCUCCUUCUCCUCCUCCUCGUUCUCAUGCUUCUUCUCUUCUUCUUCUCUUCUCCUUCUCUUCUUCCUUCUUCUUCCUUCUUUUCAUUUUUCCUCUUUCUUCUCCUCCUCUUCUUCUUCUUCUUCUUCUUCUCCUCCUCCUCCUCCUCCUCCUCUUCUCCUCUUCUUCCUCCGCUUCUUCUUCUUCUUCCUCUUAUUUCUAGUUCUAUUUUUCUUUAUCCUCUUCUUCUACUUAUUCUUCUUUUCUUCUUUUUUCUCUUCUUCUCCUUAUUUUCUUCUUCUUAUCUUCUUCUCUUAUUCUUUUCUACUUCUCCUUCUUAUUUCUUUUCUUCGCCUCUUCUUCUUCUCCUUCUUAUUUUUUUUCUUCUCCUCUUCUUCUUCUUCUUCUUCUUCUUCUUCUUCUCCUUCUUAUUUUUUUCUCUUCUUCUUCUUCUUCUUCUUCUACUUCUUCUCCUCCUCCUCCUCCUCCUCCUCCUCCACUUCUUCUCCUCCUCCUCUUCUUCUUCUUCUUCUUCCUCUUCUUUCUAUUAAUCUAACUAACUACAACAACUACAACAACAACAACUACUACAACAACUACAAUAACAAGAACAACUACUAUAGCAACAAUAAAAAAAUCAUCUUUUUAGUUAUAAUCGAAUUCCAAAAAUCUAAAUAACAAAUAUUUAAUUUUCCUGUGGGGUGGGGUGUGGGGGCUCACCGGCAGGGUCGGCUAUGGCGUUGUGUAUGGCGGGGCCAGGGGUGUUGGGGCGGCGGGCCAACGCCGGGGGUGUUGGGGCUGUAGGGUGUCGACGAGGGCGGUGGGGCAGCGACANNNNNNNNNNNNNNNNNNNNNNNNNNNNNNNNNNNNNNNNNNNNNNNNNNNNNNNNNNNNNNNNNNNNNNNNNNNNNNNNNNNNNNNNNNNNNNNNNNNNGAAUAUUUGUGUUCAUCCUGAAGAUGAUGUUAAAAGAAAUGCGAACAAAAGUGAGAGAGACAUGCACUUAGUUUUUUUUGUGAGAGGAAGUUGUGCGCGCAUAGACACGAUACCACACCAUUCAAGAUAAUUAACAGAAACUAGGCAUAAACAUAGACUAAGUUCAAAUCAAAAUAUGUAACUGUGAAGCCAAAUCAAACAAACGAAUAUGUUUAGCCAACCAAGCAGGAGAGCACUAACCAAACAAUGCUUACUAGCUAGCUAGUAAACUAGAACGUGACCAUCCAACGUACAUACACGCAUCAUGCAGGAACCGAUAUGAACAUUUUUCCGUAAGAGGGACAUCAAGACCUUGUUUUGGAAGGACUAAAGAGCUCAAGCAGUUAAGAGUCAAUCCUGAAGCAUGAGGCCAUGGAUAACAGUAACAACCAUGAGGAACAAUAUAUCAAAGCGUAGAAUGCAAUCAUGUGAACCAAACUUAACUCAGCAACAACUACAAGAAUGCUGGUGGCUGCAACAUACUGGUAGAAAAAAGACUAGCUGGGUGUUUAGUGCAGUAGACAUUAAACUACCACUAAUUGAGACAUAAGUGAAGGUACCAACACUGUAACAUCUUAUACUCAGGGUAUAGUAAGCUUAAAUUUCAAGAUAAAACACAAACAGAGUGCGUAUAAAUCAUCACAGGAGUCGUGCUUCAAAAUGUGCAGGCAGGAUUUUAUGUUGGCUACAUCAAUAAUCAUCAUAAUCCUAAAUCACAGUUGAUAGGGUGAGCGAAACAAAAUGCCCAAUGCCUAACCGCUGGCUGAAACCAAUUUGCACGAAAUAAAGCCUAUGAUUCGCAAAUAUCUGAAUCGUUCUCCUGUCCAUCUUAGUAACAUACAGAAAUGAAUCGCACACCGAAUAAUUGAUCCAAGAAAACUUUUGUCCUAGCCAAGAUAAUNNNNNNNNNNAAUAUCUCAAUCGUUCUCCUGUCCAUCUUAGUAACAUACAGAGAUGAAUCUCACACCGAAUAAUUGAUCCAAGAAAACUUUUGUCCUAGCCAAGAUAAUGGGGGAAACUCGAAUUUGUUUAAUGGUUUAACCUUUUUCAUCAAGGUGGGAAGCUCUGGAAAUAGUGUUUCUUUAACAAUAGUACAUAGAUGUUCUAAUAUGUAGANNNNNNNNNNNNNNNNNNNNNNNNNNNNNNNNNNNNNNNNNNNNNNNNNNNNNNNNNNNNNNNNNNNNNNNNNNNNNNNNNNNNNNNNNNNNNNNNNNNNGGAGUUGAUACGUCUCCAUCGUAUCUACUUUCCCAAACUCUUUUGCCCUUGUUUUUGGACUCUAAUUUGCAUGAUUUGAAUGGAACUAACCCGGACUGACGCUGUUUUCAGCAGAAUUGCCAUGGUGUUGUUUUUGUGCAGAAAUGAAAGUUCUCGGAACAUCCUAAAAAUUUACAAAGAAUAUUUCUGGAAAAUUUGAGAAAUACCUGCGCAAAGAUCCACCGGAGGGGACGGGCCAGUGGGCCACAAGCCCUAACGCCGCGGCCUCCCCCCUGGCCGCGGCAACCAAGCUUGUGGGGCCCACGUGGCUCUACCGCCCCCAACUCGAGCGCUAUUAUUCCCUUUCGUCCCGAAAAAAAUCAAGAGAGAAGAUUUCAUCGCGUUUGCAACACAGAGGCGCCGCCACAUCCUGUUCUUCAUCUGGUGGGCAGAUCUGGAGUCCAUUUUGGGCUCCGGAUCAAGGAGAUCGUCGCCAUCGUCAUCAUCAACCUUCUUCCCUCUCCAAUUCCAUCUAGCUCUUCAUCAUUCCUGAGUAAUCUAUUCGUAGGCUCGCUGGGCGGUGAUGAGUAGGAUGAGAUCUAUCAUGUAAUCGACUUAGUUUUGACGGGGAUUGAUCCCUAGUAUCCACUAUGUUCUGAGAUUGAUGUUGCUACUACUUUGCCAUGCUUAAUGCUUGUCACUAGGGCCCGAGUGCCAUGAUUUCAGAUCUGAAAUUAUUAUGUUGUCACCAAUAUAUAUGUGUUCUAGAUCCGAUCUUGCAAGUUGUAGUUAGCUAGUAUUUGUUAUGAUCCGGCAACCCCGGAGUGACAAUAACCGGAACCACUCCCGGUGAUGACCAAAGGUUGAGGAAUACAUGUGUUCACCAAGUGCUAAUGCGUUGGUCCGGUUCUUUAUUAAAAGAAGAACCUUAAUAUCCCGUAGUAUCCAUUUGGACACCGCUGCCACGGGAGGGAUGGACAAUAGAUGUCAUGCAAGUUCUUUUCCCUAAGCACNNNNNNNNNNAUAAUGCAUGCCUACAUCACAUUGACGAACGGGAGCUAGCCACAUAUCUCUCCGUGUUAUAACUGUUGCAUGAUGAAUGUCAUCCAACAAAUCACCGAUCCAUUGCCUACGAGUUUGUCCCACUGCUGUUGUUACUUGUUUUGCUCUGCUGCUGUUACUACUGUUGCUCCUACUAUUACUUGCUGCUAGUGUUACUUGCUUUGUCCUGCUGCUGCUGCCACUACUUUUGCUACUACUGUUACUUGCUACUGUUGUUACUUGCUACUGUUGCUACUUGCCACUGCUUCACUACUGCUGUUCCUUGCCACUGCUGCUACUCGUUACACUGCUACUACCUGCUACAAUAAUUUUUCUAGCACCGUUGCCGGGAAAGAAUAUUUCCCAUCCACGGGCAACUUACUGGCGCCAUUGAAACAACAGUUAGGAAUAGUCUGCCGUCAACAGAUCGUUUCUGGCACCGUUGUUAUCAUACUACUUUGCUACUGAUACUUUGCUUGCACACACUAAUCUUUCAGGUGUGGUUGAAUCUGACACAUUCAGCAUCUUAUACUUGAGAAUAUUCUUUCACUUCCCAUCGUGCGAACCAACAAAUUUGGGUUGACUACUCUACCCUCGAAAACUGCUGCGAUCCCACGCGCUGGUGGGCUAUUGCAAGACAAUUUCUAAUUGUUGAGCAACUGGAAGCAGCUCUUUUCUGGCUCCGUUGCCGUGGAGGCAUCAAGUCAGGAAUAGUUGCACAUCAACAGUCCCUCACACUCAAAUCCCUCCACAACAAUAGAAGCUAUGGAAGGAAAUGAGAGGAAUAAUGAAGGAUCUCACAAAGAACUCCAAGAUCUAGAUCCAAGGGGUUCCCCUCACAAAGAGGAGAAAGUGAUUGGUGGAAAUGUACAUCUAGAUCUCCUCUCUCUUUUCCAUCAAGAACUAGCAAGAAUCAUUCGAAAGAUUGAGAGUUAGCAAGCUUAAAGAAGGACACAAUGGAGGAAGAAAAUGAGCUCAAGAGUGAGGGACCAUUGGGGAAGAAGGACUCCUCAAUUAGACAUCCCAAAAUCCAACAUGCCCACAAGUCGUGCUCAAGCGGUACUACCGCUUGGGGGAAUUGGUACUAUCGCUUAUCACGGUCAAAACAGCCCAACGAGAUAGAAAAACACGAGUGGUAGUUCUGCCAAAGAGGUAGUACCGCUCGGGGGAGAGGUAGUACCUCUUAAGAGGUACUACUGCUCCGUGCCUGGGGUAAAGGUAGUACCACUUGAGAGGUACUACCUUUCUGUACUACCCCUCUACUAUCGUUGAAGAAGAUUGGACACCAGAAUCAGAAAAUAAGCGGAAGUAGAAGUGGUAAUGGUCAGCAGAAGUACCUCUUAAGAGGUACUACCGCUUGAGAGGUACUACCGCUUAAAGCAGUACUUAAGACCAACGAAAACUGAAACCUGCAUAACUGUCGGAUAGAGACUCCAAAAUGAGCAAGCUCAAGCUUGUUGGAUAGAUUACUGAUGGCACUCUCUGGCUAUGGCUAGACGAAUGCUAUUCUCGAUUGCUCAACAAUUAGAAAUUGUCUUGCAAUCACUACAAGGAAUAUGCUAAUACACGACGCUAUUUUUUCGUCGCUACAUCGUCAUGGUUUUUAAUUUACGACGAUCUCACGACGAAAACCAAGCGUCGAAAACGGAGCGUCACAAAUGAACAGCAACGACGUUUUGAUUAAAAUCGUCGUAACUUUUACGACGAUUCCUGGAUUGUCGUAAACUUUACGACGAUCCUAAAUCGUCGUUGGCAAUCAAACUCAGUCCUACGUGGCAGUCCUACGUGGCAAAAUUACGACGAAAUCAAAACAUCAUGGUUGAAAUCAGCCCAACCCAUUUCAAUUGAUCACAUGGGCUGGUUUUAAUUAUUUGGGUUUUUUCUUAUUGGGCUUGUUUUUGGGCCUUAGCCUAUUUGCAGCCACUUCUAGUAUUUUUUCAAUUUUUUUUAUAUCAUCAUAAUUUGGGCCAUGGCCUUUUAGAUCCCAAAUAAAUUUGGUCCAGUUUCAGUUUUGGCCCUUUUUCAUUUUUGAAUUCAGCAACUUUUUGUUCCAUAAUUUGGAUUCAUUUCUAUUUGCUGGGCCUUUUCAACCCAAUUAUUUGUCCAGUAUUAAAUCCAACACUAUUUCAUAUUGAAAUCAAGAAAACUUCAAGUCGAAUUAAAAUCAUCCAUGAUAUAACAUCACAAAAUACAUAUCCCAAGUUUACAUAUCACAAUAAACCAUCUCAUGAAAACAUUUCCUUACACAUGAAUAUAGCAAGAACGAACAAAAUUACACAAUAGAACAAUCGCACAUCUUUUACUGUCCCAACAGUACAGUGGACUUCAUUCCGCUCUCCUAUGAGGCAUGCUCGAGAUGCCACAACUUGUCAAUCUAUAAGAACAUUACACUUCACAUGAAUCAAUCAAAAGGAAACAAAUAUAAAAAAUAUUAGAAAUAAAAAGAUUUAUUUUCAUCCUAAAGAUGAUGUUAAAAAUCCUGAGAUAUAAAUUCUCGAGUAUAAUUAGUCCAACCUAAACAGGUCAGAGAAACUGAAAAUUAAACUUCAAACUAUCUAAGAUUGUUCCAGGAAAUUCUGGACAAAGGAAAUGCAGACAAGCAAACUUAAUAUCUUUAUGGUAUUUUCGCUUUACUAGAGGAAUUUAAGCACCGACACAAGUAGGAGUCAAUGACACAACAAUUAGCAGACAUGUAAGAUAAUACAAAACAAGCUACUCCACGUUACUGUGAUAACCAAGUGCAAACCAGGGUGUAAGAAUAUUAGCCCAAAAAAUCCUUUGGGCAACAUACAUCACUAAAUUACGCUAUCAAUAAGUGCACCAGAGACUCUAAUUUAUUACCUUCAGAAGUUUUAGAUCGAAUCAAAUGAAAACAUGAAAAGGGACUACCAAAGAGCAUUAUUGAUUUAGAUAGAGCUUUGAUGCUGAGUUGAUUUCUCGUGUCAACUGGGGUAAUUCUUUAGCCAGAUUGGAGAAAGGAAACCUGACUAGCACUCAAAAUAUUAACCAGAAGACAAUAGUAAAACAUAAAAGAUGGAUCAGAUUUCCGGCUUUUAAUCCUGAUGGGAUUACAUUUGCGCAUUGUAUACUCAUAGUCGAUAAUUUGGGGACAGUAUCCUCGGGUCCAUAUAACCCAAGGAAAAAAGCAAUUGGUCAUCACAGUAAGUGCAGAAACGUGGUAUGGAUAUGAUAUCAUCACUUCUCACAACAAACAAAAAAUGGUGUAGGAGUUUCUAUUUAUUUAAGACAAGACAACUAUACAGCAUCCAUGACAGAAUGUGUUGCUUACUAGACAUUCAGAAUAAGUAGAGAUACAAAAACAUGACUUCAGAUGCCGAAUAUGCACAGUUUAAUAAUAUACAGUAUCAUGAGACACCUAACAAGUGUUGAUCAUCACUGAUGAAUCAACCACAGAAACCAGCUGCAGAAAGAACAAUAUAGUUGAUAUGUGUAAACGGGGUAUAGUAACAGGAAGCUCCUUCUAUGAGAGCAGCCAGUGUCACAAAAACAUGUUUCCUUCUUGAUGUCUGCCAAUCUAACGAGAAACAAGGCCAUGAAAGCAGACCAAGCAUCAGAUACCUCAUGGCAUCCCAAAUACCACUAUCCAAACAAAAUUUAGUUCAGUGCUAAGAUAUGUAUGGACAAGUUGAAUGCAAAAACCAUCUCAAAGAAUGGUUCGUGCUAGAAUCUUAACCCAAAGUAUCUCUAGGCAACGUACAGCGCUGAAUUACACUACCAAGAAGCGGACCUCAGUACUCAACCUUAAAGCUGAUAAAAAUUUAGCAGAGUAUACCAAAAGAUGAAGGGGAACACUCAGCGUUUCAAAAAAGAAGGCAGCAUCAAAUACUAUAGUAAUUAUUAUUGGACAUGAUAUAGUAAGGUACUUUCACUGGUUAUUGACUGUUUUCAGUUUUCACUAAGCAUAAGUGCAUAAUAUGGAAACAAUAUAAGAGAAACCAUACACCCUCGGAUAUUAAGCUAUUCCAAGUAUGUGAGGUAUACAACUUAUAGGAGCUUACAUGACAUUCGAACCGAUAGUCCCAACGCCCAGAGCAAUGUUCUUCGAGGAAUCUAGGUGUUCUUGUUUAUUCUCUGUAAUAUCUGAUCUCGAUAACCUUUUCUUCUUCCCUCUACUGAUUAAAAAUAGAAGUAAUUAAUCCCAGUCCAAUGUGUUGAGGGAAGAAAAACAUAGCGUGUCAAAAAAGAAGGCAGCAUCAAGUACUAUAGUAAUUACUAUUGGAGAUGAUAUAGUAAGAUACUCUCACUGGUUAUUGACUGUUUUCAGUUUUCACUAGGCAUAAGUGCAUAAUAUAGAAACAAUAUAAGAGAAAACAAAAGUAGUUAGUCCUAAUAAAAUUAUUUCACAUAUUUGUGGCAUGUUCACUCUCAGUUCUUAGGAAGGGAAAAUGCAACCUAGAAUCCUAAAUUCGUUGCAUAUUUUGCCUAUGAUGAAACUAAGAAAAACUAACUUGACAAUACAUGCUAUGGACUGUAGUCUACAGAAUAAAUGACAUACAAGAUUAAAUAAUAUGAUUCUAUUUUGCAGAAGCAGCUGUUUUUUCAUACAUCCCAUGGCAUUUCUGUCGUAAUCACUAGCAACUUCAAAUAGAGUUAAGCAAAAAAUAUCAACAUUCUUUAUUGAUUUCGAUUACAUGCAAAUAAGUAAAAAUGCCCUACUCUACCAAUAAGACAUAAGUAAAGAGCUGACAACACUAGACUGUACAACUACACAAACACAUGAGGUGCUUCUAAGACAAAAAAUAAACCUGAAUUUAGUGUGAGGACUAGCCAAUCCAGAAAGUAAAAAACGCAUUACUGAACAGUCACAGUUUCCAAAACACUAGCCAAUCCAGAAAGUAAAAAACACAUUAGCAAAACUGCAGGACAACAGAAAGGAAGAGUUAAUUUGUGUAGGUGACUGAACAAUACUAUUCAUCUGGACAACAGAAAACUGAUCACCAAAUCCUUUUCAGACAACUAAUUCAUCAAAAGGAACAUGACAUAUCAGGUACUAGUUCACAUAGGACACUGAAUUUGGUAAACUGAAAUAUACCCAACAAAAUACCGAGCACAAACAACAUGUUUUAAUAAUCAUAUUCAGUUAGGGGAAGCAAGUUGGCAGACAUUUCUACAUUAGAAUGUCCACGACUAACAAAACAUUCAUGGUAACACAAAAGGCACAAUCCGGCGAAGUGUUGUAAAUUCCCUUGUAUCCGAGUGGCACAAAUCUGCCUAUUUAUGAAGUAAAUCUAGGCCGGAAUUCCUAGAAUCUCGAACCCCCGAAGUCGCUGAAUAACCAAUUUAUUAGCAGAUCCAAUGGGCUAAACUUGUGAAGUACUAGUAACAUCUAUCUAAACGCUGUCCCAGGUAACAACAGAUCCGGAAAAUCUCUAGUUGGGACGUGUCCCGCUUACUUGAGGUAGUCAUCCUUGAAGAGGUCUUCCCUGUCAUCUUCCUCCUCGUCGCGGAUAACGGUGGCGCUGUCGUCCUCGGGGAGCACAUUAAGGUCGACCUCUGCCUCGCCAUCGUUGUCCGAGUAGGAGGAUGGGUCGGUGGCGCCGUGGCUGGUGGUGGUGUUGGGCGGCAGCCAGUCGGUGUUGAAACCCAGCGAGCCGGGGGUCGACGGCGCGUUCUUCUCCGAGUCGUCCUGGGAAAAUCAAAUCAACCGACGGAAACGUCAGAUCCGGAGGCGGGAAGCAAUUCAACAAGUUAAACCAUCUAUUAAAAAAAUGAAAACCACGCGAAUUUAACAUGUAAAGAUCUAGCUCGAAGAACAAUAAUAUAUAGGUCAUAUGAAUGAUGGUUCAAAUGCAUUCAACACUUCAAAUUACUACUACUACAACUGUCCGCAAAAUUAUAGAAACUUGGCAUAUACCGCAAGCAUUUCUCUUGCACUCAGUCAGGGGAUCGACUUCCAGGUUCCAGCUAGUAGGAGAUUUUCAGUAGAUAAUUUCGAGGCCACUAUCUAAGAAAUUUCAUUAAGUGAUUUCUCUUGUUACUAAACCUACUACACUAUAGCUAGCUCACUAAGAAUUCGUACAAGCAAUCUUGUUACUAAACCUACUACACUAUAUGUCUUGUCAUUCCUGUCCUAGUUUUCAGUGUCAGGAGACUUUUACUAACUUAUGAACAGCAACUGCCACUAUUGACUUCGCCAAAUCAAUAAUUACAAUCACAAGAUCGACCAGGAAACACAGAUUUCAUGCAAAAGACACGGAAUUCAGCAACUAAAAUCCUCCAUGAACAAAGAUAUAGCAGUUGAAACAGUCCAAAUCAUUCAUGCAGUUCCUCACAAGAAAUCAAAUCAUAUGGAGGAUGGAUGGAGAGGCCUCCAUGCAUGCAUGUACGCUUCUUCUUCUUGGUCGCAGCGGGCGGGGAGGAGGUUCCCGCAAUCACGAGCUGUAGAUCGCCCUCGUAUUCACCAAUCUCCGGCGGGCUUCCGGCUAGUUACGGUGGCUUCCCGUGGUAUGGCAGCCAGAACUCCUCUCCCACAACCUCUGUUGUGCUGCUCACGGAAGGGAAGGGGUUUGGUUGGUGGUGGUGUUGGGCGGCAGCCAGUCGGUGCUGAAACCCGGCGAGCCGGGGGUCGACGGCGCAUUGUUCUCCGAGUCGUCCUAGGAAAAGCAAAUCAACCGAUGGAAACGUCAGAUCCGAAGGCGAUUGCUGAGCGUGGCGGCGGCGGCGAGAGGAGGGAGAUGGGGGAGAUGGUCGCUUACCAUCCGCGGGCCCCGAGAAGGCUCUUGUGGAGGGGGCGUGUGGUGGCGAGAUGAGGCUAGGGUUUCAGCAGGAAGGGGGGAAUGGUGGGGAGAGACGGUGUUUCGGUGGGAAGGGGGGAAUGGCUAGGGUUUCCGACGGCGGCGCGGUUCGGUGGCUGGGGCGAGAGGGGAGACGGCGGUGCGGAGUGGGGCAGGGCAACGGGCGACGGAGAUGGGGGAGAAGGGGCGCCGUGGGAGAGAGAGCGAGGGGGCGAUGGGGACACGGGACGAGGGGGCUUUCCCCUCGUCGAUGGGGUGGCGGCGUGGGGUGGAGUGGGAGUGAGGUUGUGGGUCCAUUUAGGGUUAGAUGGAGGUUAGGUGGGCUGGCUUGGGUCGGGCGAUUUGGGCCAAGGGGGUUUUCUUUCCGCCUUUUUAUUAUUUGUUUCUGUUUUUAUUUCAUUUUUUAACAGCUUUAGUUUUAUUUUAUUUUAGUGCAAUGAAAUCUCUUAAAAUUAAUAAUUCUUAAAGGAAAAUUCUCCUAGGUAAUAUCGGACACAUCCGAACAUUUUUAUUUUGACAUUCAAAAACUUUUAUUGCUUUAUUUUAUUUUUAAAUUCAUUUUCAAACUGUUUGAACUAAUGCAAGAUCAACAAUAGAAAUCACGGUGACGUGGCAACAUUAGUGUGGAAUCACUGUAGCUUAAUUACAUAGGUUACUGUAGCAACAAUUGAGGAUAUCACGUCGACCUCCACCGAGCCCUCCAUCGACUGUGGACGGCUCAGAUUGGAUAUAGUGGGGUAAUCCAUGAGAAUAGUUAUCAUUGGUUGGAAACAUCUACAAUUUAAAAUACUAGUUUCUAAGUGGUAAAAAUAUUGAGGGAAACUGGCGGAACUAAAUGAGCUAAAAUUUGGUGGAGUGAGGUUAUAUGGUCAGUUUCAUCCCGUGGUAAAAUUUCAUCAACUAUAAAUCAAUAUAAAAUGUACUUGCUUCACAAAAUUAAAAUAUUAGCACAAACAAAGAUUGAAUGAUGAGCUCACAUGGAUUGCUAGAUGGGGCUAAAAUUUUGUUGAGAACUAUGUUUUCGGCACAUAGAAGAUGUGGAAAAAAUUCAACUCAUCAGGAUAUUCCUAUCUAGUACUUCCUUCACAAAGCUAUUAGCUGAACACAAAUUUUGGAAAAUUUGUGAGAAAGAUUUACUAGGCAAAUCGUUACGAAAGUUUUCAUGAGGCAAUGAUUUGGAUAGGAAAGAGUGCGCAAAAAAUAUAAGGGUAAUCAAAGAAAUAGAAAUAGCACUUCCUUCACAAAAUGCUAUUUUGAACAGAGUAGGAAAAUGAAUAUUGCAGAAUUAUUUUUAAACUAUGGAAGGAAGGAUUUUUCACAUAUUUAAGGAAUAUAUGAUCCAAAGUAUUUAUGAGAAUUUUUUGAGAAUUUUUGGAAUGAUAGAAUAGUAGGUUGCUUCACAAACUAGGAUGAGGUGGGAUAGAAUGGACCCACGAGUGACAUGAUAGAAUAGUAGGAUGAGGUGACAUAGUUAGAACAUGUUACGACAUUUUUAUAAUCGUCGUAAAAGUUAUGACGAUCUCAUCUUAUGCGGUUACGACGUUUUUGACUCACAUCGUCAUAAUUUAUAUGUAGAUUUGAUCCCCUCAAACGGUUUACGAUGAUCUCGGAUGAAAUCGUCAUAGAAUUAUGACGAAUUCAUCAACGACAUCUAAAAAAACGUCAUGUAUGAGUAUAUUUCUUGUGGUGAAUGACCCACCAGCGCGUGGGAUCGAGGCGGUUUUCGAGGGUAGAGUAUUCAACCCAAAUUUGGUGAUUCGCCAAUAGGAAGUGAGAGGAUACUCUCAAGUAUUAGCAGCUGAAUGUGUCAGAUUCAACCACACCUGAAAGAUUAAUAUCUACAAGCAAAGUAACAACAACAAAGUAGUAUGAUAGCAACGGUGUCAGAAACAAUCUGUUGACGGCAGACUAUUCCUAACUGUCGUAUCAAUGGCGCCAGAAGUUGCCCGUUGACGGAAAUUGACUUUUCCCGUCAACGUCGAGCGAAUCAGAAUUGUAGCAGGUAGCAGCAGUGUAAUGAGUAGAAGAAGUGGCAAGGAACAGAAGUAGUGACAGCAGUAGCAAGUAGCAACAGUAGCAAGUAACAAUAGUAGCAAGUAGCAAAAGUAGCAAGUAACAGCAGAGCAAGUAACAGCAGCAGAGCAAAACAAGUAACAGCAGCAGUGGGACAAACUCAUAGGCAAUGGGUCGGUGAUUUGUUUGGAUGAUAUUCANNNNNNNNNNGAGUUAUAACAUGGAGAGAUAUGUGGCUAACUCCUGUUCGUCAAUGUGAUGUAGGCAUGCAUUCCGUGUGUCGUCAUACGUGCUUAGGGAAAAGAACUUGCAUGACAUGUAUUGUCCAUCCCUCCCGUGGCAGCGGGGUCCAAAAGGAAACUACGGGAUAUUAAGGUUCUCCUUUUAAUAAAGAACCGGACCAACGCAUUAGCACUUGGUGAACACAUGAACUCCUCAAACUAUGGUCAUCACUGGGAGUGGUUCCGGUUAUUGUCACUCCAGGGUUGCUGGAUCAUAACACAUAGUAGGUAACUACAACUUGCAAGAUCGGAUCUAAAACACACAUAUAUUGGUGACAAUAUAACAAUUUCAGAUCUGAAAUCAUGGCACUCGGGCCCUAGUGACAAGCAUUAAGCAUGGCAAAGUAGUAGCAACAUCAAUCUCAGAACAUAGUGGAUACUAGGGAUCAAUCCCCAUCAAAACUAACUCGAUUACAUGAUAGAUCUCAUCCUACUCAUCAUCGCCCAGCGAGCCUACGAAUAGAUUACUCACGAACGACGAAGAGCUUCAUGGAAUUGGAGAGGGAAGAAGGUUGAUGAUGACGAUGGCGACGAUUUCCCCUCUCCGGAGCCCAAGACGGACUCCAGAUCUUCCUUCCAAAUGAAGAACAGGUGGUGGCGGCGCCUCCGUAUCGAAAACGCGACGAAAACUUCUCUUUUUUUUUCUGGGACGAAAGGGAUCUUAGAGCUGGAGUUGGGGGCAACAGAGCCGCGUGGGCCCCACAAGCCUGCCCACCGCCACCAGGAGGAGUGGUGGUGGAGCCAGGGCUUGUGGCCCACUGGCCCACCGCCUGAGGUGGAACUUCACGCAGAUAUUUUUGAUAUUUUCCAAAACUGCUCCCCGUAAAUUUUCAGGACGUUUGGAGAACUUUGGUUUCUGCACAAAAAUAACACCAAGGCAAUUCUGCUGAAAACAACGUUAGUCCAGGUUAGUUCCAUUCAAAUCAUGCAAAUUAGAGUCCAAAACAAGGGCAAAAGAGUUUGGAAAAGUAGAUAUGAUGGAGACGUAUCAACUCCCCCAAGCUUAAAACCUUGCUUGUCCUCAAGCACCUCAGUUGACAAACUGAGAGAGAAAGAAAAACUUUGACAAACUCUGUUUGAUCUUGUUGUUGCAACUAUGUCUAACUCAUAACCAGAAUUACAGCAAGAUCACAAGUUAACCACAUAAGCAAAUGACACAAAGGUCUCACGGUAAACUAAUAUCAAUGGCAUAAUGAGCUAACGAGCAAAUAAUAAUGAGUUACAAAUACCAACACUUCAAUCAAAACGAGCAUGAAGCAAUAUGAAUAGGUGGUAUCUCGCUAGCUCUUUCUGAGACCGCAAAACAUAAAUGCAGAGCACUUUCAAAGAUCAAGGGCUGACUAAACAUUGUAACUCAUAGCAACGAAGAUCCAGUCAUAGUCAUACUCAAUAUCAAUCAAAAGCAAAGCAUAAAAAUGACAGAGGUGCUCUCUAAUUGGUGCUUAUAUAAGAUGAGGAUGACUCGACGGGAAAAUAAAUAGACAGACCCUUUGCAGAGGGAAGCAUUGAUUUGCAGAGGUGCCAGAGCUGAAGCUUUGAAAACAGAGAUAAUAAUUUUGGGUGGCAUGCUUUCAUUGUCAGCGCAAUGACCAAGAGUUCUCAAUAUCUUCCAUGCUACUCAUGCUAUAGGCGGUUCCCAAACAGAAAAGUAAAGUUUUAACUCCCCCACCACCAAUCAAUCACACUCCACGGCUAGCUGAAUCCUCGGGUACCGUCCAUACUAACAUCAAUCCGGGGGGAGUCUUGUUUUACAGUUAUGUUUUCGAUUUAAGCGUGGAACUGGGCAUUCCAAUUACCGGCCCAUUUCUCGUGAAUGACUGUGAAUAAACACAUGUCGAGGAUAACACUCCUAGCAUGGAAGAUACCAAUAGACCUCUCUCACCACAUGAGCAGUUUGGGCAUGCAAAACAAAUUAUUUCUUGAAGGUUUAGAGAAUGACACAUGCAAAUUUACUUGGAACGGCAGGUAGAUACCGCAAAUAGGUAGGUAUGGUGGACUCUCAUGGAAAAACUUUUGGGUUUAUGGAUGUGGAUGCACAAGCAGUAUUCCACUUAGUACAAGUGAAGGCUAGCAAAAGACUGGGAAGCGACCAACUAGAGAGCGACAACAGUCAUCAACAUGCAAUGAGUUUGACUAACAUUGAAUGCAAGCAUGAACACGAUAUAAAUCACCAUGAACACGAACGUCAUAGAGGCUAUGUUGAUUUUGUUUCAACUACAUGCAUGAACAUGCGCCAAGUCAAGCCACUUGAAUCNNNNNNNNNNUUUUAUGUAAGUGGAUGCAUAAGCAGUAUUCCGCUUGGUACAAGUGAUGGGUAGCAAAAGGCAACAGUUAUCAAGAUGCAAUGAGUUUGACUAACAUUGAAUGCAAGCAUGAACAGGAUAUAAAUCACCAUGAACACGAACAUCAUAGAGGCUAUGUUGAUUAUGUUUCAACUACAUGCAUGAACAUGCGCCAAGUCAAGCCACUUGAAACAUUCAAAGGAGAAUACCAUCCUAUCAUACUACAUCAUAGUCAUCUCAAAAUCUAUGUUGGCAUUCAAGACAAACCAUUAUAAGCUCUCAGCUAAAUAAGCAUGGCAUCAGAAACUAUGAUCUCUAAGUUGUCAUUGCAAACAUGGUUCUCUCACAACAAAGCUAAAUCAGGCAUGACAAGCUAGUCAUAUUUACAAAAACAAAAUAGAUAGAGUUCAUACCAGCUNNNNNNNNNNCAGUCUCAGUCACUUCAUCAUAUAUCAUCAUUAUUGUCUUUCACUUGCACGAUCGAACGAAGUGAACAAUAAUAAGAGUUCUCGUGCAUUGGACUAAGCUGAAUCUGCAGGCAAACACAAAGGAGAAGACAAAGUAAUAUGGCUCUUUGAAAGCUAAACAGGUAUGCAUGCAAGAACCACUAAACAUUGUAACCAAUAUCUUCUACCUUGACACAAAGAAAAAGAAAACUAUUUACACGAGAAAGCUCCCAGCAAGCAAAAGAAGAAAGAAAAAUACUUUUGGGUUUUCUCAAAAUGACACAAAACAAGAAAACGAAAAUAAACUAGCAUGGAUAAUACAGUGGCAAAGUGUGAACACCGGCUAACAAAGGGAAAGCAUAAGCAUGAACGUAAGGUCGGUGAGAACACGCACUCCCCCAAGCUUAGGCUUUUGGCCUAGCUUGGUCUACUCCCAUGGAUGGUCCUGGCGAAACCCAAAAUCAUAAUGGGUGUUAUACGGGAGUGCUGCAGCCACUGCCUGAAUAGGUGCAUCACGAAGUCGAGCAGCCGUCGCCUCCCUCUCAUACUCCUCUGCCUCUCCUAUUGUUAUGUAGUAUAUUUGUUUUACCUGAAAGUCAAAGAAAGCAGGAGCANNNNNNNNNNNNNNNNNNNNNNNNNNNNNNNNNNNNNNNNNNNNNNNNNNNNNNNNNNNNNNNNNNNNNNNNNNNNNNNNNNNNNNNNNNNNNNNNNNNNGGCACACAUCAAGUAGUUGCCAUCAAGGGUAAAAAGAUGGGGGUUUUAUCAUUGGUUUGAGAUUAUCCCUCUACAUCAUGUCAUCUUGCUUAAGGCGAUACUCUAUUCUUAUGGACUUAAUACACUAGAUGCAUGCUGGAUAGCGGUCAAUGUGUGGAGUAAUAGUAGUAGAUUCAGACAGUAUCGGUCUACUUGUUUUGGACGUGAUGCCUAUAGAAAUAAUCAUUGCAUAGAUAUCGUCACGACUUUGCGCGGUUCUAUCAAUUGCUCGACAGUAAUUUGUUCACCCACCGUCUACUUGCUUUCAUGAGAGAAGCCACUAGUAAACACUACGGCCCCCGGGUCUAUUCACAUCCAUCAUUUACAUCUCCGCUUUUACUUUGCUUUGUUACUUUGUUGCUUUCAGUUAUCACUUGGCAAACAAUCUAUAAGGGAUUGACAACCCCUUCAUACCGUUGGGAGCAAGUUUUUGUGUUUGUGCAGGAUCUUGAGAUACUCCUCCACUGGAUUGAUGCCUUGGUUCUCAAACUGAGGGAAAUACUUACCACCGCUACGCUACAUCACCCUUUCCGCUUCGAGGGAACACCAACGCAAGGCUCAAAGUCUCCCCUUUUACUUUGCUUUGUUACUUUGUUGCUUUCAGUUCUCACCUGGCGAACAAUCUAUAAGGGAUUGACAACCCCUUCAUAGCGUUGGGAGCAAGUUUUUGUGUUUGUGCAGGAUCUUGAGAUAAUCCUCCACCGGAUUGAUACCUUGGUUCUCAAACUAAGGGAAAUACUUACCACCGCUACGCUACAUCACCCUUUCCGCUUCGAGGGAACACAAACGCAAGGCUCCAAGGCCACGGGGGAAAUCCUUUGCAUACUUACCUAGGAAGUCCCUUAAGGCAUAGCCGCAGCAGAAAGAUCAAGCCAAGUAUUCUCCCGUCUACGUGCCUAUUUCUGGCGCCGUUCGAAGGUCUUUUUUUGCAGUAGCAACCAGCUAAAUCAACAUUUCUAGCUCAAGAAUAGGGUCACCAAGGUAGCAAGAAUACGCGAAGGAUAAAACAGUAGAGCAAAAACUAAUUGGAGCAAUGGAGGUGUCACUUACCAAGAAGUAAUUUCCCCAAAACGGUUCGGAUAAUGGUGCUUUGAGCAAGGAGAUCGAAAAUCACAGCCAAAUGAGCAAGAACACGGGUUUGAGCUACGAAACAAUUUUUUCUGGAGGUGAAAGAAGAGGAUGGGAGUUGGAAUGAGUGGAGGGGGUCCCUGUGGGCCGCACAAGCUUGCUAGCCGCCACGAGGGGGGGCGGCAGCUGCAGGGCUUGUGGCCCACUGGUCGGGCCCCCAGGCCAGCUCUCAGGCCCAGUAUUUUUCAAAUAUUCUAGAAAAAAUCAUACUAGAUUUUCAGGACCAUCGGAGAACUUUUAUUUUCGGGGUAUUUUUCUCCAGGACGCUAAAACAGAAAACAGGAAAAUCUAAACUAAAUCUAUCAUUUUUCUUCUAAGCAAUAGAAAAUGAAAGCUCAAAACAGAGUUAUGUGACUCUUUGAUUCAUCCAUUUCAUGGUCAUCGAAAGAAAUCCGUCAAUGGGGUUGAUCAAGUCCUCAUGACAAAACCUUCUCGAAUCGCAAGAGAGAACGGAGAAUUUUCGAAUAACCACUAAGUCACCUCAAUGGGGAUAUGUAUCUCCCCAACAAGCAAAUCAUACUUCAUCUUGACACGAGGAAUAGGGCAUUCAAAGCUCCCAACAAGAAUCGAUGAAGGCUUUUCAAUAGCAUUGAUGCAAUGUACUUGAUAUCGUUUCUUCGGAAAGUGCACUGUGUGCUCAUUACCGUUGACAUGGAAAGUGAAAUUGCCUUUGUUGCAAUCUAUAACAGCCCCUGCAGUGUUUAAAAAGGGUCUUCCGAGGAUGACGGCCAUGGCAUCAUCCUCGGGAAUAUCCAAGAGAACAAAGUCUGUUAAGAUAGUAGUCUUAGCAACCACAACAGGCACAUCCUCGCAAAUGCCGAUAGGGAAAGCAGUUGAUUUGUCGGCCAUUUGCAGAGAAAUUUCNNNNNNNNNNUUCAAGUCUACGAUAAAGAGAGAGCGGCAUAACACUAACACCGACUCCAAGGUCACAUAAGGCAUUUCUUACGUAGUUUCCUUUAAUAGAACAAGGUAUAGUGGGCACUCCGGGAUCACCAAGUUUCUUAGGAGUUCCACCUUUGAAAGUGUAAUUGGCAAGCAUGGUGGAGAUCUCAAGAUCUGGUAUCUUCCGUUUAUUAGUCACGAUAUCUUUCAUUUACUUGGCAUACAGAGACAUUUUGAGCAUAUCAGUUAACCGCAUCUGCAGAAAGAUGGGUCUUAUCAUCUCAACAAAGCGCUCAAAAUCCUCAUCAUCCUUUUUCUUGGAUGUCUUGGAGGAAAGGGCAUAGAUCUCUGAACCCAUGGAUCCCUUUCUUUACCAUGCUUCCUAGCAGUGAAGUCAUUCUUAUCGUAUCUCUUAGGUUGUGGGUUAUCAGGAUUAACCGUAGGUUCAAUCUCCACAUCCUCAUCAUUGCUAGGUUGUGCAUUAUUAUGAACAUCACUGUCCAUAUUGUCACCAGGUUCAUGUUCAUCACCAGAUUGUGUUUCUGCAUCAGACGCAGAAAUAUCAUUAGAUUCUUCAGGUGUGACAGUAUUUGGUGAACUGGCAUGUAGGUUUCUAUCAUCCUUCUUCUUCUCAUUAGGAUGACUGGGUGUAUCAGCAUUAAUUCCUUGAGAAUCUUGAUCAAUUCUCUUAGGAUGACCUUCAGGAUACAAAGGUUCCUGAGUCAUUUUGCCUCAUGUAGUAAUGACUCUGACAGAGUUGUCUUUUAACUCAUUGAGCAAGUCAUUCUGAUCUUUAAGUACUUGUUCUACCUGAGUAGUAAUCAUAGAUGAAUGUUUACUCAGAAGCUUCAGAUCAUUGACAUUUCUGUCUACACAAGCACUUAAAUGGCUAAGCAUACGAGUACUUUGUUCCAAAUGUCUGCUAACAUAAGCAUUGAAACUCUGUUGUUUGGCAACAAAGUUGUCAAAUUCAUCAAAGCAUAGGCUAGCAGGUUUGUCAAAAGGAAUAUCACUCUCAUCAAACCUACAUAGAGAAUUCACUUCUACUACUUGUAUCGGGUUAUCGAGACCAUGGAUCUCUUAGAUAGGUGGUAGAUUUUUGACAUCUUCAGAUCUAAUGCCUUUCUCUUGCNNNNNNNNNNAUCAAAAGGAAUAUCACUCUCAUCAAACCUACGCAGGAAUAUCACUCUCAUCAAAGGCUCACUACCUAUAGGUUAUCGAGACCAUGGAUCUCUUCAAUAGGUGGUAGAUUUUUGACAUCUUCAGAUCUAAUGCCUUUCUCUUGCAUAGAUUUCUUGGCUUCUUGCAUAUCUUCGGGACUGAGGAAUAGAAUACCUCUUUUCUUAGGAGUUGGCUUAGGAGGUGGUUCGGGAAUAGUCCAAGCAUUAUCGUUGAUCAAGAUGUUAUUCAGUAGGAUCUCAGCUUGUUCGAUAGUUUGUUCCCUAAAAACACAACCGGCACAACUAUCUAGGUGGUCUCUAGAGGCAUCGGUAAGUCCGUUAUAGAAGAUAUCAAGUAUCUCGUUCUUCUUAAGAGGGUGAUCAGGCAAAACAUUUUGUAGUUGGACGAUCCUCCCCCAAGCUUGUGGGAGACUCUCUUCUUGGAGUUGAGCAAAGUUGUAUAUUUCCUGCAAGGCAGCUUGCUUCUUAUGGGCAGGGAAAUUUUUCUCACAGAAGUAAUAGACCAUAUCCUAGGGACUACUCACACAUCCAGGAGCAAGAGAGGUGAACCAGGCUUUAGUGUCAUCCUUUAAAGAGAAAGGAAACAACUUAAGGAUGUAGUAAUGGCGGAUCUUCUCCUCACUAGUGAAAAGGGUGGCUAUAUCGUGUAGUUUGGUAAGAUGGCCUACGACCGUCUCAGACUCAUAACCGUGGAAAGGAUCAGAUUCGACUAGAGAGAUUAUCUCAGGAUCGACAGAGAAUUCAUAAUCCUUAUCGGUGAUAAAGAUAGGUGAAGUGGCAAACUUCGGGUCGUAUUUCAUCCUAGCUUUCAUUCAUCCUAGCUUUCAGAGAUUUUUCCUUCCACUUGAGAAGUAAUUUCUCAGCGUCAUAGGCAUCCUUACACGCAAGAAAAUCCUCAUCUAUCUCUCCCUCCAUAACAUAACCCUCAGGUAUAUCAGGCAAUUCAUAUCUAGGAGAGCUAGAUCUAGCAGGAGAAAAAGCAGGUUCUAUCUCAAUAGUAUCGGCAUUUUCAGAAGCAUCACGAGCAAUGGCAGUAGCUCUAGCAAUAUGAGCAUCAAGGAACACCCCUAGUGGAACAUCAGGCAAAGUAGCGUCUCUAGCAGUAUCAAGCAUAGCAUCAUGAGGCAUAGCAUCUCUAGCAGUAUCAGGCAUAGCAUCGCUAGCAGUAUGAGGCAUAGCAUCUCUAGCAGUAUCAGGCAUAACAUCUCUAGUAGUAUCACGCAUAGCAGCAUCAUAAGCAUCAUCAAGCACAGGCGACAUAUCAAGAUUUCUAGCAGGAGGUGAUGUCGCAAACUUACUCAUAACUGAAGGUGAAUCAAGUGCAAAGCUAGAUGGCACUUCCUUACCUCCCCUCGUAGUUGAGGGCAAGACUUUGGUUUUCGGAAACUUCAGAUUCUUCAUAGUGAUCAGCAGAUAUAAAUCCCAAGUAACUUAGAGAAUAUAGCAAUCGCAUCCCCGGCAACGGCGCCAGAAAAAUGCUGAUGGCACUCUCUGGCAAUGGCUAGACGAAUGCUAUUCUCGAUUGCUCAACAAUUAGAAAUUGUCUUGCAAUGACCCACCAGCGCGUGGGAUCGAGGUAGUUUUCGAGGGUAGAGUAUUCAACCCAAAUUUGUUGAUUCGCCAAUAGGAAGUUGGAGGAUACUCUCAAGUAUUAGCAGCUGAAUAUGUCAGAUUCAACCACACCUGAAAGAUUAAUAUCUGCAAGCAAAGUAUCAACAACAAAGUAGUAUGAUAGCAAUGAUGUCAGAAACGAUCUGUUGAUGGCACACUAUUCCUAACUAUCGUAUCAAUGGCGCCAGAAGUUGCCCGUUGACGGAAAUUGUCUUUUUCUGUCAACGUCGAGCGAAUCAGAAUUGUAGCAGGUAUCAGCUGUGUAACGAGUAGCAGCAGUGGCAAGGAACAGUAGUAGUGACAGAAAUAGCAAGUAACAGCAGUAGCAAGUAACAGCAGUAGCAAGUAGCAACAGUAUUCAUCAUGCAACAGUUAUAACACGGAGAUAUAUGUGGCUAGCUCCCGUUCGUCAAUGUGAUGUAGGCAUGCAUUCUGUGUGUAGUCAUACGUGCUUAGGGAAAAGAACUUGCACGACAUCUAUUGUCCAUCCCUCCCGUGGUAGCGGGGUCCAAAAGGAAACUACAGGAUAUUAAGGUUCUCCUUUUAAUAAAGAACCGGACCAAAGCAUUAGCACUUGGUGAACACAUGAACUCCUCAAACUAUGGUCAUCACCGGGAGUGGUUCCGGUUAUUGUCACUCCGGGGUUGCCGGGUCAUAACACAUAGUAGGUAACUACAACUUGCAAGAUUGGAUCUAAAACACACAUAUAUUGGUGACAACAUAAUAAUUUCAGAUCUGAAAUCAUGGCACUCAGGCCCUAGUGACAAGCAUUAAGCAUGACAAAGUAGUAGCAACAUCAAUCUCAGAACAUAUUGGAUACUAGGGAUCAAUCCUCGGCAAAACUAACUCGAUUACAUGAUAGAUCUCAUCCUACUCAUCACCGCCNNNNNNNNNNCGAACAAUGAAGAGCUUCAUGGAAUUGGAGAGGGAAGAAGGUUGAUGAUGACGAUGGUGACGAUUUCCCCUCUCCGGAGCCCAAAACGGACUCCAGAUCUGCCCUCCAGAUGAAGAACAGGAUGUGGNNNNNNNNNNNNNNNNNNNNNNNNNNNNNNNNNNNNNNNNNNNNNNNNNNNNNNNNNNNNNNNNNNNNNNNNNNNNNNNNNCUGGGACGAAUGUGAAUUUAUAGAGCUGAGUUUGGGGGCGGCAGAGCCACGUGGGCCCCACAAGCUUGCUACCCGCCACCAGGGGGGUGGCAGCUAUAGGGCUUGUGGCCCACUGGCCCAUCCCCUCUGGUGGAUCUUUGCGCGGGUAUUUUUCAUAUUUUCUAGAAAUAUUCUUCGUAAAUUUUCAGGACGUUCUGAGAACUUUCAUUUCUGCACAAAAACAACACAAAGGCAAUUCUGCUGAAAACAGCGCGAGUCCAGGUUAGUUCCAUUCAAAUCAUGCAAAUUAGAUUCCAAAACAAGGGCAAAAGAGUUUGGAAAAGUAGAUACGAUGGAGACGUAUCAAUGACGACAAGUACUAUCAAGCAAUGGAGAAUAAAUGCUAAUGAUAUAGAGAUGUGAAACCUCUAUGAAUGAAGAACCGAAAAAACUCCAUCCUCAAAAACGACAUAGAAUAUGCAUAUGAACUCCGUUUUCGAUGAACUUGAACUUGUCAUGAAUAUGACCAUAAGCUCAAGAACGCGCAUAGGGAAAAACCAUCCAAGAACCAAGAAAGAUUAUCUUUCCAAUAAUGCAUUGGUUUGAGCUCUCAACAGACGAUAUGAUCAAGCUACUCACUUGAGAGCCCCCCUUGGUAGUACGACAAUCUAUCCUAUAACCCGGUCUCCCAACUAACGCGCUGAGACCGGUAAAAUAGAAAACCUAUUAAGGACAAAUAUUUGCCUUGCGCAUAGUCCACUUGAGCUAAAUGAUGAUGAUGUUGUACUCCUCAAGAUUGACCACCUUCCUUCAUUGUGUUGGCUUGAUGAAGACUAGUUGAUUGCGCCCCAUACUUCACUAUAGGAAAGCAACUCUUCGGCACAUCUUCACCAUAGUGGACGACAAGAUUCAAGCAUGAUCUCGUCUGAUGCUCCACUUGAACUUGCACGCUGCAAUCUUCCAUGGGUUGAAUGAGACUUCCUGUUGACGCGGUCCCAUGGAAACACACCUACCCCACAUAGAACUUUCACAAAGACCAUGGGUUAGUACACAAAGCGUAAUGGACAAUGCUUACCGUACCAUGGGCUCACUUGAUCCCUCUCGGUACAUCUUGUACGCUUUGUGUGUUGAUCAACUUGAUUUACUCUUUGACUUAGUCUUGACCAACGUUGUGUAUUUAUGACCAAUCUUUGGAUAAAACCUUGAAUACCAUAUUGGUCAUCAUAUAAACUCUUUGAAACCAUUAGAUGGACUUCAAGAAGUGCCUAUGAACAAAUCCUUCGAAUAUAACUCAAGGCAAGCAUAUGCUCUAACAAUUCCCUACCAGGCACAUCAUUCAAAAGGAUGGAAGGUGUUCCAUAGGAUAGUAUCUUAUUGAUCCAAGUGAUGGAUCCAAUUUUUACGCACUUUUUAUAGCUCAUUUGUCGCCUAUUAUCUCCAUAUAGCAUGUUCUAUUGAGCAAAUGACAUGUACAUAUGCAUAAUUUCAAUUAUUUAUCAUGUCCAACACAAGGAUUGCAUAAUCGUUAUUCUUUGUUAGUGCUUAUAUGUGUCUUAUUUGUUUUUGUGUGUUUUGUAAGCAAUGUGGAACUCCCAUCCACUUAACACAAUGAAAAGGAUCCAAACGGAGGACAUCUAGGCACCAGACUUAGGCAGUCGGUUUUCAGAUGCUAAAAAUCAAUAUCUGCAUUGUAGGUUCAUGAGCGUUCUUCUCGUGAUUCCAACGAGUAGAGGAACGUUGAAAACAGAGUAUGGAUGUCAAAUUUACAAUUUUACCGAAGAGUCCAAACCAUUUAGUGACCUUUGGGAGGGAAAAAAUACUCGUCCCAGGCCCACACAAGCUCAAAAGUUGCAGGAUUUCAUUAUCGUUUGUUCCUACUACUUUCUUGUCCAUCAAGGGAUGUUUUGGGAAAGGAUUUGGUUCACCGAGAGCACUUAUAUCAAAGUAGAUGCUACAUCAAUGAAAGAGGGUUUGGGAGAGCUCUUAUAAAUAUAUCUCCAACCCUAACCACUCGGGGACACCAUCCAUAUCCACCUAUCCAUGCUCAGCUGUCAUCCCCAUCAAGAGGAACUUGGGGGUUGUGCCAAGCCUACAUCUCCAUUGUUGCAACCUUGGAGGAAGACUAGGAGGGAGUCAUGCUGGAAAAGCGUCAUGGGGGCUGCGGUCAUGGGCCAUAGCUGUCACAUCGUCCUCACCUAGCUACACCCCUUCUCAUUCCCCCAUCACGGUCUCCGUGAUGAAUUGUAACAACUCUUGAACCCCUUUAUAUGUGAUGUUAUUUGAGUAAUUCUUGGCUAUGGGUUGAUCAGCUAGUAAGCAUUUAUUUGAUAUGCGUCGUCUAUUUAUGCCUAUCAUCUUCAUGUUAUUAUUUACCCUUGCGGUAAUUUAGUGAUUGCAGCUGUACCGUCCAUUAGUGUAGUUGGAGACGUUCAACUCCCUAGGUCACACAUGAAGUUGAUAGAUACUUGUCCAUAUCGAGAGACCUCCGGGGUGACAGGCAUCGAUAUCUUGAGGGGAAUAAAAUUAUCCGAAGGAUCACGGUUGUUCAUAGAACUUAUUGCAUUCGGUUCAUGCCUUAUGAUAUUAAUGUCUUUCUUUUGCCCACUCACAGUAUGGGACAGGAAAUAGGAAGAGAGAGUUGUCUGAGUAUGACGAUGUUUGAGAGACAAUGUUAUGUGAGGGACCGCCCACCAUUGAUCAAUUGCGAUAUCGUAUAAUGCAAGGUAUAGACUUAAUUGUAGGUUUUAAUAGUUGAGAUAUAGAGCUUUUUGUCCUACCCACUAAUGUUUAAAACAAGGUAUGGUGUAGCUCAGCUCCAUUGUCACAAAGAGUGGUAAAAAAGUUGAGAUAUAGAGCUUUUCUUUUCGUUCCUACGCACAUAGUUGAAAAAAUCACAUCAAGGCCAAUGGACCAAAGAACAGCCAUUCCCUUCGCCAAAGCGAGGCGCAGAUGCGCUGUUGUCUUCUCUCCCACACAGGAGCUAGCCUCAUCAUGUCCAUGACAACUAGGAAGUCUUACUUGCACGUGCCCCUAAGUACCUGUGUUCUGGAACCACGGUUAUCCCCGAAUCGGUUUGAAGAACCUGACACGAAAUCUCGAUGUGCGUACGCACCCGAGAGGCUCCAUCUAAUCCUUCCUCGUGGACGAACUUCAAGAGGAUCGGAUCCCGAAAGACUAACUCGAAGAAGAAGCAUAACCAUCCAUCCCAGCACCAUCCGUAUGAGAGCUAAAACCCUACCUAUGUACUAGACGGAGCUGAGGCACCAGGAGUCCCCUUCCCGCCGAGGGGAGUCAUAUACAUAGGUUGGUCGACGGAUGUCAAGGGGAUGAAAGCUUUACCUAGUCGCCUUGCGAGAGGGGAAAGAACUUGUUCUACGUGUGGUCGGUUACUAUGCUAGUUGAGUUAAUUAUACCAAGAAAACACAUAUUUCAUUUUGAGAAACAUGCAUGUACACCACCCCUUUCAAUGCGCACACACACACUCUAUGCCUAUGAACAUUUACGAGAGAGUGAGCCAACAGACCUUAUGAUAAAAUAAAAAUACUUUACCCGCACCACUCAAAUGGCGUACUCAGACAAUUUGUAAUCAAAAAAUCUUGGGCUUAAAAUGAAACCAAAAACAAGGAAAGGUGGAAAAAGGUUGUGUGGCAACCACCCUAUAACAUCAAGAACUGAAACUUCCAUCAGACACAAUGCAUCUGAGGGCCACGCAACCUUUGAAAUGGAUAUGGCAGUGGCUGCAACAAGGCCAUUCCCAGGUACAACAAAUAAAGUCUGAGUUCAUCAAAACAAUGCCUUCAACAAGGCCAUUGCCACGUACAAAUAAUAUAGGCCAGACCAUUAGCUUUCACCAUGGAAAUCAAAACUCAUUACUCGAGGAGCAGCAUCAAAUUGCAGUCCUUCAGUGUUGCCGCCCCCGCUUGCCGAGACCGCUGUUGCAAGUCACCAAACACCUGGCACAUAGUCUUCAUCGUAUCCAAUACACCCUUCCAAUAAAGCUUAAGACCUCCAAUCACAGCGUCCAAGACUUCCUCCACCUCUAUUCAUGCCUUAGAAAUCAUAAAUUCGACAUGUCCAUGACACCCGUAAGAAAUCGAACAUUCGCGCCAUGCCCUCUCGAGCUGGGUUGGAUGAUAAUAUUAGCGCGCGCAACCGGAGCCUUUCCAGUCUAGAUAUCCAGGUUCGACAUACGUCAAUCUGUAUAGAUCUCUGAGGGGGAAGACCAGAAUGCGUCAGCAACCCGAUCCAAGAGGUCGACAUUAGGUAGAAAGACAACUUGGCGGAACAAAAGCGCUAUGGCCAAAGCACCAUUUUUAGGCCGAACCACACUCACCCACCUCCAAAGAAAACGAGCCACUCCGCACUAUGCCAAAUGCUCCAGCCACCAUACCGAGCACCACUCCGAGAAACACACCCCUGAACAACCUCCAUUUUACGGACUCAUGGCGCCAGGUCCCGAAUCCGGCUGCUCCCCGGGAGGAACGAGUCACUAGACGGCGUAGCAGCAAGCACCGGCUAUGCAUGCACUCCGGCCUGGUCGGUCCAGAGUGAUCACGAUGUUCAUCCACAUGAUUGCUAUAUCAUUGAGAGGUCAUGGUUGAUCGCAUCAUUUUGCAGGGUGCUUCAUCAUCAUGAAAUGAAUGAAUAUACGCUUCCUUUUUUGUGGGUUAGAUUCCACGAUGAUACAAAAUCUGGACUCACGAUACAUAAUUUAUGGGUUCAGUGGGGACGACAUGAACAGAGCAAAUGGACAACAGUGGGUUCUAAAAUUUUAGCUCAUGGAUGAAAACAAAGUUUUACCUUGCUUGGACACCCAAUUAAGUAGCAUUUCUACUCGCAAAAAAAAUAGCAUUUCCAAUUAAAAAAAAUCCUCCAUGACAUGUAAAUGAUUAGGCGUAGAAAAUAGUACUCCCUCCGUCACGGUUUAGAAGGCACAGUUAGACUUGCGUGCGUUUUCAAAAUAGACAAAGAUUAAGGCACAUUGCAUUUACUCCUAGCAGUUAAUUAGUAUUCCGUUGUACUAUUUCUAUAUGCAUGUGUAGUGUGAAUGCUAUUUUUUAACUCAUUGUAUAGCCAAUCAAUAACCACCUAGGUCCUAGAGAAUUUGCAUGCACGCCUUCUAAACCGUGACGGAGGGAGUACAACACUUUUGUAGUCCAAUGAAUAAUUGUGAAUAAAACAUAUAAAAGGUCAUGAUGACACACAUCACACAUGCAGCAAAUAUAUGUUAAUUACCUGCAUGAAAUGUUAUAAAAUGAAGCACCAAAGUUUACAAGCAAGCAUAAUUGGUUGACAAGUUUGUAUUAUAUAAAAGUGGAUAAAGGAUGUACGAUUAACAUUCGUCGUGCCUGUGCCACUGAACCUAAAUCGCCCAUCAACAAAGGAACUUCUUCGUGCACCUUUGAAGCGUUACCCGUCGGANNNNNNNNNNNNNNNNNNNNNNNNNNNNNNNNNNNNNNNNNNNNNNNNNNNNNNNNNNNNNNNNNNNNNNNNNNNNNNNNNNNNNNNNNNNNNNNNNNNNAUGAUCUAAACGUAUAUUUGUUCGUGCACAAUGCCCAAUUACUUCUUUUCAGAUAAAAAUACCAAGUUACUUUCGUAUGUUGCGUCAUGCUUCCCAUAAUUAUUGAUACUUCGAAACAACCUAUGCACAAGGCAAUAUAUUUUCCCGUGUAGUAGUCCAACCCAAUUUCAUUCCAACAUGAGAAAACUUGUGGAUACACCAUCUCUGCCCCUCACACGGCCUGAUGGCUGAUUGUGUCCUCAUCUAUGUCCUCCUCUUCCUCCUCCUCUCCCCUCACUCCCACCUGCCGUAGCAUCACUGUGACAUCUGUAUGCCUCCAAUUUGUCGCAUUUCUGGAGCACGAGAAAACUACAAGAGGCUAACAAGGCUACAUACGACAUAACUAUGGUAGGCUGUUGGCACUGCUGUUCACCUUCUUAAUAUCCUUGGAUGUUGGACUCUACGCCGGCCUCUCCCAUCUUGAGUGUUGGUGGCUGCAUGAUCUGAGCAUCGGCUUGGAUGGCGUCCAAUAAAGACACCAUGCAUUACUGGCAGUGUAGACUCUGACACACACAAGUAUAUGAUCUAAGCUUUUCGUUGGCCCAAAACGCACACAUACUGCAGCCAAGAUUAAUCGACAUCAAUGCCCAAUUACUUCCUUUCAUACAACAAAACAUAUCAACGCCAACAUGUGUGGGAUGAGAAGGCGCUGGGCUGCAUGCCAGUGUGGGCCUAUGCCAGGGGGACAAGACGACACUCUCAGCCUCGGAGAUGCUCCCGAUGCACUGCAAGCACCAUUGCAAAUUCGGAAUACGGUCUUUCUAUUCCCAUCUUCAUUUCCUUGUGUAUAAAUUGCUAACUGCAUGUACAUGACAGAUAGCAACAACAAAUUCUAAAACAAUCCCUCUCAUAUAGGCUAUACCACAUGGGAAAGAUCAUGAAUGUUGCGGUUCAAUUAUAAUCUAUUUGCAAUACCUAGAUUUUGUUUUUAGAUGUUUUGAGAGUAGUGUUCGUAAUUACAGAUGAAAACGUAAUCCUAUUGUUGUUGUGGCCUCUUGAUUUCUCCAUCAUAACAAGAAGAGGAAGUGUACACAUGUUGAAGUCACGUUUAGGCAUCAAUGUGAGUGGUAUGUAAGCAAACAUUGUCUAAUGGCCGACUAUAUGUUUCUUGAAUAAAAAUAAUUAUACAAUAUGAUUACAUAACGCUGCAAGCAGAUCCUAGAAAAAUAUAAAUGAAAUUGCACAAUAAAUUUUUUUGUGACCAUGAUUAUAUGAAUAUUAGUUUAGUCAUAGUAUAUCAUCAACAUAUUUAUUUUUAUGUUAUAUUUUGUAAUGCUGAUAUGUUCACAAAAAUAGUAAUAUUAGUAGUAGAAACUAAUAUUUUUGUACCAUUAUUAGUAGUAUAAUUUAUCACAAAAAUGUGAACCAAUGAUUGUAAAGCUUUUCCCACAACAUAAGCUAUUACUUGAAUGUGAUAAGGUGAGAUAGUAUUAUGACCAAAUGUUACGAGUGCAAGUUAAUUAUUAUAUCACAGAAAUAACUGAAUCAUUUCAUUUCAUUGUCUAACAAAUAAGUAUGCCCUCAAUUUGAAUUUAUUCGCAUAUGAGUAUUAUCUCGAGUUAGACUUCUACGAUACCGAAACAAUACCAUUAGACUCAUUAUUGAAUAUAUUUACACAUCUUAUAAGUUUUGAAAAAUGAACUUAUUAGGAAGUAUAAAAACCAGUCGGCCCACACAACCCACCAGAUGAAUUUAAAUUGACCUGCGAUAAAAUUAAUUACCACUCACCCUAUUAGGGUAGCCCGUGCGAAUGCACGGGUUCACGACUAGUUUAUCUAAUGUAGGUUAGAGCAACACCAACCAGGCCCCCCAAACGGACGCUCGUUUUGUCCGUGUUUUGUCCAUUUUGGUCGGCUUGUUCGUCCUGUUUUCGUUUUGGGUCCGUCGUGCGUCCAAUGCGCCCAUGCUUCUUUCGCGCUAUGCUUCUUUCGUUAGUGUGGUAGGCUUGCAGCCAUUUUUUGAUCUCUUUGUUACAUAUGUUUAAAAUUUAAUCCUAGAUUAACGAAGUUGAGUAAAAAUACAACCAUUUCAUAGUUCACAAACCACAUAAAUAUCUGAUAGUUUACAAGCCAAAUUUACAUUAAAUUGUCUCCAACACAUUUGAAAGAAAAGGUUGCCAACACAUCUAUUGGUUGCCAAUAUGAAUGCACAUAUGCUCGCAGCUGCAUGUGAGUUUCAAUCACGUAUCUGAUGAUGAAAUUGGACGAACUAUGCAAACGUGAUCACUCCUCCAUGCACAGGCACAACAUUGUCACCCUGUUGAAUCCUAGGUUUUCAUUGGAAUUGCCUACCAGGCACACCAUUCAAAAGGAUGGAAGGUGUUGCAUUGGAUAAGAUCUUGAUCCAAGUGAUGGCUCCAAUUUGUACACAAUUUUAGAGCUCAUUUGUCGCCUAAUAGCUCCAUAUAGCAUGUUCUAUUCAGCCAAUUACAUGUCCAUAUGCAUGAUAUCCAUUAUUUGUCCUUUCUGUCACAAGGAUUGCGUAAUCAUAAUUCUUUUUUAGUGCUUACUGUGUUUCUUUGUUUUUGAGUGUUUUGUAGGUAACGUGGAACUCCCAUACACUUAACCCAAUGAAAAGGAUCCAAAGGUAAGGACAUACAGGUACCAGAUUUAGGCAGUCGGUUUUUUAGUUGCUCAAAAUCGAUAUCUGAUAUUGUACGUGCAUCAGCAUUGUUUUCAUGAUUCCAACGAGCAGAAGAACAUUGAAAACAGAGUCUGGAUGUAAAAGUUACAAUUUUACCAAAGAGUCCAAAGCGUUUAACGACCUUUGGCAUGACCCAAAAUGCUCGUAUCAGGCCGUGACAAGCUCGAAAGUGGCCCUUUCCAAAGGAAUUCUUCGAGGCUUUCUUGUUCAGUGCCACAAGAAAGUGGUACUAUCAUUAUUAACUUUGUAUUUGUUGGCGUCAAUGUUAUGGACAUCAAUAUCACUACUAUCUAGAUUCAAAAAGAAUAAACCAUUCACAGUAGGCUCAUGACCAUAAAAGAUGUUACCCAUAUAAAUGGAACAACCAUUAUUCUCUAGUUUAAGUGAAUAACUGUCUCGCAAUAAACAAAAUCUAGAUAUAAUGUUCAUGCUCAAGCGGGCACCAAAUAACAAUUAUUUAGGUUUACAACUAAUCCUGAUGGUAAUCGAAGAGCGAUUGUGUCGACCGCGAUCACAUCAACCUUUGAACCAUUUCUGACGUGCAUCGUCACUUCGUCCUUUGCCAACCUUCGUUUAUUCCGUAGUUCCUGUUCAAGUUACAAAUAUGAGUAACCAAACCGUUAUCAAAUGGCAUUACUACGAGAGCUAGUAUGGUACACAUAAAUAACAUGUACAUCAAGUAUAUCUUUAUUGAUGUUGCCAGGCUUCUUAUUGGCCAGAUACUUGGGUCAAUUCCGCUUAUAGUGACCAGUUCCAUUGCAAUAGAAGCACUCAGUCUCAAGCUUGGACACAACUUUGGGUUUCUUGAGGGGGGGAACUGGCUUGUCGUUAUUCCUGAAGUUUCCCUUCCUGCCCUUGCCUUUCUUCAAACUAGUGGUUUUAUUCACCAUCAACACUUGAUGCUCCUUCUUGAGUUCUACUUCCGCGAUUUUCAGCAUCGCGAGAUUAGCUUCUUCAUCCCUUGCAUAUUAUAGUUCAUCGUGAAGUCUUUGUAGCUAGGUGGCAGUGACUAGAGAACUAUGUCAGGACCGUCUCAGGUGGAAUCUCAACUCCCAACUGAUUCAGGCGGUUGUACCACACACACAUUCUGAGUAUGUGCUCACUGACAGAACUAUUAUCUUUCAUCUUGCAGGUGAAGAAAUUAUUAGAGGUCUCAUACCUCUUGAUCCGGCCAUUUGCUCGAAAUACUAACUUCAACUCCUGGAACAUUUGAUAUGCUCCAUGGCGUUCAAAACGGUUUUGAUGUCCCAAUUCUAAGCUGUACAACAUGGUACACUGAACUAUCGAGUAGUCAUCAGCACGCGCCUGUGAGACGUUCAAAAAAUCUGCAUACGACACUAGAGGGGUGGCGUCUCAAGCGCUGCAUCAAGGACAUAAGCCUUUUGCGAAGCCGUGAGGAUAAUCCUCAGAUUAAAGACCCAGUCUGCAUAGUUAUUUCCAUCAUCUUUCAGCUUAUCUUUCUCUAGGUACACAUUCAAAUUCAGGGGAGCUACUGUGUGAGCCAUUGAUCUACAACGUAAUUUGCAAAGACAUCUAUAGACUAUGUGUCAUGACAAUGAAUUCAAUUAAUCAUAUUACUAAAGAACUCCCACUCAAAUCAACAUCCCUCAGUUGUCUAAGUGUGACAUGAUCCAAAUACACCAACCCAAGUCCGAUCAUCAUGUGAGAUGAGGUGAUUUCAAUGGUGAACAUAUCCAUUUGAUGAUAUGUACUACAUGACUCAUGUUCGACCUUUAGGUCUCCUCUAUUCCGAGGCCAUGUUUGUACAUGCUAGGCUCAUAAAGUUUAACCCAAGUGUUUUCCAUGUGCAAAACUGGCUUACAACACUUGUAUGUGAACGAAGAGUGUAUCACACCUGAUCAUCACGAGGUGCUUCGAAACAACAAACUUUCACAACGGUGAGGGAUCAACUUAUAAUGCUAUCAUUGUCCUAAGGAUAAUAAGAUGCAUAAAAUAUAAACAUCACAUGCAAAUCAUAUAAGUGACAUGAUAUGGCCAUCAUCAUCUUGUGAUUCUGAUCUCCAUAUCCAAAGCACCGGCAUGAUCUCCAUCGUCACCGGCAUGACACCAUGAUCUCCAUCAUCGUGUCGUCAUGUGGUUGUCGUGCUAACUAUUGCUAACUCAUAGUGAUAAAGUAGAGCAAAUGACACAAAUAAAUAAAAGACAACCCUAUGGCUCCUACCGGUUGUCGUACUCAUGGAGAUGGAAGUUGUGAUAACUAUACAAAACAUGAUCAUCUCAUACAUCACAUAUAUCAAAUCAUGUUUUUGGCCAUAUCACAUCACAACAUGCCCUCGACAAACAAGUUACACGUCCUCUACUUUGUUAUUGCAAGUUUUACACGGCUGCUAUGGGAAACUAGCAAAAAUCAUUCUUACAUACGCAAAGCCACAACGGUGAUAUUCAAGUUGCUAUCUAACCUUCUACAAGGACUGCCUGUGUCGAAUCCGAUUCAACUAAUUAAAUUGAGAGAGACAAACACCCGCGAACCACCUUUAUGCAAGCAAGUUACGUGUUAGUUGGUCAAACUAGUCUCUUAUGCGUGGACAGGUACGGUUGGUCCGAACCGCUCCAUCCCAGAAUAUCGCUGAAUCAAAAUAAUACUAAGGAGCUAAGCAAGAUGAACAUCAACACCCACAAACACUUUGUGUUCUACUUGUGCAUGCCAUCUAUACAGAAACCUAGCUCAUGAUGCCAGUGUUGGAGAAUGUUGCAUGGGAAACAAUAGUUUUCCUAUGUACACCCAAGAUCUAUCUAUGGAGAUGUAUAGCUACGAGACGGGGAGUGGAUCUACACACCCUUGCAGAUCACUAAGAGGAAACAUUAAGAAACGCGGUUGAUGUAGUUGUAUGUCUUCACGAUCCAAUCAUGAUUCGUCCUGAUCUAGCGCCGGUCAGACGGCACUUCCGUGUUCAGCACACGUACAGCUCGAUGACGUCUUAGCCCCCCAGAGAGCGAUGGUGGAGUAGUAGAUGAGUUCUCCAGUAGAACGGCGGCGUGGUGACGCACUAGUGGAGAAAGGGGUAUUAGAACCGGUUGGUAAGGGCCUUUGGACCCAGAUACACAUCCGGUGCUACGUAUCCGGGACUAAAGCCCCCCCCCCUUUAGCACCGGUCUCUUACAAACCGGUGCUAAAGGCCUCCACGUGGGCGCCGAAGAGUGCGCGCAGGCGGAGGACCUUUAGAACCGGUUGGUAACACCAACCGGUCCUAAUGCUUUUUUUUCUUUUUUUUCCUUUUCUUUUCACGGUUUCCGAUUCCGUAUUUUGGUGUUUCCGUGUUCCGUAUUUUCAGGGUUUUCGUUUUCGUGUUUCCAGUUCCGUAUUUCCGUUUACGUCUUUCCGAUUCCGUGUUUCCGAUUCCGUGUGUCCGUGUUUCGUUUUUUACGAACACGGAAUCGGAAACACGUAAUCGGAAACACCGAUUCCGUGUUUGCGGUUAAGUGUUUCCGAUUCCGUGUUUGCGGUUAAAUGUUGAUGCACCAAAUAAAAGUACAUAUAUACAUGUAACACGAAGUACUGGACCGAUUAUCAUUACAUAAUUUGAAGUUCGUUUCCUAUGGCUGUAUACUUGCAUAGAGAAGGGAACUGGCUAUUGGUUCGUAGGAUGGAAAAUUUCUCCGCCUUCAUCUAUGACUUGCGUGAGGAGAAAUCCUGCCAAUUCCUCUACAACUGCCUUGCAACGUUGGAUUGGUCUGAGCAUCGCCCGCUUUCGUUGCAGCUUUAAAAGAAGUAGAUGAAAACAAUUAAGUUAUGAACAAAACUAAACAUAAUUGAUGGCAACAUAAAUAAAGUUGUGAAGAUCCGGUUACGUACCUCUAGAUUUCUGGAAGUACGGGAUUUCUCAUUGAUAAUCCUGUGAAUGUACUCGCAAACGUAGUAUCCACAAUAAUCAGUNNNNNNNNNNNNNNNNNNNNNNNNNNNNNNNNNNNNNNNNNNNNNNNNNNNNNNNNNNNNNNNNNNNNNNNNNNNNNNNNNNNNNNNNNNNNNNNNNNNNUUCUUCUCCUCCUCCUCCUCCUCCUCCUCCUCCUUCUUCUUGAUUUCUUCUUCUUCUCCUCUUCCUCCUCUUUCUUCUUCUUCUCCUCCUCUUUCUUCUCCUUCUUCUACCAUAAUAAGCUCAAAAUGAAAAGAAAGAAGAAGAAGAGAUGAAGAAGAAGAGAGGAAGGAGAAGGAGGAGGAGGAGGAGAAGGCCAAGGACCUUCUAUCCUUCUCCUCCUCCUCCUCCUCUUUCUUCUCCUCUUUCAUAUUAUCCUUGCUUUAAUUAACCCAACAAUGACAUAGUUAGCCCAUUGAGCUCCAAAAUACCGUAAUAAGCUCAAAAUGGCAUAAGAACCUUGGUUAGCUCAUGAAUAUUAUAUACUUAGCUUCUUUUCCUCUAAAAGGACAUAAUUGGAAUAUUUAGCUCAAAAAAAAGGAGAAGGAAGAAGAAGAGGAAGAAGAGAAGAAGAAUAGAAGGAGAAGGAGAAGAAGAAGGAGGAGGAGGAGAAGAAGAAGAAGGAGGGGGAGAAGAAGAGAAGAAGGAGAAGGUAGGAGGAGAAGAAGAAGGAGAAGGAGAAGGAGCCCUCCUUCUUCUCCUUCUUCUUCUCUCCUUCUUCUCCUCCCUCUUCUCCUUCUUCUUCUCUUAUUUUUUCUUCUUCUCCUCCUCCUUCUCCUUCUCCUUCCCCUUCCCCUCCUCCUCCUCCUCCUCCUCCUUCUUGUUUUUCUUCUCCUUGUUCUAUUAUUGCUUCUUCUCUUUCUUCUUCAAUUUAGCUUAUUUGUCAUAUAUGUUGUUGUUCUUCUUGUACUUACUUUCUUAUUCCCAUUUUGCAGAUUGGAUGUACUACAUGCAUGGAAGCUGGCGUUGGAGUGCUUUAGUUUCCUUUUUUAUUUGAGUUGAUGAACAAUGUGUUGGUUCUUUGUAUGUGUUGAUGAACAAUGUGUUGAUGAACAAUAUAUGUGGAACUAUAUGUAUAUAUAUAUGGAUGAAACUUUGUAUAUGUUGGUUUCUUUUGAUAUAUGGAUGUCCAUUGAUGAACAAAUGACAUUGGUUAACUUUAUAUGUAUAUCAUAUAUGUGUUGUGAACUAUAUAUCAUAUAUGUGCUAUGAAUUAUAUAUAUUAUUGCUGUGAAAUAACAUAAAAUAAAAAAAACAGUGACAAUAUGGGCUCUUUGCCGUCUGCNNNNNNNNNNNNNNNNNNNNNNNNNNNNNNNNNNNNNNNNNNNNNNNNNNNNNNNNNNNNNNNNNNNNNNNNNNNNNNNNNNNNNNNNNNNNNNNNNNNNGGCGUGCGUGGGAGAGAGAGAGAGCGCGUGGGAGAGAGAGAGUGCGUGGGAGAGAGAGAGAGAGUGCGUGGGAGAGAGGAGAGAGGUAGGCGCCGUUAACGCUUCCGAGUCGUGGGGCUACGCACUUCCGUGCCAGUUCCUGCGGCGUUCUUCUUCUCCAGCCAUCGACCCCGGUGUCGAUCUUCCCCCCGUCACGCGCCGCAACAAGCGAUCCGGUCGUUCGCAGCUCCAGUGUUGGGUGCGACACGCCCUAGCGCGACAAAACAUGUCCUCUUAAGUGGCAGUGCUUGAAUCGGUUGUGGUCCCGCGGUCAUCCCAGUGCUUGGAGUCAGUUCUGACUGAACUACCUUCCGAGUAUCAGGGUCACGGGCCUGCAGCCGAAGUACUCAUGGCGGAUUCCCAUGAAAGUCCCUCCGGACUGGUCGGAACAAGGGUGAGAUCGGGGAAUCAUCCGGCGCUCGUCGUCAGCACCCUCGUUCUUCCGGUCGAUGCGCUCGCCAGAGCAACGUCGAGGUGCUCCGCACACCCAUCCUCAACUUAGCUGCAGCCGCCAGGAUCGCUGACUCUCUCCAGCCGACUGAUUCGGAGGCUGGUAGAGGAAUCGAGUAGAUCCGUGCCUUGUUACAUACGGCGCAGCAGCAAAACUCGGUGGUCUCCCAAUCGCACAACAAGAUACACAACAGUUCCGUUCAAGCGAACACGGGUGAGUUUUCAGUCCCGGCUCUCACCAGCAUCGCAGAGGGGGCAGCCUCUAGAACGAUCGUUCCAGGGACCAGAGUCGGAAUCCGCUUUCCAUUCGGUCUCAUCCCGAAGAUCGUCGCCGUUCGCGUACUCCUCCACGGAGUGGGCCUUACCGACCCCGGCAUUACGAUGGUCAUCGUUCGGGCGGUGACGCGCAUGAUCAAAGGCCUGAUGCAAGAGGGUAUAUCACUCAGAAGAAGGUUGAUAGAAGCUGAGCCACCGCGAUGGUCAUGAUAGAGAUCAUCCGAGUGGAAGCAGGACCGUUGUUUCUGGUCCCGAGUGUUUCAGUCGGGCAAUUCGCUCGGCUGACAUCCCUCCCAACUUCCGAUUGGCGACGGGAAUCAGCAAAUUCACAGGAGAGUCCAAACCAGAAACUUGGUUAGACGACUACAGAGUGGCGCUCUAGAUCGGUGGUGGAGAUGACCAUGUCGCCAUGAAACAUCUCCCGCUGAUGCUCGACGGUUCGGCUCGAGCUUGGCUAAACCAGUUAGCUCCAUCAAGCAUUUACAGUUGGGCAUAUCUGUCCCGAGUCUUCAUCAGGACCUUCGAGGGUACGUGCAAACGCCCUGCUGGUCUCACAGAGCUUCAGCACUGUGUCCAGAAGCAAAACGAUCCCUUGCGCGAUUUCAUCCAGCGCUGGACAACCCUGUACCACACGGUGGAGAAUGUUACUGAACACCAAGCAGUCUGCGCCUUCAAGGCAGGCGUUCGGUACAGAGAUCUAUACCUGAAGUUUGGUCGGACAUGCGACAUCUCCAUGAGCAAGAUGAUGGAGAUAGCCGCGCGCUAUGCGAGUGGCGAAGAGGAGGACCGCAUACAUAGCGGCAAGCAUAAGUCAGUCGCGGACGGAGAUGGGAGCAGCAGUCGGAAGUAGAAACAGAAAGCCCAAUCCACUCCGCAAGCAGAGGUGGCAGUCGUUACAAACGCUAAGUCCAAAGGCAAGGGGAAACCACAGUACACCCCCAAGAAGAAACAGUCAGGAAAUUCCAUCCUAGAUCAACCGAGGCCGAUCCACACGAAGACGGAUGAAGAAGGCAAUGUCAUAUUGCCGAAACAUACCACUCGGCAGUGUCGCCUCCUGAUCCAAGGAUUCGGUGAAGGACAGCCGAGUGAGAAAGACUCUGAGCAAGAUGAUGAGGACAAGGGGGAUCCGUUCCCUCAAGUCCAUGCAACGUUAAUGAUUUUUGCUGAUGUAGAAAGCAAAAGUCGACUGAAGCUGGUCAACAGGGAGGUAAACAUGGCAACCACAUCCACUCCCACGUUCCUCAAGUGGUCACAGACUGCAAUCACUUUUGAUCAGUCAGACCACCCAGCACACGUAUCCACCCCAGGGAGGCAAGCUCUGGUCGUCGACCCGGUGGUGGAAGGAGUUAGGCUGCGCAAAGUCCUCAUGGACGGCGGCAGCGGCUUGAAUAUCAUGUACGCCAAUACUCUCAAGGGAAUGGGCAUUCUGAUGUCCAGACUUAGCGAGAGCAGUAUGCAAUUCCAUGGAGUCGUCCCAGGAAGAAAGGCCAAGUCACUCGACCAGAUUGCGUUGGAUGUCGUUUUCGGCUCUUACCAGAACUUCCGCAAAGAGAAAUUAACAUUCGAGGUGGUAGACUUCCAGAGUGCAUACCAUGCCAUUCUGGGCCGUCCGACAUACGUACGUUUCAUGGCCCGUCCAUGUUACGUAUAUUUGAAGCUGAAGAUGCCUGGUCCCAAAGGCGUGAUUACUAUCACAGGCAAUCGGCAGCGGGCCGAGGAGUGCCUGCAGCAGGGGUCGAGAAUGGCAGACCAUCAGAUAGCUGUACUCGAGUUGGAUGAGUACAAGAAGAUUGCCGACCCCGCCGACCUGAUGCGUUCAAAGAAGCCAGCUUCCGAGUCCGCAUUCCAGUCGGCGAGAGACACGAAGAAAGUAAGCAUCCACCCGGCGGAUGCCACCGCCGCCCCAACAAACAUCUCCACCACCCUUGAUCCAAAAUAGGAAGACGAGCUCAUCCAAUUCCUCCGUGAGAACUGGGAAAUUUUUGCAUGGAAACCUGCUGACAUGCCAGGUGUACCGAGGGAGUUGGCUGAGCACCAAUUGCAUGUGGAUCCUACCGCUCGGCCCGUCUGAGAACACCUGCGUCGGUCCGCCGCGCACAAGAGAAAAGCAAUCGGAGAGGAGGUAGCUAAACUUCUGGCAGCCAACUUCAUUCGCGAGGUACACCACUCCGAGUGCCUCGCUAAUGUUGUCAUGGUACCCAAGAAGGACAAGUCUCUCCCUAUGUGCAUCGCUUUCAAGCACCUUAAUAAGGUCUGUCCGAAAGACCAAUUGAUCAAAUUGUUGAUUCGACUUCGGGUUCCAAGCGUUUAUCCUUCCUUGAUGCCUAUUCGGGCUAUCAUCAGAUCCGUCUGUAUGGUCCAGAUGAAUUAAAAACAUCUUUCAUCACCCCAUUCGGGUGCUUCUGUUACAUCACUAUGCCAUUCGGUUUGAAAAAUGCAGGAGCAACUUUUAUGCGAAUGAUCCAAAAAUGCCUCCUAGACCAGAUUAGUCGAAAUGUGGAGGCAUAUAUGGACGAUAUCGUAGUCAAGUCACGCAAAGGUUCCGACCUGCUGACUGACUUGGCAGAAACAUUCGCCAACCUACAUAGGUACGAUAUCAAGCUCAACCUAGGCAAGUGUUCAUUCGGCGUUCCCAGCGGGAAGUCACUCGGUUUCUUUGUUUCUGAACUUGGGAUCGAUGUCAACCCCGAAAAGAUCGGGACCAUUGUUUGAAUGGAGCGGUCGGUAAGAGUACAUGAUGUACAAAAGCUCACAGGUUGCCUAGCGGCUUUGAGCAGGUUUAUCGCUCGACUCGGCGAGAAGGCGUUACCUCUGUACCGACUCAUGAAGAAGUCGGAUACCUUCGAGUGGACAGACGAAGCCCAAACCGCAUUCGACGACCUCAAAGCCCUGCUUUCCACCCAGCCGGUUCUUACAACCCGCUCAGUAAAGAACCCCUUCUUCUAUACAUCGCGGCUACAAAUCAAUUCGUCAGCACCGUUCUGACAGUCGAACGCGAAGAAGAAGGCAAAGCGUACAGGGUUCAGCGGCCAGUAUAUUAUGUUUCCGAAGUCCUGACUCCUUCCAAGCAGAGGUAUCCCCAUUAUCAGAAGCUUAUUUAUGGGAUCUACAUGACUGCAAAGAAGGUGGCUCAUUAUUUCCAAGACCACUCGGCAUCCGUCAUAUCUGAUGCUCCGUUGUCGGAAAUUCUCCACAAUCGGGAUGCAUCAGGCCGAGUGGCAAAGUGGGCAAUGGAGAUGCUAUACUGCGACAUCAAGUUCGAAGCCAAGAAAGCUAUAAAGUCUCAAGCUCUUGCUGACUUCAUAGCAGAAUGGGUAGAACAACAGCAACCGACUCACAUCUACUCGACUCAUUGGACCAUGUUCUCCAAUGGGUCCAAGAUGUUGAAUGGCUCCGGCGCCGGCGUAGUGCUCAUGUCCCCGAAAGGUGAUAAACUCAAUUAUGUGUUGCAGAUCCAUUUUGAUUCUUCCAACAACGAAGUAGAGUACGAAGCUCUCCUUUACGGGUUGCAUGGCCAUCACACUCGGCGUCCGUCGCCUGAUGGUCUAUGGCGACUCAGAUCUAGUGGUUAAUCAAGUAAUGAAGGAGUGGGAUGUAAGGAACCCCACCAUGACUGCAUAUUGCAAUGCAAUAAGAAAGCUCGAAAAGAAGUUCGAAGGUCUGGAACUUCACCAUGUUCCCCGACUGAAAAACCAAGCAGCAGAUGAAUUGGCAAAACUUGGAUCCACACGGAGACCUGUCCCGAGUGAUGUCAGCCUCGAGCACCUACACCUCGCCUCGGUAAAAGAAGAUUAUUUUACACAGGAACCGGUGCAACCGAAGAGCUCAACAGAUUAGACUGAAGCCGAGGUUCCAGCUGUGGUUGACCUGAUCAUGGAGAUUCUGGAUAUCAUUCCCGAAUGGACUGUGCCAUUCAUUGUGUACAUCCUGAGGCAAGAGUUACCGGAAGACGAGGUCCAAGCGAGGCAGAUCGUUCACAGGUCGAAGUCCUUAACCAUCGUUGAUGACCAGUUAUACAGAGAAAGUGUUUCAGGCGUCCUUCAGCGGUGUAUCUCUCCUGAGGAGGGUCGGUUAAUUUUGGAAGAAAUUCACUCGGGAACCUGCGGCCAUCAUGCCUCCUGAAGGGUAAUCGUCGCCAAAGCAUUCAAAGCUGGUUUCUUCUGGUUGCAGGCGAAUGAAAUGGCAAAAGAUAUAGUCGACCAUUGCGAAGGUUGUCAGUUCUAUUCAAACAAGUCCCACAAGCCAAUGUCCGCGCUGAAGACAAUUCUCCUUUCUUGGCCAUUCGCCGUGUGGGGAUUAGAUACAGUCGGACCAUUCAGAACAGGCCAAGGAGGAUUCACCCAUCUGCUGGUAGCAGUCGACAAGUUUACCAAGUGGAUUGAAGCCAAGCCAGUCAAGAAGCUUGAUGCCCUUACGGCCAUCAAAUUUAUCACAGACAUCAUCGCCAAAUAGAGGGUUCCACACAACAUAAUCACCGACAAUGGCAUAAACUUUAACUCGGACGAGUUCAAAGGUUUUUGCGCAGGCCAAGGUAUGCGAGUGGAUUUUGCAUCCAUUGCGCACCCCCAAACAAAUGGACCAGCGGAGCGGGCGAAUGGACUCAUUCUUCAAGGGUUGAAGCCUCAACUCCUGCGGGAAGUUGGACAUGCCGCCGGCGCAUGGGUCACCGAGCUGCCUUUGGUGCUGUGGGGCCUCCGAACAACUCCGAAUAGAUCGAUAGGACGAUCCCCGUUUUUCCUCGUUUAUGGAGCAGAGGCAGUCCUUCCGAGUGACUUGCAUAACAACUCUCCACGAGUCGAACUCUUCUCCGAAGCCGAAGCAGAGCAAGCCAGGCAAGACGGACUAGACCUUUUAGAAGAGGAGCACGAGAUGGCAUUGAUCCGUUCAACAAUUUAUCAGCAAGAUCUGCGGCGAUUUCAUGCAUGGCACGCCAGGAGCCGCACGUUCCAAGCAGGCCACCUGGUGCUCCGAGUGGAUCAACAGAGACCACACAAGUUGGCUCCCGCCUGGGAAGGAUUGUUCAUCAUUUCUAAGGUGCUGAACAACAGAGCGUAUCGACUCUACAACCUCGACAGGGAGACGGACGAGCCGCGAGCAUGGAAUGGAGAUCUACUGAAGCGCUUCUACACAUAACCACCGACAGAGACAAUGUAAAGAACAAAUGUCAUCGAAGUAAUACAAAGCGGUUUAAUUUCUUGCCGAUUCAAAAUUCUUGCGCGUUUGCAGACUCCGGUCNNNNNNNNNNNNNNNNNNNNNNNNNNNNNNNNNNNNNNNNNNNNNNNNNNNNNNNNNNNNNNNNNNNNNNNNNNNNNNNNNNNNNNNNNNNNNNNNNNNNAACAUAAAAUAAAAAAAACAGUGACAAUAUGGGCUCUUUGCCGUCUGCCUGCUGGGGGGGCAGACGGCAAAGAAGAGGGCACAGAGGAGGGGCAGGAGUGGAGAGAGGGGGAGGGGAGGACACGGCAGACGGCAAAGAUUGACCAGCAGGCAGACGGCAAAGAGCCUCCGUUAACCCCUAACGGAGGCAACGCCUCUCGGCUGCCGUCUCAAGCUCUUUGCCGACUGCUCCUCAAGGAAGCUGACGGCAAAGAGCUUUGCCGUCCGCUUUGGGGGGGGGGGNNNNNNNNNNNNNNNNNNNNNNNNNNNNNNNNNNNNNNNNNNNNNNNNNNNNNNNNNNNNNNNNNNNNNNNNNNNNNNNNNNNNNNNNNNNNNNNNNNNNNNNNNNNNNNNNNNNNNNNNUAGGCUGACGCAGAAAAUUUGCCAGCCGUGACAAUCUUUGCCGUCUGUGGUAUGUUCUUUGCCGUCCGGGUAUUUGUCUUUGCCGUCCGUGAUGGCAGAUGCCAAAGAAGGUGAUUCCUGUAGUGGAUGUACAGAGUGGAUUCCAGUCGGUACGUUAGAUAUGCUCCGAGUGGAUCGUCGCCGACUGGAUGAUGGGGGCGUCCUUAGUUCAGUUGGAACUGUCUAAGGGCCUUCUCCCCUAUGAAGGGUAGUCCUUGGGUAGGACCUAUAGGGCAGACCUAUGACNNNNNNNNNNCUCGCUAUGCUCCAUCAUCCUCACACAACUAAUGUAAAUCAUGCACAACCCCGGUAUUGGCCAAGUAAUUGUUUUCGCACUCUUACUUUCUCAAACUUUUUAUAACAGUCACGCAACACAUGAGCGUGAGCCAUGGAUAUAGCACUAUAGGUGGAAUAGAGUGUGGUGGUGGUUGUGAGACAAAAAGGGAGGAGAUAGUCACAUUGACUCGGCGUAUCAAAGGGUUAUGGCGAUGCCCAUUAAUAGAUAUCAAUGUGAAUGAGUAGGGAUUGCCAUACAAGAGAUGCACUAGAGCUAUAAGUAUGUGAAAGCUCAAAAGGAGAACUAGUGGGUGUGCAUCCAACUUGCUUGCUCACGAAGACAUAGGGCAAUUUUGAGGAAGCCCAUCAUUGGAAUAUACAAACCAAGUUAUAUAAUGAAAAUUCCCACUAGCAUAUGGUAGUGACAAAGCAAGAAGCUCUCAAUCAUGAAGAAUAUGGUGCUAUUAUGAAGCACAAGUGUGGAAAAGGAUAGUAGCAUUAUCCCUUCUCUCUUUUUCUCUCUUUUCUCUUUUUUUCAUUUGGGCUCUUAGGCCUUUUUUUCUUUUCUCCUUUUUUUGUUUUUGGGCUCUUUGGACUCUUUUUUUAUUUCCUCACACGGGACAAUUCUCUAAUAAUGAUGAUCAUCACACUUUAAUUUACUCAUAGCUCAAUGAUGACGACCCUAUAGGAAAUGCGUCCGGCAGUGUACCGGGAUGUGCAACGAUCUAGAUGGCGUAUGCCGUUGAAACAUCUCGCUAGCUAUCUUACGAUCAUGCAAUGGAAAUAUGAGAGUGACGGCAGAAGUCAUGAGACGGAACGGUGGGAGUUGCAUGGCAAUAUAUCUCGGAAUGGCUAUGAAAAUGCCAUAGUGGGUAGGUAUGGUGGCUGUUUUGAGGAAGGCAUAUGGUGGGUUUGUGCACCGGCGAGAAUUGCGCGGCACUAAAGAGACUAGUAAUGGUGGAAGGUGAAAGUUCAUCUAUACCAUGGACUCACAUUAGUCAUGAAUAACUCACAUACUUGUUGCGAAAGUUUUUAUAAGUAACCGAAACAAAGUGCUAAACGCAUACUCUGAGGGGAAGGGUUGGUAGGUGUUAACCAUCGCGCGAUCCCGACCUCAACACAAAGGAUGACAAUCAAUAGAUCAAUUAUGCUCCGAUUUCCUAACAUAGCGGUCACCAUACGUGCAUGCUACAGGAAUCACUAACUUCAACACAAGUAUUUCUAGAUUCACAACACCCUACUAACAUAGCUCUUAAUAUUACCAAAUCCACGUCUCAAAACUAAUUGGAGGAAUCAAAACUUCUCUUUCUACUCAAUGCACAUGAAAAUGGAGGUUUUUGCAUCCUCUUUGGGUACUUAUCACAUUUGGGACUACUUUCAUAGCAUAAGUCAACUACCAAAUCACGCACCGCCGUGCUCUAAAAGAUAUAAGUGAAGCACUAGAGCAAAAGUAUCUAGCUCAAAAGAUAUAAGUGAAGCACUAUGAGCAUUCUNNNNNNNNNNAAAAAUCACGAUGAGUGCAUGUCUCUCUCUCUAUCAAAAAGGUGUGGAGCAAGGAUGAUUGUGACACAACAAAACGAAAAGACUCCUAAGAUACAAGACGAUCCAAGCAAAACACAUAUCACGUGGUGAAUAAAAAUAUAGCUCCAAGUAAUGUUACCGAUGGAUUGAAGACGAAAGAUGGGAUGCCUUCCCGGGGCAUCCCCAAGCUUAGGCUUUUUGGUGUCCUUGAAUUUGGCUUGGGAUGCCUUGGGCAUCCCCAAGCUUGAGCUAUUUCCACUCCUUAUCUCUUUGUCCAUGAGAACAUCACCCAAAACUUGAAAACUUCACAAAACAAAACUUAAACAGAAGCUCGUGAUAACAUUAGCACAAGAAAACAAAUUACCACUUCUUUUGGUACUGUAGCAAACUUGAAUUCUAUCUAUAUUGGUGUUGGGCUACUCCAUUCUCACUUUUCCAUGGCUAGUACCCCCCGAUACUAACCAUAGUUUCAUCAAAACAGGCAACCAACUCAACAAAAACAGAAUCUGUCAAAAACAGACCAGUCUGUAGUAAUCUGUAUACUUCCUAUACUUGUGGUAACUCAAAAAAUUUCUGAAAAAUUGUGAAUGCCUGGGAAAAAGGUAUAUCAACCAGCGGAAAAAAGAAUCAAGUCAAAAUCUCUUUCUGAAUAAAAAUGAAAAAUCAUCUCGUGAGCGAAAAGUUUCUGUCUUUUUCCAGCAGGAUCAAACAACCAUCACCAAGACUAGUCAUAAAGGUUUUGCUUGGCUCAAACACAAAAAGAAACACAAAAGACACAAUCAUAACAGAAUUCUGAUAGUGUGGACGCAACAAAUUAGAAAGAAAAAGAAAUAAAUUUAUUGGGUUGCCUCCCAACAAGCGCUAUUGUUUAACGCCCUUAGCUAGGCAUAACGAAUUCAAUGAUGCUCACGCAAAAGACGAGAGUUGAAGCACAACGAGAGCAUCAUCAAGCAUGUGAAAAUCACAUCGAAGUCUAACAUACUUCCUAUGCAUAGGCAUUUUAUAGGAAAAAAAAUUGGUCAAGCAACCAAUAGUUACCAAAUGCAAGGAAGAAGAAAGAGACAAUAGCAAUCUCAACAUAACGAGAGGUAAUUUGGUAACAUGAAAGUUUCUGCCACAAUAUUUUCCUUUCUCAUAGCAAUUACAUGUGGGAUCGUAUUCAAAUUCAACAAUAUAGCUAUCCCAUAUGAUAUUCUUUUCAUGAUCCACAUGCAUGCAAAGUUAACGCUCUUCAAAAAUAGUGGGAUUAUCAUCAACUAAAGCCAUGACUUCUCCAAACCCACUUUUAAUCUUAUUGCAAAAUCAUAUUCAUCAUGAGGCUUAAACAAAUUUUUAAGAUCAUAAGAAAAAUCAUCGCCCCACUCUUGUUCAUUGCAACAAGUAGUGGACAUAACAAAACUAGCAUCCCCAAGCUUAUGGUUUUGCAUGUUCUUAGCAUCCCCAAAUUUACAGUGAAACCAUUGCAAUCAUGCUUUUCAUCCAAGGAGCCCUCAUGAAUCACUUCAUAAAUUUCUUCCUCACAAUUUUCAGAUUCACGCAUCUCAAGCAAAACUCCAUAAAGAUAGUCAAGUGCACUCAACUCACUAGCAAUUGGAUCAACAUAAUUGGAUCUCUUAAAGACAUUAGCAAGUGGAUGAGGAUCCAUAUCACUAGAUUUUCAGCAAGCGAAGAUGCAAGCAUAUUUAAGGCACAUGGCACAUAAGCGAACAGAAAGCAAGCGAGAGAAAAGGGCGACCGAAAAAGGCAAACGAAAAAAAGGCAAACGAAAAAGGCAAAUAGGUGAAGUGGGGAGAGGAAAACGAGAGGCAACUGGCAAACAAAGUAAAUGCAAGAGGUGAGUUUGCGACACCUACUUGGAUGAGUUCUUGACUUGAUCUUCCUCCCCAGCGACGGCGCCAGAAAUCCUUCUGCUACGGUCCUAGACAACAGCGCCAGAAGUUGACACGUUGAUGGAGAUUGGGCUUGCGUUGGUUUGUCUUCUGAUCAUCUCUCCGUGUCGGCCCUUCCUCCGAUGCUUGCCCCCACGCACCGUAGCUCCGCCGCCAGCCCUGCCUCCGCCUCCUCCUUCGUUACUCGCGCCCGCCCACCGCAGCUUCGCCGUCGGCCCCGCCUCCGCCUCCGCCUCCGCUGGUCGCCCCCGCCCACUUCAGCACCGCCGCCGCCCCUACGACGCUCAUUUUAGGAAUUUUGUAUAGGAAUUUUAGAUAUUUUAGAAUGUAGAUUAACUCAUUUUGAUCGGUAUGUAGUUUAUAGUGUAAUCUCUAGAAGGUCUUAUAUUUAGGAAAGGAGGGAGUAAUGUUGGUGUGACUUACUAGGCUACUUCUUAUUAGGCCCCUCCCGUAUUUGUGCUAAUGUUUAUAUGAAAAUACUAGGUUACUUCUUAUUAGGCAUUAAGUUCUGGACGUCGACGACUGACUACUAUAUAUGAUUCAGUUUUUCCAUUAAAUACUAAAAUGUUAAUCUUAGAAUCUAUAAGCAUCAAGAAAAAAAAUUGCCGUCGAUUUUUAAUCUUAGAAUGAUGAACAUAGGAAAUGACGUGGUCCGACGACGAUAGGAUCCCUAAGUGCCAGUUGUGCCGGGAUGACACGAGUAUAUGCGACCGUUAUCCUCACCUAGACAACGGUACGUCCUUCACCAUCAAGCUACAUGAUGACUUUGAGAUUAUUAUGGUAUGUAAAGACGACAUGUAAUUUUUGUUAAUAAAGUAUGACGUAUGAUUUUUUUUGCUUUAAUUAACUUUUAAUUUUCUUUUGUACAAUUCGACUACACUAGUAGAAAAUAGGGCUUUGGUCGAGGCGAUCAAAGAGCUUUAAUCCCGGUUCUGUUACGAACAGGGACCAAUGUGUUCAUCAGUCCCGGUUCGUGAGGCUAAGGCACCGGCCGGGCCAGGGUCCCAGUUCGUCUGACCACUUUGGUCCCAGUUCCAGACAAGAACCGGGACCAAUGGUCCUCGCUCUUGGAGAAGAACCUUUAGUCCCGGUUGGUGGAUGGAACUGGGACUAAAGGUCAGUUUUCUGUCCCGGUUUUGACCACCAACCGGGACCAAAGAGAUUCCUAUAUAUACACGCACCUACCCAUCCUCUCCUCUGUUUUUUGCCGUGUGGGAGGUGUGCAUGCAGUGCUCGGUUCAUCGUUCCACGCAUGCACAUGAGGUGUUCGAUGAAAUGCCCGAGCCACACUUAAGCUUUCUCCUCUUGAAGCUCGACCUCCAAGCUCCAUUUUCCUCAAGAUUUGUUUUGGUUUGGCGGUGCACCAACUACACAUGUGUUCUAAAAGGUUAGCUACUUCAUCCUUUCAUCUCCCACUCCUAGUUUAGCUCAUUUCAAAUGCUCUAGAAGUAGAGAGGUUUCUGGGUUUUAGUGUAGCAGUGUAUGUGGGAGUUCUUUUUAUGUAGAUGCACAAUUUUGCUCCAAUUAACUUCUUAGAGUUUGCACAUGUGUAGCGUGUCGUCCCAUCCCCGUCCUCACCGUCGUUGAUCGUCCACGCCGAUCUCGUCACGGCACCACCAUGGUGAGCCUCUUGUUCUUAUUUUCUUUCUAAAAGAAAAAAAUAAUUCUUACUUGUAUGAUUUAGAUAGAUACUUGUAUAAAUUUCUUACUUUUAUUAUUAUUUGUUGAAGGUGAGCUCUACUCAUUGGCCAGGGGAGCAUCUUCGACUGUAUUGACUUACAAAGGGUACGAGAUAAAUGAGAAUACAUUUUAUACGAUUGCCCAAGAUCAAAAGAGCACCAACCAAAAUAGUGUUGUCCGCUUUGAUGCAGCAACCAAGGGGGGAAAUGACACGUAUUAUGGUUACAUAGUGGACAUAUGGGAACUUAGACUAUGGACAUGAUAUUGAGGUCCCUUUAUUUCGAUGCAAAUGGGUCAAUCUAUUAGGAGGUGGGGUACAGGUAGACCCACAGUAUGGAAUGACAAAAGUGGAUCUGAACAAUCUUGGGUACACAAACAAACCAUUCGUCCUAGCCAAUGAUGUGACGUAUGUUUUCUAUGUGUAGGACAUGUCUACCAAACUGAGAAAAAGAAAAGAUAAAGAAGCGAAUACAUCAUACGAUGAGCCAAAGCGCCACAUAGUUCUUUCAGAGAAAAGAGACAUCGUGGGAGUGGAGGGCAAGAUAGACCCUUUCAGUGUGUUAUGUGGGUGAAAUGAUGAUACAUUUUUGUCGUAACCCUUUCAAUUUUUUAGCACAUGCUAUGUGGGUGAAAUGAUAAUACCAUGACAACUCUCAACCUUUUCAGUGUGUUCAUUUGUAGUGCUUUUCAGUUUCAGGGUCAUUUAGCUAAAAACAAUCAGUAAAUGCAUGAAAAAUACCAAAUGAAGUGAGAAACGGUUGAAAAUUGAUGGUGUGGCUUUUGAAUGGUUCAUGUUGAAUGCACAAAAAGUCUGGAGUUCAAAUAAGUUCAAAAAAAUGAAAUACCUUUGUAACAGAUGAGUUUUCGUCUGAAACCGUGAUACUUCGAAAGAGAUUGUCGAUUUUGCACACGAAGUGCAUCCAGUUUCUGUCGUAACCCUCUCAACUUUUUAGCAUAUGCUAUGUGGGUGAAAUGAUGAUACCAUGCCAACUUUCAACCUUUUCAAGUUUAUUUGUAGUGUUUUUCAAUAUCAAGGUCAUUUAGCUCAAAGAAUAACUAACAGAAAAAAGAAUGAACUAACAAGAAUCAAAAUAAUAUUAACUAAAAUCAUCAAAGUAUUGAUUUGUUAAAAAUAAUGAACUAAAAAGAAUUAAAAGAUAUUAACUAAAAUUAUCAAAGUAUUUAGUUGUUAAAAAGAAUGAACUGCAAAGAAUCAACUAAAAGAAUGAACUAAAAAGAAUCAAGUAAAACAUUAACCGAAAGGAAUGAACUAAAAAGAAUAAAAAAAAUGAACUAAAAAGAACUUUCAUAAAUUUUCUUAGUUAAAAUCUUUAAUAGCAAACUAAAAUAACAGAAAAAAUCUUUAAUAGCAAAGAAUUCAAAUUUGAAAACUACUGGCACUAAUAGAAAUUUUAUAACAGAAAGUUUAUAAUUUUUGUUACCUAAAGCAAAAAGAAUCAUUCAAAANNNNNNNNNNNNNNNNNNNNNNNNNNNNNNNNNNNNNNNNNNNNNNNNNNNNNNNNNNNNNNNNNNNNNNNNNNNNNNNNNNNNNNNNNNNNNNNNNNNNCUAAUGGCGCACCAGCACGUGGUGCGCCAUUAGUAACCUGGUUAGUAAUGGCGCAUCUGUUAGUAGUGCGCCACUACUAUAAAAAAAAUUGGUUUUUUUUUGCAAACUACUAAUGGCGCACCAAAGCUAGUGCGCCAUUAGUAACCAGUGUUACUAAUGGCGCAUCUGUUGGUGGUGCGCCACUACUAAGUUCUUUUUACAGAACUACUAAUGGCGCACAAGAGGAGGUGCGCCAUUAGUAACCUGGUUAGUAAUGGCGCAUCUGUUAGUAGUGCGCCACUACUAUAAAAAAAAUUGGUUUUUUUUUGCAAACUACUAAUGGCGCACCAAAGCUAGUGCGCCAUUAGUAACCAGUGUUACUAAUGGCGCAUCUGUUGGUGGUGCGCCACUACUAAGUUCUUUUUACAGAACUACUAAUGGCGCACAAGAGGAGGUGCGCCAUUAGUAGUUCUGUAAAAAAAAUAGUAAUGGCGCACCACCUACGAAUGCGCCAUUAGUGACCCUGGUUACUAAUGGCGCACCUCCUCUUGUGCGCCAUUAGUAGUUCUGUAAAAAGAACUUAGUAGUGGCGCACCACCAACAGAUGCGCCAUUAGUAACACUGGUUACUAAUGGCGCACUAGCUUUGGUGCGCCAUUAGUAGUUUGCAAAAAAAAACCAAUUUUUUUUAUAGUAGUGGCGCACUACUAACAGAUGCGCCAUUACUAACCAGGUUACUAAUGGCGCACCACGUGCUGGUGCGCCAUUAGUAGUUUUGCAAAAAAAAAUAUAUAUAUAUAGUAGUGGCGCACCGAGACUGUGGUGCGCCAUUAGUAUCCACCACACUAAUGGCACACCUCACAUGGUGCACCAUUACUAUAUAGUAGUGGCGCACUGCUUGUGUGGUGCGCCAUUAGUAUCUAUAUCAUCUAUAUCCCUUUUCCUAGUAGUGGAGGGGCCAAGUCUGCGCUCUAUCUACCCCUCCUCCUAUAUAUAGAGAGGGAGAUAGAGGGCAGUACCACCCCAAGGCAUUUCUCCUCCGAAAAGCAUCUGCGGCAACGCUUGGCGAAGCCCUCUUGAGAUCGCACCACCACUGCCGCCACCAUGCCGUUGUGCUACCCGAGAACUCAUCUACAAGUUCAGCCAUGCUUGCUGAAUCGAGAUCAUGAAGACGUCAUCGUGUUGUACGUGUGCUGAACGCAGAGGUGCCGUCUGUUCGGCACUUGAUCGGAACGAUCGUGACUUGAUCGCGAAGACGUUCGACUACAUCAAGCACNNNNNNNNNNNNNNNNNNNNNNNNNNNNNNNNNNNNNNNNNNNNNNNNNNNNNNNNNNNNNNNNNNNNNNNNNNNNNNNNNNNNNNNNNNNNNNNNNNNNUUUUGAAUGAUUCUUUUUGCUUUAGGUAACAAAAAUUAUAAACUUUCUGUUAUAAAAUUUCUAUUAGUGCCAGUAGUUUUCAAAUUUGAAUUCUUUGCUAUUAAAGAUUUUUUCGGUUAUUUUAGUUUGCUAUUAAAGAUUUUAACUAAGAAAAUUUAUGAAAGUUCUUUUUAGUUCAUUUUUUUUAUUCUUUUUAGUUCAUUCCUUUCGGUUAAUGUUUUACUUGAUUCUUUUUAGUUCAUUCUUUUAGUUGAUUCUUUGCAGUUCAUUCUUUUUAACAACUAAAUACUUUGAUAAUUUUAGUUAAUAUCUUUUAAUUCUUUUUAGUUCAUUAUUUUUAACAAAUCAAUACUUUGAUGAUUUUAGUUAAUAUUAUUUUGAUUCUUGUUAGUUCAUUCUUUUUUCUGUUAGUUAUUCUUUGAGCUAAAUGACCUUGAUAUUGAAAAACACUACAAAUAAACUUGAAAAGGUUGAAAGUUGGCAUGGUAUCAUCAUUUCACCCACAUAGCAUAUGCUAAAAAGUUGAGAGGGUUACGACAGAAACUGGAUGCACUUCGUGUGCAAAAUCGACAAUCUCUUUCGAAGUAUCACGGUUUCAGACGAAAACUCAUCUGUUACAAAGGUAUUUCAUUUUUUUGAACUUAUUUGAACUCCAGACUUUUUGUGCAUUCAACAUGAACCAUUCAAAAGCCACACCAUCAAUUUUCAACCGUUUCUCACUUCAUUUGGUAUUUUUCAUGCAUUUACUGAUUGUUUUUAGCUAAAUGACCCUGAAACUGAAAAGCACUACAAAUGAACACACUGAAAAGGUUGAGAGUUGUCAUGGUAUUAUCAUUUCACCCACAUAGCAUGUGCUAAAAAAUUGAAAGGGUUACGACAAAAAUGUAUCAUCAUUUCACCCACAUAACACACUGAAAGGGUCUAUCUUGCCCUCCACUCCCACGAUGUCUCUUUUCUCUGAAAGAACUAUGUGGCGCUUUGGCUCAUCGUAUGAUGUAUUCGCUUCUUUAUCUUUUCUUUUUCUCAGUUUGGUAGACAUGUCCUACACAUAGAAAACAUACGUCACAUCAUUGGCUAGGACGAAUGGUUUGUUUGUGUACCCAAGAUUGUUCAGAUCCACUUUUGUCAUUCCAUACUGUGGGUCUACCUGUACCCCACCUCCUAAUAGAUUGACCCAUUUGCAUCGAAAUAAAGGGACCUCAAUAUCAUGUCCAUAGUCUAAGUUCCCAUAUGUCCACUAUGUAACCAUAAUACGUGUCAUUUCCCCCCUUGGUUGCUGCAUCAAAGCGGACAACACUAUUUUGGUUGGUGCUCUUUUGAUCUUGGGCAAUCGUAUAAAAUGUAUUCUCAUUUAUCUCGUACCCUUUGUAAGUCAAUACAGUCGAAGAUGCUCCCCUGGCCAAUGAGUAGAGCUCACCUUCAACAAAUAAUAAUAAAAGUAAGAAAUUUAUACAAGUAUCUAUCUAAAUCAUACAAGUAAGAAGGGGGGGGGGGAAAGAAAAUAAGAACAAGAGGCUCACCAUGGUGGUGCCGUGACGAGAUCGGCGUGGACGAUCAACGACGGUGAGGACGGGGAUGGGACGACACGCUACACAUGUGCAAACUCUAAGAAGUUAAUUGGAGCAAAAUUGUGCAUCUACAUAAAAAGAACUCCCACAUACACUGCUACACUAAAACCCAGAAACCUCUCUACUUCUAGAGCAUUUGAAAUGAGCUAAACUAGGAGUGGGAGAUGAAAGGAUGAAGUAGCUAACCUUUUAGAACACAUGUGUAGUUGGUGCACCGCCAAACCAAAACAAAUCUUGAGGAAAAUGGAGCUUGGAGGUCGAGCUUCAAGAGGAGAAAGCUUAAGUGUGGCUCGGGCAUUUCAUCGAACACCUCAUGUGCAUGCGUGGAACGAUGAACCGAGCACUGCAUGCACACCUCCCACACGGCAAAAAACAGAGGAGAGGAUGGGUAGGUGCGUGUAUAUAUAGGAAUCUCUUUGGUCCCGGUUGGUGGUCAAAACCGGGACAGAAAACUGACCUUUAGUCCCAGUUCCAUCCACCAACCGGGACUAAAGGUUCUUCUCCAAGAGCGAGGACCAUUGGUCCCGGUUCUUGUCUGGAACUGGGACCAAAGUGGUCAGACGAACUGGGACCCUGGCCCGGCCGGUGCCUUAGCCUCACGAACCGGGACUGAUGAACACAUUGGUCCCUGUUCGUAACAGAACCGGGAUUAAAGCUCUUUGAUCGCCUCGACCAAAGCCCUAUUUUCUACUAGUGUAGUCGAAUUGUACAAAAGAAAAUUAAAAGUUAAUUAAAGCAAAAAAAAUCAUACGUCAUACUUUAUUAACAAAAAUUACAUGUCGUCUUUACAUACCAUAAUAAUCUCAAAGUCAUCAUGUAGCUUGAUGGUGAAGGACGUACCGUUGUCUAGGUGAGGAUAACGGUCGCAUAUACUCGUGUCAUCCCGGCACAACUGGCACUUAGGGAUCCUAUCGUCGUCGGACCACGUCAUUUCCUAUGUUCAUCAUUCUAAGAUUAAAAAUCGACGGCAAUUUUUUUUCUUGAUGCUUAUAGAUUCUAAGAUUAACAUUUUAGUAUUUAAUGGAAAAACUGAAUCAUAUAUAGUAGUCAGUCGUCGACGUCCAGAACUUAAUGCCUAAUAAGAAGUAACCUAGUAUUUUCAUAUAAACAUUAGCACAAAUACGGGAGGGGCCUAAUAAGAAGUAGCCUAGUAAGUCACACCAACAUUACUCCCUCCUUUCCUAAAUAUAAGACCUUCUAGAGAUUACACUAUAAACUACAUACCGAUCAAAAUGAGUUAAUCUACAUUCUAAAAUAUCUAAAAUUCCUAUACAAAAUUCCUAAAAUGAGCGUCGUAGGGGCGGCGGCGGUGCUGAAGUGGGCGGGGGCGACCAGCGGAGGCGGAGGCGGAGGCGGGGCCGACGGCGAAGCUGCGGUGGGCGGGCGCGAGUAACGAAGGAGGAGGCGGAGGCAGGGCUGGCGGCGGAGCUACGGUGCGUGGGGGCAAGCAUCGGAGGAAGGGCCGACACGGAGAGAUGAUCAGAAGACAAACCAACGCAAGCCCAAUCUCCAUCAACGUGUCAACUUCUGGCGCUGUUGUCUAGGACCGUAGCAGAAGGAUUUCUGGCGCCGUCGCUGGGGAGGAAGAUCAAGUCAAGAACUCAUCCAAGUAGGUGUCGCAAACUCACCUCUUGCAUUUACUUUGUUUGCCAGUUGCCUCUCGUUUUCCUCUCCCCACUUCACCUAUUUGCCUUUUUCGUUUGCCUUUUUUUCGUUUGCCUUUUUCGGUCGCCCUUUUCUCUCGCUUGCUUUCUGUUCGCUUAUGUGCCAUGUGCCUUAAAUAUGCUUGCAUCUUCGCUUGCUGAAAAUCUAGUGAUAUGGAUCCUCAUCCACUUGCUAAUGUCUUUAAGAGAUCCAAUUAUGUUGAUCCAAUUGCUAGUGAGUUGAGUGCACUUGACUAUCUUUAUGGAGUUUUGCUUGAGAUGCGUGAAUCUGAAAAUUGUGAGGAAGAAAUUUAUGAAGUGAUUCAUGAGGGCUCCUUGGAUGAAAAGCAUGAUUGCAAUGGUUUCACUGUAAAUUUGGGGAUGCUAAGAACAUGCAAAACCAUAAGCUUGGGGAUGCUAGUUUUGUUAUGUCCACUACUUGUUGCAAUGAACAAGAGUGGGGCGAUGAUUUUUCUUAUGAUCUUAAAAAUUUGUUUAAGCCUCAUGAUGAAUAUGAUUUUGCAAUAAGAUUAAAAGUGGGUUUGGAGAAGUCAUGGCUUUAGUUGAUGAUAAUCCCACUAUUUUUGAAGAGCGUUAACUUUGCAUGCAUGUGGAUCAUGAAAAGAAUAUCAUAUGGGAUAGCUAUAUUGUUGAAUUUGAAUACGAUCCCACAUGUAAUUGCUAUGAGAAAGGAAAAUAUUGUGGCAGAAACUUUCAUGUUACCAAAUUACCUCUCGUUAUGUUGAGAUUGCUAUUGUCUCUUUCUUCUUCCUUGCAUUUGGUAACUAUUGGUUGCUUGACCAAUUUUUUUUCCUAUAAAAUGCCUAUGCAUAGGAAGUAUGUUAGACUUCGAUGUGAUUUUCACAUGCUUGAUGAUGCUCUCGUUGUGCUUCAACUCUCGUCUUUUGCGUGAGCAUCAUUGAAUUCGUUAUGCCUAGCUAAGGGCGUUAAACAAUAGCGCUUGUUGGGAGGCAACCCAAUAAAUUUAUUUCUUUUUCUUUCUAAUUUGUUGCGUCCACACUAUCAGAAUUCUGUUAUGAUUGUGUCUUUUGUGUUUCUUUUUGUGUUUGAGCCAAGCAAAACCUUUAUGACUAGUCUUGGUGAUGGUUGUUUGAUCCUGCUGGAAAAAGACAGAAACUUUUCGCUCACGAGAUGAUUUUUCAUUUUUAUUCAGAAAGAGAUUUUGACUUGAUUCUUUUUUCCGCUGGUUGAUAUACCUUUUUCCCAGGCAUUCACAAUUUUUCAGAAAUUUUUUGAGUUACCACAAGUAUAGGAAGUAUACAGAUUACUACAGACUGGUCUGUUUUUGACAGAUUCUGUUUUUGUUGAGUUGGUUGCCUGUUUUGAUGAAACUAUGGUUAGUAUCGGGGGGUACUAGCCAUGGAAAAGUGAGAAUACAGUAGCCCAACACCAAUAUAGAUAGAAUUCAAGUUUGCUACAGUACCAAAAGAAGUGGUAAUUUGUUUUCUUGUGCUAAUGUUAUCACGAGCUUCUGUUUAAGUUUUGUUUUGUGAAGUUUUCAAGUUUUGGGUGAUGUUCUCAUGGACAAAGAGAUAAGGAGUGGAAAUAGCUCAAGCUUGGGGAUGCCCAAGGCAUCCCAAGCCAAAUUCAAGGACACCAAAAAGCCUAAGCUUGGGGAUGCCCCGGGAAGGCAUCCCAUCUUUCGUCUUCAAUCCAUCGGUAACAUUACUUGGAGCUAUAUUUUUAUUCACCACGUGAUAUGUGUUUUGCUUGGAUCGUCUUGUAUCUUAGGAGUCUUUUCGUUUUGUUGUGUCACAAUCAUCCUUGCUCCACACCUUUUUGAUAGAGAGAGAGACAUGCACUCAUCGUGAUUUUUCUAGAAUGCUCAUAGUGCUUCACUUAUAUCUUUUGAGCUAGAUACUUUUGCUCUAGUGCUUCACUUAUAUCUUUUAGAGCACGGCGGUGCGUGAUUUGGUAGUUGACUUAUGCUAUGAAAGUAGUCCCAAAUGUGAUAAGUACCCAAAGAGGAUGCAAAAACCUCCAUUUUCAUGUGCAUUGAGUAGAAAGAGAAGUUUUGAUUCCUCCAAUUAGUUUUGAGACGUGGAUUUGGUAAUAUUAAGAGCUAUGUUAGUAGGGUGUUGUGAAUCUAGAAAUACUUGUGUUGAAGUUAGUGAUUCCUGUAGCAUGCACGUAUGGUGACCGCUAUGUUAGGAAAUCGGAGCAUAAUUGAUCUAUUGAUUGUCAUCCUUUGUGUUGAGGUCGGGAUCGCGCGAUGGUUAACACCUACCAACCCUUCCCCUCAGAGUAUGCGUUUAGCACUUUGUUUCGGUUACUUAUAAAAACUUUCGCAACAAGUAUGUGAGUUAUUCAUGACUAAUGUGAGUCCAUGGUAUAGAUGAACUUUCACCUUCCACCAUUACUAGUCUCUUUAGUGCCGCGCAAUUCUCGCCGGUGCACAAACCCACCAUAUGCCUUCCUCAAAACAGCCACCAUACCUACCCACUAUGGCAUUUUCAUAGCCAUUCCGAGAUAUAUUGCCAUGCAACUCCCACCGUUCCGUCUCAUGACUUCUGCCGUCACUCUCAUAUUUCCAUUGCAUGAUCGUAAGAUAGCUAGCGAGAUGUUUCAACGGCAUACGCCAUCUAGAUCGUUGCACAUCCCGGUACACUGCCGGACGCAUUUCCUAUAGGGUCGUCAUCAUUGAGCUAUGAGUAAAUUAAAGUGUGAUGAUCAUCAUUAUUAGAGAAUUGUCCCGUGUGAGGAAAUAAAAAAAGAGUCCAAAGAGCCCAAAAACAAAAAAAGGAGAAAAGAAAAAAAGGCCUAAGAGCCCAAAUGAAAAAAAGAGAAACCCCCCCCCCCCCCAGAGAAGGGAUAAUGCUACUAUCCUUUUCCACACUUGUGCUUCAUAAUAGCACCAUAUUCUUCAUGAUUGAGAGCUUCUUGCUUUGUCACUACCAUAUGCUAGUGGGAAUUUUCAUUAUAUAACUUGGUUUGUAUAUUCCAAUGAUGGGCUUCCUCAAAAUUGCCCUAUGUCUUCGUGAGCAAGCAAGUUGGAUGCACACCCACUAGUUCUCCUUUUGAGCUUUCACAUACUUAUAGCUCUAGUGCAUCUCUUGUAUGGCAAUCCCUACUCAUUCACAUUGAUAUCUAUUAAUGGGCAUCGCCAUAACCCUUUGAUACGCCGAGUCAAUGUGACUAUCUCCUCCCUUUUUGUCUCACAACCACCACCACACUCUAUUCCACCUAUAGUGCUAUAUCCAUGGCUCACGCUCAUGUGUUGCGUGACUGUUAUAAAAAGUUUGAGAAAGUAAGAGUGCGAAAACAAUUACUUGGCCAAUACCGGGGUUGUGCAUGAUUUACAUUAGUUGUGUGAGGAUGAUGGAGCAUAGCGAGUGAUGGGGUUAUAGUCCCAGGGUAGGGUCAUAGGUCUGCCCUAUAGGUCCUACCCAAGGACUACCCUUCAUAGGGGAGAAGGCCCUUAGACAGUUCCAACUGAACUAAGGACGCCCCCAUCAUCCAGUCGGCGACGAUCCACUCGGAGCAUAUCUAACGUACCGACUGGAAUCCACUCUGUACAUCCACUACAGGAAUCACCUUCUUUGGCAUCUGCCAUCACGGACGGCAAAGACAAAUACCCGGACGGCAAAGAACAUACCACAGACGGCAAAGAUUGUCACGGCUGGCAAAUUUUCUGCGUCAGCCUACGAUGGCAUAGGACAUUCUUUGCCGUCUGCCCCCCCCCCCAAAGCGGACGGCAAAGCUCUUUGCCGUCAGCUUCCUUGAGGAGCAGUCGGCAAAGAGCUUGAGACGGCAGCCGAGAGGCGUUGCCUCCGUUAGGGGUUAACGGAGGCUCUUUGCCGUCUGCCUGCUGGUCAAUCUUUGCCGUCUGCCGUGUCCUCCCCUCCCCCUCUCUCCACUCCUGCCCCUCCUCUGUGCCCUCUUCUUUGCCGUCUGCCCCCCCAGCAGGCAGACGGCAAAGAGCCUAUAUGGCCAGCUGCUACUGCCCAGGAAGCACAGCUGGUUGCCAUGUGGCACCUUUGCCGUCUGCUGGCUGAUGGCAAAGGCCUUUGCCAUCAGCCAGCAGACGGCAAAGAGCCCAUAUUGUCACUGUUUUUUUCAUUUUAUGUUAUUUCACAGCAAUAAUAUAUAUAAUUCAUAGCACAUAUAUGAUAUAUAGUUCACAACACAUAUAUGAUAUACAUAUAAAGUUAACCAAUGUCAUUUGUUCAUCAAUGGACAUCCAUAUAUCAAAAGAAACCAACAUAUACAAAGUUUCAUCCAUAUAUAUAUACAUAUAGUUCCACAUAUAUUGUUCAUCAACACAUUGNNNNNNNNNNNNNNNNNNNNNNNNNNNNNNNNNNNNNNNNNNNNNNNNNNNNNNNNNNNNNNNNNNNNNNNNNNNNNNNNNNNNNNNNNNNNNNNNNNNNGCUCCCAGCCUGGCCCUCGGCUCCUGGCGCAACAGGGCCGUGCUGAGGAACGACGAUGGCGCCGGCUCCUGGUGCCGGCUUGACAGCUAGCUCGGGCGCCAUCCCGGCCGGCGCUACCUCCUCCGCAGGAGGCGGAUGGGCCGCGUCCGGCGCAUCCACGGUCGCCCCUGGGAAGUUAGGGGCCAUGUCCGGCGCACCUAAGUCCAGCUCCGGUGCAUCGGGUGCCGCCUCGGCCCUAGGAGAGUCAGGGAUCGUUUCCAGGUCCACCUCCGCCGAGGCUUCCGGCUCUGAUGGCUGGGCCCCCUCGGCCCUUGGGGCUGGCCUGGAGGCGGCCUCGCUAGCUGGCUCCUCCGCACGAGCAUGUGCGGAGGGGUCAUGUCUAGCCUUCACACGCUUCUCCACCGGCCUCUCGACCCGGCUGGGGCGAGGCUGACCCACGGUGGCCUUCCCCGCAGCCGUGUCCCACCGGCGCUUGGACUCCGUCUCAAGCUCCCUCUGGGCAGCAUCAGCUCCUGCCCAGCCAGCCCGCUCGGCUGCGGAGGCGGUGUCUUCAUCCGCAUACUCCGCCUCCCUGUCAAGCAAAACUCCUAAGGAACAAAGCUCAUCACAAGAUGGAUAAAGGAAAAGAGGAGGAAAUCUUACCCCGCUACCANNNNNNNNNNNNNNNNNNNNNNNNNNNNNNNNNNNNNNNNNNNNNNNNNNNNNNNNNNNNNNNNNNNNNNNNNNNNNNNNNNNNNNNNNNNNNNNNNNNNAGGUUAGUUAGGUUAGUUGUUAGUGGUUACGUACUGGUAAUUAGGUUAGUUAGGUUACUUGUUAGUUGUUAGUGGUAAUUAGGUUAGUUGUUAGUGGUAUUACCCCUCGAGCUAGGUUAGUUGUUAGGUUAGUUGUUAAUUACCUACUGUGUGUUAGGUUAGUUGUUAGGUUUGUAGUUGACCGUGUAGAGCCCUCCGGUCGCCGCCUAUGCUUGCACUAGCCACAACGUUGAGGAUAUUACAACAGCUCGCAAUAGUAGUUGUCGCACCGACACGACAUCUCGACGACACCCCUGACACCCGUCACGAUGCCCCGAAACCCCGACACGACGCCCCGACACGACAUCUCNCCGACACGAUGCCCCGAAACCCCGACACGACGCCCCGACACGACAUCUCGACGACACCCCGGCAUGAAAUAUUUUUUUAUGGAACCUAGAAAGUUUUAUAAAGUAGUAUAGGUAACCUGGAAAGUUUUAUAGGUAACAUAGAAAGUUUUAUAGGUAACCUAGAAAGUUUUNNNNNNNNNNNNNNNNNNNNNNNNNNNNNNNNNNNNNNNNNNNNNNNNNNNNNNNNNNNNNNNNNNNNNNNNNNNNNNNNNNNNNNNNNNNNNNNNNNNNCAUAGUUUGAGGAGUUCAUGUGUUCACCAAGUGCUAAUGCGUUGGUCCGGUUCUUUAUGAAAAGGAGAACCUUAAUAUCCCACAGUUUCCUUUUGGACCCCGCUGCCAUGGGAGGGAUGGACAAUAGAUGUCAUGCAAGUUCUUUUCCCUAAGAAGGUAUGACGACACACGGAAUGCAUGCCUACAUCACAUUGACGAACGGGAGCUAGCCACAUAUCUCUCCGUGUUAUAGCUGUUGCAUGAUGAAUAUCAUCCAAACAAAUCACCGACCCAUUGCCUACGAGUUUGUCCUACUGCUGCUGCUACUACUAUUGCUACUACUGAUGUUACUUGUCUUGCUCUGCUGCUGCUGCUACUACUGUUGCUACUACUGUUACUUGUCUUGCUCUGCUGCUAUUGUUGCUACUACUGUCGCUUGCUACUCUUGCUACUUGCUACUGCUGUCACUACUGCUGUUCCUUGCCACUACUAUUACUCGUUACACUGCUGCUACCUGCUACACUGUUGGUUCACCGGCCGUUGACGGGAACUGACAACUUCCGUCAACGCGGCAACGGAGGCGCCAUUGAUACGAUCGUUAGGAAUAGUCUGCCGUCAACAGAUCAUUUCUGACACCGUUGUUAUCAUACUACUUUGUUGUUACUACUAUGCUUGCAAAUACUAAUCUUUCAGGUGUGGUUGAAUCCGACAAAUUCAGCUGCUAAUACUCGAGAGUAUUCUCUCACCUCCCGACUGGCUUAUGAACAAAUUGGGUCGAAUACUCUACCCUCGAAAACUACUGCGAACCCACUUGCUGGUGGGCCGUCAACAACAUUCUUCUAGUUUCAUUACUGGGGAGUGCUAUCAGCAUUCUUCUGGUGCUGUUGCAGGAGAAGGUUCGUUGUCAUAAGCAUUCGUCUAGCUAACGCCAGAGAUUGCAGAUCAGUUCUCCACUCAUCAAGCGAGCUAAUAUCAAAUAACCUCUUCUCACCGGCAAGUUUGGAAUCAAAGUUGAGCUCGUUGAUUGCCCAAUAAGCUUUAUGCUCUAUCUCAAGAGGUAAAUGACAUGCUUUACCGUACACCAUUUUCUACGCAGACAUGCCCAUGGGAUUCUUAUGGGCAGUUCUAUAAACCCAAAGUGCAUCAUCGAGCUUCUUAGACAAAUUCUUUCCAGACCUGUUGACAGUCUUUUGCAGAAUCAGUUUAAUCUCUCUAUUACUUAGCUCUACUUGACCACUGCACUGAGGGUGAUAGGGAGACGCAAUUCUAUGGUUGACAUCGUACUUAGCAAGCGUUUUACGGAAAGCGCCAUGAAUGAAGUGUGAACCACCGUCAGUCAUUAGAUAUCUAGGGACUCCAAAUCUAGGGAAGAUAACUUCUUUCAGCAUCCUGAUAGAGGUGUUGUGAUCAGCACUACUAGUGGGGAUAGCUUCUACCUACUUAGUGACGUAAUCAACAGCAACUAGGAUAUGAGUAUACCCGUUGGAUUUGUGAAAAGGUCCCAUAUAAUCAAAGUCCCAAACAUCAAAUGGUUCAAUGACAAGUGAAUAGUUCAUAGGCAUUUCCUGAUGUUUGCUAAUAUUACCUAUUCUUUGACAUUCGUCACAAGACAAGACAAACUUACGGGCAUCCUUGAAGAGAGUGGGGCCAAUAGAAACUUGAUUGCAAUACCUUGUGUGCAGUUCUAUCUCCCGCAUGGUGUCCUCCGUAGGCCUCGGAGUGACACUUCUGUAGGAUUUGUCCCUGUUCAUGUUCAGGUACACAACGUCUAAUAACACCAUCUACUCCUUCCUUACAAAGGUGAGGAUCAUCCCAAAACUAGUGUCUCAAGUCAAAGAAGAAUUUCUUCUUUUGCUGGUAUGUGCAACUAGGUGGUAUAUAUUUGGCAACGAUAUAGUUUGCAUAAUCAGGAUACCACGGUGCACUACGUGAAGCAUUGAUGACUUUCAGUUUCUCAUCGGGAAAGUUAUCAUCAAUAGGUUGUGGGUCAUCAAGAACGUUCUCCAACCUAGACAAAUUAUCUGCUACGGGGUUAUCAGCACCCUUCCUGUCGACAACGUGCAAAUCAAAUUCUUGUAGCAAGAGAACCCAUCUGGUAAGUCUAGGUUUAGUGUCCUUCUUCUCCGUGAGGUACUUAAUAGCAGCGUGAUCAGUGUGAAUAGUGACUUUGGAAUCAACUAUGUAAGACCUGAACUUUUAACCUCAAACACGACUUCUAAAAAUUCCUUCUUCGUAGUAGCAUAGUUUCUGUGGGCACUUGAUACAUCUCCAACGUAUCUAUAAUUUUUUAUGGUUCCAUGCAAUUAUCUUGUCAAACUUUGGAUGUUUUAUAUGCAUGAAUAUGCUAUUUUAUAUCUUUUGGGGGAUUAACCUAUUAACUCAGUGCCAAGUGCCAGUUUCUAUUUUUCCCGUGUUUUUGACCCUUUUUCAGAUAGAGUCCAAAUGGAAUGAAACUUUACGAUGAUUUUUUUGGGACCAAAAGAGACCCCCGAAGCUUUGGAAGAAGGCCAGAAGAGCCACGAGGGAGUCACAAGCCCAUGGGGCGCGGCCUACCCCCCUGGUCGCACCGUGCGGGCUUGUGACCUCCUCGUGGGCCCAACUAACGCAAUUCCACCGCCAUAAAUUCCUAUAAAUUCGGAAACCUCCAAAAAUAAACCUAGAUCGGGAGUUCCGCCGCCGCAAUCCUCUGUAGCCACCAAAAACCAAUCGGGAGCCCGUUCCAACACCUUGUCGGAGGGGAAUCCAUCUCCGGUGGACAUCUUCAUCAUCCCGACGAUCUCCAUGACGAGGAGGGAGUAGUUCUCCCUCGGGGGUGAGGGUAUGUACCAGUAGCUAUGUGUUUGAUCUCUCUCUCUCUCUCUCGUGUUCUUGAGAUAUCUUGAUCUCGAUGUACCGUGGGCUUUGCUACUAUAGUUGGAUCUUAUGAUGUUCUUCCCCCUCUCCCUUCUUGUAAUGAAUUGAGUUUCCCCUUUGAAGUUAUCUUAUCGGAUUGAGUCUUUGAGAACACUCGAUGUAUGUCUUGCACGUGUCUAUCUGUUGUGAUCAACUUGCGGGUUUGUGACAAUUGGGAACCUAUGCAUAUGGNNNNNNNNNNACUUUUGCUCUUGUGCUCCACUUAUAUCUUGUGAUCAACUUGCGGGUUUGUGACAAUUGGGAACCUAUGCAUAUGGGUUGGCACACGUGGAUUCAUGUGAGUACUCGAUGUAUGUUUUGGUGAUCAACUUGCGGGUUCGUGACAUUGGGAACCUAUGCAUAGGGGUUGGCACACGUUUAGACUCUCNNNNNNNNNNNNNNNNNNNNNNNNNNNNNNNNNNNNNNNNNNNNNNNNNNNNNNNNNNNNNNNNNNNNNNNNNNNNNNNNNNNNNNNNNNNNNNNNNNNNUUUUGUGAACUUCACUUUUGUCCACGACUCUGCUUUCCGACCAGAGCAUAAUUUUCUUCUCUAUGAUCUGUGUAUGUACGAGCAUAGGUUGUGGAGCAUAUAUGCAUAUGUAAAUUCUAGCACCGCCUACACAUAUACAACACCUGUGUCAUAUUUAUAAUAUAUACAACAAGCGGACCAUUGUCUUGCUGUUAAUUAUCGGAAAAGUUNNNNNNNNNNCAAUGGCCUAUGUCGUAUGAAGGUCUUCUGUGAACUUCACUUUUGUCCAUGACUCUGCUUUCCGACUAGAGCAUAAUUUGCAUCUCUAUGAUCUGUGUUUGUACGAGCAUAGGUUGUGGAGCAUAUAUGCAUAUGUAAAUUCUAGCACGGCCUACACAUAUACAACACCUGUGCCAUAUUUAUAAUAUACAACAAGCGGACCAUUGUCUUGCUGUUAAUUAUCGGAAAAGUUUAUUUUAUUUAGCACUGCAAUGGAUGUCUCGCAGCUAGUGGGUGGAAGAUUCCUGUAUUUGACAUUAAGACCCACUGAUUGACAAUUGCAAUUUUCAGUUUCUUUACUUAUAUCAAUAA